rnacentral:lncRNA from 1 species
UUAAUAAGCUGAAUCGAUAAAAAAGUUAUUGAUUUAUAAUAUCGGAUUAGUGGUUUAGUGAUUGUGAUAACGGUAUUAAUUUUUUUGUUAUCGGAUUAUUGAUUCUUAACGAUUUAAAAUUUUUUCUUAAUGAAUUAAUCGAUAACCCGAUAGUAAAUUAAGUAAUUAUAAUUAUAUCAUUUUGUGUAUAAAGUUCUCGACUUAGAGUUUAAUUUGCUAUUUUUAUUUUUGAUUGUCUCAAACACUUGAUUAUUCUACAACGUAAAAGUGUUUGGUUUUUAAGCAAGAUAUAACUUCUGAACUCAAAUGCAUGGUUUAUAUUUGAUUUGUCACAUUGUUUCUAAGUGAUUUUCAAAACUUUUUUUUUUGUCAAAUCUUAACGGUUAAAUCAAUAACUAAACCGAUAACAACCAAAAACCGAUAAAUCAAUAACCGAUAACCCAAUAUCUUAAUGGUUCUAUAACGAUUUAACAACUCUACAAACCGAUAACCAAUAAUCCAACCUGAUAGACUUCAAAACCGAACCGAACGAUACACGGUCCUAAUUAAUUUAGCACAUUUAACAAUAAAAAUUGAUAAACUCAACUAAUAAUAUAUAGAAUCGAACCAACCCAAUUUAUGCAUCUCAUCGCAUCUACUUUUCAAGAGUAAAUUAAGAUAAUUUCGAUUACACAUUGAAAUUCAAAUAUUAAAAGACUAAACGCAAAAUACUACAGGCCAGGUAUCUAUAUAACCAAGGAAAAAUUAGAAGACAAAUGCAUAACACUCCAUUAGUAACAAGUGAUACAUAAAAAUUAAUAAAGUAAAAACAGGUAGAGAGCAAAAUCAUAUUUGGUACUAAUGUAGAAGCAACCAUCACCAAAACCUCAAUGCAUAUUAAUAAAGAGAUUCAUUACACAAAAAGUAAACAACACUCUGACAGAGGUCGCCGGAGCAAAACCAUCGCCGGUAGCCAUCGCCGGUGAAGGUGCAAUAUUCUCCGAUGCCAAGUCUUGAGCCUCAGACAUCUCCAAAACAACUACCAAAACUAGUACAACAUAAAUAUAGAAAAACUUAAGGCAAGCCAUUGAUAACAUAACAAAAUAUUUAUUUUUUUCAAUUUAUUUAUUUUUAGUAGUAGAAAAAAGAUUGGAGAAAAACAAUAAUAUUUAUAGCGAAGAAAAAAAAGGCAUAGAUUCUGUUUAUACUUUAUUGCAUGUAUGCCAUUUGUCUAGGGGAAAUUUUGUUUUUGAGAAAUGGUGUUAUUUUACUGUAGGAUAAAAGUUUGACACGUUUUAUUCAAUCAUCAAAUUGAAUUUAUGCUAUUUUUUAAAAUUUUUUUUGGCUUUUCGUUGUUCUUUUUCGAGAUUGAAUUAUUUCAAAUGUGGACACAUAUAUAUAAUCGAUCCUAUUACCAUUAUAUUCGAUUGACACAUAUAUAUAAUCAAUCUUAUUACUAUUAUAUUCAAUUGAACACACAGUAUAAAUUUAUUUUUCGUCUAAUCAUAUUCUUUACAGAAAAAAAAUGUAUUUUUUGUUUUUGUGAAUUUAAACACGAUAAUUCACCUUGAUCUCAUUGAUGAUUUUGAGAUUGUUCGAUAUUAAUAUAAAUAAACGCAAAAAUAAUGAAAUGCAGUUAGCUGGAUAUGUCACAGGAAACAACAAUAAUAAACCACAAAAUAAUGAUUUUAUUUUGUUGGUGAUGAUAAAUAGUACACAAUGAUGUAUCCAUAAUAUCUUUCCCUUUCUCCACCAAGACCUGUAAUCUCCUUCAAUUCUUCAUCCCCUUCCUUUUUUAUUUUUUUCAUUCUAAUUACAAUCAAACCUCAUUAUUUAAAUCGUCUUUUGAUUUCUAUGAUAAAAUAAUGUUAUAGAAAAUUAUUUAAUAAUUUUUCUAAUCGUUAUAUAUAGAGAUGAUUGUUUUAGAGAAAUUUAAUAUUAUAAUUUAGUGCAUGUAAUACGCGAAGUAGGAUAAUAAAGUAGCCCCGGCUAAAGUUGCCACGUGGGGCAAUGACGCCGUAGCAGCAGAUAUAUCAUUAGAUGGGGCCGGGGCAGAGGCUGGAGAAGAGAUUGGGGCCGAGGCUGGGGGCAAUAGUUGAGCCAUAGCCGAACCAAUUGAGGCAGCUACGAUGAGGGUGACAGAAGCGAUCUUCUUCAUCUCCAUAUCUUUUUAAAAAUAAAUAAAUAAAUGAUAAAUUAUUUUUUGAAUUUUUUUUUUUGGUGAAUUAAAUGUGACUGGGAAGAGGGUUAUAUAUAAUAUGUAUUGGUACAAUUUGAACCACAUUUGGGUAUUUAUGGCUAGAGUGAUUUUAGGGUUAUUGUUAGAAAAUAAUGAUAAAGAUUUUAAGGGUUCUCAAUUUUCUUUUUCUUUUUCUUCUUCUACAAUUUAGCAUUUUCUUGUUAAGUUUUGGUUUGUUGCAAAUUUGAAAAUAUUUUGACUUUUUUUUUUAUGCUUAUGCUGAAAGAGUGAUAUGUUGAUGGUUGUAUUAUUUCUUGUUCUUUUAAAUUUUUGUUGUAUUGUAUUAAGUUUUUUUUUUAGUUGUAUAUGAUAUUUAUAGUAAAAAUUUCAGUUCAUGGUAAUAAAAGUCAUUCAUUUAAUCCAUAUUAUAAUGAAUUACAUCAGUUUUAUUUUAUCAGUUCGAUAAAUAUAGAUUUCAAUUUAUUCUUAAUUCAUAAAAAUAAUGGAUAACAUGUGAGUAUUCAUAUACAAACUCAUUUUUGUAAAUAGGAGAAAAUCUUUUCCUUGAGAAAACAUUUACUAGAUCAAUAAAAUGCACACGAACGCCCAACCCAACUCCUCGCACUACCAACCCUCCCCCUACCUACCUAUCUCCACGUACUCCUUAACUCAUGGCAUGUUCCUGAGUCAGGGUUGGAGUCACGAACGAAUCCUAAAUUAAGGUUGAAUCAAAAAUUGGAAUUGGAGCUCGAGUAGAGAUCGUGGUCAUGGGCUCGUGGUUCCCAUGAAAAUUAUAUCUCGAUUAAGAAUUAGGUUAGGGUUAAGAUCGAGGUUAUAUCUCAUAUUGAGAUAGGGUGCCAAGUUGAGAUAAAGAUUGAAAUUGAGGCUAGAUCUCAAAUUGAGAUCGAGGUCAGAAUUGAUUAAGUAAGGUCCUAGGUGAUUAAUAUGGAUUAGAACAAUCCAUCCAAUUCAUAAAUUUUAUCCAUAUUUAUUUGGUGCAUUGCAAUUCAUUUAUCCAUUUUCAAUCCACACAAGUUUAAUCCAAUCCGUCUAUUUGCCGCCAUGAUAUUAUAUAUAUUAUCAUUACUUAUCAUAUUUAUUUUAAAAAAGAUUGUUUCCUCGGCCAGGUAUUAAAAGGAUUCAUUUCUCUCUUAUUAUAGAUAUAGAUUAGAGUGUAGACAUACUAUGGUGGAAUAGGGUGUAGACAUAUUGUCAUCACAUAUUUGGUAAUUUAUACAUGAAAUUGAUUAAAAAAGUUUUCAUUUAGUUUAAAGGAAAACGAAGGAGGGAAGCGGCAGGUGAAAAAUAGGAUUUUUUGUUUUCUUUAAAGAGAGAGUUUAAAUAACUGUUUAAGUGGUGUUUUGUGAUUUUGAUAGGCACAAAUAGGUUCAAAAAUCAAAUUGUUUGUGUUAGUAAGAAAUGGCAAUAUUAGUCUAGAUUAGGGACAAAUGCUUGUCAGUCUGUUAACCACAUGGGUAAGAUUGACCAAACUUUAAACAAAGACCCUAUUUAAAAUUGUAAAAAUUAAAGGAAUCACAUGGACAAUUUUGAUCUUAAUUCAAGAACUAUAUUAAAAAAUAUUCACUUGUAAACGUAUUGCAGUAUUAAAUGCAAAUAAUUGCUCAUAUCUUAUUACUCCACUAGUUAUUAACUAAAUUAUCACAGGACUAACAUUAUGCAAGCAUAGUUUUUUUAAGAUAGUACGAGACUAAGAGUCCAAGACCAUAUAAAAUACACUUUUAAUUUAUUGUUUCCAGACUGUUUAAUUAACAUAAUACUAUAGUAUACUAUAGCCUAAAGCUUCAAAGCUAAUGAAUUUGAAACAAGUUCCAUCGAUAUUCAAUUAAGUGCCCUGGAAGAUUCGAGCCAACAUGAAUCUUCUUCAAUAACAAUAUAUUUAUCUAUCAUGAAUCACAUGGAAAAAAACUACUACGUAAUAAAUAAAAAGGGGUCAGCUUGCUAUGAAAAAUGCAAGUGAUAACUAAUUUCAUCCAAUGCAUGUAUAUCUGUAGAAGUUGAAUGAAAUUCAUUGAGUGGAAAAUAACAAAUGGCAAAAUUCAUGGCAUUGCUUAUGAUCAUGGCUUUAUCUUAUUUUACAGCUAUAGCAAAUUCACAGGUGAAGAACAUUUUCUUACUAGCUGGACAGAGCAACAUGUCCGGCCUAGGAGGCGUCGUUAAUAACACAUGGGAUGGUAUAGUUCCGCCGGAGUGCAGCCCAAAUCCGGCCAUCCUCAAACUUGAUGCCAAACUUCAAUGGGUGGAGGCAACUGAACCUUUACAUGCAGAUAUCGACGCGAAUGUUACUUGUGGGAUUGGUCCAGGUAUGUAGAGGGGGAUUUAAAUAGAUUAGACUCGCUCUGGACAUGCAAACUAUAAAUUCUAGAUUCGUCUGUGCAGGUAUGCCCUUUGCAAAUUCUUUGUUGAAUAAAACUUCGUUUCUGGGGGAAAUAGGGUUGGUACCAUGCGCGAUGGCUGGGAACAGAAUCAGUCAAUGGCAAAAGGGGACUUUCCUUUACAAUCAGUUGGUGAUGAGAGCCAAGGCUGUUGCAGUGCAAGAAUGUGGGGUAACUAGAGCUAUGCUUUGGUAUCAAGGGGAGAGUGACACAACAUUACUGAGUAAUGCAAAUGCUUAUAAAGGAAAAAUGCAGCAAUUUUUCACUGACUUGAGAAGUGAUGUUGGGAUACCAGAUCUUUUGAUUAUCCAGGUAAACUUUAAUUCGGUACUCCCUCCAUUUCAAUAAUUUGUUUUUCUGGUUUUGAUUUGAUAGAGUUUAAGAAAAAAAAUAAUGAAGACUUCUGAGUCUUGCAGUCUCAAACUAAAUAUAUGUAGAAUGUACCAAAUGUUUCUUAAUCUUGUGGUCUUAACAUAUCAUUGGGAAUUGAAAAGUACCAUAAACGGAAAAGAUUCUUUCUGAAACGGACUAAAAAGGAAAGUUAGACAAACAAAUUGAAACGGAGGAGUAACUCUUACUGCAGGAUCAUCUAAAUGCUGUAUAUUUUCAAAAUGGAGCAUAUAUGUGUGUGUGAAAAUCCACUAAAAUUUCAACAAAUAUUAGAUUUUGAGCUCAUGAUUAUAAGAACACAAUAAGUUCUCCAUCACAAUAUGAGUUCAGUCAGGAAUCAGUUGCAUAGUUAUUAGUAAUCCUUACUUGUCUACGCUUCUUUUGUUCAAACUUGUGUAGGUGGCUCUUGCUUCAGGAACAAAUUACACAGAUAUAGUAAGAGAAGCACAGUUAAAUCCUGACCUUGCUAAUGUAGUAACUGUUGAUGCGAGGGGCUUGGAGUUGCAUAAAGACAAUUUACACCUUACUGCUUCUUCCCAAGUCCUCCUAGGACACAUGAUGGCUGAUGCUUAUCUUCAAACAAUCUCAACCACAUCCUAAUCUAUUCAUUAGUCAAUAGUGAAAGAAAAUUUCAGUUAUUUUCUCAACAUGUGAAACAAGUGUUAACAUUCAAAAAGGAAAAAAUGUUCAAUACUCUGUAAUGUAAUCAUAAAACAGUAUGCUAUCAUUUUUUCAUGUUUCAAUUGUUCAAGUAAAAACAAGGGAAGUGUAGUUUUAUCCAUCCAAUGAUCCAAGAGGCCGGGUGUCAAUUUUCAAUACAUAAAAGUGCCAAUCUCCUUGAACAUAGAAAUUACAAAAGGGAAGAUGUUUUUAAUAAAUGCAGCAUGAUUUGUAGUUACGUUCCUUUGUAAUAUCAAGUCCUUUAUCUGAGAAGUUUAGAGCAAGUGUAUAAUCGAUAAUUACACUGGAGCUAUGUAAGAAAAGGAGAAGUAAAUUGUAAAAACAAAAGAAUCAUCCCGUUAAAGGGGGGGUUGUUUGGUUGUUGGUUACAAAGGAAAUUAUUCAUAUAUUGAAGCUAGCAUAGUCAAUACCAUAUUUGGUAGGUUUUAGUUGCUUUGUAUAGAAUUUAGCACACCAGGUACCGUGUUUUGUUACUAUUGUUACAAUCCCACAUGUAUAAUUUAUGAGUAAAUUUAUUUAUCAUAUAAUGCAGGGUAGUAAAAUAGGAUAACUAAUACAUGACUAAUGAAUCUCUACCUUACUACCUGCAUAACUCUAACCAGUAACCAGGUGGCUUCUGCAUCCUGUUCCCUUGCCAAAAUUUAGAACAAAAUCACUUACAAUCGUUGGGUCUUAAUCUCUGGAUCAUGUCGAGUAGAGAACAUUCAGCUGAAGGUACAUUUAUCAGCAGCUGAAAUGUAUGUGCAUUAGGAGAGAAACCCUUAUCAACCAUUUCCUGCAAAGGUGGAAAUACCUCAUGUAACUUAUUCCUUUUAAGAAAUCCUUGCAAAAUAAAAUCACAAACAAAAAUUUUUGGGUGAAAGACCAUUUUGUUCCAUUUUCCUCAUCAAAUCUUUUGCUUCGUCUAGCAAACCCUCCUGGCAUAGGCCAUUUAUCAUUGUUUUGUAUGACCUCACGUUGACAUGUAAACCAUCAGAACACAAUUAUUGAAUAUAUCUUGAGGAAUAUCGAGCUUGCCUUUUUUGCACAAUCCAGCAAUAACAACAUCAUACAUGAACAGCUGAGGCCAACAUUCUUCCUUUCCAGUUCUUGAAGAAACACCAGAGCUUCUUCAGCAUGUCCAUUCUUGCACAAACCAUCUAGCAUGAUACAAUAAGUGUGAUUGUGAGUAUUCGGUUUGAAUCCUAAACACACAACUCAAUCAUACAUCUUUGUGCAUGGGAGAAUCUCCCUGCUCGAAAUAAUCCCUGCAAUACAGUACUGGUGUAUGUUACAGUUCCAGGUUUUAAUUGUUUUAGAGACGUUUCUCUCACAAGAUCUAUGCCUUUGCCUAUUUUCCAUUCUUUUGCAAUAACCAUUGAUUAAUGUUAGGUUGAACACCGCUCUGAACCACCGAAUAAACACUUGUUUUGCUUCAUGUAACCAACCUUGCAAACAGUAACCAUCUAUCAAUGUGUUAUAUGCAACUACAUUAGGAUCAAAGCCCUUUUAUAUAAUACAUUCCAUGAUAGCUUUGGCGUCUUCCGACCUACCUUCUUUGCAAAACACAUCAACUAAUAUAUUAUAGCUAUACACAUUUGGAUACACACCCUGAUGGAUCAUCUGAUUCAAUAGCUUUCUUAACUUCCUUCUUCCCAUCGGCCAAAACUACAAAUACCUUGAAUAAUUGAACUAUAUGUAAUAAUAUCAGGAUAAAUCACUUUCUCAGUCAUUCUAGUGAAAAGCUUAUGCGUUUAAUCUACCAUUCAAUCUUUGCAAAAGCUGUCAAUUAAGGUGUUAUAAGCUGCAAUGUUCGGUUCGCGAUUCCCUAAAUUAGUAAUUUCUUUAAAGAGAUGAAUAACAACAGAGUAUUAUUUUUUUUUUUGAAUCUUCGUAACUAUACCUUCACCAAUUCAGUGAACGCCUUAAUCGAUGGCGGAGAUCGGUAAACUAUCAUUCGACGGAAUAAAGCAACAAUUUCAUCAAUAUUCUUCCCAGUUAUAUGCUUAGAAACAAAAUUUUGUAGCGAGGCAGAUCAUGUUAAAGCAAUUUUAGAGCUAGUGUGAAAAGAGAACUUACUGAAACCUAACGGAUUUUCAAUCAGAAAAUGCUUCCAGAUCGCAGAUAUGGCUCUUCUUUGCAGCUAUUAGUUGGGGCGAAACUCAAUCACCGGAGAAAAAAAAGAAGCUAUUCAUCGUUCUCCGAUCUCCGGCUACUAGGAAUUUUUUUUUAUCAAACAGAAGUGUUGGUGCAAAUUAUACGUUAAAAUUAGUUGAUUUUUUUUAAAAAAAAAAUAAUAAUCUCUUGAAUUUCUGUAUUUCUUUCGUAAUUACGUUUUUAGACUUGUCUCAAGUAAGAUUAAGGUUAAACAAAAGUACUUUUAAUAAAAAUAAAUAAAUUAGGGAGUAGUAAAUAUUCAUAAAGUAUGAACAUGUUAUUCAAAUUCAUCAUAGUUUAGAAGUCUAUGGUAAAAGUUUACUUCUGUCGUCUCAAAUUAUUUGAGGUGACAUAAUUAUUAUUCUUAGUAGUAAUUAUAUUUGAAAAUUAUAAAUAUAACUUAUAUUUUAAAAUAGUGAUAAAAAGUUCUAAUCAGGAGUAUUAGAUUUCUUUGGUUCAAUUUGUUUGAUCUAUUUUAUCUUGAUAAAAUUUAUUAAUAUAUAAAAUACUUUUAAAUCUUAUAAUCUUAAAUUAAAGAUAUCACAAAUAUAUCAAAAUAUUCAUUAAUUUUAGAUGCCACAUAAAAAUUUAAUAUAAAACCGUCACUAAAAAUAAAAAGUUAUUCUUUUGAAUGGGUAAAAGAAAAUAAUGAGCUUAUAUAUCAUAGUAGAGUAAGUUAUAACUCAUUAUUGGGUAAAUGAUAUGAAAUAGCAAACUAUUAAUUUAAAUUAAUUGUUAUAGUCAUAAUUUAUUUUAUUUGUAAUUCACAAUAAACAUUUUGUUUUUUUGUCACCAUAUUCGUUAUACAAUUAGACAUUUUCGAUAUAUAAUUACCUAUUUGGUAUACAAAUGUAUAAAAUGUGUUUGCGUUUGUAUAAAGCGAGAAAAAAUAUAUAUACAUAUACAAUACAUAUAUUUUUAUUUUAUAUACUUAUAAUUAUACAAAUACUGAUCUUAUUAUAUAAAUGAAUAUCUUAUCAUACAAAUUAUAAUGUAUAAAUAAAUUUAUACAAAAUUGUACAAUUUAUAUAAAAUUGAAUAUAUCUAGCGAAUUAUACAAAUUAAAAUUUUCAUAACAAAUAUACGAUUUAUUGUGAAGCACAAUUAUAAAAACUGUGCCUAUAAUAUAUAAAUAUAUUUUUUAUAUUUGUUAUAGGUAAAAGAUGCUCAUUAUUAUAUGUGAAAUAGUCAGCUUAGCAGAAGAAAAAGAAAUGCAUUUAAAAACUAGGUGUUGUUGAUGUAUUUUAAAUUAGAGUUUAAAAUUAGAAAUGAGAUUUGCAUGUAUUUUAAAUUAGAAAUUUGCUAGUAUGACAUGGGAACAUAAAUUCAACUUUUCUAUUGCCUGGUAUGUUCUUCUUUGGCUAACAAUAUUCUAGCCACCCAUUAAUUAUAUUCAUACUUAGUCGUAUGUGCAAACAUCCUCUUCCUCCAAUAAUUUAAAUUAUGGUUACACCAAAUAUUUAUAUCGAAUUAACAUAUACAUGAUGUGUCUAAACUGUAUAUAAGUUUGUUAAUUACGUAUAUUUUAAUUUUAAGUUAUUUAACAAUGGUAUGAUAGCAUUGAUUUAGACAAUGUAAUUAGAAGUGUGGGCCACAAUAUAAUAUUUGACAUUCAAAGAAAGAGAACUCAAUGAGGUUAAAAAUAAACUAUCAAACGAAUGCGAUGCAAUGAAGAAAGUUGUUUUUUUCUUAUUUAGAGAUUUCGAGCUUUUAAUAUAGCUUUUUUUUUAAUAGAAAGCAUUACUUUUUUGAACAAGUCCUAUCCAAUGCGAAUCCUAAUAUCAAAUAGAAAGAAUGAGCUUAAAAAAGCCUUAAGAAAGCAGGCUUUUCCUAAGUUAAUUAAAGAAACACAAACUUGCAGUACUACUCAUGGCACAUACAUUACAUUUAAAUAAAAUGCAACGUGCCUUCAAAUAUAUAUCCAUCUAAAAUAAAUUACUCAUUACAACUUAUUAUCACAGGGUUGACAUUAUGCCUGAGAAUUUUUUACGUAUAGUUGAGAGAACAAAAUCAUAUAAAAUAUUCACUUUUAUUGUUUCUGGACUGUAUUUAACAUAAUAUAUACUAUAGUAUAGCCUAAAGCUUCAAAGCUAAUAAAUUUCAACUAACUUUGAUCGGUAUUUAAUUAAGUGCCCAUUAAGGAAUAUUCAACGCCAACAUGAUGCUUCUUUAUAUAUAUCACAAUUUUAUUUAUGCAUCACGAAUCACAUGGAAAAUAAAAAAAUAUAACGUAUUCCGUCCGUUUAAAAAAAGAAUGACCUCUUUCUUUUUUAGGUAACAUUUUCACUUUUGCUUUCCACGUGGUAUGUUUAAGACCACAAGAUUAAAGGAGAAUUUUGUACAUUCGGCAUAACUUUAAUUUUAUACCACUAGAUUCAAAAAUCUUCCUUAUUUACUUAAGCUCUGUGCCAAGUCAAACCAGACCAUUCUUUGUGAAACGGAGGGAGUAAUAAAUUUUUUAAAAAAGGGUUUACGUUGCUUUGAACUUCAAAAGUCCUAUACCUUAAUUCUACACAGAUAAAAGCUAACCAAUUUCAUCCAAUAUAUAUAUAUGAAAAUGUUGAAGGGAAUUCAUAAAGUGGAAAAAAAUUGUGUAUAUAACAAAUGGCAAAGUCCAUGGUAUUGCUUCUGAUCAUGGCUUUAUCUUAUUUUACAUCUAUAGCAAAUUCACAGGUGAAGAACAUCUUCUUACUAGCUGGACAGAGCAACAUGUCCGGCCUAGGAGGUGUUGUGAAGAACAUAUGGGAUGGUAUCGUUCCGCCGGAGUGUAGCCCUAAUCCGGCCAUCCUUAAACUUGAUGCCAAUCUUCAAUGGGUGAAGGCAACUGAACCUUUACAUGCAGAUAUUGACGUGAAUGUUACUUGUGGGAUUGGUCCAGGUAUGUAGAGACGGAUUUAUAAGGAGUUAAAUUAAACUCAAAGCUUUCGGCUCGAAUCAUAUAUGUAGUUGUCAGUAUGAGCUAGUCCGAUCCGUCAUGGCUAACCAAUAUGAAUUUUGGAAUUUGAUGGGAUAGGUCUGACCCACUAUUUUGAUGGGCCAAAAACAUCAAGUCUAAGCCAACACUAAAUGGGCUGCAACUGGGGACCCAUGCAUUAGAAUUUUAAUGUUUACAUAAAUAUCUUGAAGAUAAUAUUACCAAGUGUUUCUUUUCAAAUAUCUUGAGAUGUCAUAAAUCAACAAUAUACCUCCCUUCGUGAGAAAAAAGAAGAAGAGAACACACUAAUGUUUUUUUUUUUUAAAAAAGUUGUGUACGUGUAUAAAUAGAUUAGACUCGCUCCGGACAUACUAACUAUAAAUUCUAGAUUCGUCUAUGCAGGUAUGCCCUUUGCAAAUUCUUUGUUGAACAAAACUUCAUGUUUUGGGAUAGUAGGGCUGGUACCAUGCGCGAUGGCGGGGAACAAAAUAAGUGAAUGGCAAAAGGGGACUUUCCUUUACAAUCAGCUGGUGAUGAGAGCCAAGGCUUCUACAAUGCAAGAAUAUGGGAUAAUUAGAGGUAUGCUAUGGUAUCAAGGGGAGAGUGACACAAUGAGCCAGAGUGAUGCAAAUUCUUAUAAAGAAAAAAUGCAACAAUUUUUCACUGACUUGAGAAAUGAUGUUGGAAUACCAGAGCUUUUGAUUAUCCAGGUAAACUUUAAUGCUACAAUCUCUCCGUUUUAAUUUGUUUGUCUGGUUUGAAUAAGUAAAUAUUUUUUUUUUGUUCAAACUUGUGUAGGUGGCUCUAGCUUCAGGAGGAAAACAUUACACAGAAAUAAUAAGAGAAGCACAGUUAAAUCCUGGCAUUGCUAAUGUAGUAACUGUUGAUGCCAAGGGCUUGCAGUUGCAAAAAGACAAUUUACACCUUACUGCUUCUUCACAAGUUCUUCUAGGACAAAUGAUGGUUGAUGCUUUUCUUGAGACAAUCUUAACCACAACCUCAUCUAUUAAUUGUUAAUAGUGAAACAAUAAUAUUUCAAUUUAAGUGCUAUCUAGGUCAUAUCAUCAUGUUUAUCUUUAGAUUUAUAUAUGUAUUAGUUUCUAAAUACGUGUCAAUUAGACUUCUAGAUACAUAUGAUAUCAAAUUAUAUGUGAAAAUUGUUAGAACCGAAAUAAGCAGGUGUAAUGCGGAAGCUAGCAAAAUAAAUCUCGAAAAAUCAUAAGUAAGAAGACAAACGAGAAUAAUACCAAAAGACACAGAGAUUUAAUGUGGUUCAGUCAAUCGACCUACAUCCGCAAAGGAGAUGAACAAUGCACUAUAAAUGUGAGAGUACAAAAUACAGAGAGAAACAACCUUGAAAGAAAAGCUCUAUCAAUGAGCUUUUAAGAAGAUGAAGAAGAGAAGAGAGAAGAAACGAGAGAAUGAUGAAGAAGAAGAUUUGUAUAUAUCAGUAUUGUUUACAUAUGAGCCCUCAUCCUUAUAUAUACAAUUACAUUUAUGUAUUAAAGAAGCUACUUUAUUUAACUAACUUAUAUUUAACUAACUAACUAACUACCUAACUAACUAACAAACUGAAAUAUUAAAAGAGUACAUGUUUAGUUUAUAAGCUCUCUUAACACUCCCCCUCAAGCUAAGAAUUGAAAAAUACAUUUUUCAUUCCUAGCUUGUUAAUCAGUUCUUCAUGUUGAGGUUUGCACUGCCCUUGUUAAGUAUAUCAGCUUGUUGUUCUCUUGUUCCUAAGUGUUGUGUCUGAAUAAGCCCUUCAAGUAUCUUCUCUCUUACAAAAUGACAAUCUAUGUCAAAAUGUUUAGUUCUUUCAUGAAAAAUUGGAUGUGCUGCUAUUUGAAUAGCAGCUUUGUUAUCACAAAAUACCUUUACUGGCAACUUUAUUUCCAUUCCUAACUCUCUGAAUAAGCCUUUCAACCACACUAUUUCAGCAACUGUAGUGGUCAUACUCCUGAAUUCUGCUUCUGCAGAGCUCCUAGAUACUGUGCUUUGUUUCUUUGACUUCCAAGAUACAAGUGCUCCUCCUAGUUUAAUCAUAUAACCAGUAACUGAUCUUCUUGUUUCUACACAAGCCCCCCAGUCUGAGUCACAAUAGGCUACCAUUUCAUUGUCUUUGUUACUUGGCAUAAACAAUCCAAGACCUACAGUUCCUUUUAUAUAUCUAACUACUCUGAGUGCUGCUUCCAUAUGAGAUGAUUUUGGUGAGUGCAUAUAUUGGCUGAGUACUUGUACUACAAUGGCUAUAUAAGGCCUAGUCAUAGUUAAGUAUAAUAACUUCCCUAUCAACCUUUGAUAUUUUCCAAAGUCAUCAAGAAGUAAGUCUUCUACAUUAGCAUUUUCCCCAAUGAAUUCAUCAAACACAGUGGAAGUUAGCUUGUGAUUGAACUCCAAGGGUGUAGAAGAAGGCUUACAACCUGCUAAUCCCAACUCAGACACAAGUCCUAAAGCAUACUUCCUUUGAUUCAUUAGUAUACCUUCCUUAGACCUGGAGAAUUCAAUUCCAAGAAAAUAUUUAAGCUCACCAAGAUCUUUCAUUCUGAACCUUUGUUGUAACUCCUCUCUUAUUUGUUGUAUAUGAUGUAAACUGCUCCUAGUAACCAGUAGAUCAUCAACAUAUACCAAGAUGACUAGAAGUUCUUUACCUAUGUUCUUAGUAAACAAUGAAUAAUCAUAAUGUGACUGUGAAAAUCCCAUAUCAACUAAAGCCUCUGUUAGCUUUAAGUUCCACUGCCUUGGUGCCUGCUUCAGUCCAUACAAGGACUUAUGAAGCUUGCAAACCAUGCUUUUAUUGCUUUUCUCCCCCUGGUUUGCAAAACCUUCAGGAAUCUGCAUACACACUUCUUCAGGAAGAUCUCCUUGAAGGAAAGCAUUGUGUACAUCCAUUUGAAAUAUAAACCAGCCAUAUGAAGCAGCUAAAACCACUACUGAUCUUACUGUAACCAUUUUUGCUACUGGUGAGAAUGUCUCAGUAUAGUCUAAGUCUUCCUUUUGAUUGUAUCCUUUUGCCACUAACCUGGCUUUAUAUCUCUCAACUUCUCCAGAUGCUUUAUACUUAACCUUAAACACCCACUUACAGCCAAUAGGAACUUUUGUUGGAGGUAGAGGAACAAUAGACCAAGUAUUAUUGUCUUCUAGAGCAUUAAUCUCUUCUCUCAUAGCAUUCACCCAAUGAGUAUCUUGACAUGCUUCUUUAUAUGUAUGAGGUUCAGAGAUAGUAGAAUAUGCAGCAAGUGAUGCUCUAUAUGUAGGAGCUAGUUUGGAAUAAAUAACAUAUUGUGACAUAGGAUAUAAACAUGCAUUUUGUGCACUUUGAGUCACAUAUGAGUCCAACCAAAUAGGUGGCUUAGAUUGUCUAGAAGAUCUUCUUAGAGGAACUAAUGGUGUUGUAGUAUUAGAGGAAGUCUGAGGCUGUAUAGAAGUUGUAGGAUUAGAACUUUGAAUAGAGAUAUUAUCAGAAGCUGACUCAAUAUAUGAACUAUCAUGAAGAUCCAGAACAGGAAACAAAUGGUCUGGAAAGGAUUUAAGAUUCUUGAAAGGAAAUAUGUCUUCUUUAAACACAGUGUCUCUGCUUAUAAAGAAGGAUUUGCAAGUCAAAUUAUACAAGAUAUAACCUUUCUUGUUUAUUGAGUACCCCAUAUGCACAGCUGGAACAGCUCUAGGUGCAAACUUGUCUAGAAUCUUAGGAUCUGUAGCAUAGCAUAGACUCCCAAAUACUCUAAGAUGCUGAAGACUAGGAGCUUGUCCAAACAAUUUUUCAAAAGCACUCUGUCCUUGUAACAACACAGUAGGUAAUCUAUUUAGUAUGUAUACAGCAGUAGUAACACAAAAUCCCCAAAACUGUAAAGGUACACCAGCCUGAAACCUUAGUGCGCUUGCCAUGUUAAGAAUAGACCUAUGUUUUCUCUCAACUACUCCAUUCUGUUGAGGAGUAUACACACAUGAACUCUGAUGUAUAAUGCCAUUAGCCUUGAACAAAUCAUCCAUUUGAUUAUUAACAAACUCUGUUCCAUUGUCUGUUCUUAUACACUUAAUCCCUACACCAAACUGAUUUCUUACCAGGUUUACAAAGUCUUUUAACACUACCACAGCAUCUGACUUAGUGUGUAAUAGAAAAAUCCAAGUAUACCUGGACAUAUCAUCUACAAGUGUUAAGAAAUAUCUUUUACCAUCAUGAUUAGGCACUCUGUAAGGUCCCCAUACAUCACCAUGUAUAAUGUCAAAAACUGAAAUUGAAUGAGAAAGACUAGUAGGAAAAGGCAGUCUUGAUUGCUUGGCAAUUGGACAUAUAGAACAAUGAUACUCAUGUACAGAUACAAUGUUCAAUUCCUUUAUUCUACUUAACACUUUGAGAGGAGCAUGUCCAAGUCUUUUAUGCCAUAGACUACUUAAAGAAUCAGCAGUAGAAUUAAAACUAAUAGGCCUAAUUCUUUUAUAUGCAGCUUCCUUUGCACAUUGUUCAGAAGAUACUUGAUCAUUUGAAGGCUUUGUUGUGACAGCAUUAUUGAGGAUAUACAAUCCUUGAUUCUCUUACCAAUCCCCAGUACCCUCCCAUUGAAGAGAUCCUGAAAAAUACAAAAAUCAGGAAAAAAUACUACUGCACACUUCAACUAUUUUGUUAGUUGUGACACUGAUAGAAGAUUAUACUUGAAUUCUGGAACAAACAACACAUCCUUUACUACUUUAUCUUUAAGAAUCAAAGAUUCACCAAUAUGACUAAUAGACACCUGAUCACCAGUAGGUAAAUUAACUCUCAUACCACCCUGAACAUCAAGAUUUGUUGACUGACUCAUUAAACCAAAGUUGUGAACCAUAUGAUUGGAGGCACCUGAUGUUCCAGAUACACCUGCAGUAGCUACAUUGGCCAUUGUAUCCACUUCCUUACUCUUUCCUUUUCUCAGCAUCUGCAAGAUCUCAUAAUAUUGUUCUUGAGUAAACAUUGAUACACCCUGUCCUAAAGUAGUAUCAUUAGAUGACUUAUUUGUUCUAGCAUUAGAACCUGAAGUUGAGUCAAUCAUUCCAGACUCAUUGCCAGUAGAAGCAUUAUUUGCAUAAGAAGAUACUCCUCCUUUCUUCUUUGGAUAACCAUGAAGCUUAUAACAGGUUUCUUUUAGUAUGACCUUUAUAAUGACAAAAUUCACAGUAGAGUUGAGACUUUCCUUAUUUCUAUAUCCAUUAUUUUGGAAGUUAGAAAUACCUCUUCCUGUUCCUGAGGAAGUUGUAUUAUUGUUAUAGUAUCCACCAUUUCCUGAAUUAGAAGAACUAAGAGGCAUUCUAUUACUCAUCAAAGCUGUUUCAGACACGGCUUCUGCAGAUGAAAAUGUAUUUCCUAUACCAUGAACUCUUUGACUCUCAACACUAACAAUCAUAGCAUAAGCCUGAUUUACACUUGGAACUGGAAUCUGCAUAAGAACUUGGCUUCUUGCAUGAGCAUUAGACUCAUUAAGUCCCAUCAGAAACUGCCACAACUUUUGAAAUUGCAAAUGUUCUAUGUAUUGUUUAGACUCAGGAAAGGCACAUGAAGGACAAGGAAUCAAAGUUUCAGCCUCAUCCCACAACUCUCUUAGUCUUGAAAAAUAGAUUGACAUAGAAGAAGUUCCUUGUGACAUAGUGACUAAUUCCUUGUGAAGAUAAAAAGCCCUAGAUGCAUUUACUUUAUCAAAUCUUUCACGUAGAUCUUCCCAUACUGAAUGAGCAUCAGAUCCAUAGAUUACUGUACUAAUCACACAGUAUUCAUAAUCCAUCCAAGAACAAUUGCAUUGCAUCUAUCCCAUACAUCAUGUAAGCAUUCAGAAUACAUUUCCUUUUUACAUGUUCCAAGUAGAAAUCCUAACUUGUUUUUUCCAAGUAACACAAGUUUUAAAGAUUUGCUCCACAAAGAAUAGUUUUCAGAACCCACUAAUUGAAUUGAAAUUAGAACAGAACCUUAAGUAUCUGAAGGAUGUAUAAAGAGAGGGUGAUUGUGAUCGAUUUUGGCUGUAUUUGUAACUGUUUGUUGUUGAACUUCACUUGAAGCUCCAUCUCCAGUUGAAGGCAUGAUUGAUUGAGUUUAACAGCUCCCAAUUUCUCGAUUUUGACAGACAAUUGAUCUUCAAUUCAAGAUUCUUUAAACUCUUGUCUUCAGAUUAUGAAGAGCUAAACAGAGAGAUUCAAUUUCUCCUGCGCUCUGAUACCAUGAAAGAAAAGCUCUAUCAAUGAGCUUUUAAGAAGAUGAAGAAGAGAAGAGAGAAGAAACGAGAGAAUGAUGAAGAAGAAGAUUUGUAUAUAUCAGUAUUGUUUACAUAUGAGCCCUCAUUCUUAUAUAUACAAUUACAUUUAUGUAUUAAAGAAGCUACUUUAUUUAACUAACUUAUAUUUAACUAACUAACUAACUAACUAACAAACUGAAAUAUUAAAAGAGUACAUGUUUAGUUUAUAAGCUCUCUUAACAAACCUCAACCAAUUCACUCGGAAUACAUGGGAGAUUCACACAAGUGAUAACGUAUCAAGCUUGUGACCCACAAAUUUUUCUCCUAACCAAAACUCUCAAAGCCCUUAAGACUACAUGGUGAGAAAUUCAACGCAAAUAAAACCCAACAAAAGAGAAUUUGAAAAAAUCAAUUGGGAAAAAGUACAACUCAAAUUGAUGAACAAUCAACUUAUUCAAAUGAUUUAUUCUUGAAUGUAAAAUUAUUAACUAUCGAUCAUACCAACGUAUAAAAUUUUAAAACUGAAUGACAUGGUUAUAAUUUGUUACUGUGUUGAGUAGAUUUAUAAUGUAUUGCAAUAUUAAAAUAUUUGAUAAAAUCUAACCUAACUAAUCAAUUUCGACAAAAGUUGACUGUUACAACGAGGUAUUGUUAUAUAAAAAUGAUACUAUUGAAAGAUCUGGCGAUAUAUAGAUUAUAGAAGUUUAGAGUUUUUUAUUAACUAAAAAAUGUUUGUUAGAUGUAUAAGAAAAUAAGUUAUUCAUGUACUAUUUUAUUUUUUAUAAAGUAUAUGAUGUUUGGUAAGUAUAUAGAAAUAAGUUAUUCAUAUAUAAUAUUAAUACGAUGUUUGAGUUUUGUCUCCGUUUAUAUGAUUUGUUUUUUCUUUUCAGUCAGCCAAAAAAAAUAAAUUUCCCUAUUUAACCUUUUUAGAUGAUUUUUUUUUAUCCAAAAAAAAACACAUUUUUAUAUUUAAUGACAAUUCAAUUUUAAAUUAAAUAUUUAUUUUAGAUCAUAAAUUUUUUUCUUUCUCAAAUUUCCUUUGUAAGUUAAACUUUACUUAUAUAAAAUGUGAUUCAUUUUUAAGAAACAACUCAUUUCAAAGCAUCAUUUUUCAUUUCUAGUCCAACCAAUAUUUCUCAUAUUCCUACCUACCUCGCCCAACUAAGUUUCUUUUUUUCGAAUCCACCUUGAGAGAGAAAAAAACAAACCUACAAAUAAUAAUAAUUGAUCCCCGAUUUCAUGUGGCAUCUCUGGUUUUACAUGAUAUAUAAGUGAAUAUUUAUUUAUUUUUUGAAAUAGAUAGUUGUCUAAAACCAUUUAAAAAUAUUUUAUUUGUUUAUACGAGAAUCAUUUCAUUAAAAAUAAAAUGAAAUUUUUUAAAUUAUACUUACUUUGUCAUAUUUUAUAAUGUGACUUUUUUUAAGUCUGUUUAUAAGAGAAUGGGAUCUUACCAUAAUUAAAAACAAUGUAAUAAGUGUUUUAUCUUUAAUAACAUAAUUUAUAACCACAUAAAUAUUUGACGAAUUUUUUUAUCAAAAAAUUUUAAAUUUUUUUUUCUUAAAUAUAUAUCAAAUUAAAUAGUGCUACAUAAAAUAUAAUAUUUCCAUCCGUUUAAAAAGAAUGAUCUUAUUAACUUUAACUUUUCACGUGGCAUGUUUAAGACUAUAAGAUUAAAAAGUAUUCUGUACAUUUGACAUAACUUUAAAUUAAAACCACAAAAUUAACUUUCGUUUCUUAAACUCCGUUGUAAGUCAAACUAGUCUAAUCUUUUUAAAACAGAGGGAGUAAUAGUAAAAAUGACGGUAUCUACAAUUAAUUACACUAAUCAAUCAUUUGAUUAUAAUAGUAUUAGUGAAAAUUGCUUACCUUUUAUAUUGACAUGUGGCCCCAUCUGCAUUAACAGCGUGACGGCGACGAUCUCUCAACUUCUCCGGCGACUCUUUCUGUUUACUUGAUCAAAUCAACUUUCUCAACGUGGCAUAUUCUUCCAGCUUUUUCCUGGGCCCACGCGUUUUCUCACUCCCCUAUAUAAACCCUUACUCUACCUUCUUCACUCUUCAUCCCAAUCUCAAUUCCAAUUCCGAUCUAUCUAUAACUUCAAUUUUCUCUCCGAUUCACUGAAUUUUCCGGUUCUCCUCGAUAUGGAAGUGAAAGCUAUGGCCGUGUUUUUUGCAAUUGUUGCGAUUUUGUCGGCGGUUGCUUCCGCUCAGGAACCGACAUUGGCUCCGGCACCGUCGCCGGACCAAGGCGCCGCGUUUUCACUACCGAUUUCCAGUGCGAUUAUCUGCUCCUCGCUGAUCUUCUCUGUUGCUGCGCUUCUCAGGAACUAGAUAGAUCGCUCCGGCCAUUGAUUUGAUGACUAUUUAAUUAUCUGCGUUACCGCCGGUAUUUUAUGUAGAUAAAUGCAGUUGUAUUUUGAAUUUUAAUGCUCGAGUGAGAAAUUUCUUUUUUUUUCUUUUUCUUCCUCAAUAGCAGGGUUUAUUAUUCUUGUUUUUUUUAAAAAAAUAAAAAAUUAUUGGUUUGGGCAUAAUGAAAAGUUCAUCUUUUUGUAUUAAAUUCGCAGUAUUUCGUAAAUCAUGAAAUAAAUAUUUGGAAGUAUUAACUAUAUAUCUAGAAAACUUAACCAAAAAAUGACUUAUUAAUUUGAUUGGAUAAAUAAAAAAAUAGAACUAAACCAAUCUCUCUUUCGAUUAAACGAGAGUAGCUUUUGAUGAAACAAAUGAUAAACGGGAAUUUUGAUGAUACGUCGAUAAUAAUGCUCAACUAAAUUCAUUUUGAAUGAGAAAAAGUAGAAAGGAGUUAUUGAACAAAGAAGAAAAAUUGUCCCCUAAUUACACGUACAAUUUUAAAAAUUGACACAUUUAUUAAGAAAAUAAUUAUUUAUACAGUGAAUUUAUCAUUUUAUUUUUAUUAAUUUUGAAAUAGUGGAUCAAGUAAAAUCUUAAGACUUUCAAGAAGUUCAAUACUUUUCAAACUAAUUAAUUGAGAAUAUAAUAGAUUAAAAAAAUUUGUCCUUUCUUAAAUAUUAAAAUGAUAUAAAAACAAUUAUAAAAACGGAAAAUUAUAUGAAAUGGCAAACAUUCAUAACUAAUUAUAUAUUAGGGGUAUAGUUUAAUUUAUUUACAUUAUAUAAUUAUAGUUUAUUUUAUUUUGCUAUAAUUAAUGUGGGCCCACAACCUAUUAUGUAACCAAUUGUAUAAAAACCUUAUUUUCUAAUUUUGUAUAUAAUUAUACACAAUCUAAUUUUCUCUCUCCUAUUCACAAUUAAUUUUCUCUCUCUUUUCCUCAUUCUAACGUCUUCUCCUACAUUUAAUACUCCAAUAUCAGAUUUGAAUUUCGAAUUUUUGUCCAAAUUUCAGUAAUCCCUCCUGAAGUUGAAGUCCCCUCCCUAAGUUGAAGUCAAUUUCGUAAGUUAUCCUUAAUUUUAGUUGUUUACCUUUUUUUCUAACUUAUCUAAAAAUUGUAUAUGUGUUCUGUUUUUUUUCCAUAUAUUUUGAUGAAAUAAUCGUUUUUUUGUUCUUGAUAGAUCUAAAAUUCUUCAAACAAUGAACGAAUCGUCUACAUCUUUGAGGAUUACCAGAGGUAGUCCUUUGCAUGUCAAUGUUGUUAACAUUUUACCAUCCUUUUCAAUGGGGCUAACUCAAGAAUUUGGGGUUAAAGUAGGGUCUUUGGGAAAAUCAAAACAACUUAUACAAGAACAAACCAUGGAAAAGCUGACAUCAAAGAAAAAAAACGACCCUAUGGCAGUUCAACAAGUUAUUAAAAAUGCCAAAACUAGAGGCAUUAAAAUUGUACAAGGUACAAGAAAGAGGAAAGUUGUACUAUUUGAAUCAGAGGAAAAUGAUUGUGAAGUCGGAUCUGAAGAACUUCAUAAUCAUGAGGUAGUGUCUUAAAACACAAACUUAGAUACAAUUUUUUUGUUAAUUAGUUGUCAAUAUACAAAAACCAUUAAAUUAAGUAUUGUAUAUAGUAUAUUCCAUGAGUAAUUGUAUAUAGUAUAUUGCAUGUUUAUGUUAUUUUUGGUUUUUGUAUAUAUAUACAAAAUAGUAAUUGGACUUAGUUAUACAGAUGGAAAAUUUGAAUAUAUGAUUAGAAUUUGUAUAUUCUAUUAGUUAUAUACAAAUUUUUGAAGUUAGUAUAUAUUAAGUUUACAUACAUAUACAAAAAUUGAUAUGUACAUGUCUGUUUUAAUAGAUGGUAGUAGGGAUUGUAUAUAGAUGGGAAAAUAUCAUAUGUGAUUAUAAUUUUGUAUAUUCUAGUAGUUAUAUAUAAAUUAUCGAAUAUAAUGUAUUGAAUAUGCAUAUACAAUUAAUAAAAACAUUGAAUAAGUGUUAGUAUAUACUAUAUACAAUUAAAAACCUGAAUAACAUAUAUCUCUUGUUAUACAAAUUCGUAAAAUGCAUUUUUGUACAUGUAUAGCAAAAAAAAAAUUAUUUUUUUGUUUCAAUGACUGUAUGAAUUUUUUUUUUUUUGAAUUUGAACGUAUGGCUUGAAAAUAGGGAUGUUUCCCUAAAAUUGUGGCAUUAUCUUGAUUUAUUGUUACCAUAUUUAAUGCUUCAGUUACAAACAACUUUUUAAGAUAGAAUUGUAUAAAUAAUAAUAAAAAAAAUUAUAUACAAAAUUAAAGACACCUUUAAUAACUUAACUAUACCCAUAUUAUGUAAUUAGUUAAACUAUACCCAUAUAAUAUUAUUUAAUCUAAUAAGUUUGUCUGAAAAUUUCCCAAAAAAAAAGAAGUUGACAAGCAAUUGGGCCCGGACAAUAGUUCAUGAACUAAAAUUUUACUAUUGGUACUGAAAUUUGUUGAAAAAUUAUGUGUUUGGCAAAUUAGUUUUUUUAAAUGGAAGCAGAAGUAUUUUUUUUUCUGUUGUCGUAAGAGGCUGAAAAAUUUCUGCUCCUUGAAAAAAAAUAUAAAAACAAAAAAUAUUAUUUUUCUCAGGGCUGAAAUAUUUCGUUCAUAUAUGCAUAUUUAUAAAUAUAUUUUUUAUUUAAUUAAUUAACAUAUUUCAUAUGUUUAGUUAAAUUUUAUUUUUCAUGUUUAUUUAACAAAAUUUAUAUUUUAUUUUACUUUUUAUAUAUUAUUAUUUUAUAUUUUACAUGCUAUUUUACUUAUAAUUUUACAAAAUUAGAAAAAAGAUGAUAACAAUAUUUUAAAAAAUAACAAGUAAAGAUUUUAAUUCUCUCAGAAAAAAGGUAUAACAGUGACUGAAAAUUUAAAUAUGUACAUUUAAUUUUAUAAAAAUAACUGUUUAGUCAACUUUUUUAGAAUAGAUAUUUAAAAUAGUUUCUCUUUAAAAGAUAAUUUCAAUAUUAGAAGUAGAUUAAUAGUUGUUAUUUCCUUGUAAUUUUACUCUUAAAAUUACUUUUUUAAAAAGUUGCAUCAAAUUAAAAAACACUUUUCAAAUGAAUUAGUCAAACACAAAUUGAUUUUUUUUCAACAACAUUUUUCUAAAAACCAUUUUAAUAAAGUGAUUCUAAAAAUAAGUCAUUUUUAGCGGCAAUGACAAACAAACUAGUAUUUGAUUCUUUAACUAUAAAUCAUUACUCUGUAAUAUAAUCUCAAAUCAGUUAAUUAUUAUUUAAUUGUCGUUGAUUUGAUCAAUAUGUCCUUUUCUUCAUUCAAUUAGCAAUUUUGUCGAAUUACACAACACCAGUGUAUGUAUCUCUCAAAAAGAAAAAUUAAAAAAAAUAUGGUCAUGCUUGCCAUUGUUAUGAUUUCUAGUUAACCACAUUUCAAAGGCAGAAAAUUAAGGCAAGGAUAUUAUUUAUUAAAGAGAAAAAUGCAAAUAUACCUCUGAUCAAUCAUAAAUGAUAUGCAGAUACCCUCCGUUAUACUUAGAGACAUGGGUGCCCCUGCCGUCAAAAUACUAGAGCAUAUAUGUCGUUCACUCUAACAGAAUACUAAAUAGGAACACGUGACACAAUCUUAUCCGUCGAUAAAUAUUGAAUCGAUGGAUAAUAUUACGACACACGUGUUAGUCCGUAAGUGAAAAGGACGUACACACUCUAGUUUUUGGACGGUAGAAGCACCAGUGUUUCAAAAGACUGACAGAAAGUAUCUAUAUACUAGUUUCGAAAUACUGUAUAUCACAGAUUCGGAGAGGCCAUUUUGAAGUAGAAGAUUAGUUAAAUAGUUUACCGCCCAUAAACAAAAACAGUGAAACAAAUAUAGACGAAAUAGUAGAAAGAGGACUACUUACCGCCAAAAACAUUUCCCUGCUCCUUUUAGUUUUUUUUUUAAUUAUUUAUUAUAUUAUAUAUGCUCUUCACAAUUGCAAGUAUAAUUAGUUAUAAUCUCUAAUAUACACAAUCCAUAUACACUUUAUCGUCGUACUUAUUUUAAUUAUUUUUUUAUGGAGGGGAUUGGUUGUUCCAUACACAUGCAUCCAUGAUUAUACAAGCAAGUCCCUUGUGUUUGGAAUGCCGUUUCUGCACCUCAACUCCCAACGCAUAAUUAACCAGCACUGAAACAGAAACAAGCCAUUUACUAUAAUUUUAAAUCAAAUAAAAGCAUGAAAAUUAAUACAAGUACAUAAAAUAUUAGAUCAGAACUUGAAUAGAAAGGACGUCAUAUUUAAUAUAAAACAUAUUAAAAAAUUCAAAACAAUUUAAUAUACUGAGGUGAACCACAUUAAUGAUUUCAGUUCAUUAAUCAACUUUUUUGUUGUGUUUUAAUGUUAUGUCGCCAUAGAGUAGCUUAAGUUACAAUCGUUUUAACAAUAUAGCUAAAUUAGUAACGGCCAUUUUGUAAAAAAAGUAUUGUAGAAGUACUAACACUUUAAAAUCUAAAUUAGUAAGUUUAUUCAAUACUAGAGCUUAAACUUUUAUUUUUGAAGUAUUAGUGACAUGACUUAACUGAAUUGUCUGAGUAGAGAGAGUUGAGGCAAAUCAAGCUUUGACCAAGUCGAGCUUGAGCCAAGCUUUGGCUGAGCCGAGUUUUUAUGCUAACUGACCCGAACUUUCCCUCUUCUAAAACGAGUCGAGCUAAAACACAAGCAAGACGAGUAGAGUCGAGCCAGUACCCAUACCUAGACAACAUCAGCUAACUUGCAGUAUUUUCUUUGGACAGAUAAUGCUAAUACUAGGCUGGAGAGCUUCUUAGGGGAAAGCAGCUUCAUCUAAAAGGGGGCUCCAGCUUGGCUAUUGUCCAGUUCUAGACAAGAUCAGAGAGCUGGCGCUAUUUCAUUGAAGGUCAGAUGCUAGCCCUAGAUGGCGAAUUUCUUAGGUAAAAGAGUCUAGUCUGAAAGAAUCUAAAACAUGCUAAAGUCAAUAUAUUCACAGUUUCCGGAGAAGCUAAUCAAGAUUCGAUAUGACCAAGGAAAGUGAUCAUGUCUUACCUCACAAAAUUCAAUAAAUCAUGUAACCACAUAGAAGGAAUGUAAGUUGUUUCCGACUUCAACCCUGCAGUCAGAUAAUCAGAAGAAUGCUCAGAAUGAAUUGAACACUGUUGUCACUUGCACAUCAAGCAAAUGGUUGCUCAUUGAAGGCUAUUGUAGAAAAGGCUAUGAAAAGAUAUAUUAGAAGAAUUCUAAAUUGGAAGGAUAAAAGAAAAACAUGGAAUAGAUGACGGUAGAAUAACCAGUCAAUAACCACAUGACAUAUUGAGUUGGAAGGAAAUUCUUUUUCUUUGUUUACAUAAAAUUACAAAAACUAACCCUUUGAAAUCCUUCUACACGCAAAAGUUACCACCAAGUAAAAGAAAAAGAAAAAAAUAUGUAAAACUCGAACUUACCCUGCUAUCGUUAUAAGCAUUUCCCAGCUCACCUUCUUCUCAAAUUGCCAAGGAGGUCUGAGAGCCUGAAAGUAACAGUCAUAAGCAAGAAUGUCAGUCAAUUUUACGAACCAAAAGAAAUAGUAAACACCCGUGACCAUUGUCAUCAUAGAAAAAUGAAGAAAGCAGAUUGGACGGGUGUAACCUAAUAUUUUUAGCAAUCAAUGUUCUUCCAUUUUCAUGACCAAGAUGACGCGGUACCACUUCCUCCAGAUGGCCAUCACGGUAUUGAUGCUGCAAUGUGGACCAUAACAUCCGUAAGUAAGCAUUUUGAAUUAUAUACAAAAGACUGAACCAAAACAAUACUAGAGAUAAGAAAAACAAAUAAAAAAAGAUAGAUCAGAAAAGAAAAUACUUUUUAACUUGAUUAAUAUACAAGACUUCCUCUGUGAGAAGUACAUAAAGUUUUAUUGGAAACAUCCAUUAUGGAAGAGAACAAACCCUUGUGACUUCAACAGCUACAAACAAUAUUCAAAAUCAGAUGCUAAGCAUUUCUGCAUAACCUUGACCUCUAAAUUAAUCUGUCACUGAAGCCUGUCACUGAAAAUACUUUUUAACUUGAUUAAUAUACAAGACUUCCUCUGUGAGAAGUACAUAAAGUUUUAUUGGAAACAUCCAUUAUGGAAGAGAACAAACCCUUGUGACUUCAACAGCUACAAACUAUAUUCAAAAUCAGAUGCUAAGCAUUUCUGCAUAACCUUGACCUCUAAACCAAUCUGUCACUGAAGCCUGACACCCUCCUCUCUCAAUAAAGAAACCAAAACCAGAUGAACAAGGCAAAUAUGAACUGCAGUGAAACGGAGUGACACGAUACAGUCCUGAACGGGAGUCAUCACUAUAUUAUUAGCACAUACAUUCCAAUCUAUAAGUUAGAUCACGUUUGAACCAGACACUCUUCAAACACUAUUAUUCUACUUCAGUGUCAUUCAAUAUUUCAACUGAAUAUAAACGAUAAUCUUAUACUUAAAAGUAUAUAUAAUUAGAAUGUCUCGGGAAAAAUAUACUACUGAAAAGAGCUAAGACAACAAGCACAACCUUCAUCAAAAGCAAGUGUAAUUACAAACAGUCCACAUUAAAUGAGUUUAAGUGUUCUAUUUUUUUUGCUUGACAAGUUAUUGGAAGUGGUUAUAAAUGUAUAUCUCAAAGGAACACAUGUAUAAGCAUGAGCUUGUGGAAUUGAUGCACAACACUAAAGGUUAGAAGGUAACAAAGCAUUAGAGAUCAACAAUCAAUCUCUUCGUUAAGCCUUGAUCCGUCAAUCCAAUACUAUAGUAUAUAAUAUUUUUUUUGGUUUCUUGGAUAAUCUUAUUAUCUUAUAAAUGAUGCAAAGCAACUACACAAAGAAAGAGAUUUUCCUAACAGACUACACACUAUCAUUUGAUUCAUUGAAAAAUCAAACAUCUUGGACAAUAACAUCAGAUCCAGCAAUCCAAUGCUAUAGCUUCCUCAUUCGUCAUCGUACAUCAUACACCAUUAAAAAUAUGAGAGUGGAAAAACCUAUGCUGGAUGGUAUGUCUAUAAAUAUUUGAAAGUACCUUAGAGAGGUUGAAGUAGCAUGGCUAACCAAGCUAUUACUUAAUAGAAAGGAGUCGUUUAAACACACACACACAUAUACAUAUAUACUAGAAAGGGGAAGCCCAUGCUUUGCACAAGCCCAAUCAUCAUUAUUUGAAAUUCGUAAAAUUUAUUUGUGGACCUUUAAUUUUUCAAAUUCAAUGAUAUUUGUUUUUUUUCUAUAUAAUAUUAACGAUAUAACAUUAAUAUCGAAAUAGAAGAUAAUUUAUAGAUAAAAAGAUGGAAAAACAAAUCAAAAGUUUAAAUUUAUAACAUCAUAGGUAUCUGCUACACGUAAUUAAGUAGUACUUAUUUAAUAUGUUUUUUAUAGUAAAAAUUAAUUUAUAUAGAUAAGGUUUUUUUAUAAUAAUAAUAUAUCUUCUUAAAAGAUGGAAUAACUAAAAUAUGAAUACGAAAUGUCAAAAGCUUCAAAUGAGUAAAUGAGCUGAAAUAAAACAGAAAUUAAAAAAUGAUGUUGCCUAGGUUUGAACCCCAGACCUUGUACUUAAGAUGUUAGGCUUAAACCAGUUAGCCAAGCAGCUCAAUAUAAAGAUCAGCACACAUUUGAAGCUGACAUGUUGAUGGCCAGCUGUGUGAUUAUUCCCUUUUCAUAUAUAUAUAUAUAUAUAUAUAUAUAUAUAUAUCCUAAAGAUGUCCACAAUGCAGUAGCAAGAAGUGUAAGAACAAUGAGAAGGGAUAGAAAGGAGCUUCUCCAGCACACCUUCAUAAUAUAGAUCUCAUUUAAGCCUAUACUUGGUUAUUCUGAUAAUGGAUGAUCCAACCAUCGGUUCUCAGGAUAGGUUUCAUGGUCCAUAAUUCACAAAUCAUAUUAUGUCAAUUAACAUGAUAAGCGAACAAGUCAAACAAACGUUGGAUCAAUAGAGAAACACUGUAGAGAAUAAGGGUUUUAGGAUAAAACAGAACCAAAAGAAAAAUAUUCACUCCAAGUUGGCUAUCGACCAGGCAAGGAAGGGGAUUCAAUUUGUCCAAAAGUUUAAUAUGUCAAUGGGAUUUAUUUUCUUGUUUUACACAUAUAUAAUAUUUUAAAUCCCCUUACAAGUAGAGAAAUACAAGUUUUUAAAAGUUUUUCUUUUACCUCUCUCUAGGAGCUCCCACCUUUUUUUGCUCCUUGGUGACUCUAACCAACAACCUUAGGGUUGGAGGUGGAGGGUGCUUACCACCUCAGCAAUUCCCUCUUGUCAGAGAAAUACAAGUUCAAAUCCCAAAUGUGGCAUUUUUGGAUUUUUUGAAACUCUCGUCAAAUUUUUUGGCUCUACCAAUGGUCAACAAAUUUAUUAAAGGCUCACUUAAUACCUGAAGCUCGGUGUGCUUUGGCGCAGCUCAAGUACCCACCCACCCAAGUCGCACCCACAAGUGUCGGUUAAUUCUAUCGAAACUUCCAUUAUUUCAAAAGGAGAUGGUCAUUUUACCAGAAUGGCAACAAAUCACUUGACAUCAAAUUCUAAAGACACACAGACAUCAUAAUAUUUGUACCUUGUAGAAACAACUAUUUCCAAAUGGGCAAGUCCCAUUGCCAAAGUCAUAGUGCUUGCAAUCAAUAGACCUGAGCUCAAAAAUUGAAAAACAAAGAACAAGUCAGAGAAAAAGACACUUAAGAGAAAAUAAUCUUUUCUUUCCUUGAGAACAAGGGGAAAGGGGGAACAUUUUAUAGAAAAACAAGCUUAAGAAACACAAAGAUACACCACCAGAAAAAAUUAGCCGGACUAGUUUGAUGUGACAAAUAAACAAAUUAUCAAGUAUAAAAAUAUUGAGUUCUUCUAAGAAUCCUAAACUUAAAAAGUACAGUUAGAAAGUAAACGUGCUAUACUCUGAGAGUUUAGACUUCAAGCUAACAGUUCAUCUAUUUUUUUUGGAAAAUUGUUGAAAAGAAAAAUUGAAAAUGCCUUUGAGGUAACAAAUUUAAUUUCAUUAUACAGAAUUUCAAAAAAAAUUGAAUGCAUAAAACACAGUAAUCUAAGAAUAAUGAGCGUUUUCCUCUUUGGACAAAGUAGCAGCACUCGCCAAAUAAAUCAAAAAACAUAUGAGACUACGAAUCGGGUCAGUUCCAAGCUGAAACCAAAAAGGAAAAUGAUGUGUCAUUUCAUAUCCUAAUGGACCUUUGUAUCCACCUAAAGGGAGAUGAAAGUGAUAAGAGGAAGUUUUUGCUAUUCAGUUGGUAUGUAGCAGAGAAACUGAAAGGAGGAGGUGGGAGCAAAAGCUGGUGCGAAGAACCUGUUUGUAAUUCCGAAAAGAACAAAUACUUGAAUAAAGAUGACACUGUCAAUGACAGUAUGACACACUUUCCUUUUUUCCUACUCAUACUCAUUUCAAAAAAAUUAUCAUUCCUCUUCUUUCUUUGCUUCUUUAUGGUGUUUCCUUUCUCCUUCCUUUCAAUCCAGAAUAUCUAAGAGAGUUCCAUUGGGCUCAUAACAAUGAAUGUUGUUCUGAAACUUAGACAAAACCCUAUAUCCCACAACAUUAUGAAUUGACUUUUCAAAUCUGACUACCACUAAAUGAACAUAAUUGUUAUCAGGAAAAAAGAUUUACAUUUUUUGGAAUUGGAGAAAUCCCCGAAGGACAAUAGGCUCGUGGUUCAAAACUCGAUGGGUAAUGGGCCAGCCCCUCUACUCUUCCCCAAUUAAAUAACAAACUUUUGGUCUGCGUAAAGUUCAAAUCUGUAACAGUUGUCCGACCAACACCUUGGACCAAAGUUCUCAAGGUGUCAUUGCUAAAUAGAAUACCCCCUUAUGAAUCCCAACAGGACACCUGAAAUCAUAUCAAUAGAUUCUCGUACCAAAAAUUUUCUAAUACAACUAAAAAUUGUGUCGAAUAUGAUAAAUACAUGUAUUACAACUGCAAUUAUAUUCACAUAAAAUCUUUAAAGAAAUUUCCAUGUUUGUUGCACUUAGAGACAGUCACAUCCAUGCUUAUAGUUCUAAAAGCCACUCAGGUAAAUAAAGAUCUAAAAUAAAAACAAAGAACAUAAAAUAGAGAAGGGGAAAGAUGAACCUGAGUUUGGCUUUAUAGCUGUCAAGGAUAAUUUGUUUUUCUUCUUUUGUGGAGAACCAAGUGACACUUGGAAUGACAAAAUAUGAAAGCUUCCGGCAAAUGGGGCAGGUCCUAAAUGUCGAGUUGAUAUCAACCCCAGAGGAAGGGGUACCACUGCGCCAAUUCCUGAUACAUGAUAUACAAAAUGGAUGAUCACACUCAAAAAGGAUCCCAAACUUCCGCUCUGCUGCAGUUGUCUUAGAGAGUACCCGUUCAAGACACACACUGCACUCUAUUUCUUGACUAUGCUUCAGUAACUCAAGGCGCUUUUGCCUCUUCUCACAUAUUCUUAUAUGCUCCUCUCUUUCCUGAGGCCGAAAGGGAUGCAAGCAAUUCUUUGCACAGAUUGGACAUAAAUCUCCAUGAAUAUAAGGACAUUGCUCUUCCCGUGGACAUUUACCAGCAGCAGCAAGAGAGCAAAUUGAUCGAUCAGCUGGAUUCAUCCUCUUUAACUCGACAAUAUUAUCAAUAACUGCCGCAUCAUGAUGCUCUGAAUUUUCACUCCAUACAGGCUGGUUCGGAGGGUAAAAAGGUCGGCCUGAAGCCAAAUACUCGGAAGAAAUGCCUGACAAGAUUCCUGUACCAUCUGCUAGCAUUCCAGGCGAGAGGGUAGUGGGAGGAGAAGCUGAAAAAAGAUGUUGAGCUGGAGCUGACGAAGAUGGAAGUGAAUGUUGUUCAGAAACUUUAACAUGUCUGUAUCUACACCUGUUGCCAUAGGCACAUAAUCCUUUCUGGUAGUAUGUGCAUACCUACAAAAAUAAUCCAAGUAAGAGUUACUAAAUAGUGAAGUGGCCAAUCAAAACUAUGAUUGAAAAACUAUAACGUCCAAUACAUUACAUUGUUUGGAGGAUCUUUCCAAUGAUGUGAGAACUCACAGUACUCUCCUUUCAGACAUGCACCAUUUACAAAGAACUUACAAAGAACCCUGGAAAAUAUAUGAAACAUAUUAAGUGCAUGCAAAUUCAUUUUACAAAUUAGAAUUAACAAUAAACUUUGCUCAUCAACUCUUUUUUUUUUUUGAUAAAGUUGUCAAUCAAAUUCUUUAGUUGUAUCGCUAUUGUAAAAGUACACAUGAUCAGCAAAAUGCCAUAAUCACUUCAGAAAUCCCUAUUAUUCAUAAAACUCUUCUCCUCAGCUAAUCUUAAGAAUCAACAUCAGAGAAAAUAGUUCAGAAAUUUUUCGUAAAACGUCUUCUCAGCUGAUCUUAGGAAUUAACAGAAAAAAACAAAAAUAUUUAAUGAAAUUCCAUUUAAGUUUAACUUUCUCCUCAGCUAAUCUUUAGGAAUAUUUCUAAUAACCUUCACAUCUUCCAUCUAAGUACCUCCUAAAACGCAAAUUCCCACACAAUAUUUCUAAUAACCUUCACAUCUUCCAUCUAAUGAUCCAAUCACAACAGAACAAAUCUCCAAUUACAUAUAUAAUCGCAAGAACAUAUAUAAACGUAUCGAUACCUAAUCGUCAAGAUUGCGUACCGGAAUCAGAACAAUUUUACAGUUUUGAGAUCAUUCAAAAUGAAAAGGCGAUUCGUAAAAAUGAUUACCUUCUCGACAUGGCAUGGAAUCAUGAACUUGGCAAUUUGUUGAUGAAUUGAAAAGCCAGAGCGAGAAUAGAGCGAUUCGCUCCCUCGCUCUGGCUCGUUAAAGGAGGCUAGGGCUUUUGCUUUUGGCGGUUCGAUCCCACUACUAACUGCUCAGGGUAGAGAUACACUACCUUCUUCUCAACCUUCCAUUUUAUGGUUUUUUUAUUUUUUUUCAAGGUCUGGAGUCUCUGGACCUUGGGUUACAAAAUGAAAAUGAAAACUAUUAUAGGCUAAAAACAAUUUAAAAAUUUUCAAAAAAAAAAAAAGUAAGUAUUUUUAAUUUAUUUUUUUAAAAGUUAUCAUAACAAAAAUUAGUCAUAAGUUAGAAUCUAUAACUUUCGUAGGACUAUAGUACUUUUUGUGGCAAAUUAGUCAUAAGUUAGAAUCUAUAACUUUCGUAGGACUAUAGUACUUUUUGUGGCUUGACCAGGAUGACAAACGAAAGAUGAGAUAAAAAUAAAGAUUGAGGAGUCCAUUAGUAUUUAAAGUGUUCUUCUACAUAUAGACGGAUCAAAUCAAUAAAUAUUGCUUAUUAACUUGUUUUUGGAAUUGUUAACAUAUUUAUUUAUCGAUUAGUGAUUGUUAACAAUUCAAUUAUUGAGUUAAUCGUUUACCAUUAAUUGUGUAUACAAUUUUCAUUGUGAAUCAUUAACUAAGAGUACGCAGCUAGUAGUCAAUAAUAAACUUUUCCUUCCUAGCCCAUUACUACAUAAAACACUUAAUAAAACUCCAUAUUAUCAUGUCAAUGUUGCCAAAUUGAUAAACUCAAAAAAAUUCCUCAUAAUAACCAAGAUAAUUUCGAUGAACUAUAAAGAGAAAUCAUUACAACACUACUAAUGAAAAUCAUUAAUGAUCAUGAGAUGAUUAUUAUAAAAAAUUCAUUGCAGAUUGUAGUAUUGCAAAAUUCAAGACAUAUCUCAUAGGCUCACUCACUGUAAUGACUUAAAGUAGGGGAACCAACCAUGUGAACCUCAAUUUAGACACUUAGAGAAUCAUAUUCACUAUAAUUCGUCUGCGUGGGAGCAGUGACAGUGAAUUAAUGAGUGAUGUCCCAGCUUAGAAAUAUAGCUGUGAAGUUUUAGUGUCAACAAUAAAGUCACUGUAAUGAAACUGAAGUGUAAACCUAAAGAAUAAAAGUGUGUAAGGCCUUAAGUAAUAUAAAUAUAAUUUAUUAAACUUUUUAUCAAAUUAUCGAGGCACCCAAUUAGAAAUAUGGUCAAACCGAGACCUAAAUUGAUAAGUCGAUAAAAAAUUUAUAGUAAGUCGGAUCAAAACUGUUAAAUCAUUAACCCAAAUUAUUUACCCAAUAAUCAAAUUAUCAAUUCAAAUUAUAAGUUUCGAUUUGCAUUUUAAACUACCCUAAUUUAAGACAUUGUUUUGUGUAAUUCCAUUGUUAAUGUAUACAACAAUUUGAAUCAACAUAAAGUACACGUGAUUGCUGGUUGAAGUGAAUUAUAUUGAUGAUAUACCAUCUCUAAAAGAUUUUAUUUAGAUUCUAUUUUUUUACAUAAUUUUCAUUAGGGAAAAAAGACAGAUAUACUCCAGAACUAUUGUAAAAUGAUAUGUAAAUACCCUUCGUCAUACUUUUGGGAUAUUGGUGCCCCUGCCAUCAUACUUUUGGGACAUUGGUGUCCCUGUCAUCAUAUUUUUGGGACAUUGGUGCCCGUGCGUCCUACUUUGGGGACAUUGGUGUCCCUACCCCUUCGUUAGAGUGGCACAAGCUCUAAUUUAUGGACGACAGGGACACCAAUGUCCCAAAAGAAUGACAUAAGGUAUCUGCAUACCAUUUACGGUAGUUUGGGGGUAUAUUUGUCCUUUUUUCCUUUGCAUUAUUAUUUUUUUCGUUGCUUGUCUCAUUUUCUUUGUCCAAAUUAAAUCACAAAAUAAAUAUGUUUUCUAAUUCUUGUGAGCUUCUAGGGCCUUCUUCCGAUUUUCAAUUUAAUUUUUGCCUCCAAUUUUAUUGGAACUGUUUCAAUGUCAAUAAUUAAUUUUUAUCAAUUUCGGUUCAAUCAAUUUAUUUUGAUAAUACUUCUUAAAUUCUCAUUCCCUUUUUUUUUUUUGUGUAAUUAUAAAAAAGACGUGCUAACUGGAUAAAUUUCUUAACGAAAUGAAUUUUCAGCUUAUCGUGUGAGACAAAAAAUAAAAUGGGCAAAGGGUCAAAUAUGUCUGUGUACUUUUAGGAAUAGUUUAAAGCAAAAAAGAACAAAUAUAUCCAAACUAUUAUACAUGGUAUGCAGAUACCAUCCGUCAUACUUUUGAGACAUAUGUGCCUCUACCGUCCAAAAACUAGGGCAUAUGUGCCCUUCACUCUAACAGAAAACUAAAUAGGGACACUUGAUAUAAUCUUAUCCGUCGAUCCGAUAUGUAAUAAAUGUUGAAUCGACGGUGGAUAAGAUUAUGACAUGUGUGUGUACGUUAGUACAAAGGAUAUAUAUGGGCUAGUUUUUGGACGCCGGGUCAACAAUAUCCUAAAAGUAUGAUGGAUAGUAUCUACAUACUAUGUAAGAUAGUUCGGGGAUAUAUUUUUUCUUUUUCCCUACUUUAAAUGUACUCCUUAUUAUAUUUUUGGGCCAAAUAUAUACCCCUUAUGUUAUACUUUUUAUUCAAAUACACCCCUCAUGUUAUACUUUUAAUUCAAAUAUACCGCUCGUGUUAUACUUUCAAUUCAAAUAUACUCCUCUCAUCAUAUUAUCACACAAAUUUAUCCUUCAUUUUAACAGAAGGACCAGGGGCGGAUCUACUCAGUGCGGUAGGGUGUCACGCCACCCACAACUUUAGACAAAAACUUUACGUAUAUAUAGGUCUAUAUAUGCAACAUAUAGAUAAAUGUUAAACCUGUCGCCCACGGUAUAAAAGUGCCCUGUAGUGCAGAUGGUUAAAGGCUCAACGUUUGGGCCUGAGGUUGGGGGGAUCAGAUCUCCUAGACAUAUUUAAAUUUUUUUCUUUCCAAAAACUGCUGGAGCAUUUAUCAGCUUUUCAACCUUUUUUUUUCUUCUUUUAAACAUUAUUUCAAAUUAUUUUGCUACUUUAUUUAUGUUUAAAGAAUUUUAUAUUUAUGAAAUUUAGCCUAAUUCAUCAUACUUUUAGCAUUUAGUAUUAUUUUUCUAUUCUAUAAUAAUUAUUUACAUUACUGAAAUAUUUGUCAAUUAAUAAAAUUAAACAAUCGUUUUUAUUUCCAUUAUCCUAACAAUUAAUAUUUCUUGAAAGUGUAAACAAAAUUUGUAAAAAUGAUCUUAAAAUAAAAUAGUGUUAUAAAUCUAUUGUGUUAUGUGGAUGAUCCAUUAGAGUUAUCCAACAAUUAAUUGGAUUUAUGUUUUAGUGUUUCCAAUGUGAUAAGAUUCAAGGUGAUAUGAACCUUGAUGAUAACUAUGUAUAAUUUCAAGGUGAUAUGAACCUUGAUGAUAACUAUGUAUAAUUCUAAGGUGACCUUUGACUAUGAUAUCUCAACACUAUAAAUAGAGAUAUCAUUCACCAUACAGUUGAAUAUGAAGAAAAUUCCUCUUCUUCUGUCUAGUUCUCUUGUCUUCUUCUCUUUAUGAUUAUAUUCUUAUGAGCUUGAUUUUAUAACACGUUAUCAGCACGAGUCUCUAUCUAAUUGAGAGUGAGUUCUUGUUUUUCUUUAGCUCAUAUUUUGGUUGACCUCGUUAUGAAGAUCAAAGUAUUAUAUGCAUAAAAUCAGGUAUGUAUUUUCUAAAAUAAAAUAAAAUAGUGUUCAGUCACUAACAAUUAUCAGGAACCGAAGACAUAUACUACUAUUGGUUGAAUAUGACAUGCUAUACAAAACUUCUUAAAUGGAAGAAGGUAUAAAAUUUUAAUAGCAUUAGUUUGAAUAUUAUUUUGAUUGUUUUGAAAGACUCAAAGAAUAAAUCAUGUUGUACUUCGAUUUAUUAUACCGUUGGUUAAGGGUAAGACGAUGGAUUCAAGUUUCAUCGCACCAAAAGGGUAAGACAUCAGGUUAAAGUCUGGAUGCACCAUAAUUAAAAAUAUUUGAGGAUAAGACGAUAGAUUCAAAUUCUAUCUCACCAAAAGGGUAAGACAUUAAUUAGAGUUUUGAUGCACCGUGAUUGGGUUCAAGUCCCAUAGAAUUAUGGCGUAACACGCCUUAUAUGGGUAAGACAUUGAGUUUGAGACAAUGCACCAUAGCGAUGAUAAAAAGAUGACUAAGAAAAAUAAUAUAUUUUUGAUGAAAUAUCUUGAAAUUCAUCAUAUUGAAUUUGCUCCAUUCCAUGAAAAGAAUGUGGUAGCAACAUGUGAUUACUCUCAAAUCCGUCUGUUGACUUGUUCCAUUCAAUCAUAUGAAUGUGGUAGCAGUGAAUGAUUAAUCUGAAAUAUGACAAAUAAUAAAUGAUAUGAAUAAGGGUGUGGAGGGACAUAAUUAUAAUAGUCAUCAUUGUGGUAAUAAUAAAAGGAAGAACACUAUGAGUUCUUCAAAUAGUCCUUCAAAAUGUGAAGGCAAUUUUUAUUAUCAAAAUGGUAUGAAAGGUCAUUAGACUUGUGAAUGUUGUCAGUCCAAUAAUUUGACAAGUUUAUAAAUCCUCUAUAAUGAUACAGGAAGAUAAAGUGAUGGUGCACUUGAUCUUUUAAAGUGAUGUUGAGGUGUGUCAUGGAAAUAUGAUGAAUUUUAAAGCCAUGACAAUGUGCUUAUAAUGCAAAUUUAUGAAGUACAUAUAAAUAAUUAGUCCAUUCCUUGAAGAGAAUGUAACUUGUGAUGAGUAUCGUGAAUGCUCGACCAUUCUAUAAGAGAAUGGGUUCAGAUGUGAUAAUAUCAUUAUGGGUUGGAUAUAUGCCACAACUCACCUCUAUGGAAGGUUUGAGAAAAAAUGAUACAUGUCACUUCUCAUCUCUACGGAAAAUUUGAGAGGAAAUAAAUUUUAUUUGGCAUAAAUGGCUAAUUGUAUUGUACGUUUUAUACGUCACUAUGGUAUGAACUACCGAAAGGGCAAAAGAAAGAAAUAGUUCUUGCCUGUAAGGGUUGGGUCAUUAUUGUGUGGCAAUACAAAUUUGUCAUUGGUUGUGUACCUAUGGUACAACAAAAGUAAAGCAAGAAAGACGUCUUGCUCGUAAUGAUUUUCGACCAUGACAAUAAUAAUAUAAUUUCUUCCUUGAAGGAAAUGCUCACCAUAGGGGUGGUGUCAUGCAAUAUGUGAUAGUACACAAAAUUAAUUGCAAGCUCUAACGAGUUGCGCUAUUAUCAGAGGAAUAAUAUUGGAAUUGUAGUAAGUCUCAAAAGAAACUUUUUAAGUUUUGGAUGAAUUGAAAAUAAAUAUUGAGACUAUAAAUCACUACAACCGAAGAGGGUUAUAAAUGUUUAUGUAAAAGAUUACCCUACUUUUCCUCUUGUUUGUUCCAUACAAAAUGUACAUGCUGAUGAAAUCACAUGUAAAAGUAAAUUAUAAGUGUAUUAAAAUAAAGAUCAGUUGGCAUGACUGGUUGACCAUUCUGAUUAAAUGUGAUGCAAACGUGAUUGAGAAUUCAGGUGAUUUAUAUGAUGAAGAAAUAAAGAUUCUUCAAGAAUUUUCUUGUGUUGCUUGUUCUCUUGAUAAAAUGAUCAUUGUACCUGCUAAGGUUGAGAUUGUAAUCCCCUAAAAUUUUUGGAACAUAUAAAAGGGUGAAUAUGGGCUCGUUCACCUGUCAUGUGGAUCAUUUGCAACUAUAUGAUUGAUGCAUCUAUGCAAUGGUCACAUGUAUUUUGUUGUCAACUUACAAAUUGGUUUUUGUAAGGUUGUUUGCUCGAAUUGUUAAAAUUAAGAGCACAGUUCCAAACUAUGAAAUUAUAUUGAUAAUGCUGGUUGAUUUAGCAGAAAUUGUAUGCCUCCAAUUAUAGCUAAAUCAUGGUUAUGAGAACAAAACUCCCGAAUAAGAUUUGUAUGAGAUAAUUUUAUUUAACAUGUAGCAACACAUGUAUGCAUCAAACCAACAAGGUUUCCCCAUUAAAAUUGGUUCAGGAUCAGGAACCACAUAAUUUUCAUCUAAAAUGUUGAAUGUGCGGUUAUGAUUUUAAUUGCUCCACCACGCACAAAGAUGAACUUUCAAAUAAGGUUGGAAUGAAUGUUAGAUUUUCUAACAUUAGGGGGAGAGAUGAUUGACAGCUGAAAAUUAUGUGUGAGGUUAAUUAUGAAUUAUCUAGAUCCUCGUUAAAUAAAUAUGUGAACUUAAAGUUCAAGGGAUAAUUCAGUUGUGUAAUGUUGCAAAUCAGUUGCCAGAUGAGUGCACUGACCCUAUGAUAUAAUUCAGCUGCAAAUGCUUCAAUGUGAAGUCCUUGAAGGACAGAGUCUAUGAUACGCCGGAAGCGUAAUAGACCAAUCGAUUCCAAAUAUAAAAUUUCAUGAAGGCAAGUGCUAUAAAGGAGCACAUUGACAUAACACUUCAUAAAAUCUUGAAAAAGGUUCAGGUACCUGAAAUAAUGAAAAAUGAAGAGAUCUCGAUAAGUUAUGUCUUAUUGGAAUUGAUAUCAAAUAAUCGUCGACGGUAUCUUUGAUAUGAGGUACCGUUCAAUGAUAUAAAUUGUGACGAGGAUCUUAAAUUCAAAUCUGUCAUAUAGUGUGGACAGAUAAAUGGUUGGCCAAGUAAAAUGCACAAUUCAAGUAUAUUUUGUUUCACUUAGAAAAGUGACAUUUUGGACUGGUAGUCCAUAAAUCAAGUUAUAAUGUCAGUGGGGUACAAAUAAAUUAUUAUGUGAUAGUAUAACCGUAAGAUAUCAAAUACGAUUUGUGCCUUGGGGCAUAAAGGUUUAUCGCAAAAAUACUGACAUUAUUGGAGAUAUUUUCUCCUUUGGUAGAUGCAAUGAGGUUUGUUUUGAUCUGGCAACAUAUGAAAACUUGAAUGCAUGUAAUGAAUAAUUGUAACGUCUAGCUAGACAAUGAAGAUUAUAUGAAAAUCAUUGAAACAAUCGAGGUGUCUGAAACAUAUAAGAGUUUGAAAGAAACUUUUCCAAUAAAGCUUCAAGAAUCCUUAUAUGGAUUGAAAUAGUCAAGGAAGAAAAAGGGUACAAAAGAAUGACCCUAAUUGUCCUUGAAUUUUUAUGAAAAGGUCUUGGUAAGACAAAAUUUUGUCUUGACCUACAGAUUGAUAAUUUGACAAAUGAAAUAUUUGUCUAACAGUGCACAUACACUGAAAAGUUUUGAUGCAAUUUUAUAUGGAUAAAUCGCAUUCAUUGAGUACCCCAAUGAUUAUGAGAUCACUUGACAUAAAUGAUGAUUCAGUUUGAUCUCAAAAGAAGGAUAAGGAAUUUCUUGGUGAUGAAACUCUAUCUUGGUGCAAUCAGGGCAUUAGUGCAUUUUACUAACAAUAUUUGACCAGAUAUUUGUUUUGCAGUAUAUUUACUGGCAAAAUUCAGUUUCUUCCCAAUAAAAGGACAUUGAAAUGGUGUUUAGCACAUGAUUGAAUAUCCUCGAAGAACUAUAAUUAUGGGUCUAUUCUAUCCUGAAGAAUCCAAGACAAAAUUGAUUGGUUACCCAGAUGCAAAAUAUUUAUCUGAUCCGCAUAAAGAUCUAUCUCAAGCACGCUAUGUGUUUGCAUGUGGAGGCACAAUAAUAUCCUGGCGAUCAAUGAAGCAAAUGUUGCUAUGCAGAAAUAAAAGUCCUCCAUGAAGCAAAUCUAAAGUGCGCCUGGUUGAGAUAAAGGACACACUAUAUUCAAGAAAUGUGUGGUUUUUCUUUGAAAAAAGAAUAUACCAACCACAAUGUACAAAGAUUGGAGACAUCAUCACAAGAAAUUAAGUGAUGUUUAAUCAGGGGAGUAUAAUACGCGUUGCACUCUUUUUUCCUUGAUCGAGGUUUUUUCCCACUGGGUUUUCCUGACAAGGUUUUUAAUGAGGCAACAAAUAGUGCGUAUCAAAAGAUAUGUGUACUCUUUUUCCUUCACUAGAAUUUUUUCCCACAUGAUUUUUCCUAGUAGGGUUUUAACGAGGCACAUUAUCUAUGGACAUUCAAGGGGGAGUGUUAUAAAUCUAUUGUGUUAUGUGGAUGAUCCAUUAGAGUUAUCCAACAAUUAAUUAGAUUCAUGUAUUAGUGUUUCCAAUGUGAUAAGAUUCAAGGUGAUAUGAGCCUUGAUGAUAACUAUGUAUAAUUCCAAGGUGAUAUGAACCUUGAUGAUAACUAUGUAUAAUUCUAAGGUGACCUUUGACUAUAAUAUCUCAACACUAUAAAUAGAGAUAUCAUUCACCAUACAGUUGAAUAUGAAGAAAAUUCCUCUUCUUCUGUCUAGUUCUCUUGUCUUCUUCUCUUUAUGAUUAUAUUCUUAUGAGCUUGAUUUUAUAACAAAUAGUUAAUUGUUUUUUUUUUAUGAUCUCUUAAAGAACACGGCAAAAAAUAAAGUUAAUUAACUAAUACAAAAAAAAGGGUAUAAUUUUAUUUUUUAUCUUUUCAAUAAUUUGAUAAUUUCAUAAACAUUUAAAUGCAUUAAAUAUACUUCAACAAGAUGAUAUAAUGGAAAGAUCGUUAGUAAUCUUGACAAACAAUUACAUAGGUCUUGGUACUAUUUUCAUGUAACCCAAAAUCGAAAAUUAUCCAUAAACUCCUACAGUUCUACAUAUAUACAUACUCUCUUGGUUAUAUAAUAUCUAUUUAUUCUUGAAAUUCAAGCUAUGUGAGGCCCUCAACUGUCAUUAAUCUUUUCGUAAAUAACCUUCAGACGCUUUUUGAAAAAAAAUUAUAAUUGUUGUUUAUUCCUAUUUUAUUAAUUGAUUUGUCAAAUAGAUCGAAAGACGAAUAAUUCAAAUUAAACGUAAAACUAAUUUAGGUGAUGUAUCUACUUAGCACCCAUGGACUCUAAAUUCUGAAUCCGCCUCGGAGAAUGACACAUAUAAAAGCUCAAAAUGUAAUGACCCGCCCAAAUUCUAAAUACUUUUCUUUUUUGUUGUUGAAACCCACCCGUUUAACUGGAUCUAAUCCAUUUAAUUUUCAUUUUCAUUCUUCUUUUUUCAACAUCAGAACCUUCUAAACCUUAUACUUUUACAAUUUACACUGGGUUUCAUUUUCUUUUUUUAAUUUUGGACUAUUUUUUUUCAUUUGAUUGUUUAUUUGUUGGAUAGUAACAAAGAUGGUCCUAAAUUUGGAGAUUGUCAUACAAUUAUUAUUCAGUAGUCACUGAAUUUAAAUGUGAAAAUAUUAUACACAAAUAAAGUUUAUUAUUGAAAAGCUCUGAAAGAGUUGUACUGGUAUGCUUAACCUUAAAAUUUGACUUUGUUGUCAUUUAAGGUUAAUGUCCUACUCAUGGCUAGAUCAAACUAUGAAGGAAUGAAUUUUAACUAAUGAACAUAAACGCCUUUUUUUGAAUGUUUGGAUAUUGAAAAAAAGAAGAAAUGAAAAUAAAAUUAAUUUGAUCCAUUUUACGGGUGGAUUUCAACAAAAAAAAAAAAUAGAUUUGGGACUUUUUCUUUCAGCUUGACAUGUGUCCUACGGUUAUAAUUAAGGGUAAAUUUGUGUCAAAGUAUGAUGAGCGAAUAUAUAUUUGGCUGGAAAAUAUAACAAAUGAUAUAUUUAAACUAUUUCUAGUAGUACAGAAAUAUAUUUAAUCGUUUCCUGAAAUAAAAUUGUAUAUAGUAUUGUGCAUAAUUGAAACGAGGCUAAAUUUAAAUAUUUUAAAUGAUCAUUCAUAAGAAUAAGACGUUCAACUUCUUAAACACAUGUAAUUGAGAAAAUCAUCAUAUUUAAUGCCUUAAAAAUUUAUCAAAUAUAGUUACGGACAAAUUUAAAGGAUCGUAUUUGUGUUUUACAAAAUAGGAAAUAUGACAUGGCACCAUAAACCAUUGAUGAUUGGCUACAACUACAAUUGGCUUGUUUCACCAAAUCUUACUAAAUGGAUAAGAUCCAUAUUUUUUAUAAUGACAAAUAAUAGCCUAUCCCCUAAGCCAAAAAAAUUUCACAAACAAUCCACAUGGCAAGUAUUCUCCACCCCUCAUCCCUCCUUUCCUCCUCCUCUUCCACCACCACCACCACCACAAAACCACCAGUAUCACCACCCUUUUCCAGACCCCAAUCCACCUUAUCACCACCCUCUAAACCCCUUUUAACCACACUAACCGCCACAGCAAUAGCCACCACAAUACUAACGACCUCUCUCCCUUCUUUAGCAGAUUCCCCCUCCAGCUUCAACAUUUACUACGGUACAGCUGCUAGCGCCGCCAAUUACGGCGGCUACGGAGGAAAUUCCGAUAAGAAGGCGUCGGCUGAGUAUAUUUACGACGUCCCCGAUGGGUGGAAAGAGCGUCUGGUGUCGAAAGUUGAAAAGGGCACAAAUGGAACAGAUAGUGAGUUUUAUAACCCGAAGAAGAAAUCUGAGAAAGAGUACCUUACUUAUCUUGCUGGGUUUAGGCAAUUAGCGCCUAAAGAUGUAAUUCUGAAUAACUUAGCUUUAUCUGAUGUGAAUUUGCAAGAUUUAAUUGCUAAUGCUGAUGGGGUUACUUCAGAAGAGAGAAAAGAUGAAAAUGGGCAAUUGUAUUAUGAUUAUGAAAUUGAUGGUGUUCUUGGUCAUAGCUUGAUCUCUGUUACUUGUGCUAAUAAUAAAUUGUAUGCUCAUUUCGUCAAUGCGCCGGCGCCGGAAUGGAAGAAGGAUGAAGGCAUCCUGAGGCACGUCCAUCAGUCUUUUAAAACGGUUGGGUAAUAUGAGAUUGUAAUUGUAACUGUCUAUAGAAAAAAGAGUUUCGGAAUUUGUAAUAAGAUUGAGAUACUCAAUGUAAUCACUAUCUCCUCAUAUGGAUUUUGGUAUCUGAGUUGUUUUUGUGUGUUGCAGUGUUGGUCUCUAUCUGUACAUUACCUUUACAAUGAACUUGCAUCUUGUAUGCAGUGUUCACCAAUCUGAGAUGUCCAUUUGCAUCUUGGUUGUUUCAUCUUUGCUCCCUAGUUAGCGAUAAUGUCUGCUACGUGCGUCAAAGUUCUCGAGCAGUAACGUAAUCUCUUCCAACAGAGAGGUUCAGAAUUGAGCUUAACGGAUCCAUUUUGUCCAGUUUUUGUAGAUUCUAUCCAACUAUACAGAGUGUCCCGAGUUGCAAAAAGGAUUAAUGAAAGAAACAAACAAACUUAUGAACACAUUGCACUACCUCAUGAUUUAUGCAGUUGACAAGCCAACAACAACAUCUAGAUAGCAAAUUGGCCUAUAAGGUAGAUGCAUCCUCCCACGUCCAGAAGUUGAAAGUCGCGGAAAUGAGGAUGUUGAUAUGAACGGGUGGGCAUACUAAGAGAGAUAAGAUUAAAAAUGAGGAUAUGCGGAAUAUUUGGAGGGUGAUCUCCUUGCUGAAGCAGACUUAAGAUUUAAAUUUUACGAGUUUUCAUAAUAUUUCAAGUUAAUAUAUGAUAAAAUUUGAGUUCAUAGUCAAAUAUUUAUAAAUAUAAUUUUAAUUAAAUUCAAAAGAAAUACUAACUUCUAAUAGAGGCAUUAUCACCAUACUAUAAUUGUUACUAUUUUGCUCUACUGUUGGCAAAGUUAUAGGUUCUCUGUUGUUACCAGACUAGUUGCUAGUUUCCAUUAUGACUGGUAGCAUGCAGUGGAACAGCUGCUGAAGCAAAUUAAAGCCACUGGGAAGAUGCAGGUCUGUUUUAGCAUAUGGUGUAGGCCAUAUUCCUAAUGACAUAACAUUCACCUUUAGGCAAACUUACCUUUUGCUCUAUUUGACCCUCCCAGGUUCUUGCAUUAAAUAUUUAAAUUCUUCUUUCACUUUCCUUUUCUUUUUCUUUUUUUUUAUAAUCGUGGUGUCUGAGUUAUCUUACACAUGUUCUUUUACUCCAUUGGUAUUACUAGAUUAUACGUCUUGUUGGUUCACAGUUAGGAGUUGAUACCGUAGUCUAAUUAAAACAUGUUGUUAAUUCCCUUUGCAUUUUAUUUGUUUUGUUGGGGUGUUUGUAUUCCUCGCAAAAUUGUUGGGAUCGAUAUACCUCUUGAGCAAAUGAUUGGAUAGAAUAUGUUCAACGGUGUGCAUGGUUUUACCGGACUAUUGCAUAUGUAAAUUGUAAUCAUCUCAAUUCAUCUCAUGUGCAAGACAUUUUAGUUGAUCUUAUCUCCAUGAUCUUAGUUUUUAAGGUCCAUUUUUGAAUGCGCGAAGAAUGAACAAAGUUGUGGCCUUAAUCUGUUGAAGGGAAAUGUUGAAUGUCAUUACCCUAAAUCCAACAAGUAGAGUGGCAUGUAUCAGCUGUUGCAAAACUUGUACAAUUUUGCCUAAAUAGUCAUAUGAACUAACUGCUUCCCUCUUGUCUAUUAUGGUGCAAUAACUGGGGAAGGAUGCAAGCAUAAUCGUAUACACGAUUGGCUUUUUGAUCUUCAACAACAGCACAUCAGGAGUCGAAAUCAAGAAACAGGUACAUAAUACAUUUGAGUUUCUCUUCUAUGAACACAUCCUAAUGUACUUCAGCCAUUUUACAUAUGCAGUACCACUUGUUGGCGACUAAUCACUGUUUCGUUUGGCUGCUGCUUAGUCUUUAUAUUUCAUGUUUGAAACUAUAGAGCAUAGGUUUGUUACAAUCCUCGCGGAUUUGAAUCUGAUUUCAGAUAUACUGCAGUAUGAAACACACUGCUCAGAAGACUGUUUCGUCAUACUACUUCUUGGACGAACGGUUAAAAAAUGGCCUGAACUUCAGAGUAGCCAACAUUUAUGUGUUGAUCAUAGUUGUAAUGAAAACAUCACAAUUCACAGGUAACCAUAAUGUUCUGCUCAGCUUCUUUUAAGCUAGUGGAUUCGUCUGAACCUGUGAACCCCACCUAGCUAGUGGAGCAGUCACAUUGGCUACUCUGUGGUGCAGGGGUACUCUACAUACCGAUGAACGCGAACAUUUUUAUGUAGGUCUGAAUAGAAUAGAACUGAAUGUACCAGAUUUAUAUCAGGAAUGAUAGUUUGACCUUUAAACACGAAAACUAUUUGUGGUUAUGCAGGUGUAACUGAUUUCUUCUAGUUUUCAAUUGAUAAUAUAACCAUUCUUAUUUUAAAUUAUUUUUCAUAAGAUAGUACUUCAUGUAUGUCAAAUUUCUUCUAAUCAUUUUCAUGAAAAGAUUAUUUUUUUACAAAUAGUAUUUAAUAUUUGCUAAAAAAUAAUAACUUAUAACCUAUUAUUAUUAAAAAUGAGACCCCUUAAAUUUGGGGGUCUAAGACACAGGUCUUUUCUUUUAACACUGUCGAGUCACCCCUGCAUAUGUCCUUAAAUGUUUUUUUAUUAAUUUCCCGUUAUCCAGCAUCCAGAGUAUUCAUAUUAGAGUUCGACUAAAUUUAUAUUGGAACAGAAAGUCUCACCAUAUCCACAUUGAAGUGCGACUAAAUUUAGAUCCGUGCUAGAAACUCGAAUUCGCGCCAGAGUCACGCCGAUAAUAUUCAUAUUGAAGUCUCAUUAAAUUUAGAUUUGUGCUAGAAAGUCUAGUUGGGAGGCAAAACACUCCCUAACAAAAGCAACUUCGUAUUAAUGAGAUUCAACUUCAUAUUAAGGAGACUCAAAUCUAAAUCAUCAGACUAAAAAUAAAAAAAUAUUUAUCACUCCACGAAAAUCCUAAUCGUGUCGUUAAUGCUAUUCUAUCAGUCAAUAUAUACGCUUAUAAAAUUAUAAAAGUGCCUCAAAUUUUUCCCAACUCCAUUCAUUAUAGCCAAAAUAAGAUGUUUACUGAUCACCCCAACAAUAAUAGUAAAUAUAUAGAGAAUAUAGGAAAUAAAUUUGGGUGCCACCAAGUGUUGAAUACAAGAUGGUUAAGAAACUAAAAUGGAAAAAAAAAAUACACUUCAUCUCCAAAUAUUAACCCUCAAUGAAUAGAAUUUUCUGCAAUAAAAAGUUAAAAACUGAAUUAUUUAUAUGUCAUCAACUUUUUCUGCAACCAACUCCCUUAGUAUUAUUACUGUAUGUAAUGUAAGAAACAAAAUGACAUAUAUUUUUUCUCUCCUUUUUAUUUCUAGUUUCCGUAUUAUAUCACCUUUUUUGCUUUUUUUUUUUUUUUCUUAAAAGAAAAUAUUGCUGUUCAGCCUGUUCUCUUUCUCCUUAUAUGCACUUUAUUCCCUUUCUAUAUAGUAAAAAAAAAAAUAAUUACUUUAUUUUAAAGAAAUAAGCAUUGAUUUCCACAUAUUAAAUCCAUUUAUUUUUCCUGAAAUAAACAAGAAACGAAAAAAAAUCCAUUCGAUGCAUGAUAUCUCUAUUCACUAUUAAAAGUUAUUGACAUUUUAUGAUAUAUUUGAUGAAUAUUUCAUCUUUAUUUUGAUUGAAUUAGUGGAAAAAGGAAAAAAUAUUAGUGUUUUCACAUAAAAAAUUAGAAAAUUUUAAAGUAUUUCAAUGAGAACGUGCGCGUUUUCCCGUCGAGCUGGUCCGGUGUUUGGAAAAUCUUGUUUUAUAACAGAAUUUUCAUUAAAUUGAUGUGAAAACAAAAUUUGUUUUUUUAUAGUAAUUGAAGUCCGACUAAAUUUGAAUUUAUAUCUUGCGAGGCCUAUUUUUAUGGGAUGGCGUUUCUAACGAAAUGUUUUUAUUCCCAAAACUUUAAUCCAACAAUUUUAGUUAAGAUGAAGAAAUUUAAAUCAUAACCCAUAUUGCUAUAGAACACAAAGUCAUGUUAAACAAACCUAAUAGAAUUGUUCUUCAAAAAAACAUUUUUCUCAACAGCUAAACAAAACGCACGCAUAAGAAACGGAUUCAAUUGAAUUUGAUCACAAGAUUCAAAAGUCUUCUUUAUAAUCUUAAACUUCGUAUCAGGUCAAAUUAUAUCAUUUUUUGUGAAACCGAGAGAAUAGUAUACUAUUAGAAAGAGGAAGAUUCAUUUUCUUCACAUGACAAACCCUAAUUAACAUAUUUUGCCAACGCAUAUUCUCAACCUUAUAUUUUUCCUAACAAUUAAGAAGAAAACUUAGUAAACACUGAAACAAUACACAUCUUUAUAUUACAUAGCUAGAAAGAAAAGAAAAAAUCAUUUACACAAACCUUACAUUUCUCAUCCAAAAUAAAAUAAAAAUAGAACGAACUUUAAUUUGAAUAUCAUAACAAAAGCAAAGUCAACAUAUAGCUCGUUACAAAAGUCUUCGACCUUUAAAGUUCUUAGCACUGAACUGUAAACAAUGAUUUACAUUAAAUCUUGUUCAAUCUCAGAGUUUGAUUCUUCCUCUAGUUCUUCAAGAUUAGGUACCCCAACUGCGCCAUGACCGCGUCCAAAUGACUUAAUAUGGUCUUUUAGAGACCUCUUAUGCUUAAAAUCAGAUCCACAAAUACAAUACCAAAUCUUACCACAAUUCUUCUCAUGAGUUCUCCAAUCACCUUUCACAGCAAAUGGCUUACCACAUUUUCUACACAUGAAAGGCUUAGCACCAUGCUUCCUCUUGUAAUGUGUUUGAAGUGUUCUAAAGUCUUUUAAUGGCCUUGCUCUUGGGUGAUCAAUGUUGUGUUUACAACCAGGUGCACAACAGUAACAUGGUAGCCUUAACAUUGCACUUGGUUGUGUACCUCUUAAUGAUUCUGGACCUUUUCUGUAUUGAGAUCCAUGUCCCCACAUAUGCAUCUAAUUAACAAGAUCAAGAAAAACUCUAGUUAGAAACAAAUGUACUGAUACGGAUUUAAGUUAUAUACCUUGAUUGACGAGUAAGAGUUUACUAUUUCUUUCUUUUGUAAAAGUGGCAAUAAUAUAAUAUAUUUAGCAGCAAUAAUAUAAUAUAGGUUUUUUAUAACCAUUUUUUUAUAUAUAAAAGUCAUUAAAGACUCAUGCUCAACUAUAUGCUGCUAAAAGUUUUAGCAAUAUUAGAUGCGAUAAAUUAAGUAAUUUACUCAAUUACUGCUAAAUGUUCAUGUGGCAAUAGAAUAUCUAUGCUACUAAAUAUCCCUUUUGCUAUAAUAGAUUUUUAACAUCAUUAUUAGUAUAUAGAACCAACAAUGGACCUAGUUCCAUAGAAUCUAAUGUGUUGACUCAAACAUACUAUAUUGCAAACUUAGAAAGUUUAUUUUAAUUGACUUAUCUUAAUUUUUUUUUUAAGUCAAAAAAACUUUUUAAAACAGUUUUGUAAUAUUUACAUAAAAUAAAAUAAUUUUUUUAUAGAUUUAAUUUUAAGAAAAAGAGAAAGAGAGCCUAAAGCCCAUCCAAACAGUCUGAUAGGAAAUAAAUAAAGAUAAAGAAAUAGGAAGACUGAGCAUCCAAUCUCAGGAUUUGAUAAUAAGUGCACCAGUUGAAAAUUUUGAUUAUAGACAAUUCAGUAUCCAUGAAUUAAAAUUUCUGAGACCUUAAAUAUAAAUAAACAAAUUAUUACAUUAUAUUAUAUAUAUAUAUAUAUAUAACAUUUCAUACAUCUGUCUCCAAGGGUCAAAAAUAAGAUAUCUUUAAUGAAUGAAUCAUCCAUAAUCUAUUUGAGAGAUUUUAGUCAAACAGUACAUCAUAUCAAAGCAUCUAAUUUUGAAAACAUGUCAUCACAAAACCGAACUAGCUUCAAUAUACGAAGUAUUACUGACUACUCUUUCCGUGCACUAUUAUUUGUCAUGGUUUCUAUUUUUAAAGUCAAACUAUAAGAACUUUGAUUAACAUUUUAAGCAGUAGUGGAGCCAGGAUUUUCAAUAAAGGGAUUCAAAAUUCGUAGAAAGAGACAUGAGUAGACGAGGAGGUUUCGACAUCUACUAUAUAUACGUAAAAUAUUAUUCUAACAAUGUAUGAAUAGUAUAAUUUUCUGUCGAAGGAGGUUCAAAUGAACCCCCUUGUACCAACGUAGAUCCGCCCAUGAUUUUAAGAGAUAUUUUUUCAUCAUAUUGAUAUACAAAAAAUUGUAAUUUAUAGUACUUUUCAUAUAAUUUUUGAAUAUCUAAAUUUUUUUGUUUAAAGUAUCGAAUUAAUGUAAUCUAAUUUAACUUUACAAAUUAAUCAAAUUAACUUUCAAAAAGCGCAAUAUGACAAAUAAAAAUGGACGGAGGAAGUAUAUCUUUUCAUUUAAGCUCAUUCUUGAACUAAAAUCAUACUAAAGAAAAAAAAAUACCAGAAAUUCUCUUCUUUUUUUGUAUAUAUUUGAUAGGACUAAAAGACUCCUAAAAUAGAAAUCAUAGAAAGGUUAUGACAUUUUUGAAACAUUUGGUAGAUAAUCGUCACUUGAGUAACAGUUAUUAAGUGUGAAAUAAUAAUUAUUAGUUGAAUGGUCAUCAUCCGAAAGAUCAACUCCAUAAAAAAACAAAUUGAAAUUAAUGAAACUUGAAGGGUCAAAUAGUUAAUGAAUAAAGUAAGUUAAUUAUUGGAACAAGAGUUAUCUUGAAGUUGGGAGGAUGACAAAAGGUGAAAAAGGGAGUAUUAGUGUUAAGAUUAUUCAUUCAAUUUUAGGAGAAAGGAAUAGUUAUAUUCUGCAAGAAAUACUGAGAGUUCUCAGAAGUACCAUUAAAUUAAAUGAUACUAUAUUGUUAUGUUUUUUUUUACUGAAUUAAUAGAAGAAAUUAAAAUUAAAAUGUCCUGAUUCUCCUGAAUCAGUCAAAAAAAAUUAACACUGAAAAUCUUGUCAGAUUUUAACACUGGAAAAAUUGUCAGUUUCACAUUUGACCAUAUUCACCUGGUAGCAGAAAUUUGUGCACUAAAUUUGUUUGAAUUGUCUCUAUUACCCAAAUACCAAAAAUUAUAUGAAUAAAAAAGAAAAGUAAAAGGAAAUUAAGACUUUAUUGAGGAAAAGCUAAUGUAACCUAACUUUAAGAUGUAAGUAAAUUUGUCAAAAGCCCUAAUUUCAUGCAUAAAUAAGUGUGGUAUUGAAGAAAAAAAGUAAAUAAGAAAUAGGAAUAAAUCACAUGAUUAUUGGUAGUUGUAAUAGUAGUUUAGACAAAAAGGAAAAAAGGAAGAAGAAAAGUAGCUAGUUGAAUGUGUGUGAGUACAAAAUCCAUAACAAAUGGAUAGAACAUGAAGAAUUUUAUGAUGAUAUCAUCAACUAAAUCAUUUUAACUAAGAAAUUGUAAAUGAAACAAAAAAUAAAAUUAAAAAAAAUCAGAAUUCAACUUGUAAAUGAUUCAAAAUAUACACAAAAUUUCCCUAAAAAGGAAGUAUAAAUUCAAAUUUGAUGGGAAAAAAAAACAAAGAUUGGCUAGCUAAGUGUGUACUGACAUAUAUAGGGGGAUGCAACAAAAUUCAUUGGAUUCAACUGAAACUUGAAUUCAAUUUUCUCUUUUUUGGGGUGUGUGUGAAACAUAUAAAUACACAUGGAAAAAAUCAAUAAAAUUUAAUUUGUGACUAUUUUAAAAUUAAAAUGAGUUUUAGUGCUAAUAAACUCAAAGAUCAUUAACCCAUCAAUUUUAUGUAUAUAGAAUUCUUUGGUGAACUUCUUGUGUAUUUCAUCUCAAGAUUAAAAUUGUAUGGUUUGGACAUACUAACUGUUGUAGUUUUAAUAAAUUAUUACACAUAAAUUUAUUAUUUCACAUCAAAAGUACUGAGUUCAGAUGAACUUUGUAUUUCAAACACUCUGUCUGCCACUAUAUCUCAUGAGUACUCUAUAUCUCAUGAAAGGAGUUUAGCUCCCUUCUAUGUAUAUCAUGUUUUGGUUUAUUUAUAAAAAUAGAACAAAACUCCACCCAAUUUUUAUUUUUUUUUGAAGAAUUUGAGUGUUCUUUUUAUAAAAAAUAAAAUAUAUUAAUUUAAAUUCUGAAUCCGUCUCUGUAUCUAAGAGAAGUUGUAGUACACAUACCUGAAGAUUGUUGUAUCUAUUGAAAGUCUUGUAGCAAAGAUGGCAAGAGAAUUGUGUUGGACCAAUGAGAAUUUGAGAAGGAGUAGGGAUCCAAUAUUGUCCCUUAUUUAGUGUUGUUGAUGAUGUAUUGUUAUUAUCAUUAGAAACCACAUCAAAUUGAUCUUCUUCUUUAUUUCCUCCACUAUCUACUACUCCUUCACAUGAAUUUGGCGGCCCUAUAUGUAGAGAUACACUCACAUUUUCAUUAUAAUAAUUAGUUGUAGUAGUAUUUUCCUCAUGAGAAAAAGUAGUACUACUACUCUCACAAGAAUACUUAUUAUUAUUAUUACUGAGAAGUGGAAGAGCUUCUCUUAGUGGUGGUGAAGAAGGUGCAAUUUCUUUGUUGUAGCAAGAUGAAAUAUAUUGUUGAUGAAGAGGAAGAAAGUUGAACCAUCCUGUGAAGAAAUUAUAAUAGGGUUCUGUCAUACUCAAAACUUAGAGAAAAAAAUUGUUUUCUAUAGAGUUCUAUAUAUCUUGGGAUUUCAUGUAUAUUGUAGACACUUAAUUAGGUAGUUUGUGUAUAAUUGGUACAUGUAUAUUUAUAUAUGAAUAAAGAGGAUUUAUUGGGAUGAGAAAAUGGAGGAUGGGUGAAGGGGAAAAGAAGAAAGAAAAAAGGUGAGGAGAAAAGGGUUGGAGGGGGGGGGGGGGGGUUAACUUUAGCUAUAUUGUGAUAGUGAAAUGAAAGGAAAUAUAUUGUUUCAAAGUGUCUUAGUUUAAUGGGGGUAUAAGGAUGGAGUAAAAAUCAUAUAUCUAGAGCAGUUUUUAUAUUUGUAUCGAAAAAUUUAUCAAAUAUAUGUAUAAAAAUUAAAUUUAGAAACCAACAAUUACUAUUCUCUCUGUCCACUUAUAGUUGUUAUAUUUGCUUUUCGAAAGUUAAUUUGAUUAAUUUUUUAAAAUAGAUUAGAUUAUACUAAUUCAAUAUUUUAAAUAAAAAAUUUAGAUAUAUUCAAAAGUUAUCCGAAAAGUACUGUAAAUUACAAUUUUUUACAUACCAAUAUGAUAAAAAAAAAUAUAUCAUAAAAUUUUAAUAAAUUUUUUUUAUAAUUUGACACACAGAAAUAUUAUGGCAAUUAAAAGUGAAUGGAUAUAAUAAUUACUAACACCUAAUGUCCUUAGAUAUUUUUAGAAUUUAAAAAUCGUGAUAAAGUUUAAAUUCUGACUUUGUCUAAGAUUGAGCACCAAGUUUGAAAAAAUAAGAAUGAUUUUUUAAUCUUUAUGAUUUUAAAUCAAAAUUUAUAUAAUGUACUAAAUUGAUAUUUGAAACUUGAGGCCUUAAAAUGUCAUAUGACCUGAUUAUUUAAGGAAAAUUCUUAAAAUAGAAAUUAGGAAGUAUAAUUUUUUUAAUAAAACUAAAAAAAAGUAAGACAUGUUAUUUUCCUUUUUUCAUUAAUCUCACAAUUUUUUUGGUCCUUUUUUUUUAUUGGGGGAAAUUCUUAUUUUGAAUUUUCAUUUUCAUUUUUUUCUUCAUAACUUAUUCAUGUAACUGUAUUAAUAUCAAUUGCCAUGUUUAAUUAAGUUUGUCAUAAUUUUAGUACAUUAUUUAAUUUGUUCUACUUUAUAUGGUAACAUUACUAUUGGAGGAGUCAAAAAUAUUCUUCUUCAACCGCAAUUUUGUAAAAAAAAAAAAGGUAUUUUUUUAAAUAUUUUGAGUUAUACAAAAUUUUAUUAUGAUCCAUAUUCUUAUUUAUAUCCAACAUUUAGUAUUUUAAUCCUCAUGCAUGUUCAAAACCUUUAUGUGGAUUGUGGAUCAUAGGAUAAAUUUUUGUACUUUUGAAAUAUAUUUUUCUUAAAAAAAAUUAUGAUCAAUCAAAUAUCAAUAUAUAAGACAAAAAAGAUACUGUAUAACUUUUUUUAUUUUUAGAUAAUUUUAGGAAAAAAUUACUUUGUUUAUGAUUAAAGGCAUCGAAGCAAAUGUAGGUGAGAAGAUAAUAAAAGAAAUAAAAGCCAUAGGACAAAGUCAGAGACUACACCUAGCAGCUUGUCUCUUUCUUUAUGAAAACUCUUAUUACCAUGUUGUUUCUUGUUUUAAUUAAUUAAUUAGUUUACUAUAUACAAGAAUAAAUUAAUAAUAGGCUUUUAAAAGCAAUGAACAUUUUUUUGUUCAAGAAUAUUGAGCACUUACUUUGGAUAGUGUGUCUACUGUUUUCUAUGUGUUAUGAUUUUAGUUUCACAUACUUAGUUCUUCAGUUAUAUUUCACUUUGAUUCUUAUUUAUUUAAUUUGCUCUAUUAACAAAAUUAAUAAAUGAUAGUAAUACUCUUUCCGUCCUAUUUUAUUUUAUAGGGAAAAGGGUCUGAUAUACCCCUUAACUUUGUCAUUUAGAGCUGAUAUACUUCUUGUUAUGAAAGUGACUCAUAUAUACCCCUAUUUGUAAACAAAUGGCUCACAUAUACCUUUUUCCUCUAACGGAAAUGAAAAAAUAAUAAUUUUAAUCUAAAUUUUUAUUAUUUUUUUCUAAAAAAUAUAAUCUCAUAUGAGUAAAUUUAAUCCUCGUCAAACAUAUUUUUUUGACUUUUUUUUGUUUCAAUGACUAAUUUAUAAUUAUUAUUGUGAUAAUCAAAUUUAUUUAUGUUUCACUAAUAUUCUUGUGAAACUUAUUGUAGAUGAUCAAAUUUUUUCUUCGAAUACGAAUUUAAAUUACAAUACACACAAAAAAAAUAGUUUAAUUUUUUAUUCUUUAAAUAAGGAAUGAAAGAAAAAACAAAAUAAGAAUAAGAAAUUCAAAUAACUAUAAUAAAAGAAGUCAAAAAAUAAUUUAUGUAUGAAAAAAAUUAAAAUAUACCUUGAAAGAAUCAUAUAUACCCCUAAAUAAAUUUUUAAAAAAAAUUAGAAGUAAUAAAUAUAAAUUUAAAACUAAUAUUUUAAAAUCCGUUAAAUGAAGGGUAUAUGUGAGCCAUUUUGUAACGGCAGGGAUAUAUGUGAGCCGUUUGUAUAACGGUAAGGGCAUAUAUGAGCCACUUUUAUAACGAGGGUAUAUCAGCUCCAAAUGACAAAGUUGAGGGGUAUAUCAGACCCUUUACCCUAUUUUAUAUGAUAAUAUUUGACCGAGCACAAAGUUUAAAAAUAAAUGAGAACUUUGAAAUGUUUAUUGAAUUGUCUUUUCAAAAAUAGUCAUAUUAAAAAUUAGACUCACUUUUCUAUCUCCUCAUAAAUAUAUUAUCUUUAAGAUUAAGUGGACCAACAAAGAUUUAAAAAAAAAAUUAUACAUUUGAAUAUUUAUCAUAUAAGAAAAUGUGAUAUUCUUUUUGGGACUAACGAGAAAGAAAAUUACGUCAUAUAAAAUGGGAUGCAAAGAAUUUUAAAUAUACAGUCAAAAUUAAGCUUUUCACGUCAAUUAUUAGAGAAGAUAAACCUAAAAUUAUAGAUAAGAAAAAAGUGUUGAUCGCUAAAAAUAUACGACCUUGUUAGGUUGGUUAUUUUUAAAAAUUAAAAUUACCAAUUUUCUUUUUUAAAAUUAUAAAAUAAUAAAAUGUAACAUUCAAUUUGGCAGACCUAUUUUAUAUGAUAUUUUUUGUUACUUUAAAUUUAUAUUUAAUAAAAUAUAAACAGUAAACACUUUUAAAAAAUAAUAAUAAACCAAAUAAAAGAACGUGAGCUCAAUAAUUCAUAGUGUGUCUUUAUGAUAAUUAUUUUCCUCGAAUAUCCAAGGUUAUAGAAUAUGUUUUUUUAGGAUUGAAUAACUUACCUAAUACCUCAAAUUUUACUGAACUUUCACCCUAUAUUUUUGUUUUAAGAAGAAAAAGAAUAGAAAAACAUAGGAAAUUUUAUACCCUAUGUAAUGAAAAAAUCAAAAAUUUAUAGCCAACAAAGAAUUGUUUCAGAAAGUCAACUUGUUUUUUUUUUUAAAAAAAAUCUCAGGAACUCAAUUUUUAGGUUGAUCUUUUUUAGAUUAAUCUUAGAUAAAUUUUAAUCGCGGGUUAUAAUAUAAUAAACGCACAGUAUAUUUAUUUUUCUUUUGUGCGGUUAUAGAUAUACUCAUCAUCUUUGACUUUUUUGAGUAGGUAUACUUUCUAUUUCAUUCAAAGAUUUCAAUUAAGAUUGGAGAAAAGAAUUAAGUGUAACUCAUAUUUCACAUUAAUCUUUAGUUAUUUAAUUAAAUAAUUAUUUCUACGAAUCCAACUUAGGUAUAUAUAUUCUAAUUUUAUAUAUCGUAACCCAAAAUGACCUGACUAACGUCAAAAUACAAAAGGAAAAGGACUAAACAACAUGCCAUUUAUUUCUUUGUGUAAAAUUCAAGUUUAUUUUAGGUUUUGUAGGGUCUAAGGGGUCAAGAUCAUGCAUAAAUGACAUGAUAUCGAUAGCUUCCCUAUAAAAUUAUUGCUGAGCUACCUUUACUUUAUAUACAACUUAGUCUCGCCGUUUUAUUUUAAGGAUUCUAUAUUUAUUUCUCGUUUACUUUCAAAGAGUGUUUUUUCUAUUUUUAAUUUUAAAAAAAGAGUCAAAAUCUCCUAUAAUUUCUUUAUUUUUGUUAUUGUUUGGAUGAUUGUUACAUAUUGUUCCAUAAUGUAUUGUAUUUGUCACAAUCCAACCCAUCGGGCCGUGUGAACACCCACUCUAACACCUAAGUAGGAGAACCCUCAUAUCCAAUUGUUAAAACAUACGAAAAAUGGAAUAAAAACGGAGAUAAAUGAAAUCAUAGUGUUUUUAUAAAUGGAAACCUUCUUAAACAAAUUCGGGUUAAGACUUGCAAAGUAAUUAACACCCCCAAAUGGAAACCUUCUUAAACAACUCCCACCAUGCGAAAGCAAAAAUUAGAAAAUGUUGACGAUUCUUCGUCUUCAUCGAAUGAAACAUCACCGACCUGCAUCUAGUCUAUGCCAAAAAGGUAUAGCAAGAUUAAUAUUAGUACAAAACCACAAGUACUGGUAAGCAUCAUCGGCCAACCCGACGACCACCACAUAACAUAAGAAAAUCAACUAACAAGAGUAUGCAAUAACCAUUCUCUCCUCCACCUUUGCCCUCGCUUGAAUACCUCGGAAUUACACUAUUACCCUUACUACCAACCACCUUCUCCGUUGACCUACUUACUAGGUUUUUUAUCAUAGCCUAACUAUUAUAACAAAUCGAAGAGUCCACAAAUACAACUAUAAGCAUUCCGACUAACCACCGACGACAUAUCCUUACUUUCUCUUCCAUGCUACCCUGUCCGUGCCACACGACACGUUACAUUAUUUCAAGUUUUCUAACUACGAACCACUAUUCUUUUCCUUCCAGGUGAAAUUCACCUAAGUAAUUGCAUCACAUACAGAACCCUCACUUUUCGCCUUUAUAAUGCUCGGAUAACCCUUGCUCUCAAUUAUUACGACCCUUGAACCCUUGGUCUCCACAUAUCGUUUCACAUAGUAAAACAAUCAGGUAUGGUUCAUCAUAAUUAUUUAACAAUUUUGGAGAAAACAAUAUCAAUUAUCACUUACGAACAACGUGUAUUAUCACAUUCUCAAGAUAUACUAUUAUAUUAAGAAGUUUUCUCUCAUGGAACUCAAAGCCAAACUGUUAGUAAAUCCAUAACGUAGUACAUGUUUCAAUGUAUGUAUCAGAACGUGGCAACCGAUUUCAUAAUUAUGCGGAACGUGGUACCGAAAUACAACACUCGAUCCAUUCAACAAGUCACAAUCACAAUUACAGUCACAAGUAUAUUCUUAAUACCAUACCAUGAAGUCAUAAUUCAUAGCAUUCAUUAUUCAUCUAUCUCGUUUACAACAAGUGUGAUCAAUAAUACAACAUUCGAAUACAUACAUGUAUCAAAAUGAAGCAAGAACAAGCAUACAUCACACAAUCAUGGAAUCACAAUCAUCACCUACGUAUAUCGCUUAAACAAUAUCCCGACCAUACUUACCCUAGUUCAUCAUCUAAGGUUUCUUUCUAUAAUUUAUUCAUCCAUUGUUUGGUGCACGAAAGCUUACGCAUAAGUCCUUAUUAUUGAUUUUCAUUUUAAUACACAGCAAGCACAAAUUUAUAACUACUUCAUUAAUAAAUCUAGCCUACCUGGGCGUGAUGCGGUUGCAUGGAGUUUUGGCUUUGAUUCUUGUUUUCAGAAAUUCGUGAGCUUAUCUUGACCGGAAAUUCACAAUCCAUUGGCCUCGUUACGCUAGAAAUUUCCUUCUACCUCUCUUCCAAGCUUGGAGUAGUUUUUGGGGGGUUUCUAAGGUGGUUUACGUCUAAUUUAGAUAUUUAGGAAGAAAGAGAAGAUAAAAUCUUCACGUUAUUUACAUUAUGUCUCAUCUAUUCUGCUCUGGUGCCAGUCAACACCGCCCUAGCGGCAUCUGGUGACCAAGGGCGAGGCUAGAACCAAUGAUGGAGGUGAUGGUGAACACCCUUCGCCGGAAAAUUAUAUUGUAUAUGUAGGUCAAAUUAUUGAAAUUGUCAUUAUAUAUAUAUGCACACACCUGAUAUUAUUAGAGCCCUUGGCUUAGUGGUAAAGAGCAAGUUGGAAGUUUGCAUGCCCGAGGUCGAAGGUUCGAUUCUUGGUAACCUUGAGAUUUUAAUUAGUGAUCAAAACUCACUGAAAUUGUAAUAAGACAUAGUAUAAAACUACUAUAAAAAUGUAGGUAAAUAAUAAACAUGAUUAUUAAAUACCGAUUAAAAAUAAUUAAGGAGAAAAAUAAUAAUAUAUAACAAAUCUUAUUUUUUAUAAAAUGUUAAAAAGUUUACGCUACAUAUACUCUCUCUUUUUUAUAGCAAAUAACCUGUAUUACUUUUUUUCAAUAAAAUACACCUAAACCACUAUAUUGAUCUCUAGUUUUCAUAGGAGAUUUAAUGAAUACCAUGGUGACAUGUGGAGCUCUUUUAUAUAAUAUAAAUAUAAAUAUAUGAAAAUGAAAGGUAGAAUUUUGAGAGUAAUAAAUAUAAUAAAUUAAAAGAAAGUCGUUACCAUAUUAGCUAGCAAAGAAAAUGAUAGCCAUGAUCACAACACUGUUCAUAUUGCCUACAGCUACAGAAGAAAAAAGAUAAAAAGACCCCAAAAAGGAAAAGGAAAAAAAAAGGAACACAUAAGAGUGGAUUUAGGAUAUCGAGUGUGAGUUUUUGAAAACAUAAUAAAUUUUGUGUAUAUUCAAUAUAUAUAUAUCAAAAAAAUCAUAAAAUAUAGAAAAGAUUAUAUUAACCUAGUCAUAAAAUAGUAUUGGACAAUUUUCAAAAAUAAACUGCCUAAUAUAGAAUAUUACGCUACGUAUCUCAAGAUAUAGUGCUACAAAAUAUUAUAGCUGAGAAAGGCGUUAUUCAUAAUGAAUACCAAAAGGUCUCUUACUCUAUAAUUUUAUGUAACACACAUAAUUGACAAACUUUAUUGAAAAAUUGCAAUAUAAGAAAGAAAAAGAAUGCGAUAAACAAAUUUCAUAGCUAAAUAAUUAAAAUUUCACGUGAACCUAUAUAUAUAUAAAAAAUUAAUUACCUACAAAAUAUUUAAGAACGAGUUAGCUAGAAAUUAUCGAUAAAUUUUAUUUAUUUUUUUUGGAAAAAAAAUUGCUAUAUAUAACCUUAAUGGUUGAAAAGAUGGAGUAUAUAUGUUAUUGUGUGGUCUAUUAUUAUCUCUGUCAAGCAAAUAGAAUGGGGACAGACAAUUUGGAUUUUUAUAUAGAUAUAAAUAUAAUGUAGGUCACAUGCAAUAAACUGUAGAAUUUCAAAAAUAUAAUAAUUAUCAUUAUUUUUCUCUAUGAAGAUAAAUAUAUAGAUAGAUAUAACCAGUGAAGUUGAACUCCAGAGAUAUCUAUACUUCAUUCUGACACAAGAGUGAUCUCCCAACAGUAUACACAUUUAAUUUACUGUUUUAAGACCUUAUAAUAAACAUCACUGAAUUUCUUGGCCUAAUAAGUGAGAUACUGUCCAUUGAGGCCGAAUACGUAAAUAUGUACUUUAAUUUAGUUUUGAUUAAUAUUUAUGUCUUUUUAUUUUUGAGUAAAUGCAAAUAGAAAUUUGAACUUAUACAAGAUUAAACAAAUAGAGAUAUAUAUCAAACAUGACAUAUCGCACAAGAUAUAAAUUAUCAUAUAAGAUAUCACGUAAGAUAUAUCUGUCUACGAUUGAGGGUGGAGGAAGGGGAAAUGGAGGACAAUGUGGGGAUUCAAACUCUUACCUAACGAGGUGAUAGUUCAGGGAAACAACCAACGUACUCAGAUUCUCAAUAGUGUGUACUUGUUCAAUCUUACACAAUAUUUAGCGGCAUUAAAUAUUGAUACUAAUAAAGAGUGUUAAAGUUUUUACCGACAUUAGUUAAGUGUAAUUAGAAUCAACGUCGCUGAAGGCUUUAGGGACAUAUACAAAGAGUGACAAUUGCCGAUAAAAAUACAUAUUUAAUAACAAUUAAAAAUUUAAUAACGCUAAUGAUCAUUUUUAUUAUAAUAUUAAGUGAUAAUUUAUACACAUUUUAAAUUAAGAAAACGUAAAUAUUAGUUAAAAUCAAAUUAAAUGAUAGUAUAUUGUUCCUUUAACAAACUAUAUUUUGUAUUUUUUUAAAGAAAACUUUUACAAUUUAUUAAAAUCAUAAACAUUUAUACUAGUCACUUGCUAUUGUGGAACAGAUGGAAUAAUAAAUUCAAAGGCGUUGGUUACUAAUGGAAUAUUAAUGAGUUUUCAUUGGCCCCUCAUACCUCUUUGACCUUUCCUACAAUGUCAGUUGGUGCUAGACUUUUUCGUUUAAUAAUAAUUGUCUAUUUUAUAAAAUAAAUAAAUAAUUUUAAAAAUAAUUUAUAAUUUAUUUUUAUUAUUAAUUAUAGUGAUUUUUUAUUAUAUCUUUUUAAGAUAUUAUUUUAUUAUAUUUAAAAAUAAUAUUAUAAAAUUAUUAUUAGAUAUUAUUUUAUUAUAUUUAAAAAAUAAUAUUAUAAAAUUAUUAUUCUAUUUAUAUUUUUUUAAAAAGUAUACGAAAUCAAUAGGAGAGAGAAUAGAUUAUGAGAGAUUAAUAUAUGCCGAUUGUUGGUGGCGUAUUAUUAAAAUGUCAUUAUUUUUCUAGUGAAAUAUAUUUAUUGGCUACAUCAAUAAAUACCAAUAAAUAUUUUAAUGGAUUCCUAAAAAAGUAAUAUUCUAUUUGUACUAUUUUAUUGGUUAAAAUUUUAGAACUACAAAAAUAAUAAAUAAUAAGUGUUUAUAGUUAUUAUAGUUAUAAUUUUAUUUGUUAUGGAGGUUGUAGUUUGUAUAUUUCACAUGCGAAUAUACAAACAGGCUAAGCAUAUAUAGAAAUUUUGUAUUUGUACAUUUAGAAAUUUUUCAAAAUUUUGUUUGUAUAUUUUGCUUGACAAUAUAUAAACAUGAUAAUUUACUAUGAAUUUUUCGUAAACAAUAUACAAAUAGCUAGAGUAAGCACACACAAAUACUAAACUUAUACAAUUAAAAAUCAAAUUAUACAAAUUGAACUUGUACAAUUAAAAAACCCAAUAGAAAAAUUUUGUGGAACUAUAACAACGGAUUAAAAAUAAUUAAAACUAUAGCUAUAUUACAUAGUAUACUCAAGAUGUUUGUCACUUUUGCAUAAAUUUUCCCAAAUGUAAAACUAUUUAUUUUGUUGUCCUGAGAAUGUCAUUUUACUACGAUUAAAAAUAAUUUAAUUUUAAAAUUCUUUCUUUUACUCUUAAUGAAAUGAUUUUGCUGUUACACAUAUUUAAAGAUUACUUUAAACCACAAUAACUUCAUUCGAUAAGAAAUGAAUAAGAAUAAUAUACAUUUUAUAAUACUCUCGUUGUCCAUUUUUAAUUGUUGUGUUGUGCUUUUCGAAAGUCAAUUUGAAUAGCUUUUAAAGUUAAAUUAGAUUACAUUAAUUUAAUAUUUUAAACAAAAAAAAUUUAAUAUUCAAAAAGUAUAAGAAAAUACUAUAAAUUCCAUUUUUUCUUAUAUCAAUAUGACUAAAAAAUAUAAAUUAAAACUAUUAUCAUUUAACUCUAAAAAAUAACUUAUAAUAAUUGAAAAUGAUCGAAAAUAUAUCAUUUUUUUCAUUAAUUUACGACACACAAAACGGUUUUGUAUGAAACAGGGGGAGUAUUACUCCUCAAAACGUGAAAGAUUGACCGUUUUGAAUGAAUUGAUCUCUUUUUCACAUUAGUGUAGUUUCCUAUGGAUGAAUAAAAUAAUAUCCCUUCCGCCUUAACUAAUGUGAUUUUUUUUUUUUAAGAAUUAAAUAAUUUAAGUUUGAUCUAUUAUUUAGAUAUGAAAUUUUUUUAAAAAAAUUAAAUAAAAUUUAUAUAUUUAUAAACUUCGUAAAAAAUACUGAAAAUUUCUAUUAUUGACAAUUUAAAAUAUUUAAAACUCCCAAAAAUAUUAAAAUAAAAAGAACAAACCUAAUUAGGUGAAGAAAUUUGAUGUUUUCAAGAACGCACGAGUGUGUAGUGUUUGUAAAGAGAGUCAUUUAGGUCUCCAAGACUACACGUUCAACAUCUUGUCUUCCUAUUUGGGAACUACAAAUCAAUAAUCUUUUGUUUCUACAUAUUUGUCUUUAAUAUUUAAAUAAUUAAAUUAAUACUCUCUUCAUUUCAAUAGAAACAAAUUAUUAUAUUAAUUGAUCAUCUUAUUUAAAGACAUAUUUUAUAUUAUUUGUGUAUUUAUUAAAUUGGAAUUUAAAUUAAUUGUUCUAUCUGUUUAAUAAUAGUUAUUUUACUCUUUGAUUGUCUUAAAUUUAAUAUUUUGAGAAAAUAUAUUAAGUGAUAAAAUUAAUCAUUAUAUUUAUAAUUUCUUUAAAAUCAUGUAAAAAAAAUAUGAUCAACUAACUGUAAAAUUAAUAUUUUUUCUAUUGUUCAAAAGGGAUGAAUUUUUCAAAGUAUUACUAGUAGGAAAAAUCCUUUCGGCUGAAAUUUUGUCAAAAUGGUAAAAUAACUUAUUUUAAGUUAUGUUAUUUUAUCUUUUUGAACAUAUUUUUUUUUUUAAUUUUAACAUUAUUUUAAUUAAAAUAUGGAAAUAACAUCUUUUUAUUUUAAAAUAAAAUAAUAUUAUAGACUUUUUAAAUUUUUGAGUAAAUUUUAGUCAAAUUUUCUGAUUAUUUAACGUCCCCUUUACUAAUUUGUUUAGUUAUCCAUUUCUUUUAAUUUGUGGAACGCUUUUUGAGAUUUUUAUAAAAAUAAUAGUCUCGAAGACCAAUAGGUUGCUGUGUAGAGUGUAAACCUUUGACAAAAUGAAUUUAGUGCAUUACCAAUGAAAUCCAUUUUUUUUCUUCCCUAGCAAUUAAUUAUUCUUUCCAAUAUGUUACUCCACCGUGUCUAUUUUUAUUUAUUCGAUAUUAAUUCAAUGCAUUUUUAUAAAUGAUUAAUUUUAUGACGUUACUUUUUAAAUAUAAUAUAUUUGAAAUAUGAUUUUCAUUAUUAUUAUUUUAUCAAGAAUUUUUUACUCCUUUUUAGUCUACAUGACAUUAUCUUGAGUCCAACAUUGAUUGACUUUUUUUAAAGAUAUUGUCACGUAAGUCAGAAAGUGAUAGAAAAUUACUUUUAAAAUAAAUUCAGGUGAAUAAUAGAACCUUAAUAUAAUAUAAAUAUAUCUCUAAAAUUUCAAGCAAAGUUUAAAAGUAUAGAUUGAAAGGAUACUUCUGCAUUUCUUUAAUAACUAACUGACUUUUAUUAAUCACGAAAAGGUAACAUUUUUUAUUAUGGUGUAGACUACUUGACUCAAAAAAGUCAAAACAUGAUAACGUUUUUUUCUUCUAUAUUAUUAAUUUACUAAUUACACUGCACGUAGUAACAAUUUGUCAAAAAUAAAAAUUAAUCAUGAUCGGUUGUCUUUAUAGAAAUCAAUUUUAAUGCAAUAUGGAAAUGUUGCCGACAGUUUACAGUUAAAGGAUUAAAGGUGAAACAAAACAUGGUAUCAUUAAACACUAUUUCAAUCUAUAUGAAAAUUUAAAAUAAUCAAUUUUUUUUAUAUAUUAAGGACUUUUUUGUAACUAAAAAAAUUAAAAUAUAUAUAUAUAUAUAGAUUUUUUUUCUCGAUUAAAAUGGUUUAAAUCCCAUAUAUUGGAGCAUUUUUAUCAUUGGGUCCCUUCUUUAAAAAAAAAUAGUAGUACAUAAUAGCUCUUUUUUAUAUAAUUCAAAUUUACACGAAGAAACCUCAGUUUAUUAGGUAGAAAUUAAAGACGAGAGUUUAAAAUUGAAAAAUAGGGCUAUAAAAUAAAAAAAAAUAACGUCAAUAAGUACUAGGAAAGUAAGGAAAUCUUAUCUUAUUAAUUCUAAUGACAUAAGAACUUUUACGUACUAAAUAACAAGCAUGACAAUGGAAAAAACUAGAAAAAUUUGAUAUUUUAUGAUUAUCACGAAAUUUAUAAUACACUACUCUAUGAUAAUACUAUAAAUAAUUAUAUUUAAAUAAUGUAAAAAUAUAAAAGCCAAAACAAAGUUGAGAGUUAUCAAACUCAAACAUCCCUGUAUAUAUAUUGGGUUGUCAAUAGGAUAGUCCGGACGAUUAUUUUCGAAAGGUUAUACCAUUUCAAUUUUUUGGGUUUUAUAUAAUGUAUAACUAAAAUUAGAUUUUUUUGAAUUGUCGAAAUCAUAUGGGUUUUUUUCAGUAUCGAUAUUAGUAAGGUUCGAUUAAUUUUUGAGGUUUUCUAUUUUUAAAAUCACUUCAAAAUAUUCUAUUAUUAAGAUAUUUCUUUUGCAAAUAUAUUCUUGAAGAAGCACUUCAAUUCUUCACCAAAAAGUCAAGAAAGUAAAAUCUUCUUAUUGUAUUCUUUAAUCGUAUUCUAUCAUUAAAAUAUUUCUUUCGAAAAUAUAUUCUUGAAAAAACACUUACACACCUUGUUGCCAUAUUGUUUGAUUUUAAACAUUUGAUAGACAUAUGUUCUGUUCUAUUAUUUGAUAGAGUAUCUAUUAUAUUCCUUGUAUCUUUUAAAUUUAAACCUAAUUAAUUAAAAUUAAUUGAAGAUCAAAGACGCAAAGUCAUCAAGUCACCAUAGACGUAUAACUUAUGUCAUAUUUAUAUUUGAAAAAUGUUAUAAAAUGUUUUAAAUAUUAAAUUUAAAUGUUGUUAACGUAUAAAACAUAUUUACAUACACAUGUAAAGUUAUUCAUUUGGUUUGGAAAUUUUUUAUAAAUUAACAAGACCAUUCCAAUUAUUCUGAAUGGUUAUAUAUUUAAUAAAAAUCCAUAAUUUUAUUGAAAAACAAUAUAAAUUGAUUCAAUCGAUUUUUCAUAUUCUUUUGACUCUUAUAUAUGAAAAAAAGCUUAUUUGUGUGUUUGAAAUAAUUUGAAGUAUUUGUUUUUCAAAUUUGUCCGAAUUUAAUAAUUUCAUCCGUUGUUUCUGUAUUUUAUUCCAAUUAAUAACACAAUUAUUAUUUUUUUGAAAAUUUAGGAUAAUAUAUAUAUUAUAUAUACAGUGUGAUAUAUGAGGGUUUAGCUGUGAUUGGAGGAAGCAGCGGCAGUAAAGGAGGCAUGCACUUUGUGAUUCUGGUCAAAUGAAAGGGACUUAUCAAUGGCUUCUUAAUCAUAAUGUAUAUACUAUAUGAUAUUAAAAUAAAUAUAAAUGUACAAAAAUUGCAAACAAAAAAUAGAAAAAAAAAAUAAAGAUGUAUAAAAUUAUAUAUAUAUAUAUAUAUAAAGAGAAUUAAGGAAAAAAGGUAUAACAAUGAUUGGAAGUCACUGUUCACAUACAGAAAUGAUGUCAUGCAAUCUUUAUUCGCAUUACCUUCGUGAAAGUGAUAUUUAAUUCUUACUUUCUCCUUUUCGAUUCUUAUUGUUCAUCUUAAAUUCGAAAAAUAUAUUAAAACAUUAUUUAAAAAUUUAAAAUUCUAUUAUAAAACAAGAUAAAAUAUUUUACAUGAAAAAUAAUUUUAUUUUUAAUGAUUCAAUUGAUCCUCAAAUCUUUAUCGAAAAAUAAGGAGGCACUUGCUAUCCGUAGCAAACUUUUGAUGCUAUGUCUGAAAAUAAUAGAUUAAAGGUAGCUAUAUAUAUAAUCAUAACUAAACACUCCUAUCAUUUAAAUUCUCGUAGUUUGAUAAAAUUUUAUAGUUUCAAAUUUUUUUAAUACACACAUAUAUAUAUACAUAAAAAAAAUAUAUAUUCAACUGUAUCAUCGAUAUAAUUCAACGCUCCCGCUUCAAACAUACUCCCUCCUCUAAGUUCAUGAUUGGACAUUCAAAACGUGAAUAGCUUAAUGUAAAACGCUCAAUAUUGAUAAAUCAUAAAAUGAGCCUAAGUUUGUUUCGCGUUAUAAGGCAUAUAAAUGAGCCUAAUUCAAUCCCCAAGACUUGAGGGAAGAGUUGAAAGUUUGAUUUCGCGUUAUAAGCAUAUAAAUAAGCCUAAUUCAAUCUAAAAAUUUGACUGAAGAGAUGAAAUAAUAGUCACAAAAUUAUAUAAAGAGUUAAAACUCUCGUCAUCCCACGAUGUGGGACUAAAUCCCAGAAGCUCCUAUUCGUGUUUGUGAAGAAGAAUGGAUUGAUGGGAUAGUCGUAACCACAUUCUACAUUGGCCCAAUUUUUGGUCUAUGCAUUAUAAUAAUAAUUUCACUGGAAAGUUCCUACUGGGCCUUCAUAAUUAUUAAUAUUGCCCGUGUGCAAAACUUACUUAUAUAAUAAUAAAUAAUUAUAAUAACAAUAAGAUGAGAAUAUAAUAAGGAAUAAGAAGAGGACAAUUAUAAAAGACAUAUCUAAUUUAUCACUAAGACAACACAAUACGUGGUUGUAUAUAGGACAUAUAUGACCACAACAAAGACAAAAAGAACAUUGUUGUCAUUGGACAAAUGAUUUAACACUUUUUUCUUUAAUAAAUUUCUGUUUGAAAAGAUGGAUUAAAUGUCAUAAAAUAGGAAACUAGGGCCUAACUUAUAGAAUAUUAAAUAAAUAGUAAUAUUAGGCAAUUAGGUAGGACUUGUUAGUCCCACUAAUAUAAAUAACUUACCAAGGUCUUAGCUAGUUUUGGAUAAAGUUCUUUGUAAUUAACUAUUCAUCGCAUCAUCUCAUUGGUGAAUUCAGAAUUUUAAAAUUCUAUAUACUCUUUUCGCUAUUAAUUACAAAAUAUAAGUGUAUAAACUUAACACUUAUCUGAUUAGUUAUGUAAUUGUCGCUAAAAUAAAUAUCUAUCAAUCCGAUAACUCUUUCUUUUUAGGUCUAGGUAUUUGAAGUUCUUUUAUCCAAUUAACCCGAAUUUGUGUAAAUUGACCUAUUCUGGAGAUUAAGCAUUUUCAAUCAAGAAUUACUUCAUUUUCAAGACACGAAUCCAAUAUCUUUGAUGAAGAGAGGGAUUAAUUAAUAUUUCAUCCAUCUCAUUACGCAUCAUCUCUUGUUCCCUUUAUAUUCAAAGAUAUACUCUCUCUGUUUUUAAUUACUUGUCCGCAUUUUCUUUUUUAAUUGUCCUUAAUUACUUAUUCAUUUUGACAAAACAAGAAUGGACAAUUUUUUUUACUUACUAUAUCCUCAAUUAAUUACUGUGAAAAAGAUGAAACUUUUUGAAAAUCUUAAGGUUUUAAAGUCAUCCACUUCAUAAUAUUAACGAGGGUAAAAUUGUAAACUCACCAUAUUAAUCAUUGUAUUAAUUCAAAAAUAGAAAAAUAAUUAAGGAUAGAAAGUCUUAUUAUUGAAGGUACUAGGGUGUGACUUGUGAGUGGAAAGUAUAAUAAUUUUAAAGAAAAAGUGUAGGAUCGUAUAAUCUUGUGAUUGGUUAAAGGUAUUAGACAAUCUUAAAAUAUAACUUGUUUUUAACGAAACGAAACUAAGGUAAGAGAUAAAAAAGAGAAGCAAGAGAGAAAGAAAAUUCCAAAUAAGAGGAGUUUAUAUAUAUAUAUAUAUAUUAUGGACAAAAGAGAGUCUGCAAAAAAUGUAAGAUAGAUAGAGAUAGGAUGGGAAGUGUCUUCAUUUUCCCGACAGUUUUGGGUGGUAAAAAUAGACCUUUCAAUUUAAUGCUCAAAUGAAAGAGACUGCUAUUCUUCUUUUUCCUUUUACGUUUUUAUCUUCCAAUCUUACUUUUAUAAUAUACUUUUUUGGCCUUUUAAAAUGGUGAAAAAAAAAUUCACUUUCAUUAAUCUUAUGAUUCAUCUUUGCCUGUCCUUACUUAAGCUGACACCUAUAUACACACAUACAUGAUUGAAGUAAAUGCAUUUUUUUAGGGUAGAAAAACAUUAUUCCUUUUCAUUUUAAUUUGUUUGUUUCGUCUAAAUCAAGAAACUUUUUGGUCAAAAGUCUAUAUUUGUAUAGUAUUUUAUGUAUAAUUAUUGAUUUGGAAAUAAUCAUUUAAAUAAAUUAAUAUUUUAGAUUCAUAAACUUUAAAUUUUGGCUACGCCGGCUUUGUAAUACUCUUUUUUGUUUUAACUUGAUAAGGAGUUUAAGAAAAUUAAAAAAACUUUUGAAUCUUAUGAUUGUAAAUUAAAGAUAUACCAAGUGUAUCUAUAUCUACUAACGGUUUUUCUUGGCUUUAUUCCGAUAACACAAUUACAGGUGGAGUCUGUAGUGGGGCAAAAGAUUAUUACUCUCUCCGUAUCACAAAGAUUGAUCUGAUUUGACUUGACACGGAGUUUAAUAGUAUAAAGAAGAUUUUUGAAUCUUGUGCCUAAAUAUAUAUUAAGUCAAACGUAUAAAAUUGCUCUUUGAUCUUGUGGCCUUAAACAUGUUACGUGGAAAACUGAAAUUAAAAUGUUACAAGAAAAAAAAUCAUUCUUUUUUAAACAUAUUAAAAAUAAAAGGAGAUCAUUCUUUUUGAAACGGAGUGAGUAACAAACAAAGCAACUUCUAAUAUAUAUGGUUUCUUUCGCUAUCUAUUUACAAUGUAUACAUUUGGUAUAUACCAUACAUAUAACCAUAAUAUGUGAUUUGUUGAUAGAAGAUUUUCACUGUAUAAACUAUUAUAGUAUAAUCUAUUUGAAAUAUAUUAGAGGUAUAUUUUGCAUCUUUAUAUACACGGUAUAAUAAGGAUUUACAUGUAAUAACGAUAUAACCAAACUCAAAACUAGGAUAAUUAAUGUUAAAAGAUUCUUUAAUUAUUUUUUUUUUGGGGGGGUGGGGGGUGGGGGGGGGGGGAUGAAAGAUAAGAUGAAAUGUAUUAAUCUUGAGAUGUGCUAAAUUGGCAAAAAGGAAUAAAUAAAAAGAAUCUUUGAAAAUGAUUUGAUCAUGUAAAAAUCCCAUUUUUUGUAGGUUCUAAUUUACUUGGACACAUAUACAUUUCGUACGUACACAAUGUACUACAACUCUAUUACCUAUCCAAAGUCAAAUAUAUCGCCUUAUAAAUUAUAAAAUUAGCUUAUAAAAAUAAUAAGUUAAUUAAUUUAACUCACUUAAAAAUAAAAUUGAUAUACAUAAUUCAAAUUUAUUCAUGAAUUCAUAUUUUAUUAAUUUAUUUCAAUUCAAAUAACUUUUGAACAGAUAAAAAGCAUCGAGCCAAUAUUGACAGCCCUAUAAGAUAAGGUUAGUGAAAUAUUAGGUAAACGAAGUUAACAUUCAUUACAGGGUCAAAUCCCGGAAAUCCUGCAAGAGAGGACAUAUUGCUGUUCCCACAAAUAAAAUGAAUGGUCAAAAGCAUAGUUAGCGGGGGUAGACGUUCUUUGAUUUGAAUUUUUUUUAAAAUUUAAAUUUAAUUAUUUGAUAAUUGAUAGUUAAAAGGUAGAUAAGUAAUAUUAAAUUUUUAAAAUUCAAAUUGAUAUUUCGGUAAAUCGAUAAAUUAUACUUCGAUUUAGUAUGAUAUUUGGUAAUAUCGUAUUAAAACUGUAACCUGUUAUAUUACGAAAGUAAUAUUAUUUCUCUUAUUAUUUCUAUAAUGUGGAGACACGAUAUAGUAGAAGAUGAAUAAGUAAGAAAACAUCAAGAAAUAACAAAUUGAUAUAACUAAAAGACAUGCAUUUGAGUUGUUAUGUUUAUUCUUUAAUUUUUUCUUUAAGCUUGUAGUCUUGUACUAAUGAGUACUUGAAAUGUUAUAUCUAACCUUAAUUGAAUAAAUAAUUCAAAAUUAAAAGAUAUCAAAUACUAAAUGAUACUAGUGUCUAAUAACAAAUCCAAAUCCAAAUAUCAUAAUUCUAAGAUUUUAUUCUUAAAUCAUAUUGAACACCAAAUUAUUAAAAAUUUCGAUUCAGAUAAUUUAAUUUUCGAUAUAUUAUGUCCAACUCUAGUAGUAUGGCUAAGGAAGAGGAACUAGUCAGUUUGCUUCAUUUAAGUGAAAUUGUGGAUGCUUUAAUUAAGGGAAAAUUACAUUCUAUUAGAAAUAAAGUUUUUUUCCCACUUGAAUCAACAAAAAUAUUGUAUUACAAAAUAUGACUAAAAUUGAAAAAAACAUAUAGUGGAAACAGACCCAUACUCAUUUUAAAAACAACUAAUGAAUGUUUUUUCUUUUCCAUUAAUUAAAUUAAAAUAUUUAUAAAAAUAAUCAUUGAAUAUUUUUAAAUAGAAAAUCUCAAAAGGAACUAUGACUUUUUAGUAAGUCUGCUAGAAUUAUAUUUGCUAGUUAUAAAAAGAAAACUAAUAUCAUACAUUAAUAUAUAAAAGAAAAUAUUUUGUUACAAUAAUUUUGAUAGAUGACUAUUUAUGUCAGUUUCUCUUUAAUUAAAGAGAAACUUAUAGAAAUACUAUUUGUUUAGAAGUUAGUUACUUAGAUACAUACUCUAAUAUAAUAUUAUGAAGUUUAUCAGAUUUUGAUGCGUCCAGACACAAUCAUAAUCAUGUACUUGGGAUACAUGAGGUCAAAUUUAGAUAUAAAUUAAUUCCAGAUACAUUAAAAAGUGGAUUCGCAUGUAUCUAGAACACAUAAUAAAUCUUAUUCGCCUUUUUCCCAUCUCGCUCGUCACUCUCCUAAUACCAGAUACAUAUAAAUAAAACUAGAUAUAUAUAUCUAGUGUGUAUCUAAUAUUGAUUCGAUGCAUGUGAUAUAUGACUAUAUCAUUCACUUCUCUCCUUAUUUUAGUAUAUCUGAUAACAUAAUACAUAUGCCAUGUACCAUGCACAUACGGUAAAAAGAACUGUUAAUAGUGAUAAAAACUUAAUUAUUUGAAUUCCCCUUAAUUCACGUUGGCAAAAAAGUUUUGACUUUCUUCAAUUGAAUUCGAUCCAAUACGUUCUGGGCCUGUAGCCCACUACAACUAGAUAAAUAGAGAGGAAACUUAUAUAAAUAUAUUAUAAUAAAAAAGUAUUUAUCAUUUAAAGUAAUAAUAUUUUUUUCACUUAAUUACUUUUAAUUCAUUUAUAAUACAAGUUUAAUAAUAUUACAAAAGAACAAUUUAUUAUUCACAUAUAAUACAAAUUUUAAUGAUGAAUAAUACAUUUAUCAUACAUUUUAAUACACUUAUAAUACAAUGUGAUAAUUUUUAACCAAACAAACAUGAUAUAUUUCAAAAAAAAAUUAUAAUUCAGAUAUAUUGCAUACAUAAUUCACUUUUAAUAUAUAUUAGAGAUCAAAUAAAGCAUUACUAUAAAUGGUAAUAAACAAAAAGUAUUGCUAAAAUCAGUAAUUAUUUUUAAAAUGUAUUAAUUUAUGUAAUGUUUCCUAAAUGGGGGACUCAAAGAAGUCAUUUGCAUUUCUGCUCCAUAAAGGGUUUGUUAUUAAUUUAUUUAGUCUUUAUAACAAAUAAUUUUACUUCAUAAUGUGCAUUAAUUUAUAUUUUCGUAUAAUAAUAUUUCACAUUAUUCCAGGGAAGGAAAUCCCAUUAGGCAUAAGUUUGAUUUGCUAAAAUGAAAAAAUGAAAGAUCAAAUUAUUUGAAGAGUAAAAUGUUCAAUCAUGUCAACUUGAUUGAAGACACUCAUUACAACAAAAAUAACUUUUAGUAACACUAAAUAUUAGUAACACUAAAUAUUGACACAUGUUAAAGUCUUUACCUGCAAUAGUUAAGUAUCAUUAGAACCAAUGUCGCUAAAAGCUUUAGGAACAUAUACAAAAAGUGACAAUUGACGCUAAAAAUAGAUAUUUAGCGGCAAUUAAGAAUUAAAUGCCGCUAACGCUCAUUUUUGUUGUAGUGACUCUGCCUUCGUCUCCCAAACCAAAUAUUGUAUUAGAAUUGAUAAUUCUAAAAAUAAAAUGAGCUGAGUGCUCAAAAUCUUAAAGGUCGAAGACAUCAAAUUUAAAUCUUGAAUCCGCCUCUAGAUAAAGAAAGUUGUUCAACGAUUACAAAUUUACACACAAUAUAAUGGAGAAUGAAUAUAGGAUUUAAACAAGAGCUCAUUAUAUGGCUCAAAAAAAAAAAAGGAAGAAAAGUUCUUUAGUCCAAACUAGCCAUAAGAAAACAUAAGAUUGUAAACAUAUGAGCAUCUAUAUAUAGUACUUUUCCUACAUUUUUAAGCAUGAUCUAAGAGAAGCUAUUAUAAGCUUUGAUGUUACUCUAUGUUAGUAGCCGGUGGAUGGAGAUAUUGAAAGCCCAGUGAAGCAAAUCUGCUAUAAUUUAAACACUAUAUUCACCAUUGUACAACUUCAUUCAUCAAGGAGCACCUCUGUAUUGCAAAUGGGACAUGUCUGACAAAUCAAAGUGAUAGUUUGGUGUUAGGUCUCGGAGAAAACGAUGUACAUUUCUGAUAUAUAGAGGCUAGACUAAAAACUGACAUACCUUGUUGAUGCUCAGCCAUUUCGAACCACAUUCAGUGUGGUAUAUGUGCUUGCAUGGGAAGUUUAUUUGCCGAUCCCCUCGUUUGUACCUCAUUUGACAGAUGACACAUCUAGCUUGCAUGCAUAAAAACUCAUUUAAUCAUUGAGUUGAAAGAAAAAGGAUUAUGAUCAGCAGAAGAUCUGUUUGACUAAGAAUACAUGGAUUGGAGAAACUGAAAUCCAUGUACGAUGUGCACUAGUGAUCGUAGAACCAGUCCAAAAAUAUAUUUCUACACGGGUAAUGAGGAGAAACGGGAACUCGGAAGCAUGGUUAAUGCUGAAAUCAUCAAGGAGAGGCCUCAUUAAGGAUUAACAUAGACACUAUGCUACUCAGAUUAAGUUACCGAGUAACUUAAUUUUGAACCUUAUAUGAUGUUGCCUUGUUAUAUGCAUUCCGUUGGCUAUCUUACCAGAAACCAUACUUGUUUCUUUGGUUCACGUAGACCUACUUUCUGUGGUACACUCAAACAAUUGAAGAACAGAGUCAAUGAAUUGCAACUCUGUGUGGGGUUCCCUUCAAGGGUUAGCUAAAAAGUACGACUCGAGAAUAUUUUGGUCCCUCAUUCAGAUACAGUUUUGUGUGUUAUUGAAGGGGAUACCGUAGGAGGAAAACAAAAUCUUAGCUCAAGUCCAAAACAAUCUUUCUUCUGACUACAACGAAGUAUGAUUUAAUUAAUAGUAGGUAACUUCAAUGUUCGUUUUUUACGAAAGAAAUCAAUCUACAGAAAACGGAUACAAUGGAAAGGGAAAUUGCACCUUGUACAAACCUAAGUUGCGGACUCUUCACAUUGUUGCCACACCCGUGUCAGACUACUUUUGGAGAAUCCGACACACACCCACUGACAUUUUUGAAGAGUCCGAGCAACUUAGGUACAAACAAUGGUUUCAAAAGAAGUGUUGGUACAAAAAUUACCUUUCCUCUGAUUUCUUCCUAGAAAAGAUUCCAUUAGACUUGUAUUUGGUUGUUGGAAGCAAAUUAAUUAGUUCCUCGGCAAGUCCUCGACUUUCAGUUCCAACUGUUUCACCUAAAUCAAGUAACUCCUGCAACAUAAAGUAGAAAAUCAGUAAUUAAUCCGUGAAAUUGGUUCAGCUAGUCAUAAGUAAUGAUGAUGGUACCAGUUAUACAACACAAAUCCCAAGAACAAGAAAGUGAAAAUAUUUAGUGUUGCAAUGUUUAGGAGUUGGUUUAAAUUUGCAUGAAUAUUCACUGGUUUCACAUAACAAGUGGGCGAAUAUAAGACAAAUAUCAUCAACCCAACACAGAGAGUUAACAACACAUUCUUGAGCCAACGUGUCAAAAGAAUGAGACGUGCAUUGCAUCUCAGACUACCAUUCAGCAGCUUUCAACUUCUAGUCAUAGAUAACACAAAAUGCAGAAUAGGUGAUUCCAAAAUUUCAGAUACUACAUGUUUUUGGAUGAAAGCGAAUAGCUUUAUUAUAUGAGAAUAAGGAAAAACUUCUUUUGUUCUGUGCCGUCCCAUUUUUCUUUCUGUUCUCCUACUCCUUUCUUCUCUCUGUCUUUUUCGUCUGUUCUUUUUUCAUUUUUCAUCAAGGAAGAAGGGCUUGAGGAUUUGCAUUGUGCAAGGCAGUUGUAAAGCUAUACAUCGAUGACUUCUACCUCACUCUGUACACAACUUCAAUAUACUAGAAAUUAGAAAAAGAGAACAUAAAGUGAAAAGAAUCAACUGAAAAAACAAUUCAAUGACAACGUAAUGGCGUAUAAGACACAACAUUUAGCUAUUCUUAUUCAUUUCAUCCUAUGACGGACAUUAGAGUAAUAAAAAUACAUCUCAAAAACAGUAACUACAGAUAAUUUAGACAGCACAACCAUUUGACAACUGGCCCCCAAAAUAACCACAUCUGCUGCACUGUAACAAUCCCUCUAGGAGCAAAAGAGGGCAAUGUGAUGGUGUUCAUUCUAAUCCAUGAUCAUCAUUAGUUACUCAACACCCGCAACAGGCGUAGGUUCACAUUUUAGAGUGCUAAUCCCAACAACUGAUAGCUUAUCUUAGCAUUUCAACAUUCACUCUUUAAACGUAAUUAGUAUAUACUAUAUAGAAACUCUUGAUUUAUGGAUGAGUUUUAUAUAUUUACAAGCUUUAGGCAUGACGAUGAGAGGCAAAUUUUGCCAUCUUUUCUAAUUUUCCAUUACAAGUUAGCCUCACAGUAUGGUAACCGCAGCUUUUGCUGGUAUAAGCCUCCUCACUCCAACUAGGGGUUAGUUUUAUCAUAUAAAAUAUCAACUCGGAAGGUAUUCGAAAGACUAAAUAAAUUGCAAAAUCCUAUCAUGACUGCAAAUCAAGCUCAUUCACAAACCUAAGAUAACAUGUAAAAAAAUUAGAGAAGCUGGUUGCAAGGUUACAUACCUCAUAGGUCAUGUUGUCAAGGUCAAUUUCAUCUUCCAAAAUAUCCUUCACAUAGUAACAAAAGGUAAGAAAGGUGAAAUUAGCAUGCUACAAGUCAAGAGCAUGUUCUUUUUUUUUCUGACAAAGGUAACAAGUAAGUCAACAGCAUGUUAAUCUAGCAAACUCAUCAACUAAUUCAAGACAAUGGGUGACUAUUACACAGAAAACAUUUGAAGAACAAGUGAAUCAUGCUCAUUAGGAUUUAAACAAUUUAAGAUGCCAAUAGAAGUUAGUGAGACGGUUCUUUAGCAGAGUAGGUCAAAAAGGAGAUCCAUGUAUUUGUUUUCUAGCGAAUCUUCCAUUAUAUUCUCAAGGUUCAAGAAGAAGGGUGAGCGAAGUAAAAGGUCAAAGACUGAUAAUUUAUGAUUACCAAUACUGCCUCAAUCUUUCUGGUUGAUGUGGUGAACUUGUGAUGGUAAAUGCAGGGCAAUGCACAACAACAUGACUUCAUGUUUAUGAUAUAAGUGUUAAGAACAACUAGUGUGUGUACAGGACAUCAUUAAAUUAGCAGAACAACAUCCUCUUCUCUAAACAAUCAAUAUUUCCAGCAGUCCAGAGAGCUAAAGACAGAUAAUGAGGAACUGACAACAAGCAAAGACAAUGGCAAUAAUAUCAACAAAGAAAAACAUGGCCAAGUUAUCUAAAGCCAAAAAGUUGUUUACAACAUUAAAUGAUGAAAUAAACUCUUUUAUUAGAAACAAGUAAAAUUUACCUGGUGGUUAGAAUCAUCUUGAUUGGAUAGAACACCUGAUGAAUUGUGAAAUAUAUGUUACAUUCUGUAAAAUAGCAGUAUGUUAUAACUAUUUAAACAACACAUAAACAGAAGAGUUUCUACAAAAUACUGGAACUUAACCAAACAGUAAAUGUCUACAAUAGAUUGAUCAUACACAGUAAAAAGAAGGGGAGACCAGUAAAGCAAAUUCAUGAUCUUAUCUCACAAAGUCGAAGGAGAAAAAGUAUAAUGAAGCAAUUGCCUAAAAGAAGAGGUAAAAACUAUAAUAUACAAAGUAUUGGUUCAAAGACAAAAACUAAACUAAAGGCAAAUAGGGGAUUUGCAUCUCCUACAACAGUGAGGAAAGUAAAAAACUAAAUUCAUUACAAAGUGCUAAAGCUUCAGAACUCACAUUCCUCCGUGCCAACAUCCUCAACGGGGACAGUAUUUUCCUCGUAUAUUACAUCAGUCGAUACACCUUCAUGAACAUUCAUAGGUACAGCAUACUCCCACGGCCUCUCUGAGAAAUCCGGCCUUGACACAUGGUUGUUGCCAGUCUCAUAAGAAUGAUAAGAAGUACUCUCAAGAUUGGAGUGCUCAUAUUUAUAGUAACUCAUAUUCAUAGACCAAUAUGCAUUUUCCUGGACAAAAGAUUCAAAUAAAUGGUUACUCAUUCCACCUAACAAGUCGUAGUAUUUUCGACACGGAGCAUAGAUACUAAUAUCACCAAGUUAAAGUUUAAAUUCUAGAUCCAGCUCUGAGACCUAAGAGUCCAGUCCAUUAAAGGGAGUGAAAUAAACAGGUUAUUAUUCCCACUAAAAAACAAGCUACAGAGAUGUCUAUCCCUCAAAGAGCAUAAAUUUUGUACUGGAGAAUACUUCUUUCUUCACAAAUUAUAUAACCUCUCAGUACAAAAUCAACUGCCACAUAGAAAGUUACAAAAAACUUACCUGAUCCUGAAUCUGUACAGGGUUAUUAUGAUACUGUAUUAUAGGGGCUUGUGAAACACCAUCCAAGAAGCCUGGGAAACUCUCUGGAACAUUAUAAGGAAAUCCCAUGUUCAUAUAAUGCAUCGCCUCCAUGUGUUGAUCCCCACUCAUUUUCUUCACUGAAAAAAAAACAUGAAUAUUACAGAGUAUUAAACAUUGAAGAAGAAAAAAAUAAGUCCAUUUUUCCCCAUUUGACUCAUUCUUGAAACAAUGUAGGGCAAACCUUUCUUGAUUUCAAAUGGGGUUUUUCUAAAGAACUCAACAAAUACAAAAAAAAAAAAAAACCCAAGUUGAAAAAUCACCUGAUUUUAAAGGAACUACCAACAAAUCCGAGAAAAAAUGAAGAAGAAAAACAGAGACAGAGAGAGUAGUAGUGUGUUGAUGGGUAAGGAAGCAGCAGAGGAGUGACCAAAUUGUAGUGGAAAAAUGGAAAGUGGAUUUUGUUGGGAUAUAUGUGCUGCUUUUUUGUAUAUAGAUAUAGAUAGAUAGAUACAUAUAGAUAGAGUCCCCUUCUCUUUCUCUCUUUUGUUUGUCUCUGUCUCUGUCUCUGUCUGUGUCUCUGUCUUUAUCAGUCUCUCUCUCUCUUGCACACACAGGGCCACUGCCGCUUGUGCCGGGCUUGAGAGACACGCCAUCUAUAUCUAUGUAUCUAUCGUUGCUCCGUCUCAUAUUAGUUGUUCAUAUUUUUAUUUAACAAAUCGUAAAUAAAACACGAGAUAGUUACUGCAAUAGUAAAACUUUCACUUUCAGUCAUAAAAUUGCUUGUUCGGAGUAUUAAUUAAUCUCAUAUCUUUAAUAGGUCAUAGAAUAACCUGAUAUUUAACUUGGCUUUCAACUUAAUCUAUGUCAUUCAACUUUGAAUGUAUAUAACCAUAUAGACACACAUCUUAUAAAGCAUAAAAUAUGUCAAAUGUCACAUAAUACACAAAAUUAUUAUAGCGAACAUGAUAUAAAAUAAAUAUGUUUAUUUAUUCAAUAUAAGACAAUUUUAAAUAUCAAACUUGUGUAUAUUUAAUAUUGGAGGGCAUCAGCGUGUGUGAAAUAGUGUUCUCUUCGUAAAAUUGAAGUAUUUUGUGCCUAUAUAGUUUUAAAAAGGGUUAAAUAAUGUACUUAGUUGAAUAUCGAGUAAAAAUUAGAGAUUAAUUCUUGUUAAAUAUAUUUUUUCUUUCUUUUUUUUUUAAAUAGUGUGUCAUAUUCUGAAAAUUAUAAAUUUAGGAGGAGUUGGGUACGGUAAACAUGUCUGUUCUCGUGAUGUAUUUAUUGAAGUGUGAGAAUGGAUUUCAUAUUUAUAUAAACGUUUCGGUUUUUGUAUGGUCAACAAUCAACAUUAUCUCUUUUUUCUUUCUCAAUAUUUACUUGUAUUUGUUUUAAACUUAUAUAUUUAGAUAAAUACAAUAUCCUUCACCAAUUCUAUAUUUGGAAUUAAGAAUAAUAAUAAUGUUAUUAAGAACCAUUAUCCAGUGAUAUAUAAGUUAUACUACGCUUGUUACGAAUAUUUGAUUCAUGAGAUGAAAUAUAAUUUAAUUGAUAUUCUAUUAAAUAAUAUAAUAAAAUCUAUGUAAAUAAUUUUAUUAAAUGUUGAAUUAAACAGUUAAGAUCAAACAAUACGGCAAUAAAAUUUUAAAAAAAUCAUAAUUUAAAAAAAAAUUGAAUUAAAUUUUUUAAUAAAUAAAUUGAUGACAUGACAGAAUUAUAAUUGUCCACAUCAUCAAUUUUUUUAAAAAAAUAAUUCAAUUUCUUUUCAGAAUUAUGAUUGUCUUUUAUUUAAAAAAUUGAUGAUGUGACCAAAUUAUAAUUGGUCACGUGUCAAAAAUGGUUUUGCAAAACCACCGUUAAAAAUUAAUGGCAUGAAUGAGCUUUUUAUUUAACGGUAAUGACAUAAAUUAGUCAAUCUUUUAACUGAUGGCAUAAAUGAGCCUUUUAUGAAAGUUCGAUGACAUAUUUAAGCCUUUUCCCAAAUAAAAAUAAUAGUAUAUCCCAAGCGCUUGCAUCUAAUGGUAUGAAAUCAUUGCUACUUUUUGAUAGUUAUAUUUUUGUACGAAAAUGAUGUUUGGGCCAAUUUUCAUACACAUCGAUUCAUUUAAGGGGAACUUACAUAGCUAUACUAUAAUAAAAAAAUAUUUACCAUUUAUAGUAAUGACAUUUUUCUUCACUUUAUCACAUUUAAUUCAUUUAUAAUACAAGUUUGCUACAUAUUACAAAGAACAAUUUAUUAUUCACAUGUAAUAAAAAUUUAAAUAAUAGAUGAUACAUUUAUCACACAUUUUAAUACACUAAAAAUACAAUGUGUCAAAUUUUUACCAAACAAACAUAAUAUAUUUCAAAAAAUAAUUAUAAGAUAUAUAUAUAUAUAUAUUGCAUACAUGAUUCACUUUUAAUACAUAUUACAGAUUUAACAAAAUAUUGCUAGAAAUGAUAAUAAAUUAAUUGAUCUCCUCCCAUUAGCAAUAGAUAUCGAAUAAUUUUGUUCAUCAAGACUAGUUAUAAAAAAAAUUAAAAGAAUCACCUAACAAUUUUUUUUAUCUCCGCAUAAAUUUAAACUUAAAAUAUUGUAAUUCUCAACCACUUAAUUAAUCACUAUAUCACGCCUUUAAAUACUCAAUAGAUCAAUUUGCUGUUAUUAGCCUGGUUAGAGAAGGUUUUCAGGAAGAACUUGUUAACUACGAAAUUAGAGACAUGCGCUAAUUAAUGAAUCAACGAAAAAAAAAUUCUCUUUCUUACUCUCAGUAAUGAUUAAUGACAAUUAUGUGAAUCGAAAAAUCUUUUUUGAAAUUGAGAAGUGCUAAAUGGUCAGAAUAUGAUCAGAAUAGUGAAAAAGAUUAUUAUAGUUUUUUUCUCCAAAAUAAAAUUAAGUUUUUGAUAUUUUCAAAAUAGUAUGAGCAUUAAUUAUUUUGAUAAGAUUAAUUUUCCGAAUUCCAUGCUUUAUCACUUCUUCAAUUCUUUUUCUUUUUGUCAUUUUACUUCUCCUUCUUGACUUUUUUUUACUUUUCUUAUAAAAAAUUUAAAAUAUGGUGAAAAUAAAUAAUUAUAUUUAAACACUUAAAUUGGUUAAAUUCAUCCCAUGAAUGAAAUAAUAAAAGUAUUUAUUUUAUGUAUUUAUUGGAACUUCACAAAAUUCUAUAUGUUUUGAUCAUAAAUAAGGUGUUUUGAGUUUUGCCUGACUUUUAUUAAAAUAUUUUUCAAAUUAUACUUACAAAAUUAUUUAAAUAUGCAUUUUAAAUUUAUUUCAACGCAACUUAAUAAAUUUAUUUAGUUAGAACUCAUAUUAAUAUUAAUAAAUAAGUAAUAGUUCACAUAUUAUCAAGUCAACAUAAUACAAGGGUGCUAUCACAUAUUCAAUAUAAUUGUUGUUAAAUAGGAUCGACACUGGUGAAUAUAUGAUUUUGAUAAUAUUGUGAUAUUUGCAUCUCUAAAGUGUUUUGAGUUUCGAUUGUCGUUAUUAAUAUAGUUUUAGAUUAUAUGUUAAAAUAUUCAAAUAAAUAGCCUAAAUUUAUUUAAACAUAAUAAUUUAUAAAAUUAUAUACAUUGGAUAUUAAUAACAAAUAUGAGUAAUAAUCUAUAAGUUAUCAAAUUGACAUAAUAUAGUACGGAUACAAGACUAUAAAUAAAAUUAACACAUUAUCCUUAGGGAUUCUCAACAAUAUGCAAUAUAAGUAAAAUAAAUAUAAAAUUCUAAAAUUUAAAAUUAAAUGAUAAUGAUCAAUACGAUUUUUCACUAAGUAAUUAACUGUUUAUACAUCGUGUGUAUUUUCUUUUAGAAAAAUAAUAUUAUAAUCUUGGGACUUAGAUAUUUUAAAUAACUAUUAAUAAUAAUGCAAUUUUCGUAGUGAUGCCUUGAAUUAAGAAAGUUAUUUCUUUUUAUAUAAUAGUCUUAAUAUCAAGGUUGACUACUCUCUUUUAAAUAUAAUACUAACAUUGAUAUAUAUAGAAUAAUCAAAUAAGAUAUAUAAUAUCAUUUUAUAUUUCAUUACUAUACUACAUUGUUUGUUUGAUCUUCGUAAUGAUAAUAUUGUGCAGAUUAAGUUGAAUUAUUACUAGGAAAAAAGAUUUGAAAUACUCCUUAAUUUUGUGAUAUAGAGAUGAUACAUAUUCCAUAAAGAAAAGGUCACAUAUACAUUUAUUGUUACAUGAGCAAAUUAAAUAACUUAUACAUCCUCUUUUGACUAAAGAAGGUUAUACUUUAGAUUUUUAAUUUAUUUAUUUUAGUUAUUUAACCAAACAAUAGUCACACAGAGGAAAAUCAGAUAGUUUUUUCACGAUUUUAUUUUUGAGUUUUUUAAAUCAAUGGAUAAUUUGGAUCUAAAUUAUCUCCGUUGUGAAUAUAUUGUUUAUCAUUAUUUGAGUUUGUUGUUCAUGUUUAAUUUUUUGUUUUCAUUAUUUAGUGCAGUAAACAUGGGAAUUAAAAAGAAAUAGUGAACGAAAUAAAAAUAAUUUUUUAAAAAAAAGUAAACUAAAAUUAAUCAUUUUUUUUGCGAUUACAUUGAAUUUUAUUUUGUAGUUGCAAAAAUGUUGAUGCAUCUACAAUAGACUUUGAAGAAGAUUAGUGAAAAAUUAAGUUUUAUCAUCAAUAUAGUAUAUCAAAAUUAGUCAUGAAAUUAAAGAAGAUAAAAAUAAAUAAAAAGAUAAAAAUUCAUGUAUGAAGAAGAUCAAAUAUAACUCAAAAUAUAUCGAGAAGGCUCAAAUAUACCUUUUAUAUUUUUAUUUUGUUAAAAAAAUUUAAUAAGUUUUUCACUUUCAUCAGCGAAAAAUGAUCUUGGCUCUUCAAACGUACCUCAAAAUGCUACGAGAAGGGUCAAACGUACCCUGUAUAAUUUUUAUUUUAUCAAAAAAUAAUUUUGAAUCAAUUUUUAACUUUCUUCGACUAAAAAAGAUUUAGCUAUAUCACAGUAUAUAUGUAACCAUUGAAAUAGAUGUGAGCUACUUUCUUUUAUGAAACAAUAUACUAUCUCUAAAUCAUAAAGUUGAGAAAUAAAGUUUAUUAUUAUUAUUAUUAUUAUUAGUAGUAGUAGUAGUAGUAGUUUAUAAAUGACUGAUAUAUAUGACACUUUUGAUUAAUAAUUUUACUUGUUAAGUUAUUUUAUGAGUUUUUAAUUUGAAUUGCUUGUGAGAUAAAUUUAUGUUAAAUUUAAUAUUGUUAGUGUUUAUCUUGUCAUUUAAAUUUUAAAUUUUAUUUCUUAAUUGUAAAUUUCAAAUUUGUGUUCUUUAAAAUUUAUAUCGGAAAGUAAAGGAAAGAAAAGAAAUUAUUAAGACUAUCAUUUUGUAGUCUUUUAAAAGAAAUUGAAAUUAACAUGUAAUUAUGAAGUUAUGAGAAUGUGGGAAUAGCUAAUCCCCAUGCAUUGGGAAAUUUUUUAUGUUUACAAAAUAAUUAAUAAAUUUAAACUUAAAUAAAGAUAAAAAUGUCAAAAAGUAAACUUGUUUACUUAAUGAAUGCACCAUUCUCGUCAUGGCCAAAUUUUUCUGGUCAAAAGGAUUUUUCCUUUGAAAUUUUAUUAGUUAAAAUCUAAAGGUGUAGAGGUUUACUUUCAACAUGAAAAAAAUGAAGUUGAGUAGGCGUUUGUCAUGUUGUAUUAUAUUAUGAUAUGGAAUUUUAAAAUAAAAUUAGUGUUUGGAUAUGUGAUUUUACGUUAAUUUCAUGUGACUUCGUAUUCUCAAAAAAAGUAAUUUCAUAUAAUGAUUUGAGAUACCAAAUUUCUUAUAAAAAUUGCUUCACAAGUUUAUAUUUUGUUAAAAGAACCUCACAUUUAUAUCUAUUAACCAUUUAUUUUAUAUGUAAAUAAAAUUUAUAGACACAUAAUUAUUUUUUAAAUUUAUUAUUCUCACCAACAUAAAUUUUAUUUUGCACAUCGAUAUAUAGUCACUUCAACUCACACCAACCGAUUGUUGAGUAAUAAAUUUAUUCUCUUCAUUUACUUCAACACCUAAUUUAUUACUUCUACCAUUUUGAAUUUAUUACAACUGGUUUAUUUUCUCGAUCACAUAAUCGAAAAAUGCAAGUUCAAUAUGAGGAAAUUAUUCGUACUAUGUGGGAUAAUUAUAUUAAAGACAACUAUACUACAAUUAUAUUCAAAUUUUUUAUUCAAUAAAGUUAUAUGAAACAGUUAUUUAAGUGGAGAACAAAUAGCUUGUAAUAAAUUAUUAUGCGAUUUCAUAAUUUUUCGUUUAUUUGGUAUGAUUGAAUUUUUUUUUGAAGCUAUUUAAUAGUUUUACAACUUAUGAGAUUCGUAUGUUUAUGAAAAAAAUACACUACACAAAAAUUUGAUAUCGCAUGUUCAAACAAAACUUUAAUUUCAUCUCAUAAUUCCACAUUAUGAUAUCAUAUUAAAUGGCUAAACGGGCCCUAAGUGAAUCUAUAAAAUAAUUCUUCAGUUUAUUUUUACUCGUCAUGUUUUGACUUGGUAUAUUAACUUUUAAGAAAAUAAUUAUUGAUAUAGAAAUUUCACCAAACUAUCCCCAUUAAAUGAUGUUUAGUAUCAAAUUUUGAAAAAUGAUUUGAAGAGAGAAUAUUUAAUGUUGACGGUAAACAUGUAUAACAAUAUUUUUAUUUUAUUUUUUAUAUGUCAAAAAUAAUAAAUAAAAAUAAAAAUCUAUUUUUUAAAGAAAAAGACAAGUAAAAAUGACUGGAAUAUUAAAAUUUGAAGUAACAGUAUAAAAUUUUAAUGGAGGCAAGCAGACAUGGUAUUAAUUUUAAAACCUUCAGAAAGAGGAUGGCUAAGAUACUCAUUAAGUAUAAAUGUAGUUAGUUAAUUAGUUAAACUUGAUUUACAUUAGUUAGUUAGUCGGUUAAUAAUACUUAAAUUUGUGGUGCUUAAUUUAACUAGACUAAAAUUAACAGCUAAUUGGUCAUUUCAAUUAGAGCUAGAUGUCCACUUGUGUCAUUUUAGGAUAUGGUGAGUUUAUCGAGAAAAUAAUCCUCUCAAUUCAAAAAUAAAAAAAUUUCAAAUCUUAUAAAUUAUGAUAACAGUAGAUUAAUAUUAAAUUGUAAUACAAUCAAUUUUGAAUUCUCUUAUUGUUUCUCUGGAUUGAAUCAUACUUCUUUUGAUUUAUCUUUCAUCUUUUUUCUAAAUUUUCUGAGGCAAAGGUUAAAAACGUUAAUUUUUUUGAGUAUAAAUGAAAAAAAAAAAGAAAUACAACUUGAAGUUAAAAACACAAAAAAUUCAUGUAGUAUAAAAUGAUACUAACAUGAGUUUUGUGGUGUAUAAAUCGGUUUGUUUCAUCUUUAAUUAUAGGUCUUAGAUUUUGAACUCUGUGUAUGGAGAAAAUUAUGUUAAUAGCGUCAUUUUUAAAUAAGUCUUGCAAUACGGAAUUCAAAUUUAAUGAAAGCUUCAAUAUGUGCUUUCAUCCCCCUAAAAAAAUAUAUAUUACUCUCUCCUUUUAAAAAAGAAUAACCUCAUUUUUUUUAAGUCUGUUUCAAAACAAAUAACCUUUUUCCUUUUUUAAUAAUAAUUUAUUUCAACUUUUUACUUGACAUGUUUAAGGUCACAAAAUUAAAAAAUAAUUUUAUAUAUUUCACAUAACUUUUUAAUUUAAAAUUAUAUUUUAUUUUAUUUUUUUAAAUUUCAUGUCAAAUCAAAAUAUGUUAUUUUUUCGAGAAAAGUAUAAUAUAAUAUGAUGCAAGUGGAUUUGUUAAUUUUAAAACCUUCCUAAAAGGUAGGUGUACAUCCUCUAAACCAAUCCAAAUGAAGAUGCUAAAAGUUUGGUCUGCUUUUAUAGGUUGGUCCAUCUUUGAUCCAAUGUAAAGGGGCUUACCUCUUAUCUUGAUUUGUGUAGCAAACCAUUAAUAAACUUCUAGAUACACUCUUAUAGUAAGAAGAAAAAAAAAUACAAAAAUGAUCCUUUAUUAUUAUGAUAUACAUCUAAUUAUAUUAUUAUUAUUAUUAUUAUUAUUAUUACAUGGAGUGUGGAUGCUAUUUGAUAAGAGUUUUUACAUUUUAGCCUCAAACCAUGAAGACUUGGGAAACUAGCCCUUCAAACCUCUAAAAGCUUCUCUCAUGAAUAUUUUUGAGUAUUUAUAAUUUUUAAAAAAUAAAUUGCUAAAAAAAAAGGAUACUUUCUUUCUCUGUAAAUAUUUAAUAAAAUUUGUUAGAUAUUUUAUGGGAACUUUAUGCCAGACAAUUUAUUUGUAUGAUCCAUUUCGAUUCAUCUUUCUCUUGCUCAUUUCAAUUUAUUCGUAUAACUAUAAUUUGAUAAAAUAUUUUUAAAUUUUACCAUCGUUAAAAUAUUUAAAUAUCACACGUAAAAAGUUUGGAUCAAAAAUUUCAUUUUUUUAAAAAAUGAGAUUUUUUUAAAUUUAAAAAUAAACUAAAACAAAAUCAAGUAAAACGAAAAAAAAAAAGAGAGUAAAGAUUAGAUGAAUAGGAUAACAGGGAAGGAUCAAUCAGAGUUGUGAUAAAGUGAUAAGUAUUUUUUUAUUUUUAAUCAAGAGUUCUCUACUCCGAGUCACCUUGAAUUCAUAGUCACCUCUGUUAAGGUGUAUUUAAUUGUACUUUAAUGUAAAUAUCAGAUAUUAAUUGAGCUUUAAUAUAAAUAUCAAAUAUUAAUAUAAAUAUCAAAAUACUAAAUAACAAAUAAUAUCAAAUAUUAAUUAAUUUCUAAUAUGAAAAAAAAAAAAAGGGAUGUGGAAGGCAUGUGUUUGGGAAGGAAAAAAGGCGUUUAAAAAGGCGGUAAGAAAGGUAGGAAGCCGAAUUCCGAGAAGCGUGUCUGCCGUACAGCUGUACCUAACUCUGUAUUAUCACUACAAAAAUCCUAUUUGUUUCCUCUAUGCUCCCCUAUUCCCAAACCACUAUAAUAUGUAAGUAUAUAUUUUUAGUUUAAGAUUAUAAAAUUUAAAUGUCUUAUUUAUUUUCUUAAAUUAUGUGUAAAGUAAAAAAAAAUAGACAAGCAAAUUGAAACGGUUAUUCUCAAUUAUAAAGUAAUAAUAUAAUAUUAGUUAAAAAAAUAAGUAAUUAAAUAAUAAAAUUGUAAAUAAUUCACGAAAUGUGUCAUUCACAAGCGCGUGGAUAAAAGGUGCACAUUUCAAGUCACGAAAAUAUUAAUCAAAAGUUCCAAAUUUAAGUCAUAAAAAUAAAAACAUGACUAAUAAUUUUUUUAAAUGAUGCAAAUUUAAUUAUUUAAAUUCUCAUAUAUAUAUACAUAUCGAAAUCAAAUGAGAAAUUAAAAAACGUAUUGUAUCGUUUUUAUUUUCCCUUUAAAUAUUUAUUAAAUUUCUUAAAACUUUAAUUUUACGAGUUAGAAUUAUUUUACAAUUUUGAAAUGGCUAAGGGACCACAACAAUUUUUUUUAAAAAAAAUAAAUAAAUGAAGAGGUUGUGGUCCUUCUAAGUGGUUCAAUGUCCUGUUCGAUACUAUUAUAUUUUUAAUUGAAUUGAUAAUUUAGAUAUUUAACUGUUAUUCACAUUUCAGAGUGAAAAGAAUAGUGGUAAAAUAAUUUUAUUCUAUUUUAUUUUAUUUUUAAACCAAAUCAUAUCUUACAAAAAUUUAUUUAAAUAUUUAACACUAGCUUCAAAUCUACAAAAAGCAAAGUAUUAUACUCACAUUUUCAACUUCAAAUUGAAACAAAAAUUUUGAAGCUGAAAAAUUGAUCUGCAGAGUAUUUAAAGUGAAAUAAUAUAUAUUUUUUCUUACAAAAUUUUAUAAUACUUUUCAAAUGAUGGCCGAACAAAAGUUGACAAUGAAUUGGAUUUAGUGAAAAGGUUGAAAUCUUUUGAAUGUAAAUUAUUAUUUCACUUGAAAAUUCUCCCCAAACCUGUUCUACUUUUUUUUUUAAUUAUUUCUUUUUAAGUUCAAAGUUCUUUAAAAAAAAAAUUUAAGAAAAUUCAUAAUAUCUGUCUUUUGAAUGAACACUCUAAGGUAAGCAUUAUUCACUUUGCAAUAUUCUAUUUAAGUGUUGAUCACUCCCAUAUUGAUUGUUUUAAAGCAAUUUUUACCUCAUGAGUUAGGAUGGAAUUAUGUUUAAUAUUUUAUUUUUAAUUAUUAUAUCAAGGUAGACUUGUCUUGAUUUAUUAUUUGUUCGAUAUUAUUUUUAUCUUCCACACUCAAAAUGCCCUAAUAUGGACGUGUGACAAGACUAAAAUAAGUCUACAUCUUAGUAUAAAGUGGUCUUUUUAUAUGAUUUUGGAUAACUCUUUAUCUUAUAAAAUAACUUUUGGAAUUAAAUAAGAUCAAAUAUCUAUUUCUUUAUCAUGUUAUCAUAGCUAUUACCAUCUCAAUUUAUUAUUUAUUUGACUUUAAACUUUUAUUUUAUAUUAUUCACGCUUCAGAUAUCUAAUCUUUACGUAUAAAAAAGCGUUGAGUCCCACAUUCUUUUCCUCGUACUAAAAAUGUUGGAACAAAUUAGGGUGUUACAAAGAGUAUUAAGUGUACUUAUUGCCCAAUUCUGGUCAUUGUAACUUUUGUGUGAGAAAUGAAGCAAAAUCCAAAAGUGAAUGAAAACCAAGGAAGAUUUUAUAAUUUUGGGGAACAAAUAUAGAGAAACAUGGACCACACAAUCCUUUGUCUUCAAGCAACGAAUUUGAUCAAUCUUUUGACCAAUUAGUGAACACGUUCUUUCUCCUCGCCUUGUACUCGUUUCGUCUCAAAAUAAGUGUUUUUCUAAAAAAAAAUUUAAAAUAUUUGUCAUUUUAUAAAACAAGUAUUUAUCUACUUCUUCACCAUUUUCUUAAUAAUAUUCAAUUUUCAAAAUACAUAAUAGUUUAGUAAAUUACAAAUUAUUUUAUUAAUUGACACUUUUUUUUGAAAUAAAAGAGAAAUAAAAACUACUUCCUCUAUACAUUAAAGGUGAUUUUUUUUUUUUAAUAUAAUAUGUUCCCAAAAAAAAAGUUGGUCAACAAAUCAACUAAAGACUUCAUAUGAGUACUUAUUUUUAUAGGAAAAAGAAGUUGAAUUAUCUAGGGAAAAGAAAUGAUUAGAUUGUAUGAUUUAUUUAAAUUUAAUAAAUUUGAAAAAGGGAAAGGAUAAGAUAAGAGUAUUGAUUAUAUUCAUAUUCCGGUUGUGGACAAUAAUCAUCUUUAUACUUUUUUGUAACUUUACAUGAUUAAGCUAAUCAUACCUAUGUUCACAUUUGUGUGCUAAUAAAUGGACAAUUAGUAAACAAAAUAUCGUCAAAUUUUAUUUAAUAAGAAAAGAGAUAUUCUUGAUUAUGAUAUGAGAAUUAUGUUAUCUAUAGUUAGGAUUUUAUUGUUAUUUCAUUCCCCUUUUUCUGCUCCCUUUUUUUCGCUUUUUUUUUUAUUUAUAUAUAUAUAAAUACAAACUAUUAGCGUCAAUUAUAUAAAUUCUAUUCAUUGUUACAAACAUAACUACUCAUGUAUUCACACAUACAAUAUUGAUACAAAUGAUGAAAAUUAAUUAUAUAAAUACAAAUGUUGAACGUAAUAUAAUAUUAAUAUAAUUGUAUUAGUGAAUAAUGUCAAUUAUAUUCGUUCAUACAAUUGAUACAACAUUGGUACAUAUUAUUAUAACAAUUAAUUAUACAAAUACAGUUCUGUACUAGAUAUUAUUCAUACAAUUGUAUAUGUUGAUACAAUUUAUUUAUUGUUACAAAUUAUAUUAUUUAAUACUAUUAUAUUUAUUAAUACAUGUAUAUAUUGAUUAUACAUAUGCAAUUAUGUAGCAGAUAUACAAAUAAAAUUGUUGCUAUAUAUAUAUACUAGUUUCAUAUAUACUAUUAUCCAACAAAUAUAAAUCUCCUCUCUCUGCCCUCUUUCUUUCUCGCUCGUCUCUCUCAUUACAAUAACAUGUAGUUAUGAAUCAUAAUGAAACUAUAGCUAUUUUACCUCGUAUAUUUAAAGUUUUUGCUAAUUUUGAAGGUUCCUUUAAAAUUAGGGAUAAUUUUAUGGAAUGACAAACUAAUAAUAUAAAAUAAUAUAGUAGCUACCGUUUGAUUUAUUUGUGUUCCAUGGCAAACUGUUUGUCAGUCCCUCUCUUCCUCAUAUUCUCGCUCACCUCUCUUGCUUUAUACAAUAGAAUUGUAUAAAUUAUGUUUCUAAUUGUAUAAAGCGAGAGAAAAUUGUAUAUACACAUGCAAAUACAUAUAUUUUUGUCCUAUACACUUGUAAUUAUGCAAUAAAAGAACUCCCCUACCCAAGUCUCUUUUGUCUUUCUCUCUUUCUCGUUUUAUACAAAAUUUAAAUUGUAUAUCAUUUCUCUCUUUCUCAUUUUAUACAAUUCGAUUUAAUUGUAUAUUCCCUGCCCAAGACUCUUUUGUCUUUCUCUCUUUCUCAUUUUUAUACAUAUUCAAAAUGUAUAUAAUCGUCCUAUACACUUAUAAUUAUAUAAUUUGUUUCAUACAAUUCUCUGCCCAAGUUUCUUUUCUCGUUUUAUAUAUUUCGUUUUAUACAAUUUGCUUCAAUUGUAUAUGUAUAGCGAAUUAUACAUAUAUAUGUUUGCUAGCGCAAUUAUGCAAACUUUGCUAUAGUAUACAAAUAUAAUUUUAUGUUUUAUGUAUGUGAAAGUUUCCCUUAAAAUUAACGUCAAAAAACAAUUUCUGAAUACACUUUUUAAACUUCAACUUCGAAAACUAAUCUUUUUUCCCCAGCUUCAGCCUAGUAUGGUCCAAAUGGCUACUUCAAAGAUGGGCCUUCUUUUCGGCCCAACUACAACCAUAGGGACAAAGCCCAUUAACUGAUAUAAUCAGCAACCAUCUUUUACUUUGGUGUUUUUUUUUAGGAAAAAUUACACAAAUUCACAAUAAAGAUAUCAUAAUAUUUCUAAAAUUCUCUAUCAUUUUAAAAGAAUUACAAAAAUCCUCUCUUGGAUAUAUUUCUAUCCCCUCUCAGAUGCAUCACUAUCUCCUCUUGGAUACAUCACAAUCAAGAAAUGUAUCCGAAAGCAAUGUAAAAUCCAAGAUUUUUAUAAUAGAGAAAAUUCCAAGACAAGAUAUAAUUAACUUCCAAAUGUACGAGACUUAUGUAUCUUAUAUUCAAUUUUAUUUAGACAAACUUUGAUGUAAGCUUUUCAAUAAUUAAUUUACAAACUUUGAUGUAAGCUUUUCAAUAAUUAAUUUAUCAGGUCUACCUGUUUACUCUGGAAAACAUUUUGCCAAAACAUUCUAUGCAUUUUGGUUUUAGUAUCACUUUGAUUCACAUGACAAUUGGAAGCACCAAGAAAAAUACACAAAAUAAUCAAAUGAUUUAACAUAGAAUGCACUAAACUACAUUAUUGAGUUGGCUGGAUAAUCUAUUUAAAAAAUUGCCCCAUAAAGUGGGGAAAAGAAAGUAGAACUUUUAUGCAAGAUGACUAACAAAAUUGGGCAUUGUACAAUGCCUUAAUUUUUGGGAACCUGAAACUAAACUAGCAACUGAACUGAACUGAACUGAAGCAGCAGCAGCUGCAAUAUGAAUCACAUCUCCGGUUUUUGAAUUCGAAAUUCAAGUUAGAAUAUUCGGAUUAAUGUUAGGUAGAGAGAUGGCAAACAUGAUUGCUGAUCAAGCUUAAGCGCCACCAGAACCAUACUUCUUUCCGAGUACAAGUAAUUGGAGUUUGUCGUAGCCAGAGAGGACACCAGCACCAGCGAUAGCACGAAGAAUGUUUGCACCAGCACCCUUGAAAAGGGACUUUGGACCCUCAUUCUUCAAGAUUUGAGUAAAUGCAUCCAUUGAACUUUUGUAUUUCACUGCUUCACCAGAUGUCAUCAUCAUUCUUCUACGAACAGUGUCAAUCGGAUAGGAUGCUAGUCCAGCACCGUUUGUUAUUAACCAACCUAGUGCAAAGCUAGCAAAGAAGCUAUCCUGAAACCAAUAAACAACAAGACAAAUAAUUUAUCACAGCAAACAUGUGUAUGCAGAUGCUUCUUUCAUGUUUUUAAUACUGAUGGGAACCAUUUAAUAGCCUUGUUCGUGAAUAUACACAUAAUAGGGCUUCGAUAAGCCCUGGAUGUUAGGGUAGAUGGAUUGCUUAACCAAGACUAUAUCAACCUGAGCUUUAUAAGUUCAGCCACUACACAAGCCGCUAGUGGAGAAAACUCUCGAGCUUCCCUUCAUUCAUUAUUAAGCUCGGCUUUACUUUCUCGAAGAAUCCUGUAUCCAUGGACAUAAGGCUUGGCAGACCUUCCCUUUCUGCCGGACCCAAACAAGUAUGGAUUUGCCAUGACAUUUGAAUACUUUUCACGUAGACUAGAAAUGCUCAAUGACAAUUUCCAAAUGAAUCGAUACUCAACAGUAUUGAAGGCAUAUGUUUUAGACAUCCAGUAUCAAAUUUAAACAAUAAGAUCAUCACGGACAGGAUCACUAGAGUUUGCACAAAACAGAAUUUGACAAUGUCUAGUUAGUACAGUCGCAGCAUUACCUGUAGCGAACCAGUGAGGACAACCGGCUUCAAAGAAUCAUAUAAACCAAAGUAGAGACCGCGGUACACAAUGAUACCAACACAUGAGAUAUUGAAUCCACGGUAAAGUCCAGCAACUCCAUCAGAUGCUAAUGUCUUCUUGUAAACAUCAACCAUACCAUUGAACUGUCGAUCUCCUCCUCCUUUUGCAGCCUUAGCAUCAUUAGCUAGCCUCGUUCGGGCAUAGUCAAGAGAAUAGACAAAAAAAAGGGAAGAUGCACCAGCUGCACCUCCUGAUGCAAGAUUACCAGCAAACCAUUUCCAGUAACCGUCUCUGUCCUUUUUGAAGUUAAAAAGCCUCUUGAAGUAAUCCUUAAACGCAAAAUUCAAGGCCUGCACAAAAAAGUGAAAGAGAUAAAAUAUAUAGCACGAGAUCAACGAAAUGAACAAGGGAUCUAAAUUGUCUUGAGAAAGUAACGAACCUGAGUUGGGAAAUAACGAAUAACGUUUGCUGUGUUGCCUCUCCACAAAGACAUAACUCCUUCCUCCUUCAUUGUUCUGCUAAAACAUUCAGCUAUGCCGCCGUAUGGUUUAGAUAACCUCCCAGCCUUGAUCAUCUCAUCCUGAUUUUGGAUCAGGAGUUUGACACGCUCAAUUGGAGCAGCUGCUGUCUUUGAAACAGCUGCUGAGACACCACCCAUAAGAAAAUCAAUUGCAAAGCUGGUAAAGCCUUUCUCUGAAGGAGCUUGGACGAAAACUGGCGAUGAGUAAGAUGAAACCACGGGCAUCCCUUCACAUCUAUGCAACCAGGGCUUAGUCUGACUUCCAUAUUUAUAUUGCCUUUGGUAUGCCAUAAAAUCUCGAUUUUGCGUAGAUCUACCAAGGAAGUUUCCAGCUGCCUUGUGAGUAACAGAGGGGUAUUGCGGCUGAUCCAUCGUCAUCUCUGUCUCUAUACAUCAAGAAAUGCAAACAUGUAAAUGAAAUAGAUUUUUCUUAUAAUUACUAGACAUGUAUAAAUGACUAUUUCUCCAUAACUUUUUUUUUUGGUUUCUCAUCCCAGAUAGCGCACUACUGGACCCAUUCAGGUGUGGUGCUCCCAACAGAAUUUUCCCCAUAUCUAGGGCUCAAACCCGAGAACUCUGAUAACUAGAUGAAGCACUCCCAUCAGUGCAUCACAAUCUAUAUGUCCAUAAUUAUAGAUGAAUCCUCAGUAACCAUAUUUCUCCAUUUGAAUUAAAACAAAAAUUAAUAAAAAAGAUGAUAUGAAUCAUGACGAAUGCACCAUAAUUUAUUCAGGCUUAUGCUCAAAACUGAUUAUAGUAACGAUAUCAGUGUGAGAGUGUCUAGAAAACGAAUCUAGGUUCUAUUUUAGUUUCACAAGCCAAAUUCAACAAAUUAUUAAACCGAGAGUCUAUCAAAAACUAUCUGUCUAACAAUAUAUCCUCCACUAGUGGGGUUACACUAGUAUCUAGUAAAUAUACAAUUGUUCAAAUGCUAAAUAUCAUGUCAAAGUGAUCUUAUAUACAUUUUUCCAAAUAAAUAUCACAUAAAAAGAAACAAAUUUUCAUCUAAAAAACUUAAACAAAUCCUACCUUUUUCACUCUUUGAAGAAUGUAAAUACAAGUUUAAUUUGUUUUUGUUUUUUUGAAGAGAAAAUAAAGAGAAGGUUAGUACUAACCUGAUAAAUGAGAUUAAAGUAUUUGGGAAUUAUGGGUUGCUUUUUAAGUAAGAUAUAGAGAAGAGAGAGUCUUUCUCUUGCCUCUAAGAGUGGAGUCAAAAGUGGAGAUGAUAGGUACAGAGAUAAUUAAGGCUUUUAACUAUGACAUUUCUAACUAAACUAUUGUUGUGACUUUCUAAUUUUCAACUAAAACUAUUUUAAUUUUUCUACAUUUUUUCAAUGCCACUUAAUAUUUUUAAAUUUAAAAUUUUUUUGUAAAAGAAAUAAAACAAGAGUUUUAAGUUUUGCUUUUGGAACUUUUUUUUUUUUGAGUGGCUUUAACAUCUAUUUUUAAAAUUGAAAAAGACGGUAGUAAAUUACAUAAAUCAUCUAUAUAUAUAUAUAUAUAUUAUUUAAACAAAUUUACUAGUAUAGAUAUAAACAUAAAAUUAAUAAAAUAAACGAAAUGAUUUAAGACAUAUUUUUGUCUUAUAUUAGCAUAUUUCAUGGUAUUAAAUUCUAUGUAUUUAUUAAUAAUAUCUCCAUGUGGAGGUAUUAGUAAAAAAUUCUACAAUAGCACGUAGGGUUAUUAAUCCAUAAAUUAGUUAUACAUAAUUUCAUAUUUAUACUAAAUAAUAUCAUGUGUAAUACAUAAACAAUUUCUCUUAAUACUCCGUAUAAACUAUCCUUAAGAUAUAAUGUUACUUUUUUUUUCAUGAUUAUAUUUUAUUUGAAGAUUUUGACUUUUCAAUACUUUUACUAUAAAAAGUAUGUGUUAAAACACAAUACUAAUAAAGAUAAUAAUUUAUUCUACUAUAUGUUCAAUGGUCAAUAAAGCUACAAAUCAACUAGUAAUAAUGAUGGAAUUCACAAUAGAUUGAAUUUUAAAUUGGUGAAUAAAGUAGGCUUACAAAGAGUGAAUUGAUUGAGAAAUAUAUAUGUUAGUUGAAGGGUUGUGUUCACAACUCAACUCAUGGUAUUUGUAUAAUGACAUUACCUUAACUAUAGUCAUUAAUUUGCAAUAUACAAAGAAAAACGAUUUCUUAAAAAAUAUUUACUUUGAAAAAUAGUUAGAUUUCUUAUUAUUUUUUAGUGUUUGUUAAAUAAAAAAAUAUGUAUUUCAGAAGUAUUAAUAUGCAAGCUAGUUAAAUAUUAUGAGGAUUUUAUUAAUUUUAAUAAUAAUUUUGUUUGAUUUAAUAAAAAGAAAGUCUAUUUUGUACUCUAUCAUGUAGCCUUUUUUAUUCCUAAAAAAUAGCAUAUAAAAUAGAAGGCUAAGAGGGAGAUAAUGAAAUUAUGUGAUUGAAUUUUCCAAAACCAAAGGAAUAACACCCACCCCAAAUUCCUUUUUUGUUAACUGAUCUAUCUAAUGGUUCAACAAACAAUUAAUUAUAAUAUAUCUUUAAAUUUUAAAUAACAAAUAAAAUACUAGACUAAGAUUCUAAAUAAAGGAGGAUAAAUAAAUUGAACCCUAUUUUAUUUAAAACGUCAAUCAAUUAUGUGCUUCAAUAUAAGAAUCGAGAGUAAACGCUAUAGCUUGUUUCCAUAUUCAACAGCAUGAUCGAACUAAAAUUUUGCGAUUUCAAAGUCUCUCCAUUGAAUAGCUUGUUCUCCCCAAUAGGAUAGAUAGUUCAAUUCCUUAUAGCUUGUUCUCCCCAAUAGGAUAGAUAGUUCAAUUCCUUCCCUUAGAACUGUACUUAAAAUAUUUUUAGUCAAUUCGGAUGGGAAGGAGGGCAAAACGGUCAAGAGAGUAGAUUUGGAGACGGUGGGUUCACGGGGAUGAAACCACAUACUUAAAAAUUACUUACAAGUUAGAAACUUGUUUCUCGAUAUUAAAAAAGUCAUUUUGCUUAUUUUGAAGGAGUUAUUUUUGCUAUGUAAAAAAUAUUUCGCCGUACCACACCCCAGAUCCACAGGUAAAUACGUUUUAGACCAUUGUAGUUAGAUCUGGAGUUAAUUCCCAUUGAUUAAAAACUCAGCAAAAUAAAUAAUAAAUAAAUAAAUAAAAGAGAAAAAAUUCUCUAACGGUCAAAAAAAAAAAAAACCAAAAAGAAAGGCUCAAAAUCCCAACGGUCUUGUUAAAAUCUCUUUGUUGUCAGCUCCUUCAACAACAAAGAAACGUUGCAUUUUCACCUGUGAAUUCAUUUUUAUUCCUCCAAAUUUUAUCUGGGUUUUGUACAUACUCUGUUCAUUCUUCAAGAACCAUGGAGAUAGCUGUCAUCGAUUGGAAAACCAUUGAUUCAAGAUUUGUUAAAGACGAUCUUUAUGAGCAUUUUAAAGCUCCUCAAUGGGUCGAUUUCUUCGCCCCCGAUGCUCCAGUUGAUGAUGAUGCUUGGUUCUGCAGACCUGGUAAAAAAAAUUUGUUCUUAAAUUUCACUUCAUUUUGGGGAUUUCUGUGUUAACUUCUUCUUGUUUUUUUUGGAGAACAGAGUGUAAUCAUCCAAAGACAGUGGAAGAUUUCUAUAAAGUAGCUACCCCUUCCUCCUCUUCGAAGGUUUGUGCUUUCUUCCUAUUUCUGAAAUUCCCACAAGUGGGGUAUUGUAAUUUGAGUGUUUUUGCUAGUUUCUAAAUUCUUGUGGGUAAUGGUUAGUUUCUUGAGAAUCAAAGAUCUGCUCUGUUAUUUGACAAAUUUGUGAUUUACAGCUUCAAAGAUCAGCUAGUGUAUCUGAUAUUCCUCUUGGGGAACGGAAUAGGAGGUAUGACAAAUGGAAAAAAAAAUAAAAUUUAUGCAAUCGUUUCUACAUGAGUUUUUAUUUGGACAAGAUUAUGAAUUCAUAAAUGGUGUUUUUAAUUUCAGAGAUGCAACAUUGAAGAAGAGGGGGCUAAUUCAACCGUUGGUAUCACUGAAUAAGGAUUAUAAAUGUGACAAGAUUGUUGAAGAUGGUGAAAAUCAGAAUCCCAAUUUUGCAACCCCUCCAAGGUUCAAGGCUAAAUUGAUGAAACAAACAAUCAAGUCGAGCGCGGAGAAGAAGCCAGUUGAUGAAAAAGAGGAACAUAUACCAAAGCUGAAAAGUACUCUUUCAGCUAGGAAUCUUUUUGCUGGUGGGGAUUUGUUGAACAAAGUGUCUGAGUUUUGCAAUGAGCUGAAGAGAUUAGUAGUUACCAGGACUAAAGAGAGAGAGAAGUGUGCAGAUGAGAACUUGGAGACAAGUCCAUUAAUCUUUGAUGAUAAAGAAAGGGAAAGGAAGCCAUUGCUGGAGAUGAAUAAAGAGACUAAUGAACUAGUGGCAAAGAGCAACACUAAGGACAAACAGAGAAGGAAACUGUAAGUUUCUCUUCACAUACUUUAUUUAGUCAACCAAUUUUUUGCAUCGAAAAUACUAGUUUCAGUUGAACGCGUAGCUUAUAGUUGAAUAGUUACCCAAAUGAAACAAUUGGCUGAGCAAAUACAUUAUUAGAGGUGUACUGAGUAUAACUGGUGGUGAACUCUAUCUAUGCAGGAGAAAUGAUAAUGCAGAAAACACACCAAUACUUGUGGAUGUGAAGAACAUUAAGCGCAGAGAUGAAGAAAUUUUGUCUCAGAUCCGCACAAAUCCUCCCACUCCUCAGUGUUUCUCAGCCAGCCGGGGAGUUACAAAGGCUGCUCCAUCUAAGCCUUUGAAAUCUAGGCCUCUGGUAUGUGUAAACCAUAUUGUCCCUAGAUUGAAUUUUGCAGUUCCAAGACUCGCAGACAGUAGUAACCUGUGAUCUCCUCACUUUCUGCCUAAUGAUAAUUUUCGACUUCUUGUGACGUGUUUUUGGUCCAUUAUCUCCUUGCAAUCCUCACCUUAUGAGCCAACUUAUCAUGUCGAUUUAAAGACUAGUCCAAGGGUCUAUUUCUAUAUAGUUUCAGUGCAGUACAGUCUGCAAUUUUAGCUACCACCAACUAAUCUUCAAGAUUCGAUUUCAUAUGAUAUUCGAGACGAGCUUUGGCCUAGAAUCAGCACUAUUUCAUAUGAUAUUCGAUUUCAUUAAGACAUUGCUUGUUCUGUUGUUACCACCACUAGCUUGUUCUUGAUUGAUUGUUCUGAUAAUAAAAAAAACAAAAGAGUAUUUAUAAUGCUUUGAACUGUUGGUCAAAAUAAUCCUGGGAUUGAUUAACACUGAAUUUGUAUGAAAUAAACAUUAGGAAACAAGAGGGAUCCUUCAAGAGCUGGAACAAAGCAGCAAUGAAGUGAAGAGAAAGGAAGAUCCAGGGAAGAUGAUGACUAGUAACAAUAAUCAACAAGGGCAGAGAGGUGGUGGUGUUAUUGUUGCUGAAAAAGAAGCUGCAAGAGCUUUGGAUGUUUUCUGGUUCUUGAAGCCUUGCACACUUGCCAGCUAAAAGGUUCAAGCCACACACCACUGUUGCUGAACAAACAUUUCAUGAAGUGCUUACUCCUCCAUACUUGAAAAAGUUGUCAUUUUGUUUUUCCAUAUUCUUUCAUUCUUUAUAGUUUCUGAUACACUCAAUCAAUCUAUGAGUUUUUUUACCCCCUUCUGUGAGGAAAAUAAGUUGUAAGAAAACAGUUCAAAGGUCCAGAAUAUUAAAUAACAUUAUCCUUUUAUUGAUGGAAAAAGUUUAUUUUUAGAAUAUAUAUAUCUAUUAGAAAGAUAAGAUUGUGAUUGAUUCUUGCCAUGAGAACCUAAAAAGCUCUCAGCUUUAUCUCCAUCUCCAUUUAUUUUUAUCAUGAAAAAGAACCCCACAGCAGAAAAAGGAGUCCCCCCCUCAUCUUUUUCACUUGGCAAUAAUUCUCUUGGAACAGUGAUAAGCCAAAACAGCAAUAUUCAGAUCUUGUUUGUCUUAACAAAACAUUAUAAACUAAUUUUGAAUUAUGCAUAGAAACAAAAACAAUUGCAACCAAUAAUUACCCUUUCUUUAUUAAUGCACUUUGAUUUAACAUGAACCAUCAAAUCUCUGAAACAAAAAAACAAAGCCUUGCAGAGAGAACCACCAAACAAAUCCACAAACCCAGAGUUAUAUUGUAAGGCUGAAACUUGAAAAUUGAAAAAAAAAACAUAUUAUUUACAGAGGGGGUUCAAGUUUAGUGAAUCUUGAAUAAAUCUACCUUGUAGUGACACAAAACAUACAAUUCAAGAACCUAGCCCAAACAUGUCGUAGCCUUGGAUACAUCCUUCCUGUAUAAACACUUGAUUCCCUACAAAGAUCCUCCAUAGUUUCCACAAAAAGAUUCAAGCUUCUCAUCGGAGGUAUAUACAGAGUCAAAGGCACUGCAGAAAACGCCACUGCAAAGAACAAGUGCAGCAUCUCCACUUAAAACCAAAAAGAUUGAUUUUUUUUUUCUUCAAAAAGCUAACAACUUUGGAUUUUCUUGAGAAAAUCAAGAAAAGGGGGUUUUGUAAUGAGAUUUUUGGAGGAUUGUUGUAGUUGUGGUUUUGGUGAAUGAUUUUGGGGGAUUGAGAUUUGGAUGAACUUGGACCAAUUUUGUUCAUAUAUUAAAUCAGAUUGUGACGCGCGUGUAAUAAAAGCUAUUACAUACUCGGUCUCAUAUUACUCGAUCACUUUUCCUUUUAUAUUCCUAUUAAAAAUAUAAAUAUUAAAUAUUUUAAAAGAGGAUUUUUAGUUAUAAAGAUAAGAAAAGCUUAAUUAAUAAUAAUUUUUUAAUUAAAUUAAUAAUUAAAUAAAAUAACUAUUUUUAAUAUGAUAAUCACGAUAUCGCGAGAAUAAUAAAAAAAGACCAGCCGUCUGUUUCUUUCCCAUUUUUUUACAGCACCUGGUUGUCAUCCGUGGUUUUGAGGUUCUUUUUAAGGGAGUAAUGGGACAUUUGGAUAAUUUUAAUUGGAUAACAUAUCAUAGUUCAUUUGGUUUAUAUUAAGUAAUAAUAAAUUAUGGAGAUAUGAUACACUUUUUACAAAAUAAUUAAGAAUUUCAUUAAAUGAGGAUAUAUACAGAAAAAAAAUCAAUAUUUUUAAAUAAUUAACUUAUUUUUAAGUAUUAAAAGAAUAUCAAUAAUUUACUUAAUGUGAAUCAAAAGGUGUAUUAUAAUAUUGCUAAAAUUAAAUAUUUUUACUUAUUUAGUGUAGAUAAUUAAAAAUAAUUGAUUUUAAAUUUAUUUUUGUUAUUAAUUAAAUCAUUUUUAAUGUAUUUUAUUUUCUGUGAUAAAUUUAUUAUAUUUAAGAGUGGUGAUUUUGUUUGGACAAUCUUGUGUUUAAUGAGUUUAAAUGUAUUGUAUGGCUGAAAUUUGUACAACUAAAUCUUAAUUAUUGCACAAAUUAGAUUGAUGCCUAAGAAAUAGGCAGGGGUUUUGAUAGGUGUAUUAGUGAAAAUAACAAGUGAAAAUAUGUGUUCUUAAUGUAGGUAUUGUAAUCGAUAUAGCUAAUUGUCAUUAUUAUUUUGCCGCGUUAAUUAAUUAUAUCAUUAGAUUUUUAAUUAUCAGUUUCUAUUAACUAUCACGGUUAAUCACUUACAUGUUAUCACUAUAUCAUAUAUAUUUUGGAGAAAAGGGUCUGAUAUACCCUUCAACUUUAUCAUUUAGAGCUGAUAUACCCCUUGUUAUGAAAGUGACUUAUAUAUACCUCUACUUAUAAACAAAUGACUCACAUAUACCCUUUUCCUCUAACGGAAAUGAAAAAUAAUAAUUUUUAUCUAAAAUUUUAUUAUUUUUUUCUAAAAAAAAUAUAAUCCCAUAUGAGGUAAAUUUUAUUAUUUUUUUCUUUGACUUUUUUCUUUCAAUGUCUAAUUUAUAAUUAUUAUUUUGAUAAUCAUAUUUAUUUAUAUUUCACUAAUAUUCUUGUAAAACUUAUUGUAGAUGAACAAAUUUUUUAUUCGAAUACAAAAUUAAAUUACAAUACACACAAAAAAAUAGUUUAAUUUUUCUCUUUAAACUAAUGAAUGAAAGAAAAAACAAAAUAAGAAUAAGAAACUCAAAUAAUUAUAAUAAAAGAAGUCAAAAAAUAAUUCAUGUAUGAAAAAAUUUAAAAUGUACCUUGAACUUUGAUAGAAGAAUCAUAUAUACCCCUAAAUAAUUUUUUUUUAAAGAUUAGAGGUAAUAAAUAUAAAUUUAAAACUAAUUUUUUAACUUCCGUUAAAUGAAGGGUAUAUGUGAGCCAUUUUGUAACGGCAGGGAUAUAUAUGAGCCAAUUGUAUAACGAUAAAGGCAUAUAUGAGCCACUUUUAUAACGAGGGGUAUAUCAACUCCAAAUAACAAAGUUGAGGGGUAUAUCAAAUCCUUUUCCCUAUAUUUUGUCUACAUCUAUUAUUACACGAAAUCCACAUAUUCCUUAGUUGUUAUGUGACCUAAAAACCUUAAAAUUUCUAUCUUAUUUUAGUGUUUAUUAUUUAUCUUUUUUUCUCUCUCUAUGGCCUCUAAUAAUAUUUUUAUGAAUAGAGAUCUAAAUCGAAUUACUUACAUCAAAUCAACUGUUAUAUAUUUUCUAAAAAAAAUUAAAGAUGAGUUAGCAUUUUUAUCAUAAAUUUGUGUAUCUUUUUAUUUAAUAAUUUAGGCGAAUUUUAAUUUGUUACUUUUUUUUCUUUUUAAUGAAAGUUAUGUAGUGUAUAAAAUUUAUUUUUCCGUUAGAAAAAAGCUAAAAAAUCACGCUCCUUAAAAAAAUGAGAAGCAAAAAAAUUGUGUUUUAAUACGUUCAACAAACAUAGAAAGAAAACUAAAAAAAGUAAAAAAAGUUGAUGGUACCAAAGAUUAAAUAAGUCUAAUUUUUUUAUGAGAAAUGCGUGUAUGGCAAUUUGACUAUUUAAAAAGUGGGUAGUGGUUAAUGGUACUCGAAGCCACAGGGCAGACCUAGUGAGUUCUAGAUUCAUGUAACAAAUACACGAUAAUGAAUUUUGAUUUUUAUAAUUCUUUGAUAUUUUGAUAUAUUAUGUCUUUAUUCUGAAUAUAUUAUUUUUUGUAUUAAUAUUGUUUUGAUAUAUCAUGUAAUUGAUAUAUUUAUUUGAUAUCGCGUAAAAUAAUAUAUGUACAUGAAAAUAUAGUUGGGAAUGAUAUUUAUCAAUAAAUGACUCAAAGUAACAAUGUUGGUCUGUUUCCUCCUCAUAUGAUCGAGAAAUGCAUGUUCAUCGUAAGGAGAUUGUUUGUACUAAUAUGGAGGAAUUAUAUUAAAAACUAGCACACUAUAAUUUAUUGUUCAUUUUUAUUUUAUUGAAUUAAAGUUUGAUUAACUAAAGUCAAAUGAAAUAAUUACUUAAGUGGAGAAUAAUUAGUUUUUAAUAAUUUAUGAUUCAUUUUAAUAAUUUUUUUGUUUAUUUCGUGAUAUUGAAUAAAUAAGUUAGACUAUUUUAAUAAUUUUAUUUAAAAAAUUAAAUAUUACAAUUUUUUUAUCAUAUAUCUAAAUAAAACUUUAACUUAUCUUAUAAUUUUAUAUUAUAAUAUCAUAUCAUAAUUUUAUAUUGCAUGAUAAAAUGAUCCGUGGAAAAAAACACAAAACAAAUGAGGCUAAUACAAAACCACUUUGUAGGUAUAUUGUUUUGGUGGCUGAGAUCCUUUGCAUAGAAGCCCUCGAAUUUCAACUUGAGUAACCAAAUUGGCUUUUUAAUUCACAAUAAAUAUAAUAUCUUAAAAAAAAAAAAAACUCGAAAGUUCUUUAAAUCUACCAAAAUUUGGUUUUAGUUGGAAUAUCAUAAAUGUAUCACUACUAUUAAAGUUCUUUUCGUAUUUGGAUCAUACUAGAGAAGUCUAGGAGAAACACAUGUACUGAUCAAUGAAGUUUUCCAUUUUGCUCCAUACAUUUAAUUCAUUUUUUUAAAAAAAUUAUAUAUUUGUAUAAAAGAAAAUCUUAAAUUUGACCACGUGGCAUUAUCACAAACAAGAGUUCUCUUUUAAAUUUAUUUGUUUUCAUAAUUAUUCUUCAUCUUUCAUGAUAAAAUGUGACCUUUCUACAGAGUUGUAACUUUUUUAAAGAGUCAUGAAAUUUUCGGUAAAGAAAAUACACAUUUGUUCACAUUAUCCUCUUUGUCUAUAAAUAGAGGGAUUUCCUCUUAUUUUAAAACGAUGAAACAUCUGAAAUAAUUCUUCUUCUUUUACACAAUUAAAUUAAAUAUAUGUAUAUUUUGCUCCUAUUGAAUGACUCACUGAAACCAUUAUUACUGUAUCAAUACACUUGUUAAUAGAGUCAUUCUAUACUUUGAGGAUCUACUCCUUUAAACCUUAGGUACUAGACAAUAAUAAUUUACUUUUAAUGAGACAUUGCGCAUUCAAUGAACUCAUUUUUUUUUUAUGUUUCAUUCUAUUGUUAUGGAUCCUAGUAUAUUUUUUACAGUCAUUAAUUUAUUUUUAUGAUAUUACUUACUGUUUAUGUUUUUUUUUAAAUUAUUGUAAUAAGUAUUUGUUAGUAAAAGAAGAUUAUUUAUCUAUUAAAAAUUUAAUAUUUCAUGUUGAUUUUCAUUUAAUUUAUAAAAAAAUAUCAAAUAGUAAUAUUUUCUGAAGGUAAAGGAUAAAUUAUAAAAUGAAAUUAAAGAUAAUUGAUUGUAAGGAUAAAUGAUAAGAUGAUAUAAUUAUCAUUUUUUUAUAUUAUUAAUAUUUAUUACUACAUAAUCUUAUAUGUAAGAUAUCAUUGCACGAAUAAUUUUACUAGUAUUUAUUAUGGUAAGGGACUCCAAAUCUCACCAAUAAAAUAAAAUAUUUUAUUUAUUUCUUAAUUUUGUAUCAAUCAAAUGCCAAUUAUAAAAAAUGGGAUAAAGGGAGUAUCAUGUUUGAUAAUAGCAUUAGUUAUUACGUAUAAAAUUCGCCACACCAAAUACGAUUUUGUUAUUAUUUUGUAGUCUCUAAUGAAUAAAAUGACUAUAAGUUAAUGAAAUAAUAUACUUUCUUCCAUCACAAUUUAUAAAAUCUAGCUGGUUGUGACAUUAAAUUUAAGGAAAAAAAGUCUUUGAAAUUUAUGGUUCAAAUAAGUUACAUAUAUUCAUUUGGCUAGAAAUCAGGUCAUCAAGUGUAAAAUGCACAUUUAAAGUUAAUUUAUUAUUAAAUAUAAAAAAAUAUUUUUUUUUUUUUUGGAGUAGACUAAAGUUGAAAGUUCUUUAUACAAACCGAGAUAAAUAGUAUUAAACAUGCAAUAAUAAUAAGUAUUUAAUGAAUAUGAAUAUGAUGAUAUAAUAGUAGAUGAGAAUAAUGAACAAUUAGCUCGGGAUAACAAAGUCACGUGCUUUGUUUGUUUCACGUUGUAUGAAAUGAUGUUUGUUGUAUUCAUUCUAAACUACCAUAUUACUUUAGUGUCAUGAACAGUACUUGUUAUAUGUGCAACGAAGAUUCAAUUAUCUUGUAAUACAAACUUAUGAUUAGUUUUUAAAAUUUUAAGUCAACCCCCCACUCCACUAGCCCCUAACCAGCCCCCAUCACCACUCGACACCCCACCCACCUCCACCCCACCCCAAAAAUUGUAAGUUUUUUUUUUAAAAAAAAAAUUCAACUUCAGAAAUUAUUUUUUAUUGUAGUAAAAAAUAAAAAAUAUUUAUCAAAAAAUAUUUUUCGCUAAAAAACCAAACAUACUAAAAUAUCUUUUUUGGAAAAUAUUUUUACUCGCCAACCAAACAUGAGAAAAUAAAUCACAUAUCAGGAAAACAUUUUCCUUCCUAACAAACACACCCUAUGUUUCUCAAUUAUUAUGACAGAACACAUGAUAAAAUCUCACUAAAAUAAUAUAUUAAAAUCUAUGGCCAAACAUUGAGUUGAGAACAAAAGUAAGUCACAAAAAUAUAAAAGUAACUAAAAUAAGCCACUAUUUUAGUAAGUAACUAAAAUAAGCUUAGUGGAAGAAAAAGUUCCACUAUAUCCAAUUUUCUAAACGUUUUCCGUUACUGUCAUAACAUUUAUUUUUAAUAUAUAAAGAAACUUUUUCUUCCACUUUAUAAAAUGGAACUUUUUAUUCCACUUUAUAAAGUGGAAGAAAAUCUUCCACUUUAUAAAAAGUUACAUUUUCAUCUUCACCUUCACUUUCUCUCCUUUUUCUUUUCAUGGCUUCAAAAAAAAAAUCACUUUGAAGAUGGUCAUCUGCAUCAAAAAUUCACUUAAAAAAAUAAGUGUUAGACAUAGCGAUAAUCAUCUGCAUCAAAAGUAGGCGAGGCAUGAAAAUUUGAGGAUGUCCCAACAUUUUUCGUCAUUUCAAAGUGUGAGAACUGACCAAAAUAAUUAUUUAGUUCAUAACUUGGAGCAAUAUUCCUAUCUUGCUGAGGUAAACCGUUACAAAAUAUAUAAUAAUAAGAAUAAUAAAUAAUAUAAAUUAAUAAAUAAUUGACAAAAUCAACAAACAAUAACUGAAAUAUAUUAAUUGAGCAUUACCGAUCACUAUCAUUGAUAGUUUUGUUUAAAUCAAAAUCAUAUCGGCCGGUAAGAGUAUUUUGAUAAUGAGUCAUUUUAGGAAAAUCAGUAGAUUGAGUUAUCGAAAAUCCAUCAGUGCUAUUAUGAUUUUCUAAUUAGGGAUGAACAUCGACCGAUAAAGGAGAACGUUGUUGACUAAUCUUAGGCUCCUUCCUAACAUAUAUUCCAAGUAUUGUUGACUUGAUUUGAUCUAUAUAGUCAUUUGGAACCCUUAAAAUGUCGGUCAACGAUUCGUCAUUAUAUAUAAUUCACUCUCUAAAAUUUACUUGUCCUUGUGAUAAAAAUGAAGUAGGGUAUUUUCCGGCUAUAAUCAAAUUAUAAUCGUACUGUUUAUACCCAUUCUUUUAUAAAUUGAUGAAAUAAAUUUAUGUUAUCGGACAUUUAUUGGAUAUUUAGCAUUGUGUUUGGGAGGACAAUUAUAAUAAAUGAUAUUUCCGUCAUGUAUAAUUUCGCCAUCUCAAUAAAUUGAAACUUUAACUUUACGUGUAGAAGAUAUUUUUUUUAGAUUGAAAUGAACAAAUAUAGAAGACUUUAUGUUGUAGGUACUAUCAACUAUGCAUAAACGUCCUUAAAUAGAUUUUUCAGAAUAAAAUAAUAAAAAUACAUAAUGAAAUAUUUUUUUCCGUUUUAAUGACAUAUCAAAUCAAUAUAAUUUAUAUGACAACACUGAAAAAACUUCUUCAAGACGUGAAAAAUAUUCUUCUUAUAAAGUGUAAUAAAAAGUUUCACUUUAUAAAGUGGAAUAAAACGUUCCACUUUAUAAAGUGGAAGAAAAAACUCCACUUUAUAAAGUAUAAGAAAAAGUUCCGUUAUAUAUUAAAAAUAAACGUUAUGAAACUAACGAAAAACGUUUAGAAAAUUGGAUAUAGUGGAACUUUUUCUUCCACUAAACUUAUUUUAGUUAUUUACAUAAAAUAAUGACUUAUUUUGAUUACUUUUAUAUUUUUGUGGCUUAUUUUGGUUCACAGCUCAAUAAACCAAAAUGUGAAUUCAAAAAUUAAAAGUUUUAACUUUGGAAACGAAGUUAUUGGGAGGGAACUAAAGAAAGAAGCAGAUUUUCUUUAAUGUAAUGACUUUUACCCCAAUCACCAUUGGGUUAAAAAGAGACUGAAAACGAUUUUCCAAAAAGUUAAAAGACUUUUCAGUUUUCACUCACACCACACUUUUUCUCGGUACGAUCCCUCGCCGGUCGUCGAUGAACAAACGGAGAGUUCCAGAGAUUCUAUGGAGGCUGUUUCACGACCGUGCACGUACUCUGGGAGCGACAAUCUUAUCUCUAAUUCCUCUAAAAUCAUCGACGAAUUGCCCAUGCAAGGGUCGCCGUUGCCUCGGAUGUGGUGGAGAAUAUGGCGCCAUUUCGUUUCUUCUUAGGGAAAAUGAUCCAGAUGAUUAUCGGAAGCUUCUCAAUCACUGUUUCGUUGUCGUCUCCGAUCAAGCACCUCCUCUUCAUGGCUAUGAUCCUCAUUGCCGCUGGACACAUCUUGAGGUAUUCGCUUUUUUUGCCUAGUAGUAUUCGUUUUAAUGCAAUGUUAUGGGAAAAAAUAGUAAGCAUUUUCGAAAUAACUUUUUUUUGAAUAGAAACAAUCAGAGGAUUUUGGCGGGAAAUUGUUGAAAUUCUCACCUGUUAUUGAAUUUUGGCGGGACACUGUUCAUCUUUACGUACCUUCUUUUUUUCUUCUUAUUUUUUCCUUGAUAUUGUUGUCUUACUUUUUCUAAAAUGUAAUUUUGUGUGGUUUGUCGUUGAGGUCUUGACUGUUGUGCUGAAUGUUGAUGCUGGCUACUGCAGUUGAGGAAAAAUCUGUCAAAGUGUGUGGCAUGAACUUAUGAAUUUUGUAAAUUGUUUUGAAAAUAGAUUUUUACAAACCACAUAGAAGAUACAAUGAGGUGAAAAUCUUUAACUUGAAUACAUUUCAGCAAAAUAUUUUCAGAAUAAAAAUUAAUUGAAGAGCAAUACUGUUGACACUUGAAAAGCAAAAUAUGAUCAUCUUUUUUGGCUGAAAUGCUUAAGCUAAACUCGUCUGGUUAUUUAGCUAAUUGAAUGAAGCUGUAUAUCACUGUUAAGAGUUUUCUUGUGUACAACUUUUGGAGUCGACAAACUCGGCAGAAACCGAAGAGUGUAGCAGGGCGUUUCAUGUGUUUGGUUUGGAAAGAGCUGAUAGUUCAGUUUUUUUAGCCUCAACAGUGACAAUAAUCCAAUUAAACUUUCAACAUUUUUACGAGACAAGAAUUGUGUAUUCCGUUUCAUGCCUAAGAUCAACUCAUUCCUAUCACUUCAUACUUGUUGUUUGGGCUGACUAUACUCAUGUUGUUCCUGUAUUCUUUUUAUUUCCCAAGGUUUUUGCUGUAUAUGAUGCUCAAAAUAUUAGUAACAUGAUUGAGAUAUGCUUGAAAUUUAAGAUGCUCUCAACCUUGUUACAGUUUGAUACUGCUGCUCUGAUAGGAAUUCUUGAAUAACUGCUACUGCAACAGAUGCCCCUCUAUAGUACACUUUUAACUUGAAUUAUUAUAAAGAUAUUAGUCCUUUGUUUGAACUCAGACUGAAAAUCUCUUACACCCUGCCAUUUCAGCUUGUUAGAAAGACAAUUGAAAUGACAAUAAGUGAGCAAUGCAGCAGUUCUAACGUUAUAAGUUUUGGUUAUGACAAGGUAACAACAAUGCCUUUGUCAAGCUGAUUUCGUUUAUCUGCAUCUUAAUAUAUGCCUUUUCCCCUUUCAAGGUAGCUACACUUUUGGUUCCAGCAGUUCUCUUUUUCCUAUCUUUUAUUUUGCUUGAUGAUUGUUAUAUAACUUGUUUUUUUUCGUAUCUGAUAGAUGAGACGGUGUAGUGACAUUGUAGAGGUUCUAACAUUACCAUCAUGGAACCUUCUCCUAACAAGGGUGUGUGAGAUAAUAUUAGCUUUUCUGGUGUACUCUUUUGUUUUCUUAUGUGAUAGUAGGCAAUUAAACUUUACUGAAAUGAGCUUUGUCACCUGCAGAUUGGGGAUGUUCUCAUGGUUUAUUUACUAAAGAACACCUCAAUAUUUUUGCGGCUCCCUCGAAACAAAUAUCAUCAGGUGGCAGGGUUUCCGAUCAGUGACAUAUGCCUAAAAUCUCAACUGCACAUAUCUGCCACUACCUAUAAACCUACACUACUUCAUCCUGGUAACUACCAGUUUCGAAAAUGUCUUUUUUUGAGGCUUUGAGUUCCAUUAAGUUCAAGUUUCUCUUCGCGGUUAAAUAAUUUUGAUCCUCUGUUGCAGUAUAAUUACUCUAGAAAAUUUCAUAUGAGUACACUAAUGAUUUGUCUUCUUGUUUUCUCUUAUUUUUCCUGAAUCCUAUUCUUUUUUUGUGAAUUUAUUCCACUAGUCAGGGUUGUCUAGCACCUUUUAUUAUUAUUAAUAAUAAAAAAAUUCUAACAGGGAUAAGUACAAGUACAAGCAAGGGGGCUAGACUUUACCUAACCAAUCCAAGUGAGAUAAUGUGAACCUCUACUAAUUAACAAGCAUAUCGUCAUAGAAUUUAUACUAUACUCUAUGAUGAUAUGAAAAAUGAGGAUGCUUAAGUAAUGCAAAAAUUUUAAGUCAAGAAGAUAAACAAGUUAAUAAACUCAUAUUUCGUUUUACAAAUGAAUGAACUAAAAACAUAGAUUGUCUGUUUAAAGCAAUUCGAAGUAUUUUCCCUUUGAAUUUAUUGGAUCUUAUUAAGUUGUUGACACUGUCAUAUGAUUCUUCUUUCCCAGUUACAUAGAUAGGUACCUUGGAACAAACUCCUCAGUCACCUUAACAUCUUAACUAUGACAUAGUUGUAGUAAAUGGCCAUGUAUCCUCUUUAAUGAAUCUAAGCAAUCUUGAAUGAAAUGUCCCUCCAUCCAGCAUUAAAUGUGAUAUCUGGAAUAAUAAUGACAGAUCUUGUAACUCCUUGUACAGUUAUAAAUCAGCCAAAAUUAAUGUUUCUCCUUGCACAAAGAAAGAGACUAUUGCUCCUUUAGUUUCUGUUACAAAAUGUUUAGAUUUUAAUAUUAGUAAUGUACAUAGCUACAGUUAGUAGGAAUCUUAUUUAUAGGAACCCCUCUGAAUUUCUUUCCUAAGUUAGCCCCAAAUGUAUUGUAUUUAUGCUUUGAUCAUAUAUUGGAAUAUAAUAAGAUCUUCCAUUGUAUUACAUAGUAAUAGAUGUAGGUCCAUGCCCAUUUGGGCUCUCGGUGCAUGCUCCAGUUGGGCCCGGGUGUGAGCGGGGUGUUAGAGUGAGUUAGACUCCCAUAUUGUUUGGGGAGUGAACUGAUGGACUGCUAUUAUGGACUCAGGCGAUCCUACCUUCAUGUGCUAGCUUUUAAAGUUGAGUAAAACCAGGUUUCAAAUCUUUAAAUGGAAGCCACUGUCUCUGUGUUGCUUGAAGCUUCAUGCAGACCAAGAAAGCCCCUCUGUUUUUCUGUCCCUUGCCUGAUGCCAAAUCUGAAACAGUACUAUCCUUCUCCUUUUGUCGCAAGCCCUGCCCUCGAGCCUUUGCCAAAAUUUCAAACCCAUUUUGAUAAGGACUAGUGAUAGGCAUAGCAAGAGUUUUAGUCUAGAAACCUUACCCUCGUCCUUACCUGAAUUGUGAACCAUCAUGAAUUCCUCAUUACCAGCUUUGUCAGUACAUUAAGAGCUCUCACCCAUAGUAAUAAGAAUCAGGUUACCAGAAUAAACUAAUGUGGAAGCAAAAUUAAAAACAUUAACAGCAUAAGAUGAAAGAUAUGUGAAAUUUGAGAUUAAAAUCCUUCAAGAAAAGUGCUAAGAACCCUAAUUGUUCUUAGUAUUCAAAAUUAGUGGAUUAAAACAAAUUAUGAUAGUUAUAGAGUCAGUUCAAGAACUUAGAUCAACAGUGACCUUGACCCCUAUUUCGAAGAAAUUAGGGAGAACUAUCAGUAUAAGACUAAUAACCUUUUUUAAUUUACUUUUGAAGAAACCAAAGAUAUCAAGUUAAGAAUUACUCCAUAUAUAUAGGGAAAACCUAUCCCAAAUAGAAUGAGAUUCAAAUAUUACUUUUAUGGAGAUAAUUACUAGGAAACUUAAAAUUAGGAAACUUUUACACUAGGAAAUUUUUAAACUAAGAAGCUUUUAAAAUAGGAAAUUUUUAUGCUCCUACAUGUGGAAGUUAUUACUUCAUACAUGUUGAAGUUGGGGCUUGCAACUGUCCCUCUUUAAUCUGACCAGUGGUAGCAAUUGCUACAAUCUCAUGUUCUUGCCUGUUCUUACUAGCUCCACCAGAUUCAGGAACUGUAGCUAGUGCUUGAUCAGUAUUGGAUGAAACUCCUGGAUCAAAGCUAAUGUACCCCAUCCCCUUGUUGACGCUACCAUGAUUUACUAUUUACGUAGCAUUAUUACUUGAAAUAUUCUUCUUGCCCCUCUUGCCAUUUAAAAUAUCCGUAAAAUCCACUUGGUGUGCACUUCUUCAUAAGCAUCUACCUCAUCCUUACUUUUAAUAUUAAUUCUGACAAUCUGCAAUUGUUAUCAGUGUGUCCUUGAUGUUUACAACUUUUGUAAUAUGAAGGAAAUCAAUUUUAUACAACUUCUUGCCACACUUCUUAAGUUCACAUGCAGCUUCCUCUCUGAUGUUGAUCCGGCAAAGUUUAUAAUAAAUCGACCUCAACCUGACCCUAGCUACACUAGGCCUCGUUUGACCAUUGAUUGCUUUAUCUACAGUUAACUGUUUUCCAACUGCUGGAGCUAUGGGAAACAAAGCUUCUUAGUAAAGAGUUGUACGGGGAGAUCAGGAAAAGAUAUCCAAGCAAGAGAAAUGGAGGUUUCCUCUUUGGAUUAAACAAAAGUGUCCAUUUUGAAUUCUAAAUUGAUAAUUAACAUCCCGACUCUCGUCCUUUACCCCAAAUAUAUGUGAUAGUCUCGGAAUAAACAGAGAUAGUCUCCAUGAAGAAAAAGCCUUACCAGCAUAUGCCUUGAAUCUGUGAGACCAAAUGAGCAGCCUCCUUUAAUUCCCAGAAGUCUAGCUUCACGGGGUGGUCAUAAUUUCUUUCUUUCUCAUAUAUCUCUAAAUAUAUUGGGAAGUUGUGGAUUUCUGCUAAACAUAAGUAGAUCUGAUUUAUUGUUUGAAUUGUUUUAAAACUUUUAACCGUUGCUAAUCCCAGAAUCUAGGAAAAAGAGAAGUGUAGACGAAGUUUACUCAUCAGCAAGGAAAGAAAUGGGGAUUAGGUUUGUGUUCUGAUGUUGUUACUGUAAAUUGUACUAGCUGGCUUUGCUGUCAUUGUAGGAUUAUAGUUUCCAUGCCCUGGCGCUGCAGGAAAAAAUGUGAGACGGAGAAGUUAUCUGCAGAAACUACAGUAUCUGUUGAAGUUAAUUCUGCUUGUUGUGAAGUUCUUCCAUCGAGGGAAGGACAAUGUUACUCUAAUAGACAUACUCCAUUGCAUGGAAAGUGUAAAAGACUGUUUAAAUGGCUGCGUCAAAGGAAGCUUAGGCAGUUGAAGGCUCAAGGAACACAUUCCUUAAGCCCUUGUAUGAGUUUUAACACUAAGGACGAGUCGUUGGGAGAUGUGAAGAGUGAUGUAAUCUUAAAUUCAAGACCUCCUCUUGAAAAGGUGAUUUAUGAAACUUAUACUGCUGUUACCGAAUUUGAUUUUAUAUCUAGCUUGUGGUCUUUCACACACCAUAAUAUGGCCCUUUUUGCGUGUGAUGCAUAUGCUGAUAAGAGAUCACUAACUUGUAUGAUGUUUCAGAAUAUUGCAGUUGCAGGUUUUCAAUCUUAUAACCAUUAAGUGCAUGUGCAUUUUAUUCUUGUGAAAUGAUGCAGUUUGAUGAUUAUAGUGCAUGUUUAGUAGCUUGAUAACUUCUAGGCAUUUGAAUGAUUGAAUCCUACUUAUCUUUCUUAGGAUUGCUAAAGGGUGUGUAUUGGGAUCAGUCAUCCUUAGCCCCAUUUUAACAAUCAGAAAUUUUCUUUUUUGAUGAAAAAGGUUAAAGUUUUUACAAUCAGCACUCAGGAAGUUCUGCAUGUAGAUCACAAAUAUUUCAGCAUCUAUUUAUAUCUUCACCCUCAUUUUUUUUGGGUUUAAUAAAAGGUUUUCCCUUUUUCUUAUUAACAGACAAAUGCUUGGUGCUCUUGUUGUUCGGUCUUUGACCAUCUUUCUGAGGUCAAAAAGGGAAUUCUAAUCGACAGGCGAACCAUGUUGUACAAGUUGGAUAGUUGUUCAUCAGUACUCCCGUCCGAACGUAUCCUUCUACUUUCCCCCCAUGCUAAUCUGGCUUGAUAUUAUGGUUCACUUCAAUUGCUACUAGUCAAAAUUAAGAAAGGGAUGGAGUUCCACCACUUCUUGUUCACACUUUUUCUGAAACUUUCUGCUUCUUAAGAGCUAAAUGGUUUCAUUCCCUUUAAUUAGAGAGGAGUUUUGCUUCUGUCUUUAUUUUUCCAUGUCACUCGAGGAAAUGGAAGAACUAAAAUAGAAACUGAUUGUUGUUUCCCUCUGUGCCACCGUUAGGGAAAACUUUGUUGACAAACUUAAGAAUACUCAGACAUCUUGUAUUCCUUGAAGCCAAACUCUACUGGAGCACGUGAACUCUUCAAGGAAAUUUUUGGAUCCCUUGGUGUUAAUGUCUCUACUGAGGUAGCUCCUUGCAUGCACAGAAGCAACUGUAAUAACAUCGCAUCCUCGUGUCUGUGAGCAACAGCUUUCCCUUGUUCUUUAUUGAUAAUAAUCUAUGUUUAUUCCUUCUCUUUUAAGUUGUCUUUUUCUUCAAGGAUUUUUAUCUCAUUUAGUCUCUUUGGUUGUUCUUCGUACUGAAGGCAUAUCUCUCUCAGAUGCAGAUAAUAGAUAAUCUUUGUCAAAAGUACCUGGAAUAAAUGAUUUAGCACUGUACUUUUAUUUUUCUCUUUCUAACAGUCCAAAGAUUGGGAAUUGAGAUGUUAUCCCAUCUGUAAAGACAUGGUGCUCCUCUUAUCACAUUUUUAGUUUCUUUGUCUGCUCAAGCUUAAAGUAUCUGCACUUAGGGGCUAAUGAAUAUUUUGUAUGAGCUUGGAUUACUAAUGAUGAUCAACAUACAUAAUUACUGGUCAGACAAAUUAUAAACUGUGGUGGAGUUUUAUGCCAUAGUCAAGCAUUGGGUUGUUUAUCGAGAAAAUGCUAGUCAAGUUGUAUAAGCUGCUUUUUGUUUCUUGGCAACGGAAAAGCCAAAAAUAUAUGGUCCAACCUGAUAGUGGGAAGUCAGAUCAUCAUUCUGUUUGAUUUGUACACUUGUAGAAGGCAUUGCUGUAGGAGCCAGCUCAAGCAAACUUACUAUUUGUUUGGGUAUGUGUGUGCGUGUGUGUGCUGGGUUAGUUUAUCAGAAAACCUUCAUCAAUCAUUUUUACUGUCAAUAUGUAUUCAAUCAGUAGCUUACGUCUGAAUUUGAGAGCUACCUGCAGCUUUAUAUUUCUCAUUAAAUUUAACAACAUUUUAGCCCCCUUAACUCUUUGAUUGGCUUAAAUUUGUUAAUGCAGUUUAACUAACCAGAAAAAAUGUUGAAUGUUUUUUGUGGGUCAACUCUCUUUGAUUCUGUUCCGAACAACUUCUCUUGCUCUGAACUACUAUCACCACUUUCUUUUGGCAGUGAAUGUGUGGACCAGUAUUUUGUUAUCCUAAAUAACAUGGUGCAUGUUCUCAGUAUAAGUUAUUUUGUUCAUUUGACAUGGUCGUUUAAUUCUGUUCUGGGGACGAGAGUGUACUUCUAUACCUGUUUUACUGUCUUUUUUUAACACUUAAUGUUUUGCCUAGAUACCAUUCAAUUAUUAAGUUGCUGAAAUCUCUCAUCCGCAAAGCUCACCACUGCCAACACUUACGGCUGUUGGAGAAACACUGUUCUGCUCCAUCAGUGGACCAAGACGCCAAAAAUAUUGCUGCAACUAUCUUGAAGGUUUGUCUUUGUUGAACUUCUUAAAAUUUUAGUUCAUCCCCUUCUUGUUUCCGGUCUCUUGAGGUUCAGAGUUAUAUUAAAAGAAAGAAAUUUAGUAGUAUUCCAUCGACUCCCAAAAAUUUGUCAACCGAGCCACAAUGUUUGAGAUUUUGGAUAUUACUUCAAUUUGUGGGCCAGUCUGUUGCCUAUUACAAUCUCUUAUUGUUAAUUAUCAGAAGAAAUCUGGCUCAUGUGAGGUGCCAUUUAUUUAUCUGACAUAAUCAGGUGCACUUAGUGAAAGCUGAAAAGUCAAUGAAUGAUCCAACUCAGUUCUCCAUAUCUAGCAUCCAGAUAUACAAUCUAUUUAAUGUGUGCUGUUUUAAACUGGUUGAUAUCAGGCAAACAAAUCUGAGGCAAGUGUACCUGCAAAUGAUUGUCCAGAAAAUGGAAUUGCACACUCUGACUUCAAGUCUGACAGCUGCAAUACAACUUCAGAAUCACAAUCCUCUUUUGUGGAGCCAACCAAAUGUUAUUGUCUGAAGAAGCAAGUCGUAUCAUUUGUUUGGGCAACUUGUCGUAAUAUAGUGCCCAUAGAUUUGCUGGGGACUCCUUCUAAUUGGAGAGUUCUAACGAAUAAUAUUUACAAGCUUGUUAAGCUACGAAAGUUUGAGAAAUUCAUGUUUAAGCAGUGCAUGAGGAAAGUUAAACUAUCUAGUUAUCCUCUACUAUCAGAUGAGAACUCCAUUUUAUCGAAACAUAAAUUACUAGAACACUGGAUAUUUUGGUUGUUUUCUUCUUUUAUUGUGCCACUGGUUCAAGCAAACUUUUAUGCAACUGAAGCUGAGCAUAAGAAACAAGAUAUAUUAUAUUACCGCAAGCCGACCUGGGAGAAUGUUAUUUCCAAAGCCGUGACUUACUUAAGGGAUCAAGGGCAUAAAGAAUUAACUGCUGAAUCUGUCAGGAAAAUAAUAAGGACUAGGUCAUUUGGCUUCUCAAAAAUUCGACUACUUCCAAAAAGAAGGGGGGUAAGAAUGCUGGCAAAUCUCAAAGCAUCCCAAAACUUGCGAGUGAAUCAUCCUUCGCGACCCAGAGGUUGGAGAAAAGUAGGCGCUCGUAAAAAAGGUAAACGCCACAAUUACAAGUCUGUUAAUGAAGUCCUCAAAGAUUUUCAUUUAGUUCUCAAACAUAUAGUAGCAAAAGAACCAGAGAGAUUGGGUUCAUCUGUAUUUGGCUACAAUGAUGUGUAUAAAAAGCUUAUCCCUUUCUUAUCAAAUCUGAAGAGUAGGUUUUCUGUCAAACCUGGAGUAUUCAUCGUUGUAUCAGAUGUUGAAAGAGCUUUUGACUCUGUAUACCAAGAUAAGCUACUAAGUGUGCUGGAUGAUCUCAAUUUGGAGGAUGAAUACUUUUUCAGCCAAGUUGUUCAAGUUGUGUGCACUAAGAGGUCACUGAAGGUACCAGAAAACUGGGUAUUAGGGAGUAAAGAGAAUAUCUCUGGUCCUGCCAAUGUCAUAUCUUUUCUUCCCACUCACUCGUCGCAUGGCAUUCUUGUAAAGCAACAGGUAGGAUGUUUUGAACUGCUUUAGGGUAAACUCAUCUACAUGCAAAUUACAUUGUUGUUUGGCUUCUUUCACUUCUAUGUGAAUUUGUUUCAUAAUUUCUUGGCCCUGAUUAUAUUUGUGUGAAAGAGGUCAUACUUAUUACCAUUAUUUGAACUGCCUUAGGGUAAAAACAUGUACAUGUACAUUUCAUGGUCUUCUCGUCUUCUUUCACUUCAUGUAAGUUUGUUUUUUAAUUUUUUUGGUACUGAUUGUGUAUUUUUUUAAGGCAUGCAUUCUUUUACAUUCCAUCCUUGAUAGUCUUUGUAUAUAUUAUAAUUUGCAUAUCUGAAUACUGUUCUGCAAAAGAAGAAUUACAUGAGACUGACUAAAUAACCAACUAACUUAAAGCAGUGUAAAAUAACAUUAAUGUUUUGAAGUUCAAAGAGAAAAUUGCGCAUUGAGCUCUAGGUAGGUCUCCCAAGGUUAACGAUCUAUGAGGAAUGGGGUGUGGGGUGGGAAGGGCAGAUCAAUUAAACAUCCUACUCCUAGAAGGAGGACUGAAUCAUUUUUUUCUGAUUUUUGAUUUUGUAUUAAGGCUCCUUCAACCAAAGAACAAAAAAAUGAAACUAUGAUGAACAGUUAUAUCUUUCAGUUGAAACGUGACCUGACAUUGUUAUGCUUUAAGAACCUUACUUCCAAAAGUGGCUAUAAUAAAAUCUAAGUUAUUGAUUGUUCCAGGGGAAAGGCAGAAGAGUAAGAAAAGAACAGUUUCAAAAUGAUUUGAAGGAGCACAUAAAGCGCAAUGUGCUGCAGUUAGGUAUCAAGUUUUUCUUGCAAUCUGUCGGUAUACCUCAAGGAAGUGUUUUGUCCACUCAACUCUGCUCGUUGUAUUAUGGUCAUCUUGAGAAUUCAGUGUUAUUUCCAUUUCUUGAGAAAGCUUGUAUACCUGCCCCUAGAUUUCCUUCAGAUGAACCUUUACUGGAUGAUUCAGCUGCAAGACAUGAUCAUCUUGUGGCAUGUAAACCUAUCAGUCUGUUGCUUAGGCUUAUUGAUGACUUGCUUUUCAUCUCAACCUCAAAGGAACAGGCUUCUAAGUUAUUCUCCCGGCUGCAGAGAGGGUUUCGUGCCUACAACUGCAACAUGAAUGAACAAAAAUUUGGAACGAACUUUCAGAUGAAUAUUAUACCAGGUUUGGGAUCGGAUAGAUUAUAUGUGGUUGAGGAUGGAACUUCGUUUCUUCAAUGGUGUGGACUACUGAUCAACUGCUCUACCUUGGAAAUUCAGGCAGAUUACACUAGGUCAGCUAUUUUCCUAGUAGCAACAUGUCAUCACUUGCGGAUUUUCGUGCAAGUUAUUUUAUUUAUUCUAGUGUUUCUUAGAUGUUUAUAAUAUGGUCAAGCGGAGUAGGCCACUCUAGGAAUCUUACUCACUCACUUGCUGAAGAAACUGAUACUUCCCUAUUAAGCACACAGCGUAGAAAAAUGACUCUUCUAACAUGAUCCGUAUCAAGAGUUGGUUGAUAAAGCGUCACUUAUUUUGUAGAGGUCUGCCUUGCUGUAAAUCUGGGAAAGAUCCGUGUACAUUUAUAGAGUGUCCAUUUUCCACGGGAAAGUUUACCUUGGCUUGUUGUGCAAGGCAUUUCUGGCUUUUAAGAUGAUCUAAUUGGUGUAGCAGAUCUGCACGUCAGCUCAUUUUUUUGUUUCUUCAUUAAUGACUAGGAAGUGUCUUGUUGACUGAAAUGGUGUUUUGUUGCAACCACCAUUUUAUUUAGCAUUCCGGCAUCAACUAUAACCUUAUUUGGCUAGCAAUUGACCUAUUAAAACAAUUUUUGAUAACUGAACCUAUUUAAACAAUUUAAUGGUUAGGAUAUUUGGCUACUAGCAACAUUUUGUUCAGCAUGAUGUUUAUAUUCUUCUUUCUCAUUGACUUUCUCAAUGCUCAAGGAAUUUGAUUUAUUGAUGUUAUCUUUUGCUGACAGGUACUUGAAUUCCCCGCUAAGUUCAACCCUCACUGUUAGCUGGCUAAAUAAACCAGGACGUAACUUUAAGGCUAGGUUGUGCAGUUAUCUUAAACCGAAAUGCCAUCCUAUAUUCUAUGAUUCUAACAUAAACUCAGCAGUUGUGGUGAGACUCAACAUUUAUCAAUCUUUUCUUCUCUGUGCCAUGAAGUUCCACUGCUACCUCUAUGAUUUAUCAUGCUUGCAUAGAUUCAGCACCAAAUUUUAUGUAGAUGCUUUGCAAAAAUCAUUGAGGUAUGAAACAUCUAGUACAUUAUGAUUUGUGCUGUUUGCUCUUUUUAUACACUGGUGUUGGACCUACAUUUUUGUCUAAAUUCUUGUACAUGAAAGUAGACUUUUGCAUCAUAUCUCAAAGUGUAUCACAUAUUCACUCACUCCUUAAUUUUGUUUUGACUUCACUAGGUAUAUGAAAAGGCUCAUCAAGAGGAGGAUGUAUUCCUUCAAAACUGGUUCCGAUUUUCGUCCAGUUCUUGAAGUGGAGAAAGAGGAAAUUGAAUGGCUUGGAUUAACUGCUUAUAAACAAGUGUUGAAGAGAAAACCAGCAUGGUAUAAGGAGUUGUUACAUGUAAUAGAGGCUAAGCUCAAGGCACUUGAUUACCUUAACCUAGUUCCAACUAGAGCAUCAGUAUUGAAACAUGCCACAGAUAUUAAGCGUUCCUCUGUACUAUGGAAGAUUAAAUAUUGACAACGCAAAGGCUGCAAAAUUUUCCAUUUUGUCUACAGAGCUCUGUGAUUGGAAAAGAAGGCUGUGAAUUUUCCAUAUAUGUUUAAAUUAAUCAUAUUAAAAAUUUGUGCGCAAAAUGGAAUAAAUUUACUAUUAUUAGAAAUUUGGUAUUUGGAUAGGUCAAGGCGUAAAGUAUUCCCUGCAAAGGUUCCAUUUGAUUUCAUAGACGGGUCAAUUCAUGAUCUAAUUAGAUGAUUUUGUAUUGUUAUGAAUGUUUAUGAUGAAUUCAUCGGUAAAUGUAAUACGACGAGUUUAAUAUGGAAUUCAAAUAAAUUGAAAUUUAAGAUAUUUCUCAAAUUAGUAAACAAUAAAAGAAAUUUACUAUAAUUGUUAUUUUUUUUUUCUUUUAAUCGUUAAAAUACAUGUCGUACAUUAAUAAUUAUUAUAGUGAAAAAGUAUGACUAGUAGUUGAGUGAAUCUUCUGCAAAUAACUUAAUUGUGUUACAAACAUCGUAAAUGAUAGAAUGAUUUUAUCAUCACGAUUCAAUAAAAUCUGAUUUUUUAUUUUAUAAUUUUUAUUUAAUUGCUUAACUCGGAAAAAGAAAAUAAAAAAAUAAUUAACAACCCCCCACCCUUAAAAAAAGUACACGUGUCACUAAUUACUAGUGUUAGUAUAGAAAUUGUAUGCCCCUCUUAGGUUACAAGCUUUGAAAUGCUAAGGUAGUAAAAUAAAGAGCCUCCUUUACCCGCAACCCUCAGCUAUAUUCAACACUAGAAAAAGCCGUACAUCUCUGUGAAAAGCUAAAUCGGUUUCUCUGCGAUGGCAAUGGCAGGGCGUAUUAGAUCUACACUUCCUCACCUACGCAAAGCCCUUUCAUCUGAUUCGAGAUCCGCUCUUUAUCCGGCCAUUAUCUCCAAUCCCGAGGUAUUCAUUCUUAUCAAAGAUUAGACCUACUUUUGGUUUUUGAUGUUUUUUUGUAUUUUCUGGGUUGUGCUUUGAUCUGCAUCUUCAGUUUAGAUUCUUCGAUUUUAUUCAUUUUUUGACUUUGAAGUUGGAUGAGAUUGAUUCUCGAUUUAUGUAUAUGUGAAAUGGGUCAAUGCUACACAGUCUGAACAAACCCUCUGUGGAGUCAAUUUUUUAAAUUGAAAGUGAAAUUGAUGGAAAUGAUUAUAUGUUUGCACCUUAGGGUAGAGUAUUUUGGUGCGGUUUUCUGAUUGAAUUUACAUGUGAAAAUAGCGUUAUAAUUGUCCCUUUCGUUUUUUGCUAAACAAAAUAUUACGACCUCGGUAUGUGUGGUGGUGGUUGGGUGGGAGGAGGCGGAAAUUCUAAGAUUAUCCUUGCAUCAUGGCCAAGCAUUAGCCUUUUAAAACUUUUAUUAAGGAAGGGGGUUGGUAGCUUGUUGUUAUGUGAAUAUUAAGUUUGUUUCCUGGAUUUCUUUUUUAUUGAAAUUGAAUAUCAAGUUUUAAUCGGUGGUAAUUUUUGUUUUAUUUACACCUGAAGUAUUUGAAAAGAGAAACCUUCGAAUGUGCAUAAGCAUGCAUAUACCGUUUGAAAUUUGAUUGAAUGGCUAUUCUUUACAGAACUGUUAAAAGUGUACAUGCUGUUGCGAUAUGGUAAAGUUGUUUGUUUUAUUGAUUGCUUUUUAUGAAUGUUGGUCAAUUCUUUUUUGCAGUUGUCAAGAAAUUAUGCUACUGCCCCAGCUGCCAAAGAGAAAAAAGUAAAGGUUAGUAGUCCUAUGAGAUUGUAGCCGUAUUUGUGUGUUUGAUAUUUGUUUCUGGUCCAUUUUUUUUAAAAACUUUUUAGUGAAGUUGAAUCUUUCGCUAUGUCAGUUAUUUCUGCUGAAAGCAUUCCUAGCCUAGAGUAAAUACAUCUUGAAUCCCAUUGGCUACAUCAACUCAAAAUGGUAUCUGCAUAACUAGAUCUCCAUUAAAGAUACAAAAUAUUUAUUCAACUGUAUGCUCCAUCAUAAAAAAAACUUAAGCUGCUUUACGCAGCAAUACUGAUGCAUAUUCAGUUUCAAGUAUAAUUUGGAGCCCAAGGGCUUCCUUGAAUUUAUUAGAGAUAUCAAUGCUUUCAAGCAGAAUCUAGCUCCUUUCUUUUCAAAGGUUAGAUAUAAACCCGCUGUAUUGGCAUUUGAAACCUACUUAUUGCUGCGUAAAGCAUUGCAGUUCUAGUCUAGAGUAAAUACAACAUUAUUGCUGCCUAAAGCAGUGCAUUAGCUAGAGUGAAUGCAUAUUGAACCCCAUAGGGUAAAUCAACUGCUUAAAAUUAUUUCUGCGUUCACACUGUAUUUUCUAGUAAAGAUACAACAGUAUUGAUUCAAUCGUAACUCCAAUGAAAAAAAUUAAUUAAAUCUGAAGUUUGAAAAGUGAAGUCUAACUUACUGAUGCAUCUUUGAUUUCAAAUUCUAGUUGGCACCCAUCGCCUUUCUUGAAUUAAUUAUAAAAAAUCGUCAAUACUUUCAAGCAAAAUUCAACUCCUUUAUUUUCGAAGGUUGGAUGUAAAUCCACACAAUAUAUUGACAUUUGACACCUACAUGUUGUCUAUCAGUUCGAAAUUCUUCUGAAUUAUGAAAAUUUUGAGCUCCCUUGUAUUAAUAGGACAAAGUAUCUUGCAUGUGAAAGUACCGAUGUUUUUGGAAAUGAAGAAUGAACAUACCUUACUUAUUUAUUCUGCAAACUACACAUCAUUAAAUUGAUUAUGUUUGGUGAUCCCCUUGGUGAAUGACAUGAUCUGAUUCGUAUCUCACAUGUGCUCCUAGCGAUUCCUUUUUCCCUGUUGCUGCCAACUCCAUUAAGUCUGUCAUGUAGAACUGAGAUACUGCCUGAAAACUGUCUACAGAAGUUCUUAGCAGCUUAACUGAUGGGGAUUAUUCAAGAGAACAAGUCAAUUUUUAACCAUGUAAUAGUCCCACAUUAUUGGUUGAUACAGAGUCAACAUCGACUUUAUCAAUGAAUCGCUAUUAGACUUGCAGGGUUCGACAUUAACUAUAUCUGUUUCAAGCUAUAUGUGGAUAAAAACAACUCAUCUCCUCAUUAUUGUUGUAGAAUACUGUGGUAAUAUGGGUUGAUUAUUUGCCAUAUAGUAUAAAAACUUUUCCUAUUUCAUCAAAAAACUUUCCCUAUUCUCCUGUUAGUAUCUGGGACCAGUUCAUUCUUACCAAUUCUACAGUAUGUGGGAAGUUCUUUUUUAUAUUUUGACUCGUGUAUCUCAACUGUUUCGCCUUUUGCUCUCUUAUAAGUUUAAAUUCAAAAUGAUAGUAAUCUCUGUCACUUGAAGCAAUUAUACCACAUAUUUUCCUUCAUAUCAAAGAGAUAGAAUAAAUGAAUACUGUUACCAAAUUUCAAAUAUGAGCCUUAAAUGUGUUAACAUCAUUUGCUCCUCUAUGAUGUAUCAGGUUCCAGUGACUAUGUAUGGGGUUUCUGGAAAUUAUGCCUCAGCUUUGUACAUCUCAGCUGUAAAAGCUAAUACAUUGGAGAAGGUCGAGUCCGAGCUUUUGGACCUUAUUGCGGCUUCAAAGAAAAGUCCUAAAUUUUCUCAGUUUAUGAAGGAUCUCUCUGUACCUACAGAGACAAGAGUGAAGGCCAUGACUGACAUCUCUUCAGAGGCUAAAUUUGGAGAUCUCACAAAGAACUUCUUGGGUAUGACAUAAUUAUAUUGUUAUUUCUUUAAGUUCUAUAUUUCAUUUUUUAAAAUUUUGAGAGUUUGUGGUAUUAGAAACAAUGAGAGAUGCAUAAUUAAACAGAAUUCAUCUUUCACCGCAUUUUGGAAUCACUUUUCGUUGAUUCCAAGAUAUAUGGCUUGAGAUACAUCCAUUUCUUGAUAUUGGACUGUUCAACCGUUUCAGUUUCAAGAUUGAUCCUGGUUGAUUGGUUCUUGGUUAACUCAAAGAAUCACGUCAAUUUAGUCUCUAGAUUCUGGUUUAGAUGAGCAAGCUCCUUUGAUCAAUGUGAAUCUUACCAGCAUAUAGUAAAUUCUUCUUCAAUGUCACUAUUUGUUGGUUUUUAUUAUCUUAGCUGCAUUAUGAUCUCUUCAUACUGUAAACUGAAGGCUUGUGUUGUACUUCUUGGAACCGAAUAAGACAAUCCAAAAGAUACAUCCUUAUAAUUAAUUAGUAAUUACUCUUGUUACUUAUUAGAAAAAAAAACAAUAAGGAUAGUUAUGUUCUUUUCUCGAUAAUCAAAAUGAUCUAGGUGAUGAAAUCAAAAAAGGUUUCGAUGAACAAUGAUGUGAUUGGCGGUUAAUUUAGGAUUAUCUGAUCAUUGUGUGCAUUUGGUGUCUAUUUUAAGUGGACGGGUGGUUCUGGAUUUUGAUGGCUCUGUUUGGUUAAUGUAUUGGACAUGUAUUUUUGUUGGAUUUGGGGAUGAAAAAGAAAAUCAAACCAUCACUUGUUUGGCUUGAAAGAUCACGAGAUUAGCAGGGAACUAUGCUCUGUUUGCUCCCCCCACACUGUACUAAUGGAGAUUUUGUUCUAACCUGCCCCAACCCUUUUGCAUUUCUUUUAUCUUCCCCUACUCCCCAAGUCUGUCCUAGUGUUACUAUUUUUCCACCACCUGUUCAGAAACAUGUUUUUGAGCAUUAAAAGUAUAUAAUUCUGAAAAUAUUUUCGUUGAGUGACCUGUUAAAUUUUUUUUAAUAGAGUUAUUUUACUUGAAUGAUUUAUCUUAUAUGUGGUCAAGUCAUUUUUUAAGCGAACGUUUUUAAGAUUUUAGUUGUCUAAUGUAUGCGUUCAUUACCUUGGGAAUGAACAAUUUAUUUUGAGCUUCUCUUUGAUUUCGGUAUCUGUUUGUCAUUUAUGGGUUCCUAGUGACAUAAAAUUUCCACCUUUUUAUUUCUUUUCGCCAUUGGUUGCUAUGCUUGAUUUAAUUUUACCUCAUCAAAAAAAAAAAAAAAGAGAUCAGCUUCACACUUUUAUCAUUUAUAAAAAAAAAACAAUCAGAGCUUCACACCACUAAGAUUAUAAGUUCAUCUCAGUAUUAUUUGUCAUGUGGUAGCUGUGCAUGUGUAUGUUUUGUUAGCCUGCUCGACUAAUAUCUUUUUUCCAUUUAUGAUCACUUUAUGUUUGUCUGACAUUUUCUUUCACCCUUGUAUUUCUAGUUGUUUUGGCUGAAAAUGGGAGGCUGAAACAUAUUGAUGCGAUAGCAAAAAGGUUUGCUGAGUUAACCAUGGCACACAAGGGGGAACUUAAAGCCAUUGUAACAACUGUUAUUGUAAGUCGAAUAUAUAUCCUUAUCUUUUGUUUUUUUUAUUUAAUGUGGCGAGGACUAUUUCAAGUUAAGAAAACGAUAUUUUCAAUCUGGUGUUUACUUAAUGGUGCUUUGAAAGAGUAAGUGAUACUCAAAUUAUGAGGAUGAAAGCAGUACGAGUUGCUUAUAAACUGCUUAUGAAAUUAACUGUCUUUUGACUCUUUUCUAAUUCUGUAUUGUUAGUCAUUAUUGGUGAGGUCCCUUCAUUAUUAUGUGUAAUGUAAUGAAUGAUGCUUUGAGUUGACUACUUUAAGGACUCGGGUUGGUUAACUGCUGUAUUGAUACAAGAUUUUAAUUGUAGUUAGAUUCUGAUUUUUAUAUCUUUUUGUUUACUUUACCCAGCCUAUUCCUCCAGAGGAGGAGAAAGAAUUGAAGGAGACAUUGCAAGAGGUGAUGGGAAAAGGGAAGAAGGUGAACAUUGAACAGAAGGUACAUUAUGAUACUGGAACCUUUUUUUUUCAGAGAAAAUUCUCAACGACAAAGAUUCGCAUCUGUUUAUGAUAUUCAUUCGUUGUUGUUACAGAUUGAUCCUAGCAUUCUCGGUGGGCUUGUGAUAGAAUUUGGCCAGAAGGUCUUUGACAUGUCAAUUAGGACUAGGGCACGCCAGAUGGAGAGACUCUUGAGGGAACCUAUCAACUUCUGAUCGCGUGAAAUCCCAUUUUAGUUAUUUUACCCUUUUGUGGUUUUAGCUGACGAUGAAAACAUCCUCUUGAGGUGUUUGUUUCUCACAACAAUGUUCUUCUGCAUCUUGCACAAAUAAAAAGCAUACUUUACAUUUGAAUCUUCCAAAGGAAAACCUUGAUGAGGAUUCUUCAUUUUUAUUUUGAAGUUGUACUCACUUUUGUUGAUCAAAACCUUCUUUUAGAGUUUGAAUAACAUCUUCCUUUGUUUAUUUGAUUGAGUGAGAAGUUUUACUUAUCGUAGGCCUUGGUUUUUAGAUCAAUGAAUACAUGACAUAUCCAUUGUUAUUGCUAUGCAUGAAUUUAGUGGGGCUCAAUAUCACUAUUAUGAGAGGUACAUUUUCCUAAUUCUAUUGACUUUUUUUUAUAGAUCACCAAGAUAAAAAGAAGAAAUAGUGCUAUAUGUAAAAGUUCCCCAAUAUAUAAUGGGCGCAUCAGCCACAGUUAAACUUGGGUUUGAGUAGUAAGGUGUAAGCCCAAAGCCUCUUCACCUCACUUAUUAGUUAUUCCCUUAAUAAGGUAAUCGUCAUUUGUCCCUUAUAAUUUUAAAAUUAUAAAAAUCUCUCAUACUGAUACUAUAAUAUAAGCGUUGAUACAUUAAUUUGAUGUGCGAGAUUAUAUAUCGGCAAGGUUAAUUCCAAGUGGGCUUCUUCCGCAAAGGGUUCUCCUCCAGAGAAGCUAGGGCUACCUAUACAAUUAUACCCAAAAUCAGUACUAAAAUUUACAUCAAACACAUAAUUUAGUAAUAAAGCUAUGAAACUCUAUGAUGAUAUUAAUAUUUUCGUAUACAAGUAAGAGUGAGAUAGAAAAAGUUUUUUACAUGAACAUUUCACCCACCCUUUCUAUCUAUUGGAUAUAUAUAUAUAUCCAAUGGUUAUGACUUGGUAGAUUCACUUAAAACAAUGCUACAACAAAUAAAGGAUAUAUAGGUAAACAAAUACUUAGCCGUAAUAGUAAAUAGGGAUAUUUUAUAAGCAAUAUUCUAGAUAAAUGUAGUUAAAAGGCGUUAGCAGCUCUAAAUGCAUAUAACAUUGACCCAAUUGCGCUAUGUUUGCGGCAAGAAAUAUUGAAUGGAAAAAUCUAUCGUCACUAAAUGUCUUCUUUAUUGUAGUAAAAGAGAGAAAAUAUCCCGAAAAAAGGUCAAUUGAGUCCUUUUCUAAUUAGAAUAGAAGAAAACAACCAUGUAAGGAUCCUUGUAUAUUGUUUUCGUAAGUAUAGAUAUGAAGAUCUCUGUAAAAAGGACCCAAAAAAAAUAUAAAUUUGUAAAGAGAUAAUAGGAGGAUAUCACGAAAAUUAUAUGGCUAAAUGCUAAUGAUAUAAAUUUUCUUUCUAAAAAUAAAGAAAGAAAGAAUUUGAAAUUUUAUUUCAAUUACAUGAUUAUGUAAAAGAGUACUAUUUCACACAUAUUGAUUCUGGUAAAUGUCUUCUCAAGAAAUUAUUUUCUAUUUAAUAAUAAAAAAAGUAAAAAACAAUAUAUUGCACAACUAACUUUCUCUUUAUGUUUUUUCUACUCCAAUUUUUUUCAACAUUAUAAACACUUUUAGGACUCACAAUUAUCACCUAACUCCACAAUCAUCAUAAUUCAGUUGAAACAUAACGUAGAUAUUAAUUAUCCUUCUUAUACAGUAAUGUUGUUUCAUUAAAUAUAGCAUAUAUUAUACGAAAACACACAUUCUACGUCGUACGUGGUCCAUUGCAGAUAUUGUUAACAUGUCAAUUUUAGAAAACAAUGAUAGCUACCAAUAAAAUUCCUUAAAUUAGUCAUUAACAUCAUUAAUUAUUUUUUUUAGAUUCAAAUCAUCACUAAUUCAUACCACAAUAAAGUUUUAAAAUUAAAUUAACAUAGUUCAAAGGGUAUUUUUCGAUAAAUUUGUACCUGAAAUAUCGACAGUAAUAAAAAUUUAAAUCACUACGGACGUCCCAAAAAAAUCUCUCCAUUUUUCUUUUAUAAAAUUUUGCUCGUCUCUUUACCCAUGGUACCAAAUAAUUCCUUGAAUUAUUCCACCAUCUUGCAAAAGCAAGUCUAGCUCUUUUAAUCAUGUCAUUGUAGCAAAAAUAUAGUAAUAUGAGGUUUACAACAUAAUUAUUUAUAUUUACAGAGUCGGUAAAUUCAGAAUGUACUUGUUUGAGUUAGAGAUAGAUUUGUUUGAAUUUCGAAAUUCAAAAAGUGUCACAUAAAUUGAGACGCAAAAAAAUAAUAAUUUCAAAAAAAAGGCAGUGAUAGAUUAUAAAAGAAAAAGAAAUAUGAAAUAAAAGAGUUAGAUAGGACCAACAUUUUAGCCUUUGUCCAAGUAACUUUUCAACACAUCAUGAACAUAUUUAACUAUUAACUUAAUAUAUUUUGAUUCGUUCGAAUUCAAUCAGACCAAUUUAUUUACCUCCUAUAAUUGAACGAGUCCAUUUGCUAUUCGUGAUUGAAUAAUCCAUCCAUUUAUUAACUCAAUAUAUUUUAAUCCGUUCUAAUUUAACUUAAUCCGUUCACCUGCGAGUUCAUUCGUUGAGAGCUCCGCAAAUAAUCAUUAUGUCAACUUGUCUAGGGAGUGAUUUUCUACCUUGGGACCAAUUUUAUUGAUAAUUAAUAUCUUUGUUAAAUUACGACUGAUUCUUUUAUUUUUUAUAUUUUUAUGGUUCUCAUUGUUAAUAACUUACCCCAGCUUCCUAUUACCCACAAAAGGGAUAUUUAUGCAACACAAAUUGGAUAAUUUUGUACCUCUAUUUAAUAUUCUUAUUCUAUUAAAACAAUUUGCGCGACAAUAGGUGUUAUGUUAGAGGAAUAUAUUUGUUCAAUAAUGCUCAAUUGGUUUUGAGGGGUGGUUAUCCACACGAAUGAUUCGAAAUUGAUCUCCCCUCAUCAUCUUCUGAAUCAAGCAUGCCGCAUAGGGUUUGCCUAGUUCAGUUUAUAUUCCAUGUGUGAUUUGCAGGCUAUUAUUACACAAUGAGCGGUUUACCCAGUGCACAAAAAGUGCUCAUUCAAAGGGCAAAAACUGUGACAGAAAUUAUAACGACUGCAGAUUAUCCUGAGACUCAAAAAACAAAAUCAAAUCAACCUCAUAUAAAGAAUUUGAUUUUAUAAUAGAUAUUUUUAAAUACCACAUAUUAAAAGGGACCCCCUAUUCCCUAAAAACACAAAUCAAAAUGGAACUUGGCCUAAAAAUGGGCAAACUGACCACUCUAACCAUUUACUUCAUCUACUUCUAUUGCAAUGCCUAUAUUUUGACAUAAAAGUAUAUUAUUUGUCUAUUGUGAGCUUCUUCAACAUUAAAAGUAUAUAAAAAUAAACAUUUACGAAAAUAUUUAAAUAUGCACUAAUUUUUGUAAUGGGGACAAAAGUUAAAAGGAAUAAUAUAUAAACGUAUUUUCUAACUCGGUCUUAAUUGACAUCUGUGUCACACAUUUAAAUAUUUCUACAAAGUUGAACAACUAGACAUGCACACAUUUUACAUGAAAAUUCAAAUGAGAUAUACUAAAACAGAAUUGUAUAUACGUCUCGUAAGAUGCAUGUGUCUGUCUAUCUGUUCAAUACUAUAAUAAUUUAAGUGUUUACUUACGCACACCCAACUAAAAAUUAGUUAUUGCUAGCCGGCCCUAUAAGAAAAGAGAAUUACACAUGAUGUGGUCCUAAAUAAUCUUAUUGAAGAAGAAGAAGAAGAAUGUUGCUUGGCUUGGGUAAAUUGAAGAAGUAAAGAUUAAAAAUAUUAUCCAUACAGCUGUAACUACGUACGUACAUUUAUAUAUCUUUGAGUAGCUUAGUUGUAUUUCUUUUCCACUUGUUAUUUUUUCAUAUGGAAAUCCAACUCAGCAUGCAAAUUAAAGUUUUCAAAUACUCAAAACAGCCCCUAACAUUUUUCCUAAAUUGACAGAGACAGUCUAUAUUUAUUUUUUUUAAAAAAAAAACCAUUGAUUUAAUUUGCCUCUUUUUUUUUUUUCUGUUGAUAGAGAUAACUCUGAUGUGUUUUUUUCAUGCUUAUCAGAUGGUAACUACUCCCAUAUGAAUAAGACCUAAAUUAGGUAUAUAAUGACAGGGUAAGAAUUUUCACUAAGUUUAAAAUAGGCUAAAUACAUAAAUUUGUAUUUGGCAGCAAAACUUGCUUUAGUACUUUAACUUUACGGGUAAUUAUUUGUCCCCCUAAUCUUUUUGCAAGUGAAUUAAAUAGCACCUUACAUAUACUCAGUUUCAUAUACAUGGGUGAAGUGCACGCGUUCCACCUAAGUGACACCUCAGUGCCACAUCGAUGACAUGUCAGAUAAUUAAUUAUUUUUUUUACUUUUCCACAUCUUUUAAAAAAAUAAUUUUUCACUCUUCACCCACCCUCUUCAUUAUUUCAUUUGAGUCAACCUCUUAAGAUCAAAAAUUUCAUAUUGAUUGAUUCAUUCUAUUUUUUAUUGAUUUGUUAUUAUUUACUAUUACUUUCAUCAAAUACUUAUAUCAGCCACCAUACUUUUUUUUCACCAACUAGAUGAAACUAUCAAUUUAUAUCAACAAUGGCGAUUUUAAAUUUAUGCAAAAUUGAUAUGCUAAUUUUUUUAGAUUUUUUGUUGCUUUACUUAUUUCAUUUCUUAAUGCAUAUUCAGGUAUAGAUUAAGUAACAUUAUAGUUAGAUGAAUAAUUAUUUUUUUAAAAAAAAUCAAAUCUUAAAAGUAAAGGAUAAAGAAAAUUAUGUGAGUCUUGAAUGUGAUUUUCUAUUUUUGUAUAACCAAAAAAUGUAUAGAAUGUAGAGUUUGAUGAAGGAGAAAGAAGAUAGGUCGAAUCUAGCUUCUAUUGAAACAAAACGAAGGAACUUCCGGAGUGAAGGUUCAGACUUAAGACUAAAGCAGCGAAUGAGCCGAGGAGAGGUUGAGUGAAAUCAGCAGCUACUUGGGAGUUUCAGGAAGAAGAGACAAGCAGGGGAUGUGGGGGUUUUGAGAAAGGGGUGGAAGGGUUUGAACAAGAAGAAGAAUGGGGUGGGUGGGGUUUUUUUUUUUAUUAUAUAUAUAGUGGGAUCAUUUUUUUUCAAAAAGAAAAAACUUAAGCGCCUUUAUAUUUUUUUUUGUCACGUCAUCUGUUAAGGUGGUGUUAAAUUCACUUGAAAUGAGUUCAGAGAGUAAAUAAUUACCCGUAAAGUUAAAGUGCUAAAAUGAGUUAUGCGGACAAGUUCGGGAGGAAUUUUAUGUAUUUUCCCUUUAAAAUAUGAAAACUCAAAUAUAUGAGAAGUCGAAGGGGACUCAAAAUCUGCUAUGUAUAGAUAAAACUAUCAAUUUAAUCAUGAAAAAACAGUAUCGAAGAAUUUUCAAAUGAACUCCUUCAUCCUAUCUAACUCCAAUCCUUGGGUGGGGGACGUCAAUAAAUCAAAAGACAUUUAUUUUGGAAAAUGUUACUAAUAUUUAAAGUAAUAUUAUAAUUGAGUAUAGUGGUUUUAAUGUUUUUAUUUUUUUUAUCUUGAAGUGAUAUUUGCUUUUUAUUAUUUUCAAGCAGAGUGUCGAUAGACACUUCUUUCUUGAAAAAUAAGUUAGAAUGAGAAUAUUGUUUUUCACGUAUAUAUAUUACAUAUUGAUACUCAUUGAUUUUUAUAUAAUUUUAUUUUUUUAUAUUUUGAUACUUUUUAAGCGAAAUUUUAACUUCGCCACUGAACUCUCGCAAAGAGUGACUAACUUUUAUAUUUUAUUGUAUUAUAAUGUCAUUUCACUAAAAAAUUUAUCAAUUUCGAUCGUAAUACAAAGUCUGACCAACUUGUAGAUUUUUUGGCAUUAUAAUAAUAUAAUUUAACGUCGUAAUGCAAAGGUAGGUUGACCAAUUAAUUCUGUGAGAUAAUAUUUGCUCAAGGAGAAACGUGUUUUAUAUUGCCAAAUAUUUUCACUUUAGCGUCUUGGAAUGAAGGGAUUAGAAACGGAGCCCAAGGGAGAUGUAUCUUAUAAUGAUUGAACUAAUUAUAGAGGGUAAUUGGCUAAAUUUAAUUUAUAAGUUACAUCAAAUUAAUUUAAGCAUUGAAGUCAAAAUCAAUUAACAGCUAAAAGCCACUUCUAGUUUGAUUAUUUUUUUUACCAUUUUAUUUGAUUUUUCUAAAUAGAUUAUUAUAACUUUUAAAAAAACAAAACGCCAACUCUCUCUUCAUUCUAUAUUUGUUGUUCCUUUUUUCAUACUUUAAAAUUUAUGGAGUACCUUUUUUUUUUUUUGGAAAAGGAAAAAUCAAAUGGUAUGUAAAUAUUCUUCGUCAUAUUUUUGAAAUAUUUGUGCCCCUAUCAGCUAAAAACUAGAGUGUAUAUAUGCUUUAUACAAACGGAUAUACAUGUGUCAUAAUCUUACCCAUGAUUCGAUAUUUAUUAAAUAUCGAAUCGACGGAUAAGAUUGUGUCACGUGUCUAUGUGGUCUUUCGUUAGAGGGAAGGGCAUACAUGCUCUAGUGUUUGGACACCAGGGACACAAUGUCCCAAAAGUAUGAAGAAGGAUAUUUUCAUACCAUUUACGAUAGUUUGAGAUUAUAUUUAUGUUUUUUCCCUUUUUAAAAUAAAAUUUAAAGAUAUUUUAGUCAUAUUAGUAAAAGAAUAACUAAUUAUUUAUUAUUUUUAUCAAACGCUUAACCCCCCCCCCCCCCACCCUUUCCUUACCUUCAAAUACGUACUAAUUUAGGUAUUAUUUUAUUUUUUAAAAAACAAAAACUAACUCUUUGCUUCCAAAUUUUUUUCUGUAGUGCGUUAGAUAUAUAGAUGUCAAAAAUAUGUUUUACUUGUUGUUGCAUGACUUUUUAAAAAUAAAUUUUCUAUUUAUGUUAUAUUCGGUACCCUCUAAAGAUAUAUAUACAUAUCUAACAUAAAAUGAAAAAAAAAAAUUAAAAAAAUAAGCAAAUUAAGAGCAGAGGAUUAAAUAAAAUUUACUACAAUUUUAUUUCUUUAAAAAUAAAAUAAUAUAUCAACUUUUUUCGAGAAUGAGUGGGUGAUUUCUUUUUUUUCUUUUUUUUGGAUGGGUGUCGGGUUUUUUUUAAAAAAAGGGCAACUUUUACGUAUAACAAAUAUAAAAUUCAUAUUUAUAUGCUAUAGCAAAGUUUGCAUAAUUACACUCCAUAGCAAACAUAUAAAUGUAUAACUUGCUAUACAUAUACAAUUGAAGCGAAUUGUAUAAAACGAAGUGUAUAAAAUGACAAAGAGAAAGAGACUUGGGCAGAGAAUUGUAUAAAAUGAAGUGUAUAAAAUAAGUUGUAUAAUUAUAAGUGUAUAGAACGAUUAUAUACAAUUUGAAUUUGUAGAAAAUGAGAAAGACAGAAAGGCAAAAGAGACUUGGGCAAGGAAUACACAAUUGAAUCGAAUUGUAUAAAACGAGAAAGAGAGAAAUUAUAUACAAUUUGAAUUUGUAUAAAACGAAAAAGAGAGAAAGACAAAAGAAACUGGGCAGGAGAGUAUUUUUAUUGUAUAAUUAUAAGUGUAUAGGAUGAAAAUAUAUGUAUUUGCAUCUUUAUAUACAAUUUUCUCUCGUUUUAUACAAACAAAAACACAACUUAUACAUUUCAUUUCUGUUUGUAUAAGUGAGAGAGGCAAGGGUGGCGGGCGAUAUUAGGGAGAGUGGCGAGCGAGAUUUGGGAGAGGGGAACAAAAAUAUAUGUAUUUAUACAAUUUCCUCUCUCUUUAUACAAAUAGAAAAACAGAUUUUUUUAUACACUUGUGUUUGUAUAAAAGUGAGAGGAAGCGAGCAAGAGAUGAAGCGAGAGAGGAGAGUGGCGAGCGAGAGUUUGAGGAGAGAGGUAACUGACAAACAGUUUGCUACAGAACACAAUUAAAUCAAAGGUUGGUUAUAGCAAUUAAUUUGAUUUAUUAGUUUGUCAUUAUUAUACAAUUUUCCCUUUUAAAAUAUAUUAUAAAGGAAAUUAAAAAAAAAGAAUAGAAGGACGGGGAUUGUCGGUGUGGAGUGGGGGUGGGGUGGAGGAGGGGGUACGGGAGGAGGAGGUGGAGAGUGGUAAGAAAAAUAAUUUAAAAUUUAAAAAAUAUUCUUUUGAGGGAUAAUACUACUUUAAUCUUUAAUUUUUAAUAGUGUAUUAUUUAAUUUUUUUUCAAGGUGAAAUAUUUUAUCUAUGUGAAAUGUCAUGUGUCAAGUUUUUUUCAAAUAAAAGAAAAAGUGCAUCACACACCAUUUAUGUAUAUUUUCAAACUAACAACAAUUUAGGUAUGAAAUUCACGCUUUCAAUAGUUUAGAUAUGAAACUAAAAAAAAAAAUAGUUUGAGAGCAUUUUAAAUAUUUUUCUCUUAUACUAGUUUCAACAAUUUCAAUAGUUACUUAAAUACUGUUUUUUUUAUAAAAUCAAUUUUAAUAAAAAAAAUUUGCUCUUAAAACUUAUCAGGUGUUUACAAAGUCAGCUGACCCAAAUAGGGUGUAAGAUUUUAUUUUUACUUUUUUUUAAAAAAAAAAAGUAGUUCUUUAAUUUUCAAAGUUGAUCAAUGAAGUAACAAUUCGAGUUUUAAAUGUUGAACACAUGAUGCAUAAUUGGUUGACAAUAAUUUUUUCCAAAAUUUGCACUAUGGUCAAAGAUUGCUUUCAUUUCUAAAGAUUAUUACUGUCUUCAGUGUGAAACAGAUUAUUAUAAUUUAUAGCACAAAAUAGGGAAUGUUGUCGUCUAACAUCAUAGAGAAAAUUAAAACACAGUGCAAAACACAUGGCUAUGUAACAAUUUACACAUGGAAAAACAACAAGAACAUGAUUUUUGACCAAGAGUUUAGAAAGUAAAAUCUUUUGUUAUAAUUAGAAUUGAAUAAUUACUAUUAUCUCACUUUAUUGCCCUUUUCUUUAAAUAAUUGUUUCCAAUUUUAUUCACUUUAAAAGAAGUAUAAUUUUGAAUUGUAAUCAUCAAAAAUAUUAAUAAGUAAAGGGAUUUUUAAGCGUUUUAACUCAACCUCAAAAACUGACUCAUAAAAAGAUGAUUCAUCAAAACGAUAUAAAAGAGAGAAAGAAUCAAUACUUUGCACCGCUAUAGACUAGCUAUCUUAAACAUGAAUAAUAUAAAUUGAGGGUUUAACAUCAAGUAAACAAUGUUGAAAUGGGACGGGUCUGACUCUGAUAUUAUGUAAAAUAAAAUGAAUCUUAAGCCUAAAAUAAUCUCAGAAGUUAGCUUAUAAAAGUUAACAUCGCUCAAAAUCGUAUAAGGAGAUCAAACAUCCAUCCACGUCGAGCUGGGAUAAUCAACUUACAACUAUAAACAUUUAGUUGAAUGGAUUCCACUUCUUUUUUAAAAAAAGUUCACCCUUCAUAGCAAAAUUAUUAGUAAAGGAGUUUAGCUUUUGGAAUAUAGUGUUCUUUUUUCUUUCUUAGGGCAAAUGAUAAUACUUCCCAAUUAAAUUUUAUUUUUUAUUCAGUAAGACACGGUGAACAUUAAACCAUGAGCUUUGACGAUUGUACCAUAUACUUUUAAGGAAAAAUAAUUAAUUUUAUAUUAGAACUCCCUUCUUGAUCAAGACAACCCCAUGAUUGCAUAAAAGAACAAAAAUAUUAAAUUUGUCUUCACACGUAGUGGCAAAAAAAAAAAACAUUUUUUUAGUAACUAUAACUUACUUUACAAGAAUGGAAGUUUGGUAUAGUGUUGAGGAAUACUAUACAAACAUUGUUGAUAUAUAUUAUAUUUAAUAGUAACAUAUAUGAAUAAUAUAAUGCAAAAUGAAGCACUAAUCAUUUCAAUAGUAUCUGUCGACAGAUAAUUUGCUUCAAAAAUCCGUUAGAUGAAACUGAAAGGCUUAUUAUUUUGAACGUUAUUUUCAUUCUUCAUGCAACAAACAAUUCCAAUUAAAGACUUGUGGAAAAUUAAAUAAAAUUUUGAGUUAAAAUAAAGGUUCAACGUAGACAUAGACACGCGUACCUUAAUAUAACAUAUUAAGUUACCAUCACACAAUUUAGAAAAUGUGUAUAACAAUUGUAGUACUUUAUGUUAUUGUACAUGUACUCUUCCUUUUCUUUGAAAAUUUAGACUUAAGGUGCAAGUGAGAAGUUGAAAGAAAAGAGAAAUGAAAACUUCUUUGGGUGGUAAUGGUGAUGAUGAAAGUGAUGUUUUGUGGGGUUGUGUUUUUCUUUUUCUAAAAAAUCAUUUAUAAAACAUUAUUAAUUGUGAGAAUUAAAUUUAAAAAAAAAUAAAAAAAGCAAAUUAGUUGGUUAAAAAAAAACAAUUAUAGGUGGAGUGGAAAACGGAUUGAGAGGGAUGUUCCUUUUGGCCAAGGGGCGGAGCUAAUAGUCUACGAAACAAGUUCGAGUUCGAUUGAAUUCAGUAUAUUUUAUUUUAUUAAUGUUGAUAAAUAUAUGUAAAUAUUUAAAUUUAGAAUUCAAUUAUUAUUAUCAGUCGAAAAAAUUGUUAUUGUAAAAUUCAAAACUCAUAAAAAUUAAAAUUCUGAUUUCGCAAAUACGAAAGAGAGAGAGAGAGAGAGUGAUGGUUGGUCUUCUUGUCUUUGACUCUAUCUAGUCUCUUUCGUUGCAUUUUUCUUCACUCACAAGGUAAUCAUCAUAUGUGUAUGAGAAAUGGAACACAUUUUGCUUCCACUUCACAUAAUCUUUUUCUUAUUUUUUUUUUCCUUCUCUUUCUUAUUAUUCCAUUCUAUAUAUCUUUUCACCAUCAAAACCUAGCAAAACAUAUCAUAUUAUUUUUUUUCUUCUCCUCAUCAUCCAUCAUCUUGUUAGGGUUUGUCUAUCGAUGAGGAAGCCGGAACACAAUAAUACAACGAUGAAGGAGAAGGAGAAGGAGAAAGUGAACAAGUUAGGGAAAUUAAGAAAAGGUUUAUGGUCACCAGAAGAAGAUGAAAAGUUGAUGAGUUACAUGUUAAGAAAUGGUCAAGGAUGUUGGAGUGACAUUGCUAGAAAUGCUGGAUUACAAAGAUGUGGUAAGAGUUGUCGUCUUAGAUGGAUUAAUUACUUGAGGCCUGACCUUAAACGCGGCGCCUUUUCUCUUCAAGAAGAAGAACUCAUUGUUCAUUUGCAUUCUAUUCUGGGAAAUAGGUACAUACAUUCACCUUUUUCAACUUUGUAUUUAAGUUUAACAUUCAUGUGUAUAUGAAGUGUGUUUUGGAGCCAUGUUGGUUUUACCAUGAAUGAAAUGAGUGAAAAUCAUAGGGUUCAAAUUUCAGUAUAGACAAAAAUAUUAGUAGUACUUAUCUUUUUCUAUUUGCAUUGAUCAUGCUAGCUAGACACUAAUGAUAUUGAGAAGAAGAGAUCAAGAGAGUAUGAGGGUGUUAAUGGAACUAAAAUGUGAAUUAGGUUUCUUUUAUCAACUAGCUAGCUUGAAAUUAAAUAUUGAUUUUAAUACAUCUAAACCUUUUGGGGUCGGAUUCUUUUUCACUGUUAUAUAUUACGCGAGAUGUUAUUAAAUAAAAUAUAUAAUUAGAUAAUAUCAUAUGAAAGUUGAUUUUUUUUAAAAAAAAAAAUUGAUUGUUAAUAGUGAAAUGAUAUUAUAGUGAGGAUGGUGUACAUAUAUAGGACACUUGCAUAUUUUCUUUGAAUUAAAUACACAAAUACAAUUUUUUUUCAAAAAAAUUGGUUGACUUAUUGUUAACCUACUUUAUGUAAUACACAAAAAAUAACAAUCCUCUUUCAACACUAAAUCUCAAGCUCUGAGAAGGAUAAAUUUUACUGUAAUCUACAACUCCUAAUUGUCAUAUUUAAUUAGUCCCUUUUCAUCAUUUUCUCUUAUGUUAGGGCAUUAUAUUAUACAUACCUUAGUGUUAAAUCUUAAAUGAUUCCCUUAAUAGCUUUGACUUCAACCUCGUAUAUGUAUUAAAAUUUUUACUAAUAAAUAAUAUAAUUGACUCCGACCCCAGAGUCCAACCACUUAAAAAAUUUUAAGUAGGAGAUUUAUGAAUUAAAAAAAAUGAAGGGAAAAUUAGAUGAUUAAUUAGAGAGAAAAGUUCCAAAGAUAUCAUUAAGUAAAAGAAAAACUAAAAAUGAAUAUAUCUACUGGCAUAUAUAAUUAAUCCAUUGUUUAGUAAGUCAAUUUGAUUUUCGCUUAUAAUAGUAGUGAAACAAUUUCAAUUUUUAAACAAAUAUUAUUUGCUUAAUUUGUUGAUGAAACUAACAUACUAUAAUGCAAUGCAAAUCCAUGCUGUACUUUCUUUCCAUUAUUUUAAACCUUAUGUAUUUUGCAUGUAUGUAUUAUAGGUGGUCACAAAUUGCGGCUCGUCUACCUGGGAGGACAGAUAAUGAAAUCAAGAAUUUCUGGAAUUCCACGAUAAAAAAGAGAUCAAAAAACAACAACAACAGCACGCCAUCGCCCAACACGAGUGAUUCUUCCAUUGGAGGAAUAUUUCCAAUGCAAGGGCACGAUGUAAAUAAUGUUAUGGCAACGUUAUGCAUGGAUAAUUCAUCGUCUACUACUUCAGGAUCAUCCAUGCAAGCCAUGGUACCUUUCAACCCUUUCCCUCAGCUUGAUAGUACAAGCUACGAUAUAUCUGGAUUAGUCGGGCCAGUGAAUUUAGGUCAAUUUGGUUGUAGUGGAGGUGAUGGUGGAUUUUUGGACUAUGGAGUUGUGGAAACUUAUAGUAUGAUGGGUUUAGGAAGUGAUGAAUUUUCAAUACCUUCUUUAGAGGGUGUUCAUAAUAAGAGUACUACUACUAUGGGAGAGAGUAAUAAUAAUAGUAAUGUUGAUUUUAGUAGUAAUAAUAUUGUUAGUGGUGCUAAUGACUAUGAUUCCAUGAUUGAGAAGAAAAAUAAUACAAACGUUAACAACAACAACAACCAACACUUGAUGAAUAUGAGUGGAAUUAGUGAUCAAAGCCUAAAGGUUGAAGACUAUAUGGUUGGUUUUGGGAAUCAUCAUCAUUGGCAUGGAGAAAGCUUAAGAAUUGGAGAAUUUGAUUGGGAAGGUUUGUUGGCAAAUGUUUCCUCUUUACCUUACCUUGAUUUUCAAGUUGAAUAAAUACUCUCUCCAACCCUUUCAACCCCACAUAUACCCCCACAAAAAUGACACAAAUACCCCUCUUCCCAACAUUUCUUUCUUUUUUUUCUUUUUCUUUGAUAAUCGUACGUUUAAAUUCAGACGAUCAAUAAUGAAGCAAGAUUCGAAAUUCAGUAAAUAAUAGGUCUGUCGAGACUUUUUAUCUUCUCUUCCUUCAAUUCAUUAUACAUAAAUUGUUCCCCCUCCUAAAUUCUCCACAACUUCAUCUUAGAGAAAAUUUUGAGAUAUACUUCUUUUCUUUAUUUGCAAUUAUCUAAUACUUCCACUAGAUUUUCUUUUUAUUUCUUUAUUUUUGGUAUUUCAAUUGUACGUUGUGGAGUAUUAUGGGGAUAGUAGGGGAGAAAUAAUAAUCUUUCUCAUCAAGAAUUGAGCAAAGUGUGAAUAGAAAAAUGAAAGACAGAUCGAUGAUAUAGAAGAUUACGCAAAGAAAGUAAAUAAAAAGGUCAAAAAUUGUUGAUUUGUAUUUUUGUACAGAUCGAUGUGGAUCAAUUUAAUCAAUCAAUAAUCUUUUGAAUUUUAAGAGAAUUUUUUUAGUUAGUCACAUGUUUCUCAGAAAUAUAUAUAGAUAGAGAAAAUUGUUGCACGUACUUUGUAUUUACAAAGGAAUAAGAAGCAUUAUUAGUUUUUUUUCUUAUGUAACAUUUAAUUUUGAAUUCAUGUUAUGUGCACUGAUAGAAUAAUUAUAUUUUGUAUUACAUAUACGGUCAACAUAUCUAACCUAGAUAUGAUAAACUAAACAAUAAAUUAAUAAGCCUAUUAUAAUGGACUAAACCAUAAAAAUUGUGAAUAGUUUUUUUUUUUUUUACGUUAUCAUUAUAUGUGAUUUAACUUUUUCAACACUGAAUUUGAUGAUGAGAAAUUAAAUUAAAUUGGAUCAAUUUGUAUGUGGAACGACUUUAUUUUCUUUAACAAAGUUGAUUAAACAUUUUGUUCGUCACUUAAUCUUGAUCUUAAUAUAAAAAUGUAGUGUUAAGGAGAACUUACGUCAUAGUUGCUUUAACUUUCAUCUGAUUCAAAUUACUAAACCUGAGUUAUUUUCAUGGCAAUUCUUCUAUACUGACUUGCAUUAUGAUAGUAUCAUUAGCUGUGAAUAUAUGCAUGAGGUAAUUAGAUCACACUACCAAAUAAAUCAUUAUUUUCGUCAAAAAAUGUUUAAUGAUUAUUUCUAUAGAUAUUUUUAUUGAAUCGGUAAAAAAAAAAAAUAUAUUAAUGUUUUCAUAGAAAAAUUAGGAUGCAUGUUUUCUAUUAUUUCUAUGAGAAUUUGUUUUCCACCAAUAUACAAUUUUUUUAAGUAAGCUGGUUCAAGAAAAUGAAUACAAAAAUAUGUUCUACAUCAUAAAUUUCUCACUAAUUUGCGUAGAAAGAACUUUAUUCCUAGUAGUUCGUGACCUAAGUCAAUUAAUAAUACUUCUUUGUUUCUAACUUGAAUCUCUUUCCUUUUUUUUAUUCGUUUAAAAAUUUAAAAAAAAAAUCUCUUAUUUUAGAAACUCUAUAAUUUAAAACUUUUUAUAUAAUAUGCUUAAAAUUAUAAAAUCAAAUACUAUUGUUAUUCAUUCUAUAUUGUUUUUGUCUAAGAUCAUAAAAUUCAAAAAAAAAUUCUUUUUCUUAAAUAUCGCAUAAAGUCAAAACCAGAUAGAAAAUUAAAACGAAAUAGAGGGAAUAGUAAAAUCACGGUUAUCUAUCUAUAAUCUAUGUACGACUAGCUAUAAGUCUAGAAACUAUAAGUAUGUCUAAUGAAAUGCGCUUAAAAUCAUUGUUAUUUUACUUUGAAGUACAUUUACUUUGGACAGUUAGACGAAGAGUAAAAGCAUUUCUCCAUUUAUGAUAAGUCUCGAGUUUGAAUCUCUUUUAGCUAUGGAGUUAAAUUUUAUUGGAGAGUACUUUACUUUACCCUCUUAAUAUAGGACUUUCAGAUGCGAACUCAAAUUUAGUUAAACUUGAAUGGAUAUAUCAAAUAUUUGGACGGUGAAUUAAAGAUAAUUAAUUAUUGUAUCACUUGCACUAUAACAAAAACACUUUUAUCAACAAUAAAUAUAUAUAAUAACAAAAAGGGCUAAAUCUUUAGUGUCAUUAGAUCUAAUGUCUCUAAAGGCUUUAUAAAUAAUGUUAAUUAUCGCUAAAAUACAUUUUUAAUAACUAUUGUUAUAAAUUUAUUACGAAAAUAAUUUUUGAUAUAAUGUAAAGGUACUAGAUAAAUGUUAACUAAUCCAUGUUUUGGAUGACGAAUAAAUUCGCUUCAUUUAUUAAAUCUAAGUCCCCUUGAUUUGUAUAAAUAGAUACUUAAAUUUGUAUUAGAAAAUCAGAGAGAAUGCGAAAAAAAAAAAGUGGGAAAAAUGAUAAAAACGUCACCUGAGAGAUUCGAACUCUCGCGGGGAAACCCCAUGUACUUAGCAGGCACACGCCUUAACCACUCGGCCAAAGCGACGUUGUUAUCAACUUGCAGAAUUAACAUAUAACUAUUAAAUAUGUUUAAAAUGACACUUCAAAUAACAUGUAGGGAAAUUCUAUGGUAUAGAAAACAUGUAGCAUAUAUUAAGAACUAUAGCUACAAUUUAAGAAAUUUAUGAUAACAGUUUUCUCAAUUCUUGCUAUUUGUAUAAAUUCAGAAUUUGUAUAAUUGUUCUGAUUAUAUUAAGUUGGAAUGUUUUAUAUACUUACCUUAGUUAUUUGUGAACUAUUUACCAAACUUCAUAAUAAAUUACCUUGUUUGUAUAUUGACAAACGAAAUUCUGAAAAAUUCCUAAAUGUAUAAAUACAAUAUAUAUAUAUAUAUAUAUAUAUAUAUAUAUAUAUAUACUUGUCCUUUUGUACAUUCACAAGCAAAAUAUAUAAACAAGCGAAAAUAUAUAAAUCACAACUUCCAUUAUAAACCCCAACUUCCAUAGCAAAUGAAACUGUAUCUCUAAGGGAAACUUUCACAUAUAGCCACUUAAAACUAACUAAUUACUCUUCUUAGCUAUAGUUUGAUAAUUACAAUUUGUAGCUAUAUGUUACAUGGAGGAGAGAGGCGAGUGAGACCGGGAAAGAGUGGAGAAAGGUAAAUUGUAUAUUAGAUUGAUUAUAAAUUAUAUAUUAUACAUAUAUAUUUGUAUAUAUAGCAAGAGAGAUUGGGAGAGGGAGGAGAGAGGUCAGCGAGAGAAGGCAGAGAUUGGGAGAGAGAUGAAUUGUAUAUUAUACAUAUACAUUUAUACAUAGGGCAAGCGAGAUUGGGAGAGGGAGGAGAGGCGAGCGAGAUUGGGAGGGAGGAGAGAGGGGAGAGAGUGGGACAGAAGUGAAUUGUAUAUGUAUAUAGGUUAAAAAUUGUAUAUUAUACAUAUGCAUUAUACAUAUAUAAACGUGACUAAUUAUACAAACUCGAAGUCAGCCCACGUAAUUAAUGUAUACUGUUAGUCGCGAGAGGUAAUUAUAACAAACUAUAACUGUAAUAAGUAUAGUAAGUUCUAUUUCUCGAUGGGGCGGGGAAGGGAUAUAACUCGGCGAUAGAGUUACAUAGUAUAAGUUUGUUUUGUUGUAUAAUUUUCUAUAUCUCGGAUAAGUAUUUAAGGCCCAGCAUUCCUGGGCCCUUUCUUGAAACAAACCCAAAGAAGAAAAUAAGCCCAUUUUGAUUGGGUUUACUAGGCCCAGCAAUCACAUUGGCCAUAGCCCUAUAAUUAGGAUGGUUUUGAUAAAGAGAAAAUUUCAUAAAUAAUCAGUAUUUGCAAAGCAAUUUAUCUUAAAAAAUACAAUUUUAAAAAGUAUGAAAGUAAAAGAAAAAUAAUCACACUUCAAAUAUUUUGUAUUUGAAAUUUCAACACAAUAUAUUUGAAUUUAAUUUUUUAUAAGUAGAUCUACAACAAAGUGAGCACCCAAUACAAUGCUCCCUUUGGGCCAUUUUACCCCUCAUUCAUACUAACAACUAAAAGUAAUAGAAUAGUGGGUUUUAUAAUUUUUUAAAAAAUAAAUAAAGAAUUAUUUGUUAUUCUAAUCAUGAUUAGACUUAAAUUUAGGUAAUUUUUUUUUUUUUUUAAAUUUAGGUAAUUAAAUUUCAAACCUUUGGUUCUUAAUUAUGACAUGACAUGUGGCUACAAUUUAAAUAGGUACUUGGAAUAGAAAUGAUAAAUAAUGGAGAGGCACCCUAUCCCGUAAAGACUAAAGUAAUGUAUCUUGAUUGGCUUAGACUUAUGAUUGUAAAAAUUAUGCUAAAAUUUACGUGUUGAGCUUGAAAAAAUAGUAAAAUUAAAGACUUAAAGUUAAUUAAGAUUUUAUAUUGUAUUUAUAAAUAAUAUACAAAUAAUUAUAAAUUUAAAUGUAUAAUUCUUGAUUCGAUUAGAUCAUUUAUUUUGUUUUAUUUUAUAAAAUCAAAAUCAAAUCUAAUAGUAUCGAUUUUCAAAAUUAAAACUAAACAAAAACAAAUAUUAAUAGCAGUUCAAUUUAAUUAAUUUAUUUAUGAAUGGCCCUAGCUCUCAUCAUUACAUUCUUCAAUUUGUAAUGUAUCUUUUCUUUAUUUCUUAUAAAAUAAAAAAUUGAGUGUAAAAAUGUAACAAGAUAAAUAUGUGACAAUUAUUAUUUAUACUAUAUAGUGGGUUGAAUGAUUUCUUUGUUAUAAAGCAAGGGGAAAAGCCAUUGUUUGCGUUAUUUAGGAUGCUCUCACAAUAAACUCUAAUCAUAACUAUACAUACAAAUCUUGCAUAUUAAUUCAUUUAUUUACUGUCUUCAAAAGCAAGAAAUAUAAUUAUUUCGUAUUAAAUAUAACACCUCCCUCUCUCUUUUCAUGAUAUCUACAAGUAUAUCUAAUUUCUUCAUUGAUAAUUAAAGUAAGUUGUAUGCUUUUUUGGUUUACUCUUAAUAUGAAAAUAUUCUAAAAUGAAUAUUCAUUCAAUUCGAUUUAUUAGAUAAAGGUUGGAUAAUCGACUUAUUAAAAAUAAAUAAGUAUCAUCCACCAAAAUAAUAGAAAAGUUAGAUGGAUAAUGUCAAUAUAUUUCAUAUUAUUAUCAAUGUCCAAUAUAGUGCCUAACUUUGAAUUUUUCGAAAUUUUUAUGUGGACAUUAAAUAUCGAGUGAAAAAUAAAAAAAAAAAAUUACCUAUGUCCAUAUGUUUGCUUACUAUUUCUCGUGAUGAGAUUCUAGUUUCUAAUUUUAUUAUAAUAUUGAUUGUGGUGCAUUUGUGAUAUUGUUAUAUUCCUGAUUAAAUGUUGAGUUCGAGUCCAUAUAUAUAGAGAAAAUUUUGUUGAGAGUAUUACUCUCGUAAUAAACCUUGUAAUUUAUUGUUCGUAUCUAACGAGAACUCCUAUACAAACACCAAAUAUUAAGUGAAAAUACUCAAAAAUGAGAAAAGAAGAGAUUCCGCUCUUUUUUUGUUUUGGUAAAAUUCUUUUUUUGUUAUCUAUUUUAAAUUUAUCGUUUCACCUGACUAUUUUUAGAGAGAUGUUAGUAUGAAAAUUCAUAUUAUUCAUCGGUUAGCUCAUUUUCUAAGUUUUAAAUAUUGAAUAUUUUAUUUUGUUUUUAUUUAUCCCAUUUUCUGAUCCAUUCUUAUUCAAUUUGACCAUCGAUUUGGCACCUCUAAUUAAAAAAAAACAGUUGUCUUGCAUCUUGAAAGUUGGACUGACUGAUUUUGAAAAGAUUUUAUAAAAGACGUGAAAGUUGGGGCUCAAUGAGUCUUUGGAGAAUAAAAUUACUCAUCUAUUCUGUAUUAACUCAAUUUUUGAGAUUUUUUGAUUUAAAAUAAUUAUACUAUUAUUUUAAUUUUUAGAUGGAUAUUUAGAUUUUUUUUUUAUAAUUGUCCUUUAAUGAAAUUUAAUAUUUUUAGAAGAUGAAUUGUAUAGUUUACAAAGUCACAUUUAUGACGCCAAAAACGGUUAUAGUGAAAUUUAUAGUUCAAAUUACGUCCUUGAAUUUUCCUUAACAAGCGUACAUUAUUUGAUGUAUUCGGUUAAUAUAAAAUAGAUUGAGUAAUAAAUUGAGACCAAAUAACGAUGAAACAAAGACAAUCUUAUUUGUAUUUACUAGAUCUAUCUUAUUUAAGAAAGGAAGAAAAUUAUUAAAAUUUAUAUAAAAUAACUAAUAAAUAUUUAUGUGAUUAGAAAUUAUUUUAUAAAAAAUAAAAUAAAUAUUUUAAAAUUGCAAGAUUAUUUGAUAUAAAAAUGUAUUAUUUUAAAAAAUUAACUAAAAGAAAAGUAAAUAAUAAAAAUUGAGAGAAAAGAUUAUUUCUUUCCUCUCCUUAGGAACGCACACCUUUUUUGGUCUUGACUGUGCAAUGCAUAUCAUUCUAACAACUUCCCUUGAAAAAGAGAUCUCGAAUAUCCCGUAAAUUCUUGAGAUAUUUAUAAAGAGAUCAAGAUAUAUCAUAUUCUUAUUGAUAGUAAAAUACUUCAAGAACAUCUAUAAGUUUUUUCAUUAAAAUUGAAAUCAUCAUAGUUUGAAAUACGUCAUUAGUGAUUAAGUGUGUGCAAAAAUUGAAUCACCUGAUAAACCGACGCAAAAAUAAUGUUAUUGGUAUAUAAAAAAAUUUAUCAGGUCAUCGAUUCGGUAUUAAUUUUUAAUAAUGAGUUAUUAGGUAAAUCGAUAAUCAUUAAGCCUUGUAAUUUACUACUUUUAUUUGUAUGCACGCGCGCGCGCGCACAUAUAUAUAUAUAUAUAUAUAUUAAUCUCAUACUUUACUAGUUACUGUCUUUGUCCUUUAGCCUUCAAUUUAUACUUUGCAGUUACUCUGACUUUACAAUUUCGCAUUACAUAAAACGUCAAAAAUUAAAGUAAGAAACAUGUGUCGCUUAAUUUUUAUUUGUAUUGCACUUGUAUAGUUCUUUUCAUGUUUGUUAAUAUUGUUACAUUUUUAUGAGCAUAUUAUUGUGUUGUUGCUUCAAAUUUAUUAGAGAAGUCAUAUAUUUAAUUUAUAAAUUUUUUUCUUAUUGGUUAAAAAUCGAAAAUCGAGCCAUUAAGAAUUAAAAUUAUAAAAAAAAGCCUAAUAAAAAUAUUUUAUUGAUUUGAUGUAUUUAAAAAUAAAAAAUAGAAUCAAAUUGAUCGAUACACAUCCAAUAAUAUAAAAAAAGUUAUUGAAAAAAAGAAGUAAAGAAUAAAUAGAUUGUAUUUGUAAUUUAUAUCAAUAAAAUUAUGUUUUUUUUUUUUGCUAAAAAUAAUUAAAGGGCAAAUUGAGCUAUUAAUUUUUUAAAAAAAAAAUACCGUUAGAUCUAUGCUUAAAAAAGCGUGCUUAAUUUGUCAUGAUUUUAUCGGACAUAAAAAGGGGAAACAAUUCGGUGUAAAGCAUAAUAAAAUAGUAUAGUCUAUAAAAUAGGCACUAGAGAUUAAUUAAUUAAAUCAGUUUAAUAAUGACUCGGGCCCUUCCAUAAUUUUCGGAAAAAGCAUUGUAAAUCGUAACAAUGAGAUUAUUACCAGCUUUAAAAAACACUUAAGCAGAGGAACUAAAUAUUAAUUAGCCACUUACUAAACAUGAUACUAAAGAAAAAAAAUAUUUUCUAAAUAUUUUAUAUAUGAAGAUAAAAAUCAAUUUUUUUUGAAUAACUUAUAAAAAUAAAUUCUACCUGUAGGAUAAUCUUAAUUACAAAAAAGGAUUUGUUUAUUUUUCACAAAAAAGUUAAUUUACUUUUGAUGAAAAAAAACAUUGAUAUCAAUUAUAUUAUACAAAAUGGAUCAUAGAUAGCACAAUCAAAACUAGCUUCUACAGAUGGUUCGAAUAACAAGUUGAAAAUUGAUUAUUUUAAUUUUGUCAUUGUUAUCGUUAGCUUUAUUUUUCAAAAAUGUUUAUCGUAUUUCAUUUUAAGAAUUAAUUAUAAAAAGUGGGAUCAAUAUAUUGGAUUUUUCUAUUCAUAUUAAAAGUAUUGCAAUUUAUAUUAGGGAAAUAUCAUUAAACUCUCAGGGAAGGUUUAUUUAUACCAUCAGUUAAAAGUUUGACUCAUUUAUGUUAUUAUCGUUAAAGAAAAGAUUCAUUCAUGCCAUUAUUUUUUAACGGUAGUUUUGUAAAAUCAUUUUUGACACAUGACCAAUUAUAAUUCGAGCACGUCAUCAAAAUUUCUAAUUAAAAAAAUAAAAAAAAAUUAAUUCAAUUUUUUUAAGAAUUAUGUUUUUUUUAAUUGAAAAAAAUUGAUGACGUGACCGAAUUAUAAUUGACCACGUGUCAAAAAUAGUUUUGCAAAAACCAUUGUUAAAAAAUAACGAUAUGAAUGAGCCUUUUCUUUAACAACAAUGACAUAAACGAGCUAGACUUUUAAUGGAUGACGUAAAUGAGCCUUUUGUAAAAAUUCGAUGGGUGUUUGAGUCUUUGCCCUUUAUAAUAUUCGUAAAUUGCAAAUGAAUGGUCUAUCUGUAAUAUUCAUAACGAUUUAAAAUUGCUUACAAAGAGAUAAAUCAUAUCUCCAUAAUUAUAUGGUAUAUGUGCAUUCGUAGAUGUUUUCAGACUAAUAUUGAAGUAUUUGAACUUAUGAUAAACAAAUAAUAAGAAGAAAAUACGGAAAAAUCACUCUAGAAUUUAACUUAUUUUUUUGUUUUAUCUUUUCAAAUUAUAAGAGCUUUAAAAAUAUCGCUCUAUUCGAUUAACAAAAUUUAGAUAUAUUUCAAUUUUGCAAUAAGUUAUAAUAUGUUGUUUUAAAUUUCGGUAAAAAUAUGAGACUCUUAAUAAAAAUUUAAAUAAAGCUUUUAAAAAUAUUUUUAAAUUUGACAAAAAUUUGAGAGUAUAUUUCCGUUUUGUUAGGAGAUUAGAGAUAUUUAAAUUCAAUUAAUUAAAUAAAAAAGUAUUUUAAAGCUAUGAAAGCAAAACUAUUAAUUGGCAUAGAAAUUUAUGGAUAUUUUCAAUGAAUCUCACAAAUAAAUAAAUAUAAUUUAUUUCUCUCUCUCUUUUUAAAAAUGAUGUUUGAUGCAUAAACAAUAAAUGUUAUCUAAAAAUUCGAUAACAAACUCUUUUUUAAUUUUAGAACUUUAAUAAACUUCACUACGUUUCUCGGUUAAACUUAUAUUUCUCUAUUUCAUUAAAAUGUAAGUAUUAAACACAAGUAAUAAUCUUUAUAGGCACUACCUCAGUCAAAUUUGUAAUGUUGAAACCAAAAGAAAAUUGAGAAAGUGAAAGAAUUUAUCGGUUAAAAAAUAAUAGUAUUUGUUUUGUUGCAUUUCAUAUUAUUCCCUUUUUUUAAUUUUUAUCAAUCAAUUUUUUUUUUUAUAAAAAAAUUAAAGUGUAGUCGAACUAAUUUAUAUAAAAACAGAGAGUACCGCUUUAGCUCUGAUAAGUCACAGAGUGCAGCCUCACAGAGUCAGAGUAAUGAUGGAACAACUCACUAAAAAGCUGAGCCAACAUCUUUUUUCUGUGGUUUUAAAAUACCCUCCAAACACAUUUUCUGGAAGAAAAAAAAAUCACAUUUCCCUCUCUUCUUCUUUCCCCCCAAAUUUCAUCUCAGAAAAAAAAGCAAACAAUGGCUAACUAUAGAAUGGAUUCGGAAGAAGAAGCAUUGUUUAGAAAUUCUCCAUAUCCACUUUAUUUCGUUCAAAGUCCUUCAACUCUAUCCCAUGCAAAUAGCGGAGAAUUAUGUCGUCACAACAACAACAUCAAUAAUACUACUAAUGCUAAUGAGUACUCCUCUGGAUGUCAUUCGCCAAUGCCUAGACCGGAGACCGGUCCGUUAUCGCUCUCUCGAUACUCAUCGUCCCGUGGAUCUAACCACUCCUUCUCGCAUCACGAGAAGAAGAUUUCAUGUGAUUCUCUGCAGAGCCACGGGACGGGGAUCGAUGAGAACAUCGAGAUUUGUCCAGAGAAACGUUGUGGUGCAGUUUUGUUGGUUCAUCAAGGAGGGAAAAAUGGGCGUAUUCGUGUUAACGAGGAAGAGGAUGAGGAUGACGAUGGUGAAGAUUAUUAUUACGGAAAAGGAAAUUGGAUGAGGUUUUUUUCGUUGGGAUAUUCGGAUUCAACAGCGUGGAUUGUUGUACAAGUAACAUGGAGGCUUAUUGUGAGUAUGAUAGUAGCUUUGGUUGUUUUCUACAUUGCUACAAAACCCCCUUCACCUAAGGUUUCUCUUGAGGUAACACUCUUAUUACCUUCUUCCUUUUUAAAUUUUUAUUAUUCGAUUCCCGGUGAGGGCGUUUAUCUGAAUCUUCUCAUUUUCAAUUUCAAAUGGCAUUUUACUGAAAAUUCUUAAUGCGCAGCUGUUUUUAUUAUUACUAUUCUUACUGCCAUUAUCUUUUGGUAUUUUUUUAAAAAAAAAAGUGAAAAAAACAUUAGAUUUCUUCAUUUAUUGUAAAGGCAUUGAAAAUACCUAAGGUCAAAAUGAAGGCCCAUUUUAUAAAGAUUUAAGUUCGAAAAGACAUGUAGGCCCAAAACUCAUGUUAGGCUCUCUUUUAUGGAAGCCCAAUAUGAGGUGCACUAGGCCGGAUCUUACACAAAUCUCUAGCAUUUAAAAGCUAAUCCCUUUAUAUUUCUACUUUAUUCUAAUUAUAAAAUUUGAGGAAUCCGAAUACAUUUCAAAACGUGCUUUUCUAAUACAUCUCUUAACCUUUCGAUAUAUUACAUCUUUAUUUCGAUACAUCAGUUAAUGUUAUGAUAUAUUUGAUGAUAUAUUCAGCUAAAUAAUAUAUUCGACAAUUAGACAAUUUUUGUUUUUCUUUUCGGCAGAAAAUUUUUAAAAAUAUUUAAAAGAACAUGAUGAAAUAAACAUUUCCAGAUUCUUACCAAGUCACUCUAUACAUACGUCCAAAAUAACUCAAUAACAAUAAUAUAACUUAAAUUACUGCCCUUUUAUAAAUUAUAAUUCAUGUAUUCAUGAUAUAACGGAUAUGUAUAUAGUAUAUACGGAGUAUAUAUCAACAACUAUACAAACAAUUAUAGCUAGUGAGCUAAAUCUCUUUUACCCGCUUGACUAAAAAGAUUACCCAGACAUCUAACAUUCUAUUAAUGAUUUAAAGUUAAAAUUUAGUUUGAAGUCAUAUUUGUUUUUAUAUAUUUGAAAAAUUUAUAAUUUUCGAAAAUUAUACUUGUGAUCAAAUGUUAUUGUAAACUUUUCAAACACAUAUUUUUAUAAAAGAUCUCGUGGUCCUAUAGAUCAGUAAUAGUCGUGAUUUUUUUUUUGAAGAUAUAAAUCCCUCAGAUAAUAUUAUAAUCUUUCUUGGUCACACUUUUUUUAUAAAUAACUUCAAAGAAUAAAUCUUUUUUCAACCUUGCAAUAUAUUAACUUUAUUUUAUGUGUCAAUCCUUACAUCGCAGAUAACUUGUGGAGUGAGAGCUAAUUCUUUUAGGUGAUUAAGAAAUUUCAAUCUGAAUUUAACUUGAAGUUAAAGUUCAAUUUUAUUAAGGACCUAUUUUGUCAUGCAAUAUGAUAUCAUGAUAUGAUAUCAUGAAAUUAUGAGAUAUAUUUGAAGUUUUAUUUGGAUAUGUGAUAUGAAAUUUUGAUGUCGUAUAUUUUCUCAUAUAUAUAUAUAAAAUUUCAUAAGUUGUAAAACUAUUAUAUUAUCUUCAAUGGUUUAUCCAAUCUUUUAUCAAAAUAACCAAAAAUUUACAAAAUCACAUAAUAUAUUAUUACAUUGCUAUUUGUUCUCCACUCAAGUAAUUGUUUCAAUCUAACUUUAAUUCAUGAAACUUUAAAUUUAAUAAAAAAAAUUGAACAUAAAUUGUAGUGUAUUAGUCUUUCAUAUUACUCGACAAUCGGUUGGUGUGAGUUAAAAUGACUAUAUGUUAGUGAGAAUAAUGAAUUUUUAUAUCAGUGAAAAUAAUAAAUUUUAAAAAGUAAUGGUAUCACUAUAAAUUUUAUUUACAUGGAGUAAAUGGUUAGUAAAUAUAAAUGUUUAUGUGAGGUUGUUUUAACAAAAUAUAAACUUAUGGAUCAAUUUUUAUAUUAAAAAUACGUCAAAUCAUGUUACAAUAUUCUCGUAUGAAAUCACAUCUCCUGAUAUGAAUUCGCAUACUAAAUAUCAUAAAGACAAUAAUUUCUAAUUUUAAAUUUGGAUUUCAGGCUCAUUUGCCACUCAUCAUUAUUUCAAUUAUCCCUUUUUAACUUUUUGGCAAUGGCAUCAAACAUUAUAAUGCUAGAAUACUUAUCAUGUUGCCACAUAAUGAUUGAUGAAGGGAAGCAUUACACUUUUAGUACAUAUUUAAAUCUGAAAUUGAUCAUGAUCAUUGAAACUAUCUUUGUAUUGUAAUUGCAUACGAUAAUUAUUUAAAUGUGCCAAAUUAUAUAUUGUAGAUUUCAGGUGUUCGUGAAUUUGGAUUGAGAGAAGGAGUUGAUGGAACUGGUGUAAACACAAAAAUGUUAACAUGCAAUAGUUCAAUGAUCUUACAAAUUGAUAACAAGUCUAAGCUCUUUGGGCUUUACAUUAAUCCCCCCACCAUGGAAAUGUACUUUGGAAGGGUCCCUUUUAUAAAAGCACAAGUAAGUUCCUUUUUUUUCUCGUUGAAUUACAUUGAAUAUGUUGUUUUUGUUAUUAUUUUGUUGUGCUUUCUCAAUACUUGAAAUUAUUAUUAUGUGGUCUUAGGCACUCUUUCGCAACUUCGAUAGUAUUCGGAAAAAAUUGAACCUAGUGAAAUGAAUUGGAUUAAUAUAAUGAAUUGAGAGAGAUUCACAGUGUAAUCUCAAAUACAAUAUAUGCUUGUUUUAUCUCUGUGUUUUUAAUUCUCUAGACAGUUGAGUUGUUCCAAAGAAAAAAAAAUUAUUUAUGUCAUAUUAAAUUCGAACUAAUAUAGUACAUUUGAAAUAAUGAGUUAGUCCUUAUUUUUUUAUUUUGUCAACCUAACGUGUCAUGAUUUGGGCCUCAUUAAAGAGACCAGGUUGUACAAUAUAUCUUUGAUGGUUGAUUUAGUCUAUCACUCAUCUUACAGUAGCAACCAGUGGUUGAUCUAUAGUCUGUAAUCUGAUUAUAAAAAUUAACGUGAUUUUAAUAACUUUUGCUCCUAUCAUGUUCAUAUGUAUUUAAAAACUCAACAAACUUGCAAAAAUAUUUGGUUAAUUAUAGAAUAUAAACUCAAAGUUGUUGUAUAAAUAUAUAAAUUUCAAAUCGUAGAUCUACCUGUAUAUACAACGCCAAGCAAUUAAAUUAGUAUUUCUUUUUGUAAUGCAUAAUCUAAACAUCAAGGGAAGAGGGUGGGGAAAAAAAUAGACAAAUAACCAAUUUUUGAACCACCCUUUAAGUCAAGUCAUCAUAUCCUUAAUAUGUAAAAUUUACAAGUUUACCCAACUUAGAAUAUUGUUGAAGUUCAUCUAUUUUUCAUGAUGUUGUCAUUAUUUUUAUUGGAAUUUCAACCAUACGUAACUUCUGACAUUGCAUAUAUCGUUGUGAAGUAAAUAAACAUGCAAAAACUUUAGAUAAAUACAUAUUAAAUAGCGAUAUCCAGAUAGAAUACCCCGCGAACUUAACAGUUGUCAUGUUUGUUAGGGAGAAGAGCUUUAUGCAGGGAGCUAUGGGCCAACAUACUUCAAGUUAACUAUAGGGACAAAGGACAAGGCAUUGUAUGGGGCAGGUAGACUUAUGCAAGAUAUGCUUCAAUCUUCUAAAGGAUUGCCUUUGCUUAUACGUGUGCAUCUAUCUUCAACUUUUCAUGUUGUUUGGGGUCUUAUCAAACCCAAAUUUCAUCACCAAAUUGAGUGCCUUGUUCUUCUUCAUAAUACUUAUAAUAAAAAACAUAGGACCCAAAAGUAUAAUAGCACUUGUUUGUUGAUCCCUUCUUAAAAACAUCAUCACUUUUUUAAUUGCAAAAUAGGUUGUUGAAAAAAGAAGAAGAAAUGAGAUCUAUAUUGGUUGUUAUUAGGAAGGAUCCAUUAGUAUAUAAAAUUAAUGAUAUGUAAUUUUGAUCGGUUGAAUAUUUGAAUCCAUGACUUUCAGCUGCUCUGACAACAUGAAUCGUAAGCCUUUAAUGGGUUGAAAUUUAUUUUUCUCAGAAAUCACUUUGUGUUGAAUAUUUUAUUUUUGUUUGUAGCAUUAUCAAAUCUAUUUCGGAUUCAAAGUUUUUGAGAGACAGUAACUGGUAAAUGGGGAUGAAAUUGAAAAAAAGUAAAAUAAAAAUUGUUAAAUUAGUCUUUCAUAUGCAGGUAUUGAGUAUAUUACAUUAAUUAUGUUAUAUUGUAAAAAGGUAUUAAAAUGACAUAGAAACGUAACAUAAGGUAUUUACGACGAAAGAAGAUAAUUAAAUAUAUCUAAUUGAUAAUAAAUGCCAACUUUAGAAGAUCGACGAUGGAUUUUUUUUAAAAAAAAACACUACAAAAGAUAAGAUAGUUUUGAUGGUGACAAUUAUUAGUGGGAAAAGACAUCAUACCAUGAAAUAAUGACUGAUUUAUAAAUAGAUUAAUUAUACAUGUCAUGGAGCUGACUGGUUUCUAUAUAUAAAAAAUAAUUAUAAAGGUAAUAAUCUAUCAUUAGGAACAAAAUGAUAUAUAUCUAAGGCACCUCAACACGUGUGGGUGGAUUAUUGGCCAAGUCCAUAAUGGCUUACAAGUGAUUGGUUGAAAUUUUAUCAGAAUGCAAGAAGUUAUUGGUAAUUAGUUAAUAAUUUAAAAGGAAUCACAUCAUUAAUACUCAAAACUUUUUCUUUUCUUUAGAUUGAAAGCUUAGUUAGAUAAUUCUUUUUUCUAUAUUUGUAUUUUUCUUUCUCAUAAAAAGAAUCGAUUUUUUUUUUACGUAAAAAUCUAUCUUUACACGUUAAUCUUGAUUCUCAAGAUAAUAUUGAAAUAUGGAUCCUUAAGUGUUAAGACCAACCAUUGUGAAGCUUCUCUAUAAAACUAGGGAGCUUGCCUUCUCUUAUUGAAGACAUUCUAUUAAUUAGAUAUAAGAAGUUUAUUCGAUCUAAUAAGUGUAUUGUGUUCUCCUAUAACUCGAAUCUUUAACAUUUUCUUAUUUAUUAUGCGUGUUUAUUAUUUAACCGAAAUAUCCUCACCCAUUCUUACUAAGAAAUUGAAAGAAGUCUCAAAAUCCUUUUCGGCUAUCAAUCUAGAAUUUUUCUUCCCUUGAAAAAAAAUUAAAAUAGAAUGGUUGAUCGAUGUGAGGUCAUACUGAUUAAGCUCAAAUUGAUCCAACUUUCUGGAUUAAUCAUGGAACCUAACAUCCAUAAUCCAUUUAGCUUGAAAUAAAUGCUUUGUCCUAUGAAUUAAUCCACUCAAUAUGUUGGACGAGUUACAUAUUUACGGGUAGAAAUUAACAUAUAUAAUAUAUAAAAUUAAAUUUAAAAUUUGUCAUUUAUAAAUUUUCAUAAUUGUUUAAAGUCAUAGAAAAGUAUUGAAAACACCCUUAAAUUGAUGUGAAUUAGUAGUUUCAUUCAUGAGCUAUCGACAAUCUUUAAAACACAUUUAAUUGACUAACUGAACUUAUAUACACGUUUAAUUUUGCAAUGAGUAAAAUACACCCCUAAUUCUUGUCAAUUUUAAAAGUUCUUUCAACAUUUUCUCGAUUUUUUCUUAUUAAGAGUCGCAUGCUCCUAUAAAAAUUUGAAAGCACUGAUUUGUGAUUUAACUAAUAAUUGCUUUAAGUUUAAUUGCAUUUUUAAUAAUUAUAUCUUAAAGCUAAUAUAUUCUAAUAGCUUGGUUCACAGUCAAAUAUUUAUAUAUAUUUUAAUAAAUAUAUAAAAUUUAAGCAAAAAAUGGAUUCUACAAACCUGAUCCGAUCCCCACUUUAUAAUUAGGCAGUAUGUGUCUUUUGCACUCAAUAAUUUAAUUAAUUGUCAAUAUUAUAAUUUAUAUGUACUUCCGUGACACGACUAAUUAGCUUUACACUAUAUAUUAUUUAAUAAUUCUUGCUUGUGUAUGGCACACGCACAAAGCCUAAUUUAUUUCAUAUGCUAUGAUCUUACGUGGACAACUUUUUGAGUUUAUAAAAAAAAAAAUCUAAGAUGGAGAAAGAUAGUGUCAACCAACUGUAUUGCUUUUCAAAUUAAUUUUUUGGAAGAUUAAACAAAUAACACAAAUAUGGAUUUCAAACUUUUUGUGAGUAAAUUCUCACAUUAAUCGGAAAUGAACGGAUGAUCUGCUCGUAUGAAUUUAGACAGUUCUUUUUUCGUAAUUUAAUUUUUUGAGUUAAGUUAGGUCCAGAUGUUAUACUUUUACAUAGUAUUAAAGCCAAGUCCAUUUCCAUUUGGGUUCCUAGUCCAUAAAUUCCAUUUCUCAUAAAUAUAAACUUGUGCAAUCCCCCUUCAUGAUGAGAUCGAUUAAUAUUGUGAAAAUAAAAAUUGGAAAUGAAAAAAGAAUACGUUAAGUACGUACUCCAUUAACUCCACUAGACUAAGAACAAGUGAUUAAUUAAGAAUUUAAUAACAAGGAUUAAGUCGUUUAUAAUUGGUGGAUACAUGCAAAAGUUAAAUGUGACAUGAUAUUUUGAUCAUAUAAGGUGCUAAAACAUACAAUAAUAUAUAGACAAGAUUAUAAUGUUUUGGCGGAGAUCGUUAGUGGGAAUUAAAAGGCAUGCAAUAUAAAUUAUACAUAUUUAAUAUAUGGUGGUGCCAUACGUGGUGAUUGAUAACCAUAUAUUAAUUAAUUGAUGAUAUUAAAAAGAUUUAAUCUUUAAUUAUAGAAUUUAUGUCUCCAUAAAAGCAUCUAUAAUAUACAUAUUUGUUGUGCAUGAUUAUGAUUAUUGGUCACGUUAAAAGAAUUCUUUUUUAAACUCAAGAUAAUCUGCGGUCGUUGUAAUUUCUGUUACGAUUUUCUGUCAAUCUAAAUAAACACUCUAUAAUAAGCAUUUUUUACAUACCGCUUAAAUCCCUUCUCUAAUUUAAAUACUAAAAUGGCCACAUUAUAUGUACUUUUAUAAAGCAAUUUAGUAGCUUUGCUUUAUACACAAUUUUUGUGUUGUAUCCUUAUUCAAGCUCGUGUAUGGCACACGCACAAAGACUUUUUUUUUACCAGAAAAUAUGAUCUGUUUUAUUUUUUUUAACAUAUGCUAUUUUAAUUUUUAAAUCUUAUAUGGACAAAAAUUAAGAUAGUGUCAGCCAACUGUACUAUUUUGUUACAUAUUUACUUUUGGAAAUAUGUAUAUUAUUAUACUUAACACCAUUAUGCAGUCUGAUCCCAAACUUUUUGUUAGUAGUUGAAAUGGUUGCGUUAUAUGCCACGACAAAGAUAAAGUGGAUCGGUUGUGUUUACUGUGAAUUGAGUUUUAAAUAAAUUUAAAUAUUACUUUUAAUUUUUUCUAAAAAGAGUUAAAUGAUAUAUAGAGUUGUCUUAUUAUUUAUUAAAUAGAAGUAUAAAAAUUACUAUUCACGAGUUGUUGGUAGUUUACAGUGAAGACUAAUGAUGAAGGUACAGGAGGCUAAGUUAGCGUUUGGCCAUAGAUAUUUAAAUAUUUUUGAUAAAUAUUAUUUGAGUGAAAAUUUAGGUGAAAUUUCAUCAUGUAUUUGACCAUAGUAUUUGGAAAAUAUAUUUCAGUUUUCUAGAAAAAGAUGAUUUAUACCCUAAGUUUUAAAAAAUAUCAAAACUAACUAUAAAUUUGUAUUAUAAGUCAUUUGGAUCUUUGUUACAAUAAUAACAAAUAGUUAUCAAUGACACUAGAGCAAUGUGGUAAUCUAGAGUGAGUCCGACGAGCAUCGUUUCAUACAUCGUGAAGUAGACAAAUUAAAAUACAUAACUUUGUUAUCUUGAGCCGAUUGUUCAUCAUUUUUUUCGAUAACCAUAUUAUCAUUUAACAGUCACCGAAUAUUUCAUCACUACUUUGGAAUUAAUUAAAAAAUUAUGUAAUACAACGUAAGCAACAACUAUAAAGGAUUUUUUUUUAUAAAAGAUAAAAGUUUGCGGUAAACUUUCAAUUUUUAAAAGAUUCCAAAUAAUGAAAUUUGACCCAAAUAUUAAAAAAAACUAGUAUUUAGGAAUUUGAGAUAUUUGCUAAAAAUAUUUGUCAAAUAAUAACAAAAUGUAUGAACAAACACUAUUUGUUAAAUUUUCUCCCAAAUAUUAUUUAAAAAAUCUAUAGCCAAACAGGAUGAAGGUCAUUGGUGGUGGUAAUUGCUAGUGCAAAAGCUAAUUAAAUAAUGACUACCAAUAAUCUUAGAGUAAUAACUCAAAAAUCAUAAUGGAGGAGCUGGUUGGUGGUGAUGAUUGAUAUGACUUUUACCUAAGCCAUAAAGGAGAAUCAAGAAUGUGCCAAAUUAAUUUGUUCAUAAAAUAUCCCAUAUAUUUUGUUUUCUCAAAAAGGAUGAAAGUGCCAUGUGAAAACUACUACAAUGAUGAUGGUAUAUUUUUUUUUUAACCUAAUGGUUGGGCAUUAUAAUGUUAGAUAAUGCAAAGAUAAGUUAGUGUUAUUAUAUGAAUGGCAACGAAUGGACGUGAAUGGCUAAGUGCAUCUUUUGUUAAUUAUCAACUUAUGGAAAGAUGACAUUUAUAGAUUGACAUGUUUCAUAUAUUAUAUUAGUAGUAAUAAUCUAUGCCAUUUCAUGCAAUAAUCACACUAUGUUAUCAAAUGUUGACAUUUCAUAUUCUCCUUUCGAUAUAAUUAUCAAUUUAAAUACUUAACAUAUUAUUUGAAUUCACUAUUUUAUGAAGUGUAUAAUCGAAGAUAUACGACUCCUUUUGAAUUUGAAAUUUUUUUGAUAAGAUGAGCAGACAAAAAAAAAAACAAUGUGAUUGUAGUAUUUUUACAUUUAACUUUCAAUAAACAGAAAUAAAGUCAAUAUAAUCCGUCAAAGUCAUCUAAACUAUAAAGGUUCUAAUUUUUUUUUGGCUAGUAUAUACAUUUGAUUGUGAAACUAAAUAUACCUCAGUAAUCAAUUUCACCUUUUGUAUACUCAAUUCGAUGUUAGAUAUAUAUUGAUAUUAAAUACGUAUAAAAGCGGAAUUUGAGUUUACCUCAUCAUACAAUAAUAAAAAAAAUAAUUCACAAAUAUGACUUGAUGUAAAUAUGAUUUGGAAGUGUUUUUAAUAUGAUGUCAUGCUAGUAUAUUUAUUCGUUCACUUUAUCAAAUGUAACGUAAUAAAUUUAACUAUUUAUUUGUUAAUCACUUCUUUUAAUGUGUACGACUUAUAGCUAGAGUGACAUAGACACAUCACACUAUCAUCAGCCGUAGUGACAAAGAGCUAGAAGUUCGAAUAUGAAUAUAAUUCAUCAAAAUUUAUGAUAUCACAAAAUCAUUUAUUUUGUCAUAGUAAAUUAAACUAAAUUAUAAACAUCUAAGUACGGACGUUUAUUGAUAGGAGUAUAGGACCACGGAAGAAUCAAAAUUUAUUUAAAAUACUUCUAAUAGUCAUAAAAAGACCUUCUAGAAGAGUUGUUCAUUAAAUAUAAAUAAUUUAGAAAGAAUCGUGUUUAGUUAAUUAGGACUAAUUAAUUAAAAGUAACUGCAGCUUUUAGAUAAACUAUCAUUCUGCUGAAAUAUAUGUCCAUCGACGAGUAAGUUAAAAAUUUUCUUUAAAUAAUCACUCAAGUUUUAUAUAAUUAUUUAACUUAAUUUUUUAUUAAUAAAUUAAUAUAUGAUUUUUUUCUUAUAAAAUCACUUUAAUUGAAUCGUAACUUUCGAUCAUAACAAACAUCUGACUUUACACAAUGAAUCGAUUUCCUAGGUCACAUAGACAUGAAUUCCACACUAUAAAAUGUGAAUAAAUAGAUUCAAUUGUUAAUGUUAAUUAUAAAAAAAUUUAAAAAAUAUUGAAUUUAGUUGAAUCGUUAAUUUUUUAUCGCAAUCGAUAAAGAAGUUAGGUAUACAAGAGAGAGGACCAACAGGGGACAAGUCUUGGGAUUCCUACGUGUGCACCAAUUAGCAGGAAAAGUACAAAACUAGUAGUACCACGAUAAGAGCACUUGAAUCGAACACAAUAUAUAUAUAUAUAUAUAUAUAUAUAUAUGAUCCCAAAUUAUAUUAUUAAAAGCUAUUAAAUCAUUACAAUGUAAUAAUAAAACACUUGAUGUUGACAUGGAGUUUUACAAUUCCACUUUUGGGAAAUUCACUAUAUAUAAUUCACUUGCAGUGUAUGCCAUGAAGUUUAAUCCUAGUUGUAAUUACAUCUAAUUUGGCCAAUAAAUGUGGAAAAAGCUUGCAAAGAAUGAGUUAUUGAAAGUAAAAAAUAUAUGGUAGAAAGUAGAAACCAUUACUUUGUUAGAAAUAAUCAAUAGGUUAAUGUUUUAUCAAUAUUUUAAAUCCAAAGCUUAAGUUUCAAAAUAUUGUCAUUAUAUGUGAUGAAUGCACUAAUUUUCACCAAAAAAUACUUUCACAUUCUUAAUUUGUAAUUUUCCUAGAAUUACUUUCCGGGCAUAUAUGAAUCAAGUUGGUUUAGAUUUUUCAAAUAUCAAACUAAAUUAUUUAUGUAGUAUUUAAAUUUAGUUUUUUAAUUUUGAAUAUUUUUUGGUGACGAUGAAAUAUUCAACAAAAAAUAAAAUUGCAUAAAAAACCCCUUCAGGUUGGCCCAGUUGUUUAAGCUUGAGACUUUCAUGUUAGAGUUUUCAUGUUCGAAAUUCCUUGCCAGCGAAAGUAAGGGAUUUGCCUUCUGGGUCGAGCUCGUCGCAACAGGCUUGCCUACUGCGGGUUACCUCUACUAUAUGGUUUGCGAGCUAUUGCAUAAGAGCAGGGUUUUACCCUGUGCGCACUCAAAAAGGGUAGCGGCUGCGAAUUUCCCUUGUCGUAAAAAAAACUGCAUAAAAUAAAUAUUGCAUAUAAAUAAGUCAUAAUAAAAAUAAAAUCAUAAUUUAAAAGUAUCAAUUCAUGCUAUAAUAAGUAUUAAUUACAUGACUAAAUAUUAUAGUGGAAAAAAUUAGGUUAAGAAAUUUAGGUUUUUCAACCAACGCUAACAAAUAUAUAUCCUAACAUUAUUUUCAUUCCUAAUGAAUUAUUUUUAUUUAGCAGUUGUAUUGAUUUGAAUUUUGAAUUUUGAAUUUUGUGUUUAUUUGAUUUACUAAUAUUUAGGGGUUUUCAACUUUAUUGAACCAUUUAAAUAUAAUAUUUUCUAUGUAUACUUUUAAAAGAUAUAUAUAUAAUAUGAAUUAGUUUGAUUUGAUUUGGUCUUUUUUAAUUAAAAUUAAAUUAAACCAAUAAUAAUGACCGUCUUUUUGAAAAUACCAAAUCAAUUCAAAUUAAAUUACUAAUCAAAUUCUUUCAUCAAAUUAACUCAUACCACCGAUAUGGUGCGAUUUAGCAGUUCUCUUUGUACACCCCUAAUUACUCCUAUGUCAAAAUAUCUCUUUAUAUAUAUAUAUAUAUAUAUAUAUAUAUAUAUAUAUAUUAUCUACUUAAAUAAAGAUUUUACAAAUUAAUAACCUAAAAUAAAUAGAGUAGCUACGGUUUGAUUUAAUUGUGCUCCAUAGCAAACGUUUGACAAAGUUUGUCAAUCGUCUCUCUCCCAAAAAUCCCACUCGCCACUCUCCCAUUCUCGUUCGCCACUCCCCCAUUUUCGUUCGCCUCUCUCCCUUUGCCCGCCUCUCUCGCUUUAUACACAGAAGUGUAUAAUUGUGUUUUUGUUUUGUAUAAAGCAAGAGAAAAUUGUAUAUAUACAUGCAAAAACAUAUAUCUUCGUGCUAUACACUUAAUUAUACAAUUUACAAACAUUUUACUUUGAUUCAGUUGUAGACAAAUGCAAAUUUUACACAAAUAUUGCAGCGAAAAAGGCCAACAAUUAUACAAUUACGAAUUAUACAAUUGCAGUGAAAUAUAAUUUUCUCUCACUUUAUACAACAGAUGUGUAAGUUGUGUUUCUGUUUUUGUAUAAAGCGAGAGAAAAUCAUAUAUCUUCUUCCUAUACACUUAUAAUUUUACGAUAUACAAACAUUUUACUUCGAUUCAAUUGUAUGCAAAGCAAAUUUUAUACAAAUAUUGCAGCGAAAUACACAGAGAAUUAUACAAUUGUAGUGAAAUAGGCCAGUGAAUUAUACAAUUGCAGGGAAAUAGGCCAGCGAAUUAUAUACUAUUUAGCCAGCGAAUUAUACAAUUUAGGCCAGCGAAUUAUACAAUUGUAUAUGUAUAACGAAUUAUACAGUUAUAUGUUUGCUAUGGAGCGCAAUUAUGAAAACUUUGCUAUAACAUACAAAUAUGAAUUUUUUGUUUGCUAUACGUGAAAGUUGCCCUCAUUUUUAUGCAUACGUAAUGUUUGGAGGAAAUGAUCAGAAUUCUUAGUCGCUUAUAAAUUAAAUAGAAUUAAAUAAAAGCAAAUGAUUUUUUCUUAAUCAUUUAUAAAUUGAAUAGAGGAAAAGAAGAAAACGAUUUUUUCAUAAGCCGCUUAUAAAUUGAAUAAAAAAAAGAGAAACUACAUAAUUAAAUAUAUUUCACUAUCAUGUAUAUUAUUAUUAUCUAUACUUUCAAAAUAGUAUUUAUCUUAUCAAUAAUUAAGGGUUCUUUAGCAUAUAUUGAGAAAGAUACACUUAGAUAUAUGUAUUUUUUAACCAGAUACAUUAAAAUAGGGGGAGAGAUGAGCGAAAUGGGGAGGGAGGCGAUAGAGAUUUCGAUUUGUUAAUUAUCCCAAAUAUAUAUGAAUCAUGCUAGAUACACACACGUGUGUAUGCGAGAGAGAUUCACAAGUGUAUGUGUGAUACAAUAAAAAGUGGAGAGUGACGAGCAAGAUGGAAGAGAGGUGAGGGAGAGCGAGAUUUGUUAUGUAUUCGAGAUACAUGUGAAUUCAUUUAAAUACAAUGUAUUUAGAAAAAUUUGAUCACAUGUAUCCUGAGUACAUGUAUAUGAACAAAUCUGAACGUGUUGGAUGCAUCAAAAUCUAGUAAAAUACGUAAUAUUGAAAAUUCAAGUGUCUCUAAUAAGUAAUUAGCUCCUACACUAGUGCAAUUUAUGUAAGUUUUCUAAAAAAAAGAGAGUAAAUUUUAGGUUUAGCAAACAUAAAAAUCAUAUUUGUAUGUUAUAAAAAUAGUUUGCAUAACUACGUUGCGAAUUUUAUGUUUGUUAUAAGCAUCAGAUUUGUAUAAAUUGCAAGCGGACAAUCGUUUGUAUAAAAGUGCAGCAAUUGUAUAUGUAUAUCAGUUAAAUAAUUAUAUAUAUGUAACUUGUAUCUAUAUGUAUCAAUGAUUGUGUUUGUAUAUCUGCAUAAAAUUUGAAUUUGCAUACAAUUGAAUCGAAUUAAAAUAAUUUGUAUAUUAAAUCUAUCUAUCUUUCGCUUUAUACAAUAAUUGUAAUUUGUAAACUUUGUGUUUGUAUAAAGCAAGAAAGAGAGAAAGACAAAAGAGAGUUGGUGUGGAAAGAUUUAUAUUUGUAUAAUUAUAAGUGUAUAAGGCGAAAAUAUAUGUAUUUAUAUAUACAACUUUCUCUUGCUUUAUACAAAUACAAACACAAUUUAUACAUUUUUGUUUGAAUAAAGUGACAGAGGCAUGGAAGAGUGACGAGCGAGAUCAGGAAGAGUGAAAACCUCUGUAAUUGAUGGGAACCUUGAAGCUGCAAGUGAUAUUCCAUGGGAGAGAGACAUUUGACAAGUGUUUGCUACGACUUACAAUUAAAUGAAAUUGUAGUCAUAAUAUUUAAUUUGAAAUAUUAAUUUAUUAUUUUAUGCAAUUUUCCCUUCAAAAUAACCUUUUCAGAUUUCUUGCAUGUAAAAAUGAAAUUAUCUCAUUAAAAAAAUUGAACUUAUAAAAGAAAUUGUAGAUGUUCCAACAAAAUAAAUUCUCUCGCUUAGUGUUUAUCCAAAUUAUAUAUAAAUAAUUUUGAGAUAGUACUUCUCACUUACAUAACAAACACAACACUUAUAAUUAAUACUCUUUAUCCAUUUUAACUCGUUCAAUUUUGACUUUUUAUUUAUUAUUUUUGAUAAAUUAAGAAAAGAUAAUAUUUUUUAGCUAUUAUAUCUUCAAUUUAUUUAGGGAGUGAACUAUAGACAUUAAAAUUUUGUGAGACUCUACAACACACAUUCAAUUUGAGUUGAGACUCUACAUGGUUUGUUCAAUUUCAAUUAUAAUUCUUGGAGGUUACGUACUCAACCCUAAACCCUAGUUCAUGCCUAUAUACAGGGUACUAUAUUCCCUUGAAGAUUCAUCUCAAAUAUUUCGCAAAUUCAAGGAAUAUUCAGAAAUAAAUCAAUUCCAAAUCUUCUUCGUUUGAGAAAUACGCCACUAACAACCCUCAAAUCAUGGAUAAAUUUUAAGAAAUAGAAGAAUCAAAGGAGGAAUAGAUUUAUACCCGCAAUGUUUAUCAAUAAAAUUAUAUUUCUUCAUAUUUUAUUUGUGAUUAUAAUUUGUUUUCUGUCACUUUAAAAUUUGUUGCAAAUAUUAACGUUUUUGUAAAAGAUAGAACAUCUUUAAUGAGUAAAUUAAUUUUAAAAAUUUAUCAAAUAACAGAGAUAAAAUGAUAAACUCACUAUAUUAAUUAAGAAUUGUUUUUUCUUAAUAGAUUCGCCAAGUAAAAAAAAAGACAAAUAAAUAUAGUACAACAAGACACUAUGAAAAUGAAAUAGCGUGAAAAAGUGAGGUAGGCGACGGAAAUGAAAAAAAGACAAUAAACUUAAUAUUCACUCAUGAAAUUUAUUUUUCCUAUUUUCAAGAAAAGUUAUUUUCCUUGUUUCGAGAAAUUUAUAUAUUUUGAGCAAAAUUUUACGCUAUCACAUUCCAUCUUAUAUUUAAAAGCGUGUAAAAUUUAAAGCAAUUCAUAUGUGCACGUUCUAACCUUCAUUAGCCACACACACACACACACACUCCUCCUACCCUGCUACCCCCACCCACCCAACCCACCCACACCCCAAGAAUUUUUUUUUAAAAAAAAAGGAACCACAAAACUUAUGAUAAUUCCACUUAUUUAUCAAUUAAAGUAUUUUAUUAAUUGUAAUAUAAUGUGUUUAAUCAUAUAUAAGAUGUAUUAAAAUGAAAUUAUAUGAAAACUUGAAGGACUAAAAGUGCUACUAAACAAACUUUCCUUCUCCUCUAUAAAUAGGCCAUCAAAAAUGAAAAUUAAAUGUCUACAAAUUAUUAAAACAAAGAAAUCAGUGGACUAGAAGAGAACUUGCUCACUUGUUUGGCAACUUUCAAUCAUUUAUACUUUUAACUUCCACAUAAAGGUAUGUCCAUAACUUCUUAGUUACAACAUCAACUUCAAAAUUAAUCGUUGUUAUUUCAAGCUCAAUCUAUUCGCACGUCUUCGUAAUAUUAUAUUUCCAUCCCUUCUUUUGGAACAUAUAUAUAUGUUGAUAUUGAACUAACUUUGGUUCCUUUUUAUUCAUUUCUUUGAAUGAGAUCAUGCACACGCCUAAUUCUUAUAUAUCCAACACACCAAACAUUCUUUUACAUUUUACUUUCAAAAGAAAAAUAAUCUUAAAUAUUUUUGUAAAUGAGACUAUUAAGCAAAUUAAUUUCAAGCUUUAAGUGAAGAGCACAAGAAGAUUCAAAAUUCAUUUAUAACCAACCAUUAAAAAGUAGAAAAAAAGAUACAUUCCCAAUCAAAGUGAUAAAGUUACUUUCCUUGACUUUGUUCCUGAAAAAGAAGUGCCUAUCUACUAAUUAUACACUCUAUUCGAAUUCAGGUAACACAUUUUUCUUUUUAGUCUGUGAAAAUUAUAGUAUCAAUUCAUUGUAUUUGAAUUUAAACUUCCUAUCUACCCUUUGUGAGAUUACGUACCGUCUAAAUAUAUAUAAGUUGUUUUAACUAUCUAUAAGUUAUUUCUUAAAUUUUGUGUCAGUUAAAGCGUUAUUUGAAUAAAAGAUACGUAUAAGGAAGUAGUGCAUGAUGAUGAGGAAAAGUUAGCAAAAUUUAUAUAAACCAAAUUUCAAACAACAUGCAUUAUCAUAUGUGUUGUUAGCCGCACGUUGAAAAGUUUGGUCUUUUCUCUACUUUCUGUUAGUUGUUUUGAUUACAUAUUUUUAACAAUUUUAGAAUGCCACUACUUCCUUUAACAUUUUUUUUUAAAAAAAAAAAAUAAUAAUCUUUUUCUUUUGGGUUAACAAUUGCGUGAGUACAAGUGGAAUUCUUUUUGUGAUAUAUAACAAAAUAAUAAUUAUAGUGUACAACACUCUAUCGUUUUCUAACAAAUGAUAAGGACACCAAGUCUAAAAGAAAAUAAGAUAACCAAACAAACUAUAUAUUACACUUAUUAUUAUUGGUGGAAAAGGAAACAUUGGUGGAUACUUCAUCCGUCUUAGUUCGUACGUGGUAGUUUGAAUCAACACGAUAUUUAAAAAAGAAAAAAGACAUAAAAUCAACACGAUAUUUAAGAAAGAAAGAAAGACAUACUUUUAAAAUUUGUGUUUUGAAAUAAGUCAUAAAUAUUAAUGUGACUAUAGAUCAUUUUUAUUAUGGCUGAAAUAAAUAUUUUAAAUUUAAAUAUUAUUUUAAUAUCUUUUUUUUUUAAACUAACUAAUUAAAAAGUAAAGUGAAUCAUAUAAAUUAGAUCAGAGAAAGUAAUUAAACAACUUAUUUCUAAACAUUUAAAAUUGGUUCACUCACUAGGGGGCAUUGGGACAUUAAAAUGUAAAAUAUGAAAAUAGUGUUCAAAAAUUAGAAUUAUUUGAUAAGAUUAUAGAACAUUAAAUUUUAUUAUUUGUUUUUAUAAUUCUUAAAAUUAUAAGAUCUUUAUAUUUGUAAGGGAAAAAAAUAGAGAAAUACAAAUAAACGAAUCAACUUUAAAUUAAUCUGAUUUCAAAUAAGUGAUUUUAUCUUUUUAACAACUUAAAAAACUCUAUUUUUUGAAUAAUGGGAAGUCGAAUGAGUAUAAAAUAAAUCUCUAUCUUUUAUUUAGAAACCAACAAAAAAAUCCUAACAACACUACUUAUGUAAAGACAAUGAAAACAAAAUAUGAAGUACUAACAAGCGGGACACCAUAUAUGUACAUAUAUACAUACGGUAGAUAUACGAAUAUAUUACUAUCUUCGUCCAAUAAUAGUCGUUCAAUAAUAUUUGUCCAAUUUAAAAAAUUAAAAGAUAAUUUAUUUUUGUGUCUAUAUUACCUUUACUAUUAAAUAUUGACCUUAUCAUUUUUUAUUUCUUUAACGAUCGUAUCAAAUCAAUAGUAUACAACUAUUGUUGAAUAGAAAGAGUAUUUUUUUUUAAUUUAAUAUCGUCGAUACUAAUAUAAUUUUAAAAGUUAAUAAUUUAUAUAUAUAUAUAUAUAUAUAUAUAUAUUUUGAAUAUCGUAAAUUAUUAUAAUAUUAGAAUUAAGCGGCAUACCAACAAACAACUAGUACUUGCUUCUGGCCUAUUGUAGUUAGUAGUUAAUUGAUAAUGAGCUCUCCCUAAUUAUGACAAAUCAGAAAUCUGUCCCUGCCCACAAAUUGGAACCUUGUACUUCAUUUUUGGCCUUAAUAAUCAUAAGCACCAUUUGUCACAAAAUAAUCACCAUUUUUAGUUUAUGAUUUUUUUCUUAGGAAAAUCACACAAAACAUCUAUUUAGAAUCUAUUAGGCAAAAUGAUUCAGAAUUCAUAAAUUUAAAUUUUUUGAGUCUGUAUAUAGUGGGAAUAUCAUUAAAUCGCACAAAUGUAUACAAAUUUUAGUCAAAAUGAUUCAGAAUUCAUAAAUUUAAAUUUUUGAGUCUGUUUAUAAUGCGGAUAUCACUAAAUUGCACAAAUGUAUACAAAUUUUAGUGCAUUAGGGAGUGGUCGAGCGAAAAAUAAAGUAAAGAAAAAAAAAUCACAAGGUCUUGUUCAUAUUUUUUAAUAGAAAUAAUAAUAAUAAAAAGUUUCUUUUCAUGUAUAUUAGCUUUGCUGGACAAAUUUGUGAUGAGAUAAUAUAACAUGAAGAAAUAAUUGAAGUGCAUGAACACAAAUUAAUUUGGACACCAUUAAAAUAAAUCAUAGAACAAAUAACGAAGAUUAUUUAAGUGAGCCUUUAACUAGACAUGAAGUUAGCAUUCAGUGUCGGUGCUUAUAAAUGAGCCUAAAAUUAUAAAUCAUAGUGUAUCGAGAUCGAAAUAUCGAGAAUUUUAAUAGCUCAAUUUUAUUGAUUAUCUUAACUUUCAUCUCUGAUUUCACUAUCGAGAACUCAAUUUUUAAUUUAUAAUCUCCUUUCCUUAUUUCCCCUUUCCUUCAUCGUAAUUUUUAAAGAAAUAUUGACAACAUUAGUCUUCAUAGACAAAUUUUCCUAUUAUUCUUUUUUCGUUAAAAACAAGACUUUCUUUUCCUAACCUUUAAUUUUCCUUAUUGAUUAUUUCCAUGAUUUUUUUUUCUUCUAAAAAAUGAUAGUGCACUUAUCUAGUGAAGUACCUAUUCUGUAUAUGGGGUAGUCGAUCUCGUACAUAGUAUUUUAAUGCCAACGAGGAUCGAGACUCCUACGUACUAUAAACAAUAUUUUAUAUCAUCAAAUAUAAUUUAAUAUAUUAUAGCAGACUACAUAUUAUUUGUCCUAUGUUGUUAAUAAAAUGAUUUUGUAACUUAAUUAUAAUAUUUUAAUUUACAUCGUCAAUAUAUAUAACUUAAAACUCUAUUCGGUUGAAUCGAGAAGGCUUAUUUGGAGACGGCACACAUGAACAGAUAUACCUUUCUAUGUUGGAUUAGUUGAUACAUCUUUUAAUUCUCUUCAUUAAUAUAAAAAUUCUGAAAAGAACAGAAAAAAUGUAUAGUUUUUAAUUUACUGAUAUGGAAAGGUCUAUUUUUUUGUGUGCAAAUUUUGCUAUGUUAUCAACUUGGGGAAAUAGAACUGAGGCAGGUUCAUUCCUGCCUACUUUGGCUGUCCAUUCCUAUUUGUUCCUUUUAAUUCUUUUAAAUAAAAUUAUAGCCAAGAAAAUAUUUAUAACAUUUUUAGUAUAACACGAUCCUAUAAAUAAAGACAGAAUAAUUAAUUGUGCUUAAUUCUUUAAUUAUUAUUAGUAUUUCCUCUAGUCCAAUAUAAAUAAAUUUUCAGGGUGUGACACAUGUAUAGAUAGUCAUUCUGCGAGUCGUAAAAAUAAUUGAAAACUCUUUAAAAAGAAAUAUGAUAUUGAAAAUAUAUACUAUAUAUUUUUACAAAUUUAAAUAAUUUAUUUAUAUUUUGUACUAAAUAAAUUACGUACUUUUCUUUUUACUCUGUUUCAAAAGGAAUAAUUCAUUUCUCUUUUUAUGACAUUUUACUUUCAAUUUUCCUUUAUGUUUAAAAUUAUAUAAUUAGAAAGCAUUUUGAUAUAUUUAAUAUAACAUUAAUUAAAUAUAUUUUUUAUUUUCUUGAAGUUUGUGUCAAUUAAAUUAGGUCCUUCUUUUUUUAACAGAUACUUCACAUUAUUUUGGUCAUUACUAUUUUGGAAUUUUAAUAAAAGAAAAGAUGCUUAUAUUUCCUACCUAGUCCUUUUUUUUGGGGGGGGGGGGGGGUUAUAAAUAAAUGAAUUAGAAGAAGCACAUGUGUCUUGAUGAUACUACGGAAAAGUACAAUAAGUGCAUGCCUAGAUGCGUUAAGCUCACUUAUUAUCUUCAUUAAAGUUAACCUAUUUCUAUGCAACCAUUUUACUACCAGUUUCAUUUAAUUCUUUUGUCAUCAACUAUUAUUCAAAACUUACUAGAGAAUUUAGUCCUAUUAUAAAUUCAUUCACUUGUUAAUCUUUACUCUCCUCCAUUGCUUUCUUCAAUCUUAGACUAAAUUUUGAAAUUCUUUUUAGGUGGUGACGCGUUUUUUGCGCGAUAAAUUAUCAAAAUCCAAAUACUCAUGGCUGAAGUUGGCAAUGUAGCUUGCACUCAAAGAUGGAAGAUACCAAUCUUUGUUUUCUUUCAAGACAUUUGGUACAUUUUCUUCAAAUAUUUCUUGAUUCUUUUUUAAUUUCGUUCGGUUUAAUCAUUUUUUCUUGUGGUGUAUAGGAAUGUGUUUAAAUUCGAUAAUCUUGGCAUGGAAAUACUACGUAUUGCGUUCCCUGCAGCUCUUGCAUUAGCUGCUGAUCCUAUUGCUUCUCUCAUCGAUACAGCAUUCAUCGGUCAUUUAGGUAUGCACGUUUAAAAUUGAAGUUCAGAUAGUCUAUCGAAUUCAAACUCAAUGUGAACAUAAGACUUUUGACUUGUGUUAAAAGAUGUGUCAGUUUAGUCAUGAAAAUUAAAAAGUAUUAAUAAUUUGACUAUUUUGCCCUUACAAUUUUUAUUUUUUUAAAAAAUCAUUACAGGGGCAGUUGAAAUUGCAGCAGUAGGAGUUUCAAUUGCCAUUUUUAAUCAAGCCUCAAAAGUCACAAUUUUCCCUUUAGUGAACAUAACAACUUCAUUUGUUGCUGAGGAAGAUACUGUGAGAAGAAUGAAUGAAAAAGAAGGAAUUGCUGAUUUGGAGAAGAAUGAUUCAACAAAACAGCUAGUACUAACUGAUGGUAAUAACAAUGACAAGACAGAAACCAAAGAGACCGUGUUAGCACAAGGUAUAUGUUACGAGUUUUAACUGACAGUCUAAUUUUUCAUCAUAACUAAACAAAAUAAUGCUAUUUUUACAGAAUGUAAGACGACGAAAUGUGACUCUUUGGAACUCAAACGUGUGAAGCGGCAUAUUCCAUCAGCUUCAACUGCAAUUCUCAUGGGAUGCAUUCUUGGCGUUCUCCAGACGAUUUUCCUCAUAUUUCUUGCGAAACCAAUUUUAAGCUUAAUGGGUGUGAAAUCUGUAAGUACGAAUGUUCAAUCGUACAUUAUAUCAUAACAUAUGUCAACAAGAAAUCUUAUUAUGUGUGAUGUAAAAGAGCAAUAUGAUUUUAUUUCACGAAAUUAUGCAGGGUUCUGCUAUGCUUUCUCCAGCGAAGAAGUAUUUGACCUUAAGGGCAAUUGGUGCCCCUGCAGUCCUCCUUUCUUUGGCUAUGCAAGGCGUUUUUCGCGGUUUCAAAGAUACAAAAACUCCGUUAUUUGCUACUGGUAAGUAGUGCUAUUGAACCAACAACCACUUAAAUCAAAUAGAAUUAAAUUAAAGAUACAUUGAUCUAACUCUUGGCAUUAUUUUUCUUCUAUUGUAUCAGUUGUUGGAGAUUUAACAAACAUAAUUUUGGACCCAAUCUUUAUUUUUGUUUUCCAUUGGGGUGUCAGUGGUGCUGCCAUUGCUCAUGUUCUUUCUCAGUAAGUCUUUUUUUUCUUAUAAUUUCGAAUUUAGUCACACAAUUUCUAAUAUCACUCUGUUAUGUUUCGAUUUAGGUACUUGAUAUCGAUUAUUCUCCUAUGCAAAUUGAUGACAGAAGUUCAUCUGUUACCUCCUAGCACAAAAGAUCUGCAGUUCAGCAAAUUUCUCAAGAAUGGUUAGUAAAUGAUAGAGCGCAUUUGAUAUACAUACAUGAUUACUUUAAGAUACCGAUUGAGUAGAUAAACUUUGAUUGCUGCAGGAUUUUGGUUACUAGCAAGGGUGAUAGCAGUCACAUUUUGUGUGACAUUGUCUGCAUCGCUGGCUGCACGAUUAGGCACAACGCAGAUGGCUGCAUUUCAAGUAUGCUUACAAAUCUGGCUAACAUCGUCUCUGCUUGCUGAUGGAUUAGCUGUAGCAGGGCAGGUAAAGAACACACCAACUACACAUUUAGAAUUGAAACUUGCUGUCUAAUUCUUCUUUUUCUAGGCAAUACUUGCUACUUCAUUUGCUGAGAAAGACUUCCAAAAGGCAAAAGCUGCAGGAGUGCGAGUCCUGCAGGUACAAUAUAUUUGGCUGUAGGCUAUUAAUUUUUAUGCAAUGCGAUCGAUAACUGAUAAAAAAAUUCACUUAUACAGAUGGGAUUAGUGUUGGGAUUCGGACUUGCUGCAGUCGUUGCAAUUGGGUUAUACUUCGGAUCAGGAGUUUUUUCAAAGGACAAAAAUGUUAUCCGUCUCAUAAUCAUUGCCAUCCCGGUAAAAUUAAAUAAUAACAUGAUUUCAGAUUCUUCUAAUUUUCCCUCAGUAUUAUCAACUUAUUUUUUCGAUAUCGAUGGAUCAGUUUGUUGCUGGUACACAACCAAUCAACUCACUGGCAUUUGUGUUAGAUGGCGUCAACUUUGGAGCAAGUGAUUUUGCAUACUCUGCAUAUUCCAUGGUUAGUUUACAAAACUAAUUUACCUCUUGAAUUUAAUCAGCGCAAAAUUGUUAAAAUUAAGUAAUUUUUACGCAGGCUUUAGUUGGUGCACUAACCAUAACCUCUGAGUUUGUCCUUUCAAAAACCAAUGGCUACAUUGGUAUAUGGAUUGCUUUAACCAUAUUCAUGGUCCUGCGUACAUUUGCCGGUUUAUGGAGGUAAUUUCUCAUCAUCUCUUACUUAUAAAAAUAAAAUUAUAUUAAGAUACAAAUUUAAUUGACUCGAUAUGAUUACAGGAUGGGGACAGGAACAGGACCAUGGCGUUUUCUGCGGAUUCCAGUGAUGUCAGUUGAAGCCAAGUCAUAGAGCACUUGUUUGACUAAAUAUAUUCCAUCUAUUAUUUUCCUUGGAAGCUAUAACUAUUUUUCUUGCGUAUAGGGUAAAAAUUCUACAGAAUGUUUUACUCAAUAUAUAUAUGUUACUAUAUAAUAUAAUAAUAUAUAGUGAUGUCAUUUUCAUAUGAUUUUGACAUUUUGUAAUGGAAUAUGGCUAGCAGCUAUAUAUAUAUAUGUAGAAUAUAUCUUGGCAUAUCAAACUUUUAAAUGUUUUUUGGUCAUUUAUUUAUGGGAUCACAAAUUUAUUUAUUUUAUUCUUGCUGAAAACAUAAUUUCCUCUUUAAUUAGUUCACCCGUGAAAUGAACCUCCAAAUUAAAUUGGAAAUUAAGGCGUUUGGAACAAAAAUUUUGUGACCUUUUUCAUAGAGUUGAACUCAAAAAAUACGUUUUUGUUCUAAAUUUUUAAAAGAUUUAUCGAGAACAAGUUUAAUUUAUAUUAAUGAUCAAAUACAACACUAACUUUCAAAUAUAAUUUUUCACUUUGAUUUUGUUUAUUCAGAUUUCAUGUUAUCAAAAUAGUCCUUAAACUCCGUGUAUGUUUCCUUGUUAGUCAAGCAUUUCUUUAUGGGAUUUUUACAAAAAUAUAUAGUUUAAUACAUAAGUAUUAUGUAUAUAUUAAUCUACACCACGUAUAAAUCAUGUUUAAAGAUAUAUAAUAACGUAUAAGAUAUGUGUUUACAGACUUUCACACCAUAAUGUACACAUAGAAAAAUUGUGUUUCGUCUCGUGUACUUUAACUAAGAACCUCCAAUCCAAAUGAUAUCUAAGUCUGUUUCUAAUAUCUUCAAAUUUAACCAUAAUAUGACGUGAAUACGAACCUUAUAACACAAUUUUCUUUUAAAAUCUUAAUAAAUCACAAAGUCCAUCAAGAACAUUCACAAAGCCUACAUUAUUUUCUCCAAAGGUUUACACAGGUAAUUUUUCCUUUAUUUAUUAGAAUUGAUCAUUACAAUAAAUAUAGUUUAAAGCUGGCUAAUCAAUAAUUUCUGACUAGAGUCGUUACUAAUGUCGUUGAUAAUACAGAAUGCCAGUUAUAUCAGGUCCACAUGACCACAUUCAUAUGAAAAGACACAGUAAUAUUUUUCUUUUUUGUUCUUUUUAUUCUGUUUGGAGUCUAUAUUAAAGACUCAAUUGAAGUCAGAUCGUGUUGCAGGACUUUGUUAAAUUAAAACUCAAACCUAAAUCAUACUCCAAAAGCUAGCUCAAAGGGAGGAGGAUUGAUCAAGUCAUAUAAGGAGUCAACUCGUCUUAUUAAUUAUCAAUGUGCAAAGGUUCCUUUGUAUGUAGCGGUCCUAACAAGAUUUUCUACGUACGCAGGGCUCGAACUCAAAAGCUUCUCAUCUAAGGAUGAAGCAAUAAAAAAAAACUCUAUGAUUAUUGACAUUGAUUCAUCAUUUUGAAGCCAAAAGAAAUUUAAAAAAAAUAAAAAUACUCUUAUAUAUAUAUAUAUUGUUUGUCACAUGUAUAUAGUUAAAUAUAUACUAAGGUAAUUUGGAACUGAGGCAGGCUCAUUCUCGUAACAUAUAUGCAUGCAAAUUUGGACCAUGCCAAUUAAUUUAUAUAGAUUAUUAUUUGAGAAUGUACGAUAACAAAAGAAUUAGUGAAAGUUACGGUCAUAUAUAAAUUGUUUGACGUAAUAUAACGACAUUUUAAGCCUAAAUAAUAUAUAGAGUUUUAAAUACAUAUGUGGUUCACACGACAAACUAAUUAUUAGGUACAUUUUUUAUAACGUUCAUCGUCAAUUUAAUUUGCUUAGACUUAUCGGCUAUAUUAGUAUGAUCAUACAUACCUCUCACUUAUAUAAAAAAAAAAUUGAUUAUGGACCGGCCAGGCAUUUCUACUUCUGGUAGUUUAGUUAAAAUUUAUUAUACCCUUUAAUUUAUUUCUUUUCUAAUUGUUAUGUUAUAUUUUUUAAGAUUUAAUUUUGUUUAAAAAACAGCACAUGGUCUGGUGGAUCCUUGUACUUGUAUCAGUUUGUAUUCUGAAUUCUUCUACUUAUCUCUUUGUCAUCUGAACCCUUAAACUUAAUAAAACACAAUUUAUCGGAUUCCUCUGGCCAUUAACCGAGCUUAUGUGGCUUUGAGAUGAAUAAGUUGGUGAAAGUGUGUGAUUUCACACUCGACAAGUGAGUACUAUAUUUCAAUUUUAUAAAUAUUAAUAAAAUAAUACAAAAAUUAAAAAUAAUUAAGAAGACUACAUCAUCUUCACCCACUCCACCUUCCAUAGCAACCAUCUCCAUGCCCGACUCUUUUGUCUUUCUUUCCAUACUCUUGUUAUCAAAUCUUGGUAUUGAAAGCUUCUUUAACUCCAUUGGUUCGCCUCUAAAGGGAGAGGUUGAUAAUGGUGGUAAUCGUCAGAGAAAUCAAGUUCACAGUAUAGUGAGAGAGAUAGCGAGGAUUGGAGGAUUUAGUUACGAUAACUAAGAGAUUUUGGUCAGCUUUGGGGGUGCGGCGGCCGCGAUGGCUUAGGUUGGAGGAUCUAGUUACAACAAUGAAGAGAUUUCGGCUAGAUCUGGUGAUGCGGCGGCAACGGUGGCUAUUAGUAGUUUUGUAAUGGUUGAAGGAGGAGGAAAGGAAAAUAACGAGGGUGUACGAUGGAGAUGAAAAACGGGUGAGGAAAAGAGUAUAAGCAGUCUAACCGGCAAAAGUUUCUCCGGUAGAUUUUGUCUUUAUUAAGGUGGAAAAUGGGGGAGAAGAUAUAGUACUUUCAAAAUUUUAUUUUAAGGAAUAAAUAAAAAUUCUAUUAUUUUACUUUUAUUAAAAAAGUUUGGUUAAUAAAUUUUAAAAAUAAUUAUAAAGAUAAUUAUGACAUGUCAUUGAUAUAGGUGAUAUGGAUUUGACAUGUCAUUGAUAUAGGUGAUAUGGAUUUGACAUGUCAUCAAUUUAAGGGAGAGUAAACUACACACAUGAUAAGAAGGGUUUAAAAAUCUUAUUUAGAUUGAGUCUAAAGGUUCAGUUGAUAAAGAUUUAAGUAGAAUGAUCCAUAAUACAAACGUGUACAAGUACGAGGAUCUAUUAGACCAUUUCGCCUAAAAAAAACUUUAAGGAAUUCACCCAAGAUCACACGUAAAUUUUAAUCUAGAGGAAUGAUAGAAACACUAACCUUGUUCCAUUGCACUAAAUUAUUACAACUUGAUUGAAGAAGUGUCACGACCCCAACCCGUCGUGAUUGGGACCCACACUUAUAAGACGAUGGGAGAACCACUACUACUAGUCAACUAAAGCAAUUAUUCUAAAACUAAGACAUUUAAGUUACGAAAGUAAGUUAAAUAACUACAAAUGAAGUUUCAUUUCUGAACGAAAUAAGAUCUAGCGACUAACAUUUGCGUAAGAUAAACCUAGAACUGAAAGUCAAUGUACCAACGAACAACCAAAUCUAAAUAAGGAAUUACUAACGAACUACUCAACUAACUAAAUAUAACUAUCCAAGUCCAAAAUUGAUGGACAUGGACAAAAUAGAACUCACUGACAGCCCGUUAGAAGCAGAUCAUCCUUAGAGUCGAUACGAUAAUCUCUAAUCUCCUAAGCGAGGUCUGUAAAAUGCCGCUUGAAAAUGACCUGUACUCAACAAAAAUAAAAGUAAGUGCAGAAUCAGUACAUUAUCACUGUGUACUGGUGGAUCACGCGACUAUCGCACUAGUGCAAUAUAAACAAGUCGAACAAACAUUACAAUCACAUGCAUAAAUUUCAACAUAAACAACAUUAUCAACACGACAAUUUCACAACACGUUUCACAUGUUUAACACAUCAUUGAUCCUCUCACAAAAUCCAAAUUUAAACUAUUAGUGCAUCGACGUGAUACCCAUUUUUAGUUAACUUAUCAAAACGUGACAAUUCGAUCCUAAAUUCUACUUCAUGACUUCAACUUCCAAAUCACUUUUUCAUCCGUUGUGCAAAACAAUAAUAGAAAGCUAAGUUCUUUAUUUUUCAGAAUUAUCAAUAAAUUCACAAAAUUCAUAAAACUUCAAUCUGUAUAGAAAAUAACUAAUUUGACAUGUCAUUAUCAUAAAUAACAUGAUAAACUCCCACUAUAAUGACUCAUCAUUAAAUCUUACAACACCCAUAUGAACCACAUGCCAAUGAAACACUUCAGGUGACAAAUCCCUUAGUGAGCGGAUUUUAAUUAUUGAGUUUGUACUAAUAUGAACAAUUAGCAUAAGACGACUCACAGCUAGAAAUAUAAUGUGGAUUUAGAGAAAUACUACAACUACCAUUUGUGAUUAACAAGCUUUAGCUGGGGCAGAACAAUUUUGAAAAAAAUCUAGUAAAGAAGUGAAUUAUUGUAUUUGAUAAUACGCGGAUAGUCACUUUUGACAUGGCAGCGAUUUUAAAGAAAAAAAAAUUAAAAAUUUAACACGUCAAUUUUGUCAAAAGAAAAUCACUCUAUCAAAAGCGAUUUUGUCCUUUUAAUUAAAAAAAAAUUGAUGUAACUUUUUAAAAUUUUUAACAAUUUUUUUUGCCCUUUUAACUUCAAAUUCUAUAAUAUAUCCACCCACCCAAUAGAGAAUGAGAGAAUAAGAAAAAACAAAAAGAGUUGAAAAAUAUUCCAUAUUCUAUACUUUACUAUUAAUAAACUAUCCACUAUUUAUAUAUAAAGAUACAAAAUCUAGAGGAACGAGAGAAUAAGAAAAAUCAAAAAGAGUUGAAAAAUAUUUCAUAUUCUAAACUUUACAAUUAAUAAACUAUCCACUAUUUAUAUAUAAAGAUACAAAAAUAUAAGCAUGAUUCUAUCACAGUAUCAUAUUAUAUUUUACAUAAUAUUUAUGAUGUAAUUGUUCUCUGUUAAAAUAGAAUAUUAUCCUGAAUCUUUUAGAAUCGUAUUAUAUGUUUAGAAUCAUAUCUGAUAUAUAUGGUCAAUAUUAAGCUAAGUCUCAUUUGUUUUUAUUAAGAAUUUGAGACGGUUAGACUGCAAAAUAAGCUAAGUUUGUUAUGAGAUAGUGAGGCCGACUAUCAGUGUACUAUUAUUUCAAUGAAUUAAGAUGACAGUUUAAUACACAAAAUAAAUUUGGAAUUUGCACCUGCCACCUUAUUUAUUUGCUCAUGUUACUCAAAAUAUACUAAAUUAAAUAAAAUUGCACGUUGAAUUUUAGUUUCAAGGCCUGACGUGCAUACCAUUUAGUUUAAUUAAAAAAAUUAACAAGGUAGGCUUAUCAAUUUUUAAGAAUUCACUAUAAAGAAAAAAAAAAUAAACUGAAUAUCUUGAAUUAAAGGAGAAACUUAUAUUACGAAAUCAAAUAUAAAGACUCUUAAAUGAUCCCCUUUAAAUUAAUAAACACAAGUUGUUUAACUUUAUUAGAGAAUUACAUAAAACAAUGUUAACUAAGUUAGAUACAAUAUAAAUAUACACAAGUUUAGGUUUAUUGGAGAAUUACAUAAAACAAUAUUAACAUAGUUAGAUACAAUAUAAAUUAACACAAGUUGCUUAAGUUUAUUAGAGAAUUACAUAAAACAAUAUUAACAUCGAUAAAAUAUAAAUUAACACAAGUUCUUUAACUUUAUUCGCUUGAAUGCUCUUAUUUUGAGAGAGGUAGUUUUUUUUUUUGUUUCAACACACUAACAAAAAAAAACAUUGCAUUUAGCUAUCCAUUAUUGGUCCGUCGUUAUUUAACUCGUAGCUAAUGAAAAUAUGUUGCUAAUUCGUUGAUAACUAGAAUAAGCAACGAAUUGUGUUGUUUAGUUACAAAAUUUUGUUCGACGCAGAAUCUAGUAUUUUUAGUCGUGAAAUAAGUUAUAAAAAUCAAGGAGUCAUGGCUGAAGUUAGAAUCUAACUUGCAUUAGCUACUAAUUCUAUUGCUUCUCUAAUUGAUUGACAUUUAUCGACCAUUUAGGUAUAUAUAUUGAAAUAAAGUUCAAAUAGUCAAUCAAUCGAGUAAAUUUCACUUAUGCAUAACGCCAUCUUAAUCAAAAUUCACCUCAAUUUGAACAUGGGACUUUUGUAUUCAAAAGUUUUACUUGACAAGAGACGUGAUAAUCUAGGCAUGAAUAUAGGACAGAUAUCAUUUAUAUAUAUAUCUAACUUAUAUCUUCUAUAUCUACCUAUCUAGAUAUCUAUGUAUAUAGUAUCUUAAAAACAUGAAUUUUCUAACUUUAAUGUUAAAGUAUUAUAAUAUUUUCAAAUUAAAACACCAAAUCUUAAUACGAAGGGCUGUCACUUUUAUUUUUCAAAGAGUUUGUGAUUUUCCGUUUAGUCAUUGACUUAUUCAAAGGUUUAUGACUUUUUUAAAGGGUUGUGAUUUUUCUGGUGAACUUUUUUUCGUACAAGCCUUUGUUGGCUAUAAAAAGAGGGAUCUCCUAACACUUUUAAAAUACAAAUUUUUUUAAUUUUCAAUUGUUCUUCUUCCUCUUAAAACACAUAAUUCUUUAUAUCUUCUAUAUUUUAUAUUAUAUUAUAUUUAUUUAUAAUAUUUUAUUUUAAAAGCGCACAAAUAUUCGCAUCGAAUGGUUACGACUUCUCUAAAAAGAAUCGACAUUUUCGAAAAAUUGUAACUUUUAUUAUUAAACACAACAAGUACAUGUUCAUACUAGCAUUUGUUAACUAUAAAUGGAGGCUUUCCUCACAGUUCUAAACUAAGAGUUUUUUUUAAGUUUUCUAUUCUUCUCUUAUAAAAAAUUAAGUGUGAUUUACAGAUGUUGAGAAUCUCAAAGUUUAAUGAAAUUUUAGCACUCUAUAACUUAAAUGUUAAUUUAAUAUAAUACACCAGCUAAAAACAUUCAAUAUAGUAUAUCUUCUAUAUUUUAUAUCAAUAUUUUAUCUAUUUAUAUUAUAAUAAAUGUAGUAAUUCUAACGAUACAAUAAUAACCAAGUAAUACACUAUAGGGGAGUAAGGAGAAACUAUAUUGAAAAAGUGUAACAAAGAAAUAUUAAGAGUGAAACUUUUAUUUUCAAUAUCUCAAUUAAUUGUAAAAUGGGAAAAACUUGGGGGAAAAAAAAGAAGACAAAUCUUAUUGGAAGUCCUAAAGAAUUGUCACAUUACCUUAAUUAUAACUUUUAUAACAUUAUAAAUAGUUAUAAGUAUUUUCAAAUAUUGAUUUGACAAUUUCAAUAGUAAUUAUAAUAGAGUUCACAUUCGCUAAUCAUAGAAACUUAUACAUAUUUCAUUAUUCUAUCUAUAGUUGUUUGCUGAAAUUUUGAUAUUACUGACAUUAACAUUAAUUUUAGAACAAUAAUACACUAAAUAAUUAUAUAUUCUCAUGCAAGGCACGUAUAUCAAAACUAGUUACUUAAAAGGCAUGACAGUUUAUUUUUUUUAUUUUUUUGGUUAGAAGUUCAAAUUUAAGUGUAAUAAUUAAUAAUAAUAUUCUCAUUUGUUUAGUGAAUGACUUGACUAUUUUGCCCUUACAAAAAGAAAAUCCCAAAUGUUGGCUCUUCAUGACUGCAGGGAAAGAUGAAAUUGCAGCAGUAGGAGUUUCAAUUGCCAAAAUUCAAUCAAGCCUCCAAAGUCACAAUUUUCCCUUUAGGCAACAUUACUACUUCAUUUGUUGCUGAGGAAGAGACUGGUAGAAGAAUUAGGGUUCGUUUGGCCACGUAAUAUGGUAUUAUGAUAUAGUAUCAUGAUAUGAAAUUAACGUUUGGACAUGCGAUAUGAAAUUUUCGUGUUGUAUAUUUUCUCAUAAACAUAAAAAUCACAUAAGUUCUAAAACUAGUAAAAUAACCCCAAUUAUUUAUUCAAUAUUAUCAAAUAAACAAAAAAUCAUAAAAUCGUACAAUAAAUUAUCACAAAAUUAUUUGUUCUCCACUUAAGUAAUUGCUCCAUCGAUAUAUUUGAGUAAAAAUGGAACACCUUUCACGGGCUCUUCAAGAUUUUAUUACUCAACAAUCGUGAGUGUGAGUUAAAGUGACUAUAUGUUAGUGAGAAUAAUAAAUUUUAUGUCGGUGUAAAUAAUAAAUUUUAAAAAGUAAUGAUGUGAUCAUAAAUUUUAUUUACAUAUGAAAUAAAUGGUUAAUAUAUAUAAAUGUGGGGUUGCUUUAACAAAAUAUAAACUUGUGGAUCAAUUUUUGUAUUAAAAUAACUCAAAUCAUGAUAUGAUAUUCUCAUAUGAUUCUAGAUCAUGGUUUUUGGAGAAUAUGGUAUCACAUCUCAUGAUAUGGAAUUAUGAUAUGGAAUCAGCGUCAAAUGACAUGUCCAAAUGCUGAUUCCAUCUCACUAUAUCAUAUUAUGAUAUGGUAUCACACGGCCAAAAUGCCUACAUAGUGAGAAAAAAAAGCUAUAGCUGAUUUAGAAAAGGGUAAAGAAUAGAAGAAUAAUACAAAAGUACAGCUAGUACUAACCGAUGAUACUGACAAUGGCAAGAUGGAAACCAAAGAGGUCGCAUUAGUACCACGUAUAUUUUACGAGUUUAACCUUUAUAUGUUGAAGGAAGCUGAUGAUCCGUAUAACAGUAUUGAAAGUUCACCUGCAUAUUUUGAAUCUAUCAGCAGUAGUGAGAAACAGGUUGCUUUUACAGGUCCAUCCAAUGAUCGUCAUCAAGCAACCACUUUAGUUGAUGUACCAGUUGACCAUAAACUUGACAAUGCUAUACUCCAGUCCACUACCUUGGGUGAUGUACCAGUUGAAGUACAUCCUAAACCACAAUGGCAUCAUAUGAUCACCAAGAACAAAGCGAAUGAACAACACUUGUCACUUGUUGUUCGCAGCAGCAGAGAAAUUGUCAGAGAACCAAAUACUACUAAAGAAGCACUAAAAUCACCUCAUUGGCUUGCAGCAAUGCAGGAAGAGAUUGAUGCUUUACAUAUUAACAAGACAUAGAUUUUGGUGCCCAAAUCCCCUAGUAUGAUUGCAUCAAAAUGGAUGUUCAAGACAAAAUUAAAAGUUGAUGGAACAAUAGAUAAAUACAAGAUCAGACUUGUGGAAAGGGGAUCCUCGCAGCUUUAAGGGAUAGAUUUUGAAGAAACAUUCAGUCUUGUGGUUAAAGCAACAACUAUUAGGGUGGUUCUAUCCAUUGUUGUCAGUUUAAAGUGGAAAGUUAGACAACUCGAUGUCAAAAAUGUCUUUCUCCAUGGCUUCUUACAAGAGAAGGUGUAUAUGAGUCAACCUCCUGGUUUUAUUGAUCCCCAGUAUCCUCAGCAUAUAUGUCUGCUUAAAAAGGCAUUGUAGAUCUUAAACAAGCACCAAGAGCCUGGUAUGAUAGGUUUAAAAUGCAUCUCUUACACCUUGGUUUCACUUGUAGUAAGGUUGAUCCUUCUUUAUUUACUUUGAAAACUCACAAUGGCAAAAUAUUUCUCAUGUUAUAUGUGGAUGAUAUUAUUGUCACAGGAAGUAAUCCAUCACAUGUCUCAGAGUUGGUUCUACAACUUGAAAAGGAGUUUGCCAUGAAAGAUCUUGGUCAUUUACACUUCUUUCUUGGAGUUGAGGUUAAGUAUGUUGUUGAGCUGCUAGACAAGACUGAAAUGACUUUUGCAAAGGCUAUAGCCACUCCUUUGGCUCAGAAGCAUGGUCUACAUGAAGCUGUGGGAAGUGUGCUUGAAGCAUUUUUUUUUACAGAAUGAUAGUAGGGGGACUUCAAUACUUGACUUUCACAAGACCAGAUAUUACUCAUGCUGUGAAUUUAGAAAGCUAAUUUAUGCAAAAUCCGAACAGUGCUCAUCUCCAAGGGGUGAAAAGAAUUCUCAGGUAUAUCAAAGGCAGUCUGCACUUUGGACUUAGACUUAUUUCACAAUCACUUUGUAGGUUGUAUAGGUACUACGAUGCUGAUUGGGGAGGUUGUACCUCCAAUAGGAGAUCCACUAUGGGCUAUAGCAUCUACCUAGGAGCAAACUGUAUUUCUUGGACCUCCAAGAAACAGUCCACAGUUGCUCGUUCAAGUGCUAAAGCUGAGUAUAGAGCACUUGCCUCCACUGCAUCAGAGAUGACAUGGAUCAGUAUCUACUUCAUGAGCUUGAGGUGUUUCUUCGAUCUAUACCUACAUUGUAUUGUGACAACAUGAGUGUUUUGUACAUGACAGUUAAUCCAGUUAUGCAUGCUAGAACUAAACAUGUUGAAAUGGACUAUCAUUUUGUUCGUGGGAAGGUGGCUAGAGGACAACUUGCUACUCAAUUUGUGAGGUCUAAGGGUCAGCUAGCAGAUAUUCAUACAAAAGCAUCAACCAAACAGGUUUUUGCUGAGUUUCGUCGCAAGCUAGGAGUUACAGUUCGUCCACUCACUAGCUUGAGGGGAAGUGUUGAAGGAAGCUGAUGGAACAGGUCGAAAGAACAGUUCGGUGAAGGACUAUACUACUCAGUCCUAAUUUAUGUAUAAGUCUAUAUUUUAUACGACUAGGAUAAGAUGUAUAUAUUAUAUUUGUGUUGUAUUAGGAUUCCUAGUGUAGCUAGUAUAGGACUUUUCUCCUAAAUAAGAAAUAUGUAACUCAAUCAUCAAUACAAUCCUUGAUUCUUCAUAUAUAUGUGAGAAUUCUACAUUGUAUAGUGAGAGUCAAUUUUUCAUCAUAACUAAACAAAAUAAUGCUACGUUUAGGGAAUGUAAGACGACAAAAUGUGAGUCUUUACAUAAUCAAAGUAAAACGUGUGAAGCGCAUAUUCCAUCAGCUUCAACUGCAAUUCUAAUGGGAUGUACCUUCUCCAAACGAUAUUUCUCGUGAAACCAAUUUUAAGCUUAAUGGGUGUGAAAUUUGUAAGUAUGAAUGUCCAAAAUGUCAACAAGAAAUUUGUAAGUGAUUUUACAAUAUUUUCUCACUUCAUUUUCAAACUAUACAGUUAUUUUUUGUGACAUCGAUAAAAUUUCGAACAGUCAAAUCAAAUUUAUUAUAUUUUUAAAUAUUUAAAUAAAAUUAUGCUUUAAGAGAGUUACUUAUUUCUACAGAACAAGAUAAAAAAAGAUUUUAAGACGUGGCGAACCCAUUUCACCUGUUUUUGUCCUCUUUAUUUAGGACUACUACUAUACUAUAUAAUAAUGUCAUUGUGCUUCUUUUUAAAUUAUUUUUGUCCCCACAUUUCACUAUCAAAAAUAGGGGACCGACAAACACAAAUUAAAGAAAUCUGCCCUAACUUCACCCACUAUUUCAUCUGCAAUGUCAUUUGAUGACAAAAUCAGUGGGCCUCUCCCAUCAUUUACUAUUUUAACCUAUAUAUUCAAAUUUUCUUAACUUUGUCACCAUCCAUCACUAUCUCCAAGAUAAAACCUAUUUUAUCCUCAAAUACCAAUCACAGUCCAAACAUCCUAGAAACCAUUCUUUAUUCAGUGGGUGGAUACUUGAAAUAAUGAUAUAGUAAACAUCAGGAAUAUUACAAAAUAUAGUUUCAUUUGGGAGUAACAAAAAGAAGUCCAUAGGAUUAUGGAAAAAUACAAAGAUGAUCUCAAUAAACCUGGACUGGGUUUACUUUAAUAUAGCCCAGGCAACUUAAAAACUGUUGCUUGUAAACAAAUAAACAAUUAGAAGAAUCGAAUAGAAACAUUAUGGAAAGUUCCACCUACAUUUGUUCUCCCUCAAAUUUCCUUCCCCCUCCAUCAACAAAAAGAUGUACCAUAAAAACAAUAUAUACUACCCCUCCUAUUAAUUUGAUUUGUUUGGCUAAACACGAAAAUGAGUUAAUAGAGUCUUAUCUCGCUAGGCGACAAGCUGAUCAAGUUGCAUCUGCUCAAGCCAAGCUCCUAAAACGGAAUUAUCAACGGAAUCAAUUUGGGAACUGGUUUUCAAACUCUCACCGGAUGGUGCAGCAACUGAAUUAGGAGCGGCCUGCUUCUCUUUUAUCUCGGUUGGAGAUUCCUUCACAAGAGAUUGCACCCAUGAUAGGUCAGGCUCUUCUCCAGGGUUGAGCUGCUCAAUAGAAGAUGAUCUGGGCAGCUGUCGGAGUCCACUUCCAUUCACAGACCAGUCAACCUUCUCAUUGGGAGACCCCCAAUUCGACCAAGAGUUGCCUACAGGGGAUCCAACAAGGGGAGCAUUAUUGGAUCCAAGAUCACGGGAGCUGAGGCUUCGCAGCUGUUGCUUCUCACGAUGAGCAAAUGCUGAAAGGCGAGCACUCAUAGGGGAAAUAGGCUCCAUGCUUCUUGGGGACAUCCUUCCAGGUGAGGAAACACCAAAAGAAGCCUGCAAAAGAGGGUGCUCAAUGUUUUUCGGGGAAAAAACGUUAGUAUUAAUUGGUGAAAGCAUGUUCUGUUGGUGUUGGAACUGAUUAAAGUAAGCCGACUUGUGUGAUGGCGAAAAAACACCACAAGCCGCUGCCUGAUCAGAAUAUCUUGGAGAAGAGUUCAUCUCAGCAGAAAAAAGCUCUUCAAGAUUCGAAGGAGUUAGUGUCUUGGACCGACCAGAUCGGUUCAAAGUGGCAGAAUUAGGACGUGGCUGUGAAUAGCAAGCCAUGUCAUUGAGAACUAGUUGCUGGGCAUCAAAAUCCUGCAACAUGUUAAAAUCCUCAGGCGGAAUGUCUCGUGCACUAAGGGAAGACCUCAGACGGCUAGACUGCAGAUUGCUUCCAGGUAGAUGAAGAGUUGGGACAUUUGGUUGCGGCCAUGGUGCAGAUGGAUGAGACAUUCCAUUGGCAGUGGGGGACAUGGGUUGAUUAAAUGCAGAAGGAGACAUCACAGAGUGUGCUGAGGGUGAACCAGGAAAAAGGUUCAGCGCUGCAGCCAUGUCCAUCACACUAGCUGCAGAAGCAGCUGACCGAGGAGAUGGGACUGCAGAUCCAGUAGAGACAUACAAGGGCCUAAGCUCCUCCGUAGUAUGGGCAAAAAAGCAGAUUCGUCUAGCACAGCUUGUACCAUCCUUGCACAGGCGGGUACGAUACUGAGCAGGGUGUAGCCAGCACUCAAACACCCCAUGAGCAUAUUCGCACAUAUCACCGCGUCGGCAUGCACCCUUGCGAAAUUCAGGACAAGGCACACAGCUAUAGUGGUACUUCCUUGGAUCUCUUCUACGAGCGUUCUCUCCAGGGUGGACAAAUGGGCACUCUGUCCAGUCAUGUGAAUAGGCCCUAGAACAUGGCCGAACCUUAAAAGAGAACAUGCGGAACUCAUCCGUUGAAUAUAUACUAUUCUGGAUGUCAGGGAGAGACGGAUCUAUUGGAUACUCUUUUUUCUCUCGUGCAGAAUUAGCAGGGAGGUCACUGAACUUCGAUGCCAUAGGGGAAGACGAGGACUCCAAUGAUGAACAAGGAGAUCCAUUUUCUGGUGAUGAGGAGAGAAUGGGAGAGGAUGCAUCUGAAGUAGCCACAGAUACUGUCAAUUUGCAGUCACCAACUGAGCCAUCAGAUGAAUUAUUCAGAAGCAGUUUUUCAAGAGAAGCUCUAGUACCAGGAAGCUUUGGUGGAACAACAAUCACAUCAGCUGGCCGCUGGCCAUUAGCAUCCUCAACAUUAGGAUCACCACCAGCUGACAGUAGCAACUUAACUGCAUCAAUAACAUUGACAGAACCACUAGAGGCUGCACAGUGAAGAGCAGUCCACUUGUUUGGACCACAAGCACGGUUAACGUCAACCACAGGAUUAGAGAUAAUCAACUUCAAAACAUCUAAACUUCCAUAAGUGGCAGCUACCAUUAAAGGAGUCCUCUCCUCAUUAACAAUCUGCUUUGCACCUUUCUUGCGAACCAACCAUAGCCCCACCUCAUCAAUAGCAGAAGCAUCGAGCUCAACAGAUCUUUUAAAACCUUCGAGAUCGUUGUUUGCAGCAAGUUCAAGCAAACUAGAAAAAGAAUCUUCAGUCUCAACGGUGAGUUUAGUAAUACCCUUCAUACUAGAUGUAGAAUCAGUAACAGAUUGGUUGGGUCUUUCUGGGCCAGUGCACAUGCUUCAGUCAACUGCAUGUCAAAAAUCAAGAAAUUAAAAGAAGAAUACAGCACCAUAUCUAGUAAAAAUUUCCAAGCACCAUCUUUCUAGAAUUAAAUGUUUGUCAAAUACAGAUCAAUAAAAUUGAAUGAAAUAGAAUAGAACAAAUCUAAUUCAACAAUACACCAGACUGACAAUAUCAAAAACUCAGAAUCUUCCCAAAACCCAAUAAAAAAUUUAUUAAACUGCCAUAAAUAAAAGGGUCAGGAAUCAGUAGGGAGAGCUGAGGGGGGAGAAAAUAUAACUCUAAAAACAAGAAAAUUGCCAUAUUAGGUACAACUAAACUCACCUAACCUUCCCAAAAACUAAUGAAAAUACACGAACCUGUAAACAGAUAGACACUACAUGAUAGAAAGGUAGACUGAAGAAAUUUAUUUUGUACAGACAUAUAUAGAGGUUAUUUUCUUGUAAGCCUUCCAUGACACUAUAAAUUUCAUACUUUUACUAAUAAAUUAAUUUAACUCUAUAAAAUAAGAAGACUCUAUUAAUUUUGAACACAUUAAGUUAUUACUUUUUGUAAAAUAUCAACUAACAGGGGUUAACUUUCAUUCUAAUCUUUGCCUUUUAACAUACCUUAAGUAUAACAUUUAAUUAUAAUCCCUGAUUCAGUUUCUUUUCUGGUAAUAUCUCCAUCUUUUUCACUUGAAUAGGCACAUAAGUUGUAAAACAUUAAAAACUGCGAAUUCAACCAUGAAAAUAACAAAAUAAUAUUCAAACUGUGUUCUCUUUUGUCAUGAAGUAGCAAAAGUUUAUUCUGCAAAUAUUUCAUUGCCUUAUCAGAUUGAUAAUGAUUAAUGUAAGCUAAGGAAGAAUGAUCAUGUCAACUCUGUUCAACCUGAAAUUAAAAUUAUUUAUAUACAAAAUAUAUCAUCUGAUCUAUUGUUUUUCAUUGACUCAGUUCAUCAGCAGCACAAAAAUUAACCUUCACACACCAAAUAUUAGUCAUAGAGACAAAUAGAAAAUGAUAGCUAUAUAAAAGAGAAUCGCAUCUCACACCCAAACAUAUUCAUAAGCAGAGUCAUCCCUUAAAAAAAUCGCAUCUUUACAGAGCAAAUCGCCACAAAUCAUACAUGGAAACAUAUAGAUCAACAUAUCAGCCAAGAAAACUUAAGCUAUAAAACUCAAUCUACUAAUAUAAAUUCACUUGUAUAGAUAGUCAAUCACAGUCGGCAAAACAUAAGAAUGACUAUAAGUAAAAUUAAACUACUAUUCACAAAUUCGAUCUCGAUCAUUCUUACCAGAAAUCAAGCAAAAAUCCAACAGCUAUAGUUGCUUAACCAGAUCCACAACAACAAAGCCUCGAAACAGAUUUCUUCUUCAACACUCCUUCGAAGUUGAGAACACACCAGCAGCAGCAGCAGACGAAUAAGAGAAAUCGCAGAAUCUACUUGCACUAAUCGCUUCAAUAACCAUAAUCAUCUUCAUUGAAACUUCAAAAUCACUAUUUUUUUGCAAUCUAUACAUAUAUGUAGAAGUGAAUCUCUAUAUAUAUAAACACACCAUUGAAAAAUUGUAGAGAGAGAAAGGAGAGUGAGAAAGAUGAAGAUGUGUAAAGAUGAAGGGGGAGAGAGGGGGAAAUAGAAAUUAAAAAUGCAAAUGCAAAUGUAAAUGUAAAUGAAAUUGAAAUUAAAAUGAAAUGAUUUUGAAAUCAACGCUAAAUUGAAGUUAUAUUUGAAAGUGAAGGUGUGGGGACGGGUUUGGCCGGUUGAAUGUUACCGGUUGGGUGGGUAAUAGUUGAGGUGUCGCGGAUUUCAAAACGUACAUUAUGUCGCAUUAAAAUAAGCAAUUUGGAGUCCGCCUAUGAUAAAAGGAGAGAGAAGGAGCGGACGUGAGAGCCAAUGGUUAAUUUUUCGGGUCAAAUCACAAGAAAAGAUAAAAAGAAGAAUUUGUAAUAAUAUAGCAUAUAAAAUAAUUCAAAAAAUAUUUAUUUUAAACUCUAAACAAUUUAAUUAUUUUGUACGUUAAAAAGUUUAAAAUAUUAAUUAUAAUAUCGAAUAGACGGUAAUAUUCAUUAUUUUUAAAAUUAAUGCAUAAAUUACGUUAUUUCUUAAUACAAAAUGUAAAGUAAUAAAAUAACAUAUAAAAUAGAAUAUAAUAUAAGGGGGCACGCGGCAGAAAGAAAAAACUUGUGUUUCUUUUAAGCUAAAGGCCCUUAUAUUUCUCCUAAUUUACAUUUAUCACCUAGGCACAGGAUGAAAUAGACAACUUUAUGUUAGCGUUUGGUAAUAGAUUUCUAAAUAUUUUUGGUAAAUAUUAUUUGAGUGAAAUUUUAUCAUGUAUUUAGCUAUAGUAUUUGAGAAAUAUAUUUCAUCUUUUUAGAAAAAUAUGAUUUAUACCCAUAAAUUUUAAAAACUAUCAAACUAACUAUGAGUUUGUAUUACAAGUAAAUUGGUGUUCAUUGCAACAAUAAUAAAUAGUGUCCAUGACAGUAGAGCAAUGUGAUAGUUUGAAUUGAGCGCAACAAGCAUAAUUCCAUAAGUCGUGAACCAAUUUUUCAUCGACAAUCAUAUCAUCAUUUAAUAAUUCCAUAAGUCGUGAACCAAUUUUUCAUCGACAAUCAUAUCAUCAUUUAAUAUUCACUGAAUAUUUCAUCACUAAUUUGAUGUUCACGUAAAAAAUGAUGUAAUACAACACAAACAAUUACUAUAAAAAAAAUUAUGUAAUACAACACUAAUUUUGAUGUUUGGGUAAAAUUUUAAUUUUUAAAAGAAUCCCAAAUAAUGAGAUUUGGCCCAAAUACUAAGGACCCGUUUGGCCAUAGAUUUUCCAAAUAAUAUUUGGGGGGGGGGGGGGAGAAUUUGGCAAACAAUGUUUGUCCAUACAAUUUGUCAUUAUUUGGCAAAUAUUCCAAAUUUUCAAAUACUAGUUUUUUCUAAUAUUUGGGUCAAAUCUCAUUAUUUGAGAUCUUUUCAAAAUUAAAAUUUUACUCCAAACUUUUAUCUUUUAUAAAAGCACCCUCUAUAGUAGUUGUUUAUGUUGUAUUAUAUGAUUUUUUUACGUGAACACCAAAAUAGUGAUGAAAUAGUGACGAAAUAUUUAGUGAAUAUUAAAUAAUGAUAUGAUUGUUGAUGAAAAUGAUGAAAAAUUAACUCAAGGUAAUAAAAUCAUGUGCUUCAUCUACUUCACGAUGUAUGGAAUGAUACUUGUUGCACUCGCUCCAAAUUAUCACAUUGCUCUAGUAUGAUAGAAACUAUUUGUUAUUGUUGUAAUGAACACCCAAUUAACUUGUAAUACAAACUUAUAGUUAGUUUUAGUAGUUUUUAAAACUUAUGGAUAUAAAUCAUAUUUUUUUAAAAAGUGAAAUAUAUUUUUCAAAUUCUAUGGCCAAACACAUGGUGAAAUUUUAUCCAAAUUUUCACUCAAGUAAUAUUUGCCAAGAAUAUUUGAAAAAUUUAUGGCCAAACGCUAGCUAAAAAAAAAUUAGUAUUUAAAAAUUAAGGAUAUUUAUCAAAAAUAUUUACUAAAUAAUGGCAAUUUGUACGGAUAAACAUUAUUUGCCAAAAUAUUUUUUAGAUAUUAUUUAAAAAAUCUAUGACCAAACGGGCUGUUUGGUUUACAUUAUUCUAAAGUUUUAAGUUUUGAAAUUAUAAUUUUGAAUUAUAUUUGAUGUUAUAUUUAUAUGAGAAUCAAUUUAUAUUGUUAAUUAAGUAUAAUGUAAAUUACUUAUUGAAAUUUAACUUUAAGAUAUUUCAUAUUAUCUCGUGUACCUAACAUUAGUACUAGAUCUAGUACAUACUUGAUUAUUUUCAUUUGGUACAUUUGUAAUUUUGUAGUACAUGAUAUUUUUACACACAUAUAUAUACUAACAACGAAAUUCAUAACAUUCCUCUAAUCGGAUUGAUUAUUUAUUUAUUUGAAAUAGCUACAUUCCCAAUUAUUAUUUUCAAAGAAAAUAAUCAAUAUAUUUUUAAAUUAUUUGAAAUGAAAAAGAAAUAUUUUUUAUUUAUAUUUUUAUUUAAAAGUAUACACCCACACUAAUACUCAUAUAGUAUCAACACGAUUAAUAAAUCAAUUAACUAACAUUUUUUAAGAUAUACUCAACACCAUAAACUCUCAUGUUCUUCUAAUUGAAAAUUGACAUGUCACAUUAAUUUUUACUUUUUAAUAAUUAAUCUGUUUAACUCUAUUUUUUAAAAUUCCAUCAAGUAAAAAGUCCCCAUUAGUCUUUUUUUUAUAUGUUAAAUUAUUAUUAUUACUACUACUACUAAUUAUUAUUAAUAAAUAACAAUUUUUAGGAGGGACGACAGAGUCAUUCCCAAAUUUAUAAAAGCCAAAAAUAUCAUGGGAAAUUUACAUUAAUAUACUACUAAUAAAAAAUAUUUACUAUUUAUAAUAGUAAUAUCUUUUUUUUAUUUAAUCAUUUUUAAUUCAUUCAUAAUACAAGUUUAAUACAUAUUAUAAAGAACAAUUUAUCAUUUACAUAUAAUACAAAUUUUAAUGAUAGUUAAUACAUUUAUCACACAUUUUAAUACACUUAUAGUACAAUGUGUCAAAUUUUUACCAAACAAACAUAAUAUAUUUCAAAAAAUAAUUAUAAUUCAUAUAAAUUGCAUAGAUAAUUCAUUUUUAAUAGAUAUUGAAGAUUUAAUAUAGUAUUGCUAUAAAUGGUAAUAAAUAAAAAGUAUAGCUAAAAAAUCUGUAAUUAUUUAUUAAAAUGUAUCAAUUUAUGUAAUUUUUCCAAAAUGAAACUAUAAUCAAUUCAAUACAUUAAUUGACCCAUUAUUCGUUCUUUUUAUUAUUAUUUUUUUGGAAAAAAAAAAAAAACUCAACAUGCUUCUCCUAUUUGUUUUAUCAUGAGAGUCUACUCACCCUAAUCCAUUCUUCAUGUUUAACUUUAUUUUAAAAUAUAUUAAUAGUCUAAGUUAUUAAAAUAUCACUUGAAAUCUUAGACCUUUUCGUAGCCAAAUUAAAGACCAAGUUCUUUAUGUAGCUAUGUCAAAAUUUGGAAUGGUCUCUUUCAAAAUAUACAUAUUAAGGUGUCGUUUAAAAUCAAAUACCACCUGAAAUAAUGUUAAUUAUUAUUAUAGGUAUGCUAAUCCAAAUAUACAAACAAUUGAAAACAAAGGAUAUUUUGGAUUAUCUACUCAUGAAAAAUAUAAUUCUAAGAUUUAUAAUGUUUGGAUUAGAAUUUAAGAGUUAGAUAUAAAUACGUAAUUAUAUGUAAUUAGUAAACACAAAGAACAAAACAAGGUUCUAAAAAUGUCAUUCCAAUAAUUUUUUUAUUUUUAUUCGUAUAAUUAUCUAGAAAUUAAUAUUCACUGAUUUGUAUCGUGUUGGAACCUACAGAGGGAGUAGAUGAUCUUUUUUUUGGGGAGGAGUAGAUGAUCUAUAUGAAAGAUUUCUUUCAUUUAUUUUCAAGACUCAAACUCUAAAUUUGAUUAAGAGUGAAGGUAAUUCACCUAUCCGAUCAUAAUAGUUAAUGGUCAUGACCAAUGAUAUAUAUUCGUGUUCAUUUUCUACAAUACCUUCAGUCAACCGUAAAAACUAGCUAGGUGGUAUGAUGAAUUAUUUAUUAUGCUAUUAUAUUUUAAUAUAUAUGCAUCGUUAUUUUUCUGAGUGAUUAAAAGAUAUCAUACCAUAUUGAUUGUAUCUCUGACCAUUUCAGAUAUUCUUUCUUCCAGAUAUUAAUGAAUUUGACGAAAAGAAUAGAGCGUAAUAAGCAUGUCACAAGUAAUAUUUCACAAUUUAAUGAAUCUUUCACUUAUUUGAUUGUCUAAUUAAAGUAUUAUUAUGGUUAAAUUCUUCGAACUUCAAUAAAUUUAAUCUACACACUAUCAUUUAUCAACCUCUAUUAAUUAGGAAAUGCAAUUUUCGUUUGAUGAUAAAGCCUGAUCGUAUCUUCAUUUGAGAUUAUAGAUAUAAAAUAUUUUACUAUAAAUUUAACUUAUAUCUGACGAUUUUAUAAUUACUUUUUAUAAGUUAGGAAUAGAAACUAAGUUUUGAGGAAUUAGUUUACCAAAUAAUUGAUAAAAAGGAAUGUGAAUUUCAAUGAUUGAAUUUUGAAAGGACUUCAUACAUCUAUAUGAUCAUUUGUUAUUUAAUUGAGAAUUAUUAUAUUGUAUUGAUAGAAAUUAUUCAAGGACCUUAUCUAAUGUCUACCAUUUUAUGUACUUUUAUAAAUGUCCUUGUCUGUUUUUUUUGUCAAGGAAUGAGUACUUUAUUUGUUAUUACAAUAUUAAGCCAAAAUGUCAAAUGAUGAUUUAGUCAUUGGUUAUUCAACAGCUAAUGUUUAAAUUAUCCUUAAUCAUAGACAUCCAAUCAAUCAAUUAGCGCUUAUAGGGAACACUUGUAUUAAUAUAUAUAACUAAUAUAAAAUUAAAAAGGCAUUUUAAGUCUCUUCGAUAUUACAAUUAGGAACAUAUCUUAUAUUUUAUAUGGUUAAUUUAUCUACGUUAAUAGUGCUUAAAAAUAAAUAUAUUUUUUUCUUUUUGAAAUUUAAAUUGAAAGUAUUUAAUAAAUUUAAACAAUUGUUUAUGUAUUAGGAGAAAAGAAUAUAAUAUGAAUUUUUUAGGUACUGAUUACUGUUGCAAUUUGUCUUGUUGAACGUUCUACUCGUGUUUGGGUAGCUAAAAAACACCGUUUUCUUUACUAUCUGAUAGUGAUUGUGUCUGGUCCAAGAAGUAUAGAAACGGAAAAGGAUUUAAAAUAUUUUUAAAGUAUUGAAAAUAAUAUAAAAUUAUUUUUUUCUAUUUAUAUUGGCUUUAAAAUCUCUUUUUAUCUAUCUAUUGGCUUCAAAUAUAUUCUUGUCAUCCACCUUUGAAUUCAAAAUUGAUCAUUUAUGUAAUGGUUUCAUAUGUAAAUCAUUUAAAUAUUUUUUUUAAAUACUUAACGUUCAACUAUUGAAUAUAAUUUAAUUUAUUAGCAUAAUUUAUAAACCAACCUACUACGUACUCAUUACUGAUUAAACCCCAUCCAAUUAAUAAACCAAUUAUAAUAUCAAAAUCACCUUAAACACUAUUAAAACACGAUAAAAUUACAGAUUUUCUGAAAAUGACAUUUAAAAUUAUUCGAGUCCGUAUUGAAGCCCCAAUUAAAUUAAGGUUGAACAGCUUAUUUAGGAGGACACUUUCAAUAGAAUUCUCUUUUACGUUUGAAUUCAAAUUAAUAAUUAAAUAACAUCACAUAAUUGAGACAAAUGAAUAAUUACGAUGAACAUAAUAAUACUUUUAAGUUUAUCGAUAAUUUUUAAUUAGAUAUUUGAAUUAUAAUAUGUUUUGAUUGAGGACUUGAAUGUAUGAUAAUCUACUUCUAUAGACAUUUUCACCUCAAAAUUUUAGAAACACUCAUUGGUAGUAGUUUUUCUGUUGUUGCAUUAGAAUGGGGCGAGUUUAUUGAUUGGGUGUGGUUUAAUUAGUAAUUGGUGGGUAGUAGAUUGAUUUAUAAAGUAUAUUAAUGAGUUAAAUUAUGGCAAAUAGUUGAGAGCCAUGUAUUAAAAAAAUAUUUAAAUAGUUUAAAUUUAAAAUCGUUAAAUAAGUAGUCAAUUUUGAACUCAAAGAUGAAUGACAAAGGUAUUUUGGAGCCAACAGAUUGAUGAAAAGGGCAUUUUGGAGCCAAUAAAAUAGACGGCGGAUAGUUUUGUAUCAUUUUUUAUAUAUCAAGAAUAUUUCAGGUCCUUUUUUGAUAUAGAAAUGAUAUAAUUUUAUUUUAUUGAUUCGAAAGUAAUUAGGGCAUUAUGCAAAAAUACAUAAUUGCAAAUUAUAUAUUGAUAAAUUAAAUGAUAAAUAAAAUUUUUUUCAUAUGAUAAAACUAAUUUUGAGAAAACAUAAACAUGUAAAGAAGAAUAUGUCCCCAUAAAUCUCUCUAAAUAACUAUAUUUUGUGAAUUGUUUUUUUGUUAUGAGGAUCUUCUAUUUAUAGAUUCCAAACUUGCUCCUCAAUAACCAAAUAUAAAAGAAAAUUUUAUUUUUUCCAUGAAAAAUAAAAAUAUUUAUGAUAAUAUUUAUCUUUUCUUCUAGAAAAAAUAAAACCCUAACAUAUUAUUUUUCCUGUUUUAAUUAAAUUGUGUCAUUUUUUCUGUUUAUUUUUAAAAAGAAUAUUUUUUUUGCGUUUAGUAAUUUUUAAAAUUUUAGUGAAUUUAAGAUCACAAGAUUUAAGUAAUUACAUAUAUUUUUUCUUUUAAAAUUACAAAAUUUAUAAGUCUUUUUUUAUUUUUAAACUCGAUACUCAAUCAAAUUAAAACAUUUAAAUCCGAUCAGAGAGAGUAAUUUAUCUUAUUUUAUGAAUACAACUAUAAGUUAAAGUCAGAAUUGAAGGAGAAUUUAAAAUUUAAGUGUUUUAUCUUUUAACAUUCUUAUCGUUGAUACAUUUUCAAAAUUAUGAAUUCAAACUUAUUAUAAUUAUUUAUUUAUAUUUUUCACUAAAAUCAAUGCUCGCAUUAGCACGGCCAAUAAGAGGCAAAUUGAAAAAGAGAAAAAAAAGAGUGGAAUAUCGAAUAUAUAUUAUAAAAUAGAAUUAACAAGAAUAACUCAAGAAUAAAAAAAAAUAGUGCAAUUGUCAAAAUAAUUAGAGAUUGUUUGGUCGUGGAAUAGAACGGUUUGAGAUCUCCAUGGAAUUAUUACGACUCGUUUUUAUACGAAAUAAAAUAAUUUUGAGGGCAAAAUAUUUUGUAGUAAUUAUUAUUCUUAAUUCACUUUAUUUUUUCAAAAUAAUAAUAAAAUCUAUAUACAUUUCAUUCUCUUCGAAGUUCAUUUAGUAAAAUUUAUGAAUAUGUUAUUGUAUUAUUCUUUUAACCCACUAACUAAACAUUAAUCUAUCAAUAUAGAAAAAAAAAAAGUAGUUAACAUAGGAGAGGACAAAUAUUAUUUUAUGGACGGUGAUGAAUUAUGAAAAGAUAAGAGCAUUAUUCCUGCUUUUUAAGCCGGCCAAUAUUGACGUGAUGCUGUGGAAACUUUAUAUUAUACGAAAAGAAAUUAAUGUUUAUUAAUUAAAAAAAGUGACGUGUACUUAGGUGAUAUUCAUGGCAUAAUAAAAAUAAAAUAAAAUCACUAAUUAAUAGAUGGUUGAGAUGAUUGAAGUUUCGUUUUGAAAUCAAAUUCUGAGAAGAAAAAAAGAACUAGUAUAAAAUAUGUUGGUUAAAUAAUAAAAAAAAUCAUAGCAAAUUUAAUCACGUUUUUUAUCCAUAUUAUAAUUGAGAAACUUUUUUGGUUAUUAACAAAAAAAAAAUAACAAAUGAUGUAACAUGUUGGAUUAUAUAUUAUUCAUAUUAUAAGAGUAAACGAGAAUUAUAUUUUAUAGUAUCUUUAUUCUUAACGAUGUUCAUUCUUAUAUGAAUAUAGUAGCUGAAAUUAGAGCUGUCAAAAGGGGUUGGUCCAAUUCUAUCCGACCGACUCAAGCUUUGUGGGCCAAUGAAUUAGAAGGGCUAGGAUAGGUUCGACCCUUCGUUUGGUAGGACCUGAAAAUGCUCAACCCUGCCCAACCCUAGAAGGGACGAGGGUUAGGGUGGCUAGCCCUUCUUUUUCAUUUUUUUCUUUUCAAACUUAUCAUUCUAUAACAUCAAAAAAUGAGAAGAUUUUUAAAUAAAAUAUGACAAACAAUGGUGUUGUUUCAAUAACACUAAUAAAAAAACUAGUGUAAUUAGUUUGUUUUUCGCAUACCAGAUAUGCGAGCAAGAUAAGAGAGUAACAAACAAGAUGGGAGAGAGAUGAUAGCGCGAAAUUUGUACAUAUAUUCUAGAUACGUGAGAAUCUACUUUGAUAUACUAUAUCUAGAACAAAUUAACUUAAUUUUAAGUCCACAUUUUUUGAGAUACAUGUAUCUAAACGUACCAAAAUUUGAUAAGAUUCAUAAUAUUACAACAUAGCCUGUAUUUAAAUAACUAGAUUACAUACUAGUGAGAUUAUUGUAUGUUACCAUAGAAUACAAAGUUUUGACCCAUGACCCGACCGACCCGACCUAGAUCAAGCCUCAAGAACUUAUAUGAGCCGAGCUUACAAAUCUUAAUUUUAAAUAAGCUUGAAAAUUUUUAUUUCAAUUCUACCUCAAUAACAGUUGAAUUUGUACCAUCCCCAUGAACUAAGCUAAUUUUGACAACUCUAACUAAAAUAUAUAUAGUUUUCAUUUUAAAUUAAAAAUGAGACAAUUAUCACUACGAUAAAAAUAAUUUUUAGUGACAUUAAAUAUGACAUUAAUAAAGAGUGCUAAAGUCUUUAUCGACAUUAGUUAAGUGUCAUUAAAAUCAGUAUCGUUAAAAGCUUUAGAAACAUAUACAAAGAAUGUCAAUUACCACUAAAAAUAUAUAUUUAGCAACAAUUAUAAAUUAAUUAUCGUUAAUAAUAUUUUCAUUGUAAUGUAUUUCUUUAAAUUGAACCAAAAUAGAAAAAAAAAUUGAUCUCAGAAUGGGUCCUUGAAUUCCAAAAAGUGCUUCAAAGAAUAUGAUACCAAAUGGUUUGCAGCAAAAGGACUUUUACAAAAUAAAUAAAUAACAGUUACGAUUGAAUAGUAAGUAUUUUUUCAUAUUUAAUUAGAUGUUUCAAAUUUAAUUAGAUAUUUUAAAUUUAAAUUAUUUUUAUUUUUACGUACAAAGUUGUCCUUACUAACAAUAAUUUUACCUCCGAUAUGGCACUUCUUCUUAUAAAAAAAUAAAAAAUUUAUUUAAUCUAACUCUAAUAUAAAUAUUAAAUGUGAAAUGAAACUAAAAAUAAAUAAAUUAUUUUAUAGAGAUUCUUAAUUGUCAACUACACCCACAACUUCUUCUUUUUCUUACAAUUUAAUGCUACCCACACACCAGGCAAAACAUUUAAUUUUUAAAAAUUGUCAUGAUCCAUACCUUGUUGGAGAAAAUACUACUUUUUUUUUUUUUACUUCUUAAUUUUUUUCUAAAACUUUUUAUAAUCAGAAAACUAUGCUGCCCAAUUUUAAGAAAAACUGAUUAGAAAUUUUGUAAAGACUCAAGAAUGAAUUUUCUCAUGCUUAAAUUUGUAACAUGGUCUCUUUUUAAUCAUACAAGACUAUAUAUUAUAAUAAUUCAAUUAAUACAAAAGUCUAAUUAAAAGAUUUGGUGAUUUUGAUACUAAGAUUGCUUCAAGAAAAAUUAACCUCCACCACACAUUAAAUUCCACACAUGAAUAUAAUGUUGUUCUUUGAAAGUGGCACAAAGUGAUGCUAAAAAAAGAAGAUGAAAUUUUUUUUUGUACCUAUCUUUAAAGUCAAUCAAAACAGUUUGUCAUUUUCAAUCUUUAUACACCUUUUUUUUUUUUUGGGAAAGAAUUUUAUGAGAAUAUUCAAAGAAAAUUAAAUUAAAUGCCAAUAUCUAAUUCUUGGGGACCAAAUUAAAAGUUUAUGUUUUUGGGUGGAGUAUAAAUUAUCUCAAGAAUUCUCUUCAUAAAAAAUAGUUCUACUUUAUUUAUAUUUCUUUGUUGCGUUUUUGCCUAUCUAACUAAAGUGAAGAUGGAGUAGACAUGCAUUUGUACAAUAUUUUUAGUGGAGGUUGGAAAAUAAAGUAUUUAAUUUUGAAGUUGAAAAAAUGUUUAAAACAAUAUUUGAGAUGAUUUUUCUAUAAAUAAAUAAAUUAGAAUUUAAGUGUAUUUGCCGAUUCUUUCACAUUUGAUUGAUCAAUUUUUUUUUGCUAACGAAAAAAUAUUUGUUUCUCUUAUGGAAAUAUGAAGAAAAAAAAAAGUUAUACAAGCAAUAUUUCUCAUCGAUAUUGUUCUCAAUAUCAUCCACCACAUGACCUUAACUUCACUUCUUAUCUUCUGACAUCACCUCUCAUAGUAUUUGUCUAGAUUAUAUACACACGCAUUUAAAAUAACAUUUCUGCUUGCUUGUCAAACGCAAAAUAAAUAAAUUUUUAAAAAAUUUCACUUAUUAAUUAUCUCAAGAGAUAUUUAAAAAACAAAGAUAAAUUCAUGAAAAACAUUUCACAUCAUAUGAAACGUACCCAUAGGAAACAAAUUCGGAAGAGUUUGUGAACUUAAUUUUAAUAACAAAAGUUGGUAAUAAUAUGUAAUUCAAUACUUGCAAAAUGUUCAUCACCAAAAUUUUUGCAAAUAUUAAAAUAAUAUAUAUUGUUGGUGGUAAUUCCGAUUUUAAUGUUUAAUUCAUUUAACACAAGCUUAUUACACCAUCUAUUAAGUAUUUACUUUUACUUCGAGUCUCAACUAUUAAUCUAGAUUCACUCCAAAAAGUGUGAAUAAGGUCUUAGUCUGUAUGGGCAUUCUGGGCAGGCUGCAAUAAGUCGCUAGUCGAAGGUUUAGACCAAUCGCAAUUCAUCACCAUCUUGCCCGCCUCCAAUUGAUGACUGGCUAUUAUAUAAGUGUUGACCUAAGCCCCUAUGCAGGGGCUCGGCUCCCGAACCGUACAUUUAUCACACGCUUAUUAAACCAUCUAUUAAGUAUUUACUUUUACUUCGAGUCUCAACUAUUAAUCUAGAUUCACACCAAAAAAAUCACAUAUUAAAUUGUUCUUUGAUACGUCAUCUUUGACAAGACAUAUAUAUAUAUAUAUACAUAUAAAAUAAAGAAUCAUUGAGACAUUGAAGAUGUUCGAAAACCUUAAGACAUCAUAAUAUAUACUUUAGCAUGGUAUUCCCCAAAGGGUUAACUAAAUGGAUUGAAAUUUGAUGUUACGCACUAUAUAUAGAAUUGAUUGUCUACCAAAUAUUCAAUUAUUGGAGCAAUCAAUUUCAGUCUCAACAUCAUGCUUGGAUUUCUGUACUUUUUAUACCAAAUGAACAAAAUCAAGGCAAAAGUAGCACUGCGAGUUAAUUAGGAAAUGUUUAUUUGAUGUGUGGACUUAUCAUUAGCUUCGUUAUUUCAUAUUAUAAAAUUAAACAAAAAAAUAGAAGUGUAUAUUAAUAAGUACAUAUAUGUAUAUCAACUGAUAUUGCCAUGUAACAACAACCCAAGUACACAGCCCAUGGGCCUGCAGAUCGGAUGCGAGCUUGCUGGGCUUGGCAUGUGAAAAGGAGAAAAAAAAAAGUAUAAAUUUAAGGAAUCCCAUAGUGUAAUACAAUAAUUACAUUCUGUCCCGACAAAUUUAGUAUUUACUAAUAAUCUCUUAAAAUUGAUGUGACGUGAUACAUUAGUAUGUUGUGAUAAAUGAUAAAUGAUACACGGUAACUUAAAACUAUUAAAGAUUAAAAGAAAAAAAAUGGAACAUUUAAAUUUGUUAUCUAAAUCAGCUUAAAUUAUGGUAACAGUUCAUUAAUAAGCAUUAACUCAGCACGUAAUUGGAUAAAAAUUUCAAAUUUUAAAAAUUCAAGAUUAUAUCAUCUAGUUUGAAGACAUUUUUAUGAACAUUCAGUUAUUAAACUUAUUGACUGAUACAUGAUAACAAUUUUUAAAAACUCGUGAUACAUAGAAAAUCAUAUGAUACACAUCAAAUUCAUGUAUCAAUGCAUCGUCUAAACACUAUAACACACUGAGUCGAUAUGUAUCAGCAAGCACACUUGAUGACGCAGUUAUUAAACUUAUUGACUGUUACAUGAUAACAAUUUUCAAAAACUCUUGAUACAUAGGAUAUCAUAUGAUACACAUCUAAUUCAUGUAUCAAUGCAUCGACUAACACACUAUAACACACUGAGUACUUAUGUAAAAACUUAUUGUCUGAUACAUGAUAACAAUUUUUAAAAAUUCAUGAUACAUAUGGGAUUCCUUUACUAAAACUUUUAACAACAAUGGUUGCUGCUUCUUUUUUUUUGGUGUAUUUUGUCAACCUUUGAUUUAAAUGAUUCGCCAAAAUCUUUGUUUGAAUCCUUCCGAAUAUUCAUAGGAUCAUGCAAAGACUUUUUUUUUAUUUUCUUUUCAAUUUUCAUCAUCCGAAUCAUAAAUCCUUCUAUUAGUAAAAGGAUCCAUUAAUAUGAUGUAAUAGAACAAUGAACAAAAAAAAGGAUGAUGGAGUAAGAAGAAAAAGAAGACCUAGAGACGGCUGAUGUAAUAUAGCAAUGAACAAGAAGAAAAUAAGAACAAAUGAUGGAUUAACAAGAAGAAGAAGAACUAUAGACGGAUGAUGGAGUAAGAAGAAGAAGAAGAACCAGAGAACAAAUUUCAAAUUUUUUGGAUUUUGAAAUUCAAAAUUUCAUAUUAAAUGUUGUGAAACGUUUUUAAUUAAAAUUAAUAAUUCAAAAUUCAAAAAGUGAUUCAAAAGAUUGAAUGUUUUAGUGGAGAAAAAAUAGGCAUGAUAUUGGGAAAGUGUGUGUUAUAGGAAAGAGAAGACUAUGUAUCUCUAAACUUCUACUAAAAUUAAAAAAAAGGGAAUUAUAUAAUAUUUUAAAAAAGAAGGGAAAAAUAGAGAAUACUAAACUUAUUAUUGUGUACUUAAGUUAUUUUUCCAAAAAAAAUUAGCAAACUUUUCAUUCAAAUUAAAUGUUAUAAAUACCAGUUAUUACACUCAUUUGUGUAUGAAAUUUAUGCUUCAAUCUUUCAUAUAAGAAGUGUAAACAUCAUCAUAUUGAUUUGCUUCGUUUGAAUUAAUAUAUUGUGGCUCUCUCAAUAUAUAUAGAUAUAUUUAUUCAAUAUACUUAUAAUUAUACAAACACAAAUCUCUAUCCAAUUUUCUUAUAUGUUUUUGUCUUUCUCGCUUUAUACAAACACAAUACCAAAAUAAAUUAUACAACUAUUCUUUAUACAUACAUAAUAUAGGGAGCUAUACUUUUAUAUUUAUUUUUUUGUGUAUAAAUAUGUAUCAUACGAUGUAAAUAAUUACUAGAUCCAGUUAAGAUUUGCCUAAAUCUGAUAAUGUAUCUCAUAUUCACACGUAUAAAAUCAAGUAUAAUGUAUGUUUAACAUAAAUCAUAUCCAAGAUACAAUUGACAUCAACUUACAAAAACAUGGAUCCUCUUUGGUUCUAAAAAGACCUUACAUCAAACCAAAUAAACUUGCAAAAAACUACAAAACAAAAACCCAUACGUACAUUCAAAUCCCACAAAAUCUCGAACUAAUGUUCAUGUAUCCCUUUAACACAAGACUUCACAAAGCUCUUGAAACUACCCUUCUUAUGAGGAGAUGAUGCCUUAUUCUUUUCCUCAAUUAUAACAACAUUACUCACUUGUCUUUUCUUCUUCAAAUUCAAAUUCAAAUUCUCUUCAACACCAACAUCAUUAUUAUUAUUAUUCUUCUUGAUCAUCUCCAACUCUGCCUCCCAUUGCAAACACACAUUCAACACCCUCUUCUCAACAUUCACAAGCCUCUCCAUGAGUGUCCCCUUGUGCUCCGUCUCCGAAAUCACGUCGUCUAUGGGGCGGCAGUGCUUCUCCAUGCUUCUCGGAGAGAAAUCGAGCGACGAAACUUGCCCGUCGCUCGUUAACGUCUCGCUCGACGCUGUGGAUGUCUUCGGUGAAUGAUCACCUCCUCGAACUUCCUCGAGUUUUUUAAUCUGAACACAAAACAUGAGAACUCUAUGUUGAUUUGAUACGACGAAAUUUAAUUAGUAACCUGUAAGAGUAGAUUGAUUUACCAUUUGCUACGUAUGAAUCUAACAAAGUAUUUUGGAGUUACAUAUAUGAAUGAAAAAACAUAUUUUGAAGCCAAAAAGCGAAUCUUUCGCAUCAUUUUUAAUCCUCCAAGGUGACCUUUUUUUCCCCAAUAAAUUAAAGAUAUAUUCUAAAGCGGAUAAAAAAUAAUUUUUCUAUCAUUUCUGAUACUCCAAAAUAUUUUUUGCCUUCAGUCUUAUUAUUAUUUAAGAAACUUAUAUUUAUAUAUAUUGGACCUCUUAUUGUUAAUUUAUUCCUUAGAUUUUUGCUACGACUUGAUACUUUUUUACAUGCGAGUUCUUAUUUUUCUAAUAAAAUUAAAGAUACACGCUCACAAUCUUAUUAUUAUUUGAGGAACUCAUAUUUAUAUACAUUGGACCUAUUAUUGUUAAUUUAUUCCUUACAUUUGCUACGACCUGAUACUUUUUACAUGCCUAGUUCUUAUUUUUCUAAUAAAAUUAAAGAUACACGCUCACAAUCUUAUUAUUAUUUGAGAAACUCAUAUUUAUAUUUAUUGGACCUAUUAUUGUUAAUUUAUUCCUUAGAUUUUUGCUACGACUUGAUACUUUUUACAUGCUAAUUCUUAUUUUUUCUAAUAAAUUAAAGAUAUACGCUCGCAGUCUUAUUAUUAUUUGAGAAACUAAUAUUUAUACAUAUUGAACCUAUUAUUGUUAAUUUAUUCCUUAGAUUUUUUUCUUAGACUUGAUACUUUUUACAUGCUAGUUCUUAAAAUUUAUUUUGUGUUCAUAAUCAAUUUUUUAGUUGAAUCAAAUAACAAACGCAACCACGCUAAAGGUAAAAAACGACUGAUGUAAAGGGAAAAAAACAAACAUACCUAAAAUAUUUAUAGAAAAAAAAAAUAGUAAUUAGAGAAGUACUCACUAUAUUGUCAAGUCUAUCGAUUCUAGAGAGUAUUGGUUCUUCAACUGAUGCCAUUUUUUUUCUUCUAAUAAUAUCGUUUUUCUUUUUUUCCCUUGUGUAUGCUGUGUUAGAUGAUAAUUUUAUAAUGUGUUUAAGUAAUACGUGGCAGAAUAUAAGAAGAGCAACUGCCGCUCGACACGUUGCAAAAUAUUAUAUGUUUGAUUUGAUGUAUCCUGUUGACACGUAGACGAUUGUUUGCAGUGGAUAUGUAUCAUUAACAAUUUUAUGUCAUGUUUAUCCCGUUUCCCAAGACUACACCCCUCCAACUCUCGAAGCUUCCAAAUUAACGAGGAGUAAAAACUCGAAUGUCAUUGACCAAGUCAGAAAUUUUAUCUAGAAAUAACAAUUUAUUAUGCUAAGAAUAUCUGAAAUAUGUUAUUUAAUCAUUUUUUACUUAUACAUAUGGUACUUUUUUCUUGACGAAGAGUGUUUAAUUGAACAUCCUUAUUACUACGUAGCUACGCCACUGUGUGAUAUUUACAUCAAGUCAAUACGUGCAUACUAUGUGUUUAAAUUUAUACUUUAUGUUACUUAAUCAUAAUUAAUUAACAUGUAUUUUACUUUAUUAAAUCACAUAAUAAUAAAAAUUGCAUUGAUUUGAUGUAGAUAUCGAAUGCGGAUAAGUUUUUUUUCUUCUAUCAACCACUAUUUUCCCCUUAGUUAACUUAGCAUAGCACGGAAAAGAUAAAACUUUUGAAGACACAUCACAUAUGGAUGAAAAACAUGUAAUUGGUCAAUCGGAUGCACUGUACAAUUUUGCCUAUCAAGACUAACGGAAAAAUGGAGGACAAAAUAAAAUAUCGACUACGACAAGAAUAACUUUUAGCGGUAUUAAAUAUUGAUAUUAAUAAAGAAUAUUAAAGUCUUUACUGACAUUAGUUAAGUGUCAUUAAGAACCAAUAUCGCUAAAGGCUGCUGAAUGAUCAAUUUUUUAUAUAGUGACCAAAGAGAGUUAGCUUUCUCCCAUUAAUCAAUCCAAACUUCCAGCAAUCUGAUCAUCAUCAGAUGGCCAUAUAACAGUUUGAGCUAGUCGUUCACGCAUCAGUUCCACAUUCUCAUCAGAUAUUCUGUUGUAUAAUUCAGCAUGAUCACAUUUCUACAUCCAACACACAAUAUUCAUUAGAUUUCCUCUGCAUCAUUGCAGUUGAAAUACCAAAUUUCCACUCGUUCGCGAUACAAUACAACAAAGAUAUAUGUACUAAUUCAUGAACACGAUAUUUUUGAAGGAGCAAAACAUGUACGUCAAGCAAUACGUAGCUAAAAUCAAUGUGGCAUACCUGCAUCCAUAUGCUGUAAAGGCUAAGACGUGUAAUCAUCACUCUCUCAGCAAGUUCUCGCUUUUCCUGCAAAACUCUUUAACAUCAGACACACAGAAGAAUGCAGUCAAAAAUGCAAAACUCGGCUAAUAUGAGAGGGGUUAAUCUUAAAUCUAAGCGGAGAUUAUUACAACCCUAUCUCAUUGAAAACAUACUUAAAAUGCGGAAGACAUGUCCCAUAUUUCACUUUUUUUCAUAUAGAUAGAAAGAACAUUUAUCAAAAUAUACAAUGUUACCUUGAAAAGCUGUUGAAGGAAAUUUUUCCCAGUGUUAGGCACGUGGUUUACUAUAAAACUGUAAAAGGAAAAAGGAUAAAAAAAAUUAGUGAAAACAACCAGUGAGUAAAACCAUCAAAAGAAUCAUACCUCUCAGUGGCUAUAGAACAAACAAGAUUCUUUGACAAAGCAGUUUCGCUACUUUUUACCAGGUGAAAGUACACUAGAGACCCUAAGCUUCUAGUUUGGAGCUUUGUUCUUAUUUUCAUAUAACGGUGGUGUCUACGCUAGCUUGUGUGCGUCUUGACUAAUCCCACUGGCACAGGUACAUAUUAGAUAAUCAUCUCUGUCCAUUAAAGCUUGGAUAACCGAGACGGAUUAACAUAGUAUUGCCUCUACGAUGAUUUGAACCAAGCUUCCCAAGGUAUUAUUCCACUUAUUCGACCACUAAGUCACUCCCUUGGUGACUCCAAAUCAGAGCAUACUAAGUUCGCAAAAGUGGUAGUAUAAUCCAAUUUAAAAGGUAUUUCCUAGGGAAUGGAUGAUUUAAAAUACGAGUUUAGAGAAAUUUACUAUUACAUUUCAAGUGGAAAUGCAAACUCGGACAAUAUUUUCAGUAUUUCCAUUCAAAUCAAAGAUUGUCAGAAAUCUUGGAAAAGGAAAAAGUAACAGUUUCAAGAGAAUCAAAGAAUGUCAAAUGAAAAAUGAAAUGCACUAAUAGGGGAAACAUAGAAAAGCUCAGGCGAUAAAAUGCUCAUCGCAUUUUAAAUAAAAUACAAAAAGCAAAGGACGACAAGAGAAGCAUGUUGGACCAAAUGUUCAAUUAUUUUUGAAACAAUACAUUUGAUAAACGUUUUGCUUUUCAUAUUGAAUGAAUUUGGAUCCAUAGGUUUCACUUUAUUUAGUUUAUAGGUUUAUGGUUCUUUUGAAAAAUACAUUUAUCGUCAAAAAUUCACAAAUCUAUUAGUAUAAUAUACGUUGCUUUCUCCGUUUAAAAAAGAAUGAGCUCCUUUUCCAUUUUAGUCUGUUUCAAAAAGAAUGAUCUCUUUCUUUUUUUGGUAACAUUUUAAUUACAAUUUUCCACAUAGCAUGUUUAAGGCCACAAGAUCAAAGGGCGAUUUUGUACAUUUAACCUAACUUUAAUUUAGAACCACAAGAUACAAAAGUCUUCUUUAUACUCUUAAACUUCAUGCCAAGUCAAACCAGGUCAUUCUUUGUGAAACAGAGGGAGUAUUUGAUGAAAACUCUUCUUAAGAGAACUUUUAUCUUAUAAAUAGUUCUUCUUUUCACGUAAAAGAAAAGCACUUCAAAAACUCUUUCCCUUGAAAAUAUUUGAGAGACACUGACCAAAAGGUGAAACCACAGAUCAAGAAUAGAGCAACGUUCUUGAGUGCUACUUGUUGUGUGGCUUAUUUGAAUCCCAACGAUAGAGUUGUUAUUUAUUCUUCCAUUUUCUCGUGGGAGAGACUCCAACUUUCUUCAAGAAACGUCUUGACGUGCCUCUAAGCUAAGCAAGUCCUAUUUUGGUCUCUAAUAUUAUCUGUGUUAUCCUUGUUCAAACAAAGCAUAUAACUGCCUCAGCUGCCGUUCUGGCCUUUCACUGCCCCUCCAAUGCAGCUUCUUGCCCUCUCUCAGUUUAUAUCACGCCCAUUCAUUUUUACUUCCUUUCCCCAGCCUUCUCUAACCAAUAACCACUACCACUAAACCACAACCACAAUCCCAUCCCUCCAAUGCAAUCUAGAGCCCAUCUCCUUUGAAAUUGCCGAAUUAUUUUCCUCUUUCCCUUGCUUUAAAUGAUCAAGAAACAAUAACACCAAAAUUGUGAUGGUCUUUGCAUCUAUCACUCCUCACGUGAUUUUGUUUAAAUUGGAUUAAGGUGCCAGUUUUUGUAACAUCAACACCCUAAAUGUUAACUUGAAUAUUUGGGCUAAAUCAGAGGAUCAUCAUAUCUGGAGAGUGGAUACGCUUAAGAAGAAAAGAAGUCUAAACUUACUUGUAAAACCAUGUAUACUGUGGGGGGUUCAUCUCAUAGAGUUGUUGAAGAACAGUCCGUACAGCCUUGUAAGUGAUAACAUUGAUUAUUUCCUGCAAAUGCCAAUCACUUAAGGAGCUGAAUAUGAUCAAAUAAAAACGGAACUACAAAAAGAGAUUGGACACGGUUCACUUUGAAGUCUUACAGUUCCAGCAAACCGAGGAUAAAACAGUUUCCGCAGAUUUCAUUUUUAUGGAUGGACAAAAUUCAAGUGCAGAAUCAACGAAAAGAGCACUGUAAUAAUGAGCCAAACUUUAGCUAACUACAUCUGUGGAGGAAUCGAUUGGCUCUGCAACAAAAGGAGUAGUACAAGACAUUUGGAAAAAAGACCAGAAAACAAUUUAAGCAAUGAAUUUAUAUUAUUGAGAUUCAUGCGUCUAACCAUACCAUAGACAGCUACCUUAUCCCCUAAUCAUUUUAAACAUUUUUCAAACUGAUGAUUAAAAGUAUAAAUUUGCAAGUUUUUUCGCUAAAGCCCAACGAGAGCAGUCUAUAAUCAACUAUAAAGACCUUCAAUUAACAAAACACAACCAAAAGUUUCCCGUUUGACCAUACCCGUUCACUUAUAACUAAUUUCUGUUCACAAUUCUUCCCAGGAUUUAUAACCAAACAAGGAAAUGUCCAACAUUCAGUCAAGGCUGUUCUAUCUACAAACUACUACAACAAACUUCAAUAUUCCCUUGCCAAUGAAAGAUAGUCCAUUUGUCAUAGAUACACAGAAUAACUGUGAGCAGAUAAUAACAUACCCAAUGUAAUCCCACAAAUGGAGUCUGGGAAGGCUAGUGCGUAGCAGACCUUACCCCUACCUUUGCACAAGUAAAAGCAUUACAAAGCAGUUUGAAAAACAAAAACAUUGGGACUGAAGAAGCCUGUACAAAAUGCUAAAGAACGUAAGACAGAGCAUAUUAAAAAGGAACAGUCACUACAACAAAAAAUUACGAUAAUCAAAGUGCAAGAAACUUCAAAUAGUAUUAAAAAUGGAAUACCAAGAACUCCUUGAGUAAUGCUACAACUACUGGUAUGGAAGCAAAAGUGAAAAAACUCUCAACUACCUUAACUAUUAUAACCUCCUAUCUAAGUUCAUGUCCUUAGUAAGCUGAAGCUGCUCAACAGAAUCCACUAUACAAUUCACUAUUGCCAAUCCAUUUAUAGAAUCCCACUAUCAUGUAUGAGCAUAUAAUAAAGAACACAAUCAAUUAUUCACAUUAGAAACUUCUGGUCUAUUUCCCAGUAAUAAUAAUUUACAAGAAAAGCUCACAUUUUUAACAUCUUCCCCUGAAUCAUCAUCUUCCACUUCCAACCCACCAACAACAGUGAGUUUCCUAAUCUUCUGUCUCUUUCUUGAACCUCCAUUUAAAGCCAAAGACACCAUCUUUGCAGAUAACCUCCACUCACACCAUGCUUCCAAGAAACUACUACUUAAAUUCAACUGCUUUCUCCCCUUAAAGGUUCUCCACAACCCCAAUUCCCUAUUACUCCUAAAAUUAGUGCUGCCUGAGUUACGACUAGGAUUCAAGCACAAACAUGGAGUAGAGUGAGUUUCAGCUAAUGAUCUUCCAGACCCAGAAAUAGUUCCAACCAUUAUGAGUUGGGGGUUUGAAAAAAUGGGAAAUUGAUGGGGUAGAGAGCAGAGGGCUUGAUGGCUGAAUCUUCUGUUGCAGAUUCUUGAAAACACAUUUUUUUUGGGAGAUUUUAUGUUGUUUUUUUUCUGAGGUCCAAAUUUGUUUGACAAAGGAUUUUUUUUUUAAUCGACAAGCAAUUGAGCUUCUUCCUUUCUCAGGAGAACACGGGCCAAAUCUUUACUAGGAAUUGAACUUGUUGCCCAAAAUGGUCUUUUUUUUUUUCCUUUUUCUUUUUGAAGAGUGACGUAACUAAAGUAGUUAACUACUCCACUUUUUUAUUUCUUCAAAAAGUAAAAAGAACUAAAAUAAUAAUGCGAUUAUUCUAUCGACUUUUUGGCAAGUGAAAGGUCGUAAUUAGUACCGGCAAAAUAAACUUAUAUUUUGAUAAUUCGUCUAAAUAAUUUGUAUAUUUAUUGAGUUGAGUGAGUAAUUUUUCACAUGAUUAAAAUCAAAAUAAGCUUAUAUUUUGAUAAUUCCUCUAAACAGUUCAUAUUUUACUGAGUUGGGUAUGAUUUUUCACAUGAGUAAUAUAUGGAUUGAUAUCCAAUAAAAAUAUAGCUAGAAUAUGAAUUAAUCUUCUAACUUUUAUUUAUUCAAAAUCUAUGAUAUCACUAAAAAUAGUGCAACUUCUCUUUCUUUUUAUGUUAUUCUAUAGAACUAACUAUUCUUCUCUCUAAUUGAAAAAAUGAAGUCAAAAAAUAUAUAAUUUAAAUGUACUUUUCUUUUGUUAAUUAUAGUACAUUUUAUUUAUUUACUUAAUUUUAUAUUAGAUAAUCAAUAAUAGUGUAAAAAUAAGAAAAUCAUGUUAAACAUUAUCGUCUAAAAAAAAAGGUUAACAUAUCUUCUCCAUAUUGAAUUCUUAAGUAAAGUACUAUUUAUUCAUGAAAAAAUGGUAUAAAAUAGUAUUUUAUCCAAUCUAUUUUUAUUCAUAUCAAAUAUGGGCGGGUUGAAUGAUUACCCAUUUUUACCCGCCCACAUUUGACCAAAACCCGACCAUUUAUCACCACUAGUUAUAAUAAAUAGAGGUUUAUGAUCGGGUUGGUUCGGAUUUUCAAAUAUCAAAUUAAAAUAUCAUAUGAAAUUUUUAGAUUUAUAACCAACCAAACUAAUACACACAACUUGGGUUUUUAUUUUUAUUUUUCAACUCGGAGUGAUUCGAAUUUUUCAAAUACCGAACCAAAUCAUUGUGUCGAAUUUUUAAUUUUUAAAUCAAACCAAACUAAUAAACCUUAGAUUUUUUGGGUAAAAUAUGCAUACAAACAAAUAAUUAACUUGUACUCCAAAUAUUUCUUUAGUCCAACUAAAAUACAACUAUUUAAGAUGUUUCUUAAGAAAACACACAAUAUAUGAGAUGCGUUAUGACACUAAAAUAUUCAAUAAAAAAUAUUACAAAGUCAUAAUGAAAAUGAUAAUAAUAAUGAUAAUUUAAAAGUACUAAAUCACGCUAAAAUAAGUCUAAUAAGUAUUAGUUAUAUGAUUAAAGGUCAAAGAAAAAAUAAAAUUAAAUUAUGUAUUUUAAAUUUCUAAAUAUGUGAAAUUAAAGAACAAAUAUUCAGUAUUGUUGUCUAUGAAUUGAUGUAAAACUAAAGAACUAAAUUAAUUUAUUUUGUUAGCAUAGUAUUAAUUUAAUUUUGAAUUGAGCUUUAUUAGAAUUACUAAAAUCUAUGAACUAUAAUAUUUAUUGAACCAUUCAAAAUUCUAAAUCUAAAAAAACUCAAAAAAUAGGUUAAAAGAUAAAAACUAUGAAAACAUAUAAGUAUAUUUAGAAAUUAUAUCAAAAUAAAUACUUUUAUGUAUAAAAUAAACUUUAAAAAAUUAUAUAUAUAAUGUCGUGUUGAUUUAAUUUCGAAUUGAAUUUUUAAUUAAAACCAAACCAACAAAUAUAGUCGAUUCUUUUUUUUUUUUUCAAUACCAAACCAAGUCAAAUCAAACCAUAGUCUAUUUUAGUUCGAUUUGUACACUUGAGUUCUAAUUUUUACUAUAGUUGUACACCACAGGUAAAAUUGACCAUAUCUUAAAAGUGAUAUUUUAAGCAAGCGUAGAUUUAAAAUAUUUUUCAAAUUUAUGGACUAAGAAGUCAGAAUGAAAUUAUGUUAUAUAUCACACACUCCGCUCCCAUCAUCCCUAUUGUAGAUCAUUUUUACCUAGUACAAUCAUAUUCCUAGUUAAAUUAAAGUAACAAUAACAAGAAACUUAGCAAGUCAAAUACAGAUUUCUCAACUCAAGUUCAAUCUAGUACUGCUCUCCAGAAAUCGAACAACGAGGAAGGUUCAUCAUCGUCAACUGCAAGAGAGAAACUCAUCGAUCAGUCAGAAUUUCGAGCUUACUCAAUGUGUGAUUUCAAGAAAUAUUUCAUAUUAGGAAAGCUCAGAAUUUGAAACUAGUGCUGACAAACUAUUCAGCUGAGGGAAAACUUACCAUAAACGCGUAUGUCAAGACAAGAGUUUCCCAUGCUCUCCUGUUCUUCGCGAAUUUCAUUUGCUGAAUUCUGAGCAGAAGAGCUGCAGCAAAUCAGUUCAAUCAUCUCCAAUGUACAUAUCUCUCCAAUAUCGAUUGGUAUUUCCUCAAGACAGAUGCAUUUCCUCAAAACUAACUUUUGAAGGUUUGGGAAGUUAACACUACCGGCUUCCCAGUUCAGUAGACGUGGCUCAGCAAGCAGUAGGAACUUUAGCUGGCUAAACUCGUCUUCAUCACUUAGUGUCCACGCACAACCUUCAAACUCAUUAUCUCUAAGUUUAAGCACUUCAAGAUUGGGCAAUGCAGCUAGACUUGCCAUGUCUUGAGAAAGCAGAAGACAACCGGAUAAUAUUAACCUCUUAACAGAUGUUAAGGAAGCACACCAGUUUGACAAGGUGAGCCGCUUCUGACCAUAGCAGACGCACUUCAAUGUUUCGAGUUUCUCUAAAUGUACCAGAUUUUGUAAGUAUUCAGAUGCAUCGUCUGAUGCAGCAUCGAGGAUACUCACUUUACGUAUACUGGGAAGGCAUGAAAAGACUUCCUCUGUACAGCUCGCAAAACAUAAGUGAGAAAGUUCCUCCAGAUUGCUGAGCCCCAAAACAUCAUCUGUUGUGGUACUUCUUUUAGGCUUAGACAGAUAAUUGCCACUCAGUAGACGCAGACGCCUUAGCUGUGUCAUGUUCCAGAUAUCCCGAGGCAGAACCAAAGUUUUGUGCAUAUAAUACAGUUCCGGCUGUUGAAAUACCAAGGUUUGCAGAUUAUAGAGAUGAGACACUGAUGCGGGGAGACCACCAUUUGAUCGAAUCCAAAGGUACCUUAGAUGAGUUAGUUGUGUUAUCUCAGCUGGAAAUGCAGGAAACAUGUGAGAAAUAAUUGCCAACACUCUGAUAUGUUUGAAGCUCGCGAAUAAGGAAAUUUGCCUAUGAGGCGGAGAAGAGAUUGACAGUUCACCCCAGAAAAACAUUGAUCGAGUUACAUGAGAUGACAACUCACUAGAAUCAUUUAGAGAAAUGUUGGAAAGAAAGCUGAAGCCACGACCCUCGUUCCUCUGUGCUAGGAAGUUUGAAACAUAUCGAGCUGAUGUCACGUGCAGGAACUUCUCUUUCUGAGCUUCUCUCAAGCUCAAGUCCCUCAACAAAUCAUGCAUGCCACAACUUCUGAUCUCACCAUUGAACCUCCUCUUUUUAAUCAUUAUUAGAUUUCUACUAAUAAGAUCUUCCAAACACUCUUCUGCAACUUUUUCCAAGCUCUCGACCCUUUCGGCUUUCAGAAACCCUUCAGCAACCCAAACUUGGAUUAAUGUCCGAGCUUUUAUUUCAAAAUCCUCCGGAAAAGCACCUAUAGAGAGGAAGCAUGGCUUGAGGUGGUUCGACAGGUAAUUGUAACUCAUACCGAGCACUCCCAGGCAUUUAUCUGGAUCAUUCGCAACAACUGAAUUAACAGUCUUGGCAACAGUGAUCCAACUUUCUCUUCUCAUAGAAAUCUUAGAAAGAUGCCCUGCAACCACCAGAAUUGCCAAAGGAAGUCCACCACAUCUUUCCGCUAUUUGCUUCCCGAUAUCCUCUAACUCAAAAGGACAAAGAUCAUUUACCCCAAAUACCUUGAUGGAGAGUAAUUUCCAACUAUCAUCCAAACUUAAGACCCCCAUCUCAUGCAAAGGGCUAUCAGGAUUAGCAUAAGCAGCCACAUCCUUAAGCCUACUCGUUAAUAUGAUACGACUUCCAUUGUCAUCAUCUGGAAAACAUCUUGUCACAUCGUCCCAAACUUUAGUACUCCAAAUAUCAUCAAUGACAAUAAGAUAUCUUCGAUCCUUAAGUUUUCUAUAUAAUGACUCCGCUAACUGAUCCUCAGUUUUCUCUACAAGCUUAUCCGCCGUCAUACCAGGAAUGCAACGGGCUAGACUUAACAGCAACCUCCUCAUUCCAUACUCUCGAGAUACUGUAACCCAUGCAUGAACAUCGAAGCGAGACCUAACUCGGGGAUAAUCAUAAGCUUUUUUAGCGAGAGUCGUUUUGCCAAUCCCACCCAUACCUGUAAGGAUGAUCUCACAUUUAUAGAAGUAAAGUGACAAAACUACUUUUUGCUGCAUUAAAAUAUAUAAUUGAACUUUAAUUUACUCACUAUAACAGUAAAUUUGCUACAUUUAUUCACUAUAAUAAUAAAGUCACCAACUUUGAUUCAGUCUCCUAUAUCAAAAAAAUCUAUCCGUAAUGUACUUUAAUAGGUAAUAGGUAAAGUUUAAUGAUCAUACGUCAAAUUAACCCUACCUGUAAUUGCAACGACUUCUCUCUCGGAGGAGUACCCAAGUAGCCUUUCUAUAACCUUCUCCAAAUCAUCAUCAAGACCAACAACAUCAUUCUCCAAAUUAGCAUUAAAACUAGGCUUAGAUGGACUACCAACCCUCGUUUCGAAAUGAUCUUCACCAGGUUCAGUGUCAUGGUCAUGGCUUGUGCAGGUCUCAAGACUAAGCACCAACUCUUCCCUUAGUAACUCAAUCUUCUGUACUACUGGUACUAAAUCUUCAUUUCCUCUUUGAUGAAUCUCACAAAUCUUUAGUUCAAUAAUAUUCUCAGCUUCAUUGAGAGCAUCUCUAAACUUUCCAACCAAAUCUUUGAUAUUUUCUUGGUGAUAAUAACUACUGUUGCUACUAUCAUCAAGAAAGGCUUUGAAAUAAUCAAGAGAUGCAGCUAAAGAUUGAAUUUUUGGGUCAGAAAACAAACCUGGGAUUCUGGUAUUGAGUUGCCCUAGAGUUUGAGCAAGAGAAACAACAGAAGCAUAAGCCAUCAAUUAGUCUCACUGGCCAGUUGAAGAACAAGAAACCUCUUUUACCUUAAAAAAAAAAAUGAAUUGCCAAAGAGAAAAUGGAGAGCCCUUCAAUGCUACAAUUAUUAGCUAGUAGGUCAAAAAUUGUAGCAUAGAUAAAUGCUGGGGCCUGGGACAAUUGACAACCUUUUGUGCCAAAAUGCCCUUAAAACAGUGAUGGAUCUGAAUUUAAUCUUUUACCAUAUUCCACUCCUAGCAUCACUCUUAUUUCACGAGAUAAAGAGAAAUCGCUUUCAAAGUUAAAAUAAGAUACUCAGAAGUGAAAGAGAAUGUAAGAUACUCAGAAGUGAAAGAGAAUUCAAAAAGGAAAAUGAACAAGGACAACAAACUACUUUUGUCAUAUAAAUAACCUCUGUGGUCCUCAUGUUGCAACACAAAAUUUUGAAUGAAUAAAUAAAAUACACUAGAACAUUAAGGGUACUUAUAAGUUACAACAUUGCAUCCAUCUCACUGGGGCAAAAUAU